UGAUUUGCCCGACUUUUUUGAAAAUUUAAAACAUCUACGCUACUUAAAUUUUUCUAGAACCCGAAUCAAUCGUUUACCUGAUUCUUUGUGUACUCUUUAUCAUUUGGAGACUUUAAUCUUAAGAGAUUGUUCAAAGCUCAAAAAUUUACCCUCGAAGAUCGGAAACCUUGUCAACUUGCAUUUUCUUGAUAUUAGAGGUGCGGAUUCAAUAGAAAGGAUGCCCUCUGGAUUUGAUCAGCUAACUCAGCUUCAAACGUUAUCUAAUUUUGUUAUAGGGGAAGGUGAUGGACGUCUUAUAAGAGAAUUGAAAAAUUUGUCAAACCUUAGAGGUAAUUUUUGUCUUUCUGGAUUGGAGAAUGUUAAUGGUCAAGAUGCGAGGGAAGCUAAGUUAAAUGAGAAGCUAGGGAUUGAUGGGUUAGAACUGCAAUGGGGUACAGACUUAGAGGAAACAGAAGUUGAGCGGGUGUUGGACUUUCUUCAUCCUCCGAAAAAGCUUGAGCAACUCAUCAUUGAGAAUUACGGGGGUGUAAAAUUCUCAUCUUGGAUAGCAGAUUCUUCCCUCAAGAAUUUGUCGUCUUUGAAGCUUCGCGAUUGUAAAAACUGCAAGUCACUACCAUCAGUUGGAAGGUUGCCAUUGUUAAAAGAUCUUUCAAUUAUUGGUUUCGAUCAAGUACAGAAGAUUGGUGUUGAGCUAUUCGGAGAAAAUCAAUUGAAUCCAUUUGCAUCAUUAGAGAUUCUGUCUUUUGAGAGUCUUCCAAACUGGAAGGAGUGGGACACUUGUGAAGGAGACGAUAAGGUUUUAAAUCUCCCCAGCCUUCGUGUGCUUUCAAUCAAAACCUGUCCUAAAUUGUUGGGAAGGUUGCCUACCCAUCUUCCUUCCUUGCAAAAACUUGAAAUUCAUACGUGUACGAGUUUGGUAGUUUCAUUAUCAAGUUUCCUGUCACUGUGUGAAUUAAGUAUACGAGGGUGUGCAGAACUGGUGGAUGAUUGCUCUUCUCCUGCAAAGGAGCUUUCCUCUUUGCAAACUUUGUCUCUUUCUAACAUUUCAAAGUUUAAUAUUCCAGCAGAUAGGACAAUGUUGAGGUUUGGAAACUCAGAACGUUUUGAAAUUGAUGGUUGGGAGGAGUUGGCAUCUGUAUCACGGUAUGGGUUUAGUUUAGUUGGACAUCGUUUCAUUUCCGUUUCGCGUUGUCCUCAACUGCAGUCUUUGGAAGCAGAGGAAGCCGAAUUGCAACCUGACAAGAUGUCACGUGUUGAAUCUCUAGAGAUAGCCUCUUGUGAUAGGCUCAAUAGACUGCCACAAGUCUUACAUGCACUCACAUUCCUUACAAUGAUGGAAAUUCAGGGUUGUCGAGGCUUGGUUUCUUUUGCAGAGAAUAACUUACCUCCUAAUUAAAAAAAGCUGAGAAUUAGCAACUGUGAGAAUUUGGAGUAUUUGGUUGAUGAAAAAGAAGAUAAUAAGAGUAUGAGUAGUACCCUCUGUCUUCUUGAGGAGUUGUCUAUCUAUAAGUGUCCGUCUCUAAUGUCUUUGUCAUCGAAGGGGCACAAAAAUAUUUGCAAUCAGCUUCAACUUCUCAAUAUUCGCCAUUGCUCAAAGUUGAGUUGCCUAUUUUCAAACACCAAGUUUCCCAUAACGCUUAAAGAUUUGAGAAUUGUGGGAUGUCCAGAGUUGGAAUACAUAGCCGAGGAGUUUGAGGAAAGCGCUUGUCUUGAAUUUAUGAAAAUUAUAGUUUCUGGAAUAAAAUCUCUACCACGAGGACUAAACAAGCUCAAACAUCUCCAGGAGAUUUGUUUGGAUUCGUGUUCAAAUUUGGUUUCUUUUGAAGAAAGUGGGUUGAGCACCAGCUUCAGAGCUUUCCAAGUUACUGGUUGUGUAAAUUUUGGAGCCCUUCCUAACUGCAUUGCUAGCAGCACCUCCCUUCGACGAUUAAGUGUGAGCAACUAUUCGGCUGGCAUAUCAUUUCCAUCGGAGGGAUUCCCUGCCAAUCUCACAUCACUUGAAAUCUCAAAAGCACCCAAGAUUUAUAGGUCACUUGUGGAAUGGGGAUUAAAUAGACUCACCUCUCUUCAAACAUUGGCCAUCGGAGGUGGAGGAUGCUCAAACGUGGUGUCGUUCCCAGAAGAAGGCACUGGAAUGAAGCUGCCUCCUUCUCUCACCUGUAUCUAUCUUUUCCAAUUUGAGAACCUGGAAUUCAUGUUCUCCGAGGGCUUUCAAGACCUCGCCUCUCUUAAAGUAUUGGAGAUCUUUCAGUGUCCCAAGCUAACAUCUCUUCCGGAAAAAGACAUGCUUCGUUCGCUUGGAUUUUUAAGUAUUUUCGGUUGUCCGUUGCUGCAAGAAGAGUGCUCAAGCUAUAAAGGACGAGAGUGGUCUAAGAUUUCCCAUAUAUCCCUAGUUCAAAUCGAUCUUAAAGCAGUCAUCCCGAGGGAAUCAGAUUGAAGGAUGAGCCGCAAAAUCUGUGAUUGGUUUUUUCAGAGUGAUGGGAGAGGUACAAAAAACCAUUUCAAACAAGUCUAACUUUCCUUAGGAACAAGAUAAGAAUAGGAAUCAAUAUAAAUUUAUUGAUUGAUAUUUGCAGGGAUUGAAAGCUAAGUUGGGGUGGAAUAGUGUUUCAGUGGUUUCAUAUGUUUGUAAACUUGUUUCUUGGCUUUGGGGUUUAAUGUUGGAGUAGCAUUAGUUCAUCGGUGUUUCUAGAAUGUGAGCUUUGUCUAUUGUUUAUUUUAUAGGAUAUAAUAGGGAAGAAUAAGAUGAACAAUUUUACAUUAAACUUCAAUCUUAUAACAUUUUCCUUCUUUUCAAUAUAUCUUUACUUAUCUUCUAUUUUGGAAAUUUUGACAAAAAGUCAGAAAGAAAAUUAGGGAGUUCGGCCACAAUUUUUCAAAUUUAUGGAAAUAUGUUAGAUUUUAGAGAUAGAAAUUGAAAAAGCACUUUCUACAAAAUUCAUUUUCUUUUUACAAAUUAGUAUUUUUUAUAAUAUAUUUAUUAAUUAAAAAAUUUUAAACAACAUGAAAUAAAAAAAAUAUAAAUAUAAGUAGGAGAGAAAUUGAACAUUUGACCAUUUGACUAAAAAAAACUAAUAUGCCGAAAGAAUACACAUUUUGUUACAAAAUGUUUUUCUUAAGAUGCAUUUUCUGUUUCUUUUUCCAAAAUAUAUCAAUUUCUCCAAAUUUAGGAAAUAUCGACCUAAUUCCCUAACUUCUUUUUUUUAUUUCAACAUUUUUAUCCAAUUUUCUCCUAUUUUUCUAUUUCACUUUCUUGUUUUUUUCUUUCCUAUUUCAAUUUUGUUUCUUUCUUUUCUUCCUAUUCUUUUCCUCUCUUUCCCAACCUUAGCCGUCGCUAGCAUGCACUACAGCCGCACUACGACAUUUGUUCUUCUGUACAAAUAAUGGCAUUGAUCAACUCUUUUCCUCAUUCUCUUUCAUUUCCAAAUAAUGGCUUUGGGGUUCUCCUCCGUCGAUCACCUAGCUCUUUUGUCAUCACUGCUUGUUCGAUGUUGUCACUAAUCAGAGAAGCCACCAAAUGGUCCACAUUUCCUUUCUCUCUCCCGCUUCUUUUCUACUUUUUUAUUUUUAUUUUUUAAGCCGUGGACCGCGUUUCACUAUCAUUGCUCUCCGUUGUCGAAUCGAGCCACCACUAUAAAUGGCCUUGCUUCUAGUCAACAUGCACUGCUGCUCAGCCUUUUGUUUCUUACCCUUUUUUUUACUGUCGCCUCUCCUGUCUAACUGAUAACUUUAGCACUUCCAGAUUGGUAAUUCAUGCAAAAUUUAAGUGUUUGAUAAUAAAUUUUGAGAUUUUUAUCACAACUUUGUCUUGUUGAAUGAUACUAAGAUAAAUUUGAUCAUUUGAUCAUUUUAUAUACUAAAACACAUGAUUGAAAUUUUUGAGACAGUUGAUGUACUAGAAGAAAAGCCAGUCAUGAAGCUCACCCUUUUGGUCCUCAAUGCUGUAGCAUUUCUACUACAUAAGCCAUGUAAUAGACUGCCACAAGUCUUACAUGAGCUCAUAUUUCUUACAGUGAUAGAAAUUGGUAAUUGUCGAGGCUUGGUUUCUUUUGCAGAGAAUAACUUACCUCCUAAUUUAAAAAAGCUGAGAAUUAGAAAAUGUGAGAAUUUGGAGUAUUUGGUUGAUGAAAAAGAAGAUAAUAAGAGUACGAGUAGUACCCUCUGUCUUCUUGAGGAGUUGUCUAUCUAUAAGUGUCCGUCUCUAAUGUCUUUGUCAUCGAAGGGGCACAAAAAUAUUUGCAAUCAGCUUCAACUUCUCCAAAUUACCGAAUGCUCAAAGCUCAGUUACCUAUUUUGAAACACCAAGUUUUCCCAUAACACUUAAACAUUUGAUAAUUGGGGAAUGUCCAGAGUUGGAAUACAUAGCCCAAGAGUUUGAGGAAACCGCUUGUCUUGAAUCUAUUCUACUUUUCAGAUCUGGAAUUAAAUCUCUACCACGAGGACUAGGCAAGCUCAAACAUCUCCAGGAGAUUUGGUUGCUUUCGUGUUCAAAUUUUGUUUCUUUUGAAGAAAGUGGGUUGCUCACCACCAGCUUCAGAGCUUUUGUAGUUGAUAAUUGUGGAACUUUUGGAGCCCUUCCUAAGUGCAUGGCCAGCACCACCUCCCUUCAACGAUUAAGUGUGCGCAACUGUUCGGCUGACAUAUCAUUUCCAUCAGAGGGAUUCCCUGCCAAUCUCACAUCACUUACAAUCUCAAAGGCACCUAAGAUUUAUAGGUCACUUGUGGAAUGGGAAUUAAAUAGACUCACCUCUCUUCAAGAAUUGGUCAUCAGAGGUGUAGGAUGCUCAAACGUGGUGUCGUUCCCAGAAAAAGGGACUGGAAUGAUGCUACCUCCUCUCACCCAUAUCAUCCUUUUAGAAUUUGAGAAUCUGGAGUACAUGUUAUCCAAGGGCUUUCAAGACCUCGCCUCUCUUAAAGAAUUGGACAUCGGUGAAUGUCCCAAGCUAACAUCUCUUCCGGAUAAAGACGUGCUUCUCUCGCUUGGAUAUUUACAUAUUUACAGUUGUCCGUUGCUGAAAGAAGAGUGCUUCAGUGAUAAAGGGCGAGAGUGGUCUAAGAUUUCCCUCAUAUCCCUUGUUGAAAUUGAUGGUAAAAUAGUCAUCCCGAGGGAAUCAAACUGAAAGGGCGAUCAUAUAGCACACAAAGAAUCCUUUUCACCAACGUUAGUUUAUGGAACACGACAAGCAAUUGAUUGGGGGAUUUGUUCAAAAUCGUUCUAGAUCCAAUCAUAGAAACAAAAAGGAUGAUACAAACCAUUCGACUGGUAAAAUCGAACGAGAUCCGAAAAUUAUGAGCUCACAUGAUCUGGUAAGCGCUUGAGGUCCAUCUCGACUUGGUGAAUAGUCCAUUGCAUAUUUUCUAGUUUCUGUUAUGUAAACCGGCGGCGUUAAUGUUUUGUUCAAAAGGAAACUUGAGUGAAACACCAGUUAAUUUUGAAGCUGAUGUUACCUUAACAACAUCAUGGUACUGCCUUGCAAUUGUAUCGAAGUGAGGAUCGACACCUUGAUACUCACGUAGGCGUGUUACCUGUUUAAAAGGGUUGUAACACGAAUUGAUAUCAAGACAGACAAGAAAGAAGAAAAACCCGAAUCAGAAACAACCCUGAGUUACGAAAAUAUGCAUAAUUUUGAAUGAAAAACCAAGUAUAUUCUAAUCAAACAUUAGGCUACCAAACCAGGUAAAGAAGAUUUAACAUACAGCUUUAUUAUAUGCAGCAGAGGCUUCUUCAAAUCUUACAUAUUGAUGUUGAUGUUGCAACUUCAAAUCUUUGACGAGCUUAAUGAGCACUCCAAGUAUUUGCUCUAGGACCUGUUAAGAGAGAUUGUUUUACAUCACGUGUCGUGAAAAAUAUAGAGCAAACCCGUUCUCAAAACACUAUGUGAUCCAUGAAAAACUCCUGUUAAGAGAACUCAGUCUCAUAUGGAUUUCUAUUAACCUACAUUAUAAUAUUCUGCAAAUUUCCUAUCUGCGGAAUAAAGAUCCUUCCGCAAAUUUGCUUCUUCCCUCUCAAUCUCCUCUAUUAUCAACUUAACCCUGGUAAAAGAAAUAUCACAAACAGGUAAUCAACAUCCAGCAUAUAAGCCAACCCCAUCAAAAAGGUGGAGAAAGUAACUAAUACCUUUCUGGAAGCCGAGAGCUUGAACUUUGACUUCCAGAAGAUGAGUCUGCAGCACAAAAAGAAUAGUACCCAUAAGGGACCACAAUUCCAAGAAGCAAAUAUGCUUCAUAUAUUUGCUCUCACAUUCUAAUUUCGUCAUGUAAUCUACGCCUUUUGCAAUAAAAUGAUGGGCAACAAGAUCUAUGGAUUGAUAUCACAAACCAAUGAGGAAUUUUGGGACAGAACAUUAUGAAGGAUGCAUUGUUUCCGACAACAUGUUAAAACAAUGGGGAUAUAUAAACUAUUAGGCAUGUUGAGAAGUGAAAAAGGAUAAAGAUAUAUGAACGUACCGAUAUCAUCAACAAAGGCAUCAGCUAACUUGUUACACUUAGAUUUCAACCGAGCAUCAAUCUCCCUUGAAAGAGUUAACUGAUAGUCAGCCAUAUCCUAAAUUUGCAAAUUAACAAAAAUUAUAGAAAUGUGUCAUGAUCUUGUAAGAAAGUUUAUGACAACUAAAACAAGGGCCUCUUUUGUAAUUAAAGAUCUUAAAACUUCCAUCUGCAAUCAUGAAACAAAGUUUUCAUACCAUUGACAAUGGUACUCGUUGAAGCUGAGUUUGCCACAAAUAAGCAGGUGUUAUUCCAAGAAAACGAUUAGGCACACCACCAACACCAGGUUCUCCUGAAUCAACAGUAUUAUUUGCAGCUGCACCACUGGUUGCGGCACUAUUUGCAUAAUUCAAUGAGUUUGAACUUGAGCUGAUAGUGAGACUGGUACUAGUACUAUCAAGCGAACUCCGUGAUAUAAUACUCCAUUUCUCAAUUUCUUCCUCAUGAAUUUCCCCAUCUUUAGAUAUUAGUGGAAGUCUCAAUCUUUGAGCCGCUUCUGCAACAACUAAUCGAUGCUCUAGAGAGUCUCAUAAACCUAAAGUUCAUAACACUGAGUAGAACCCUUGUCAGAUUCCCAACUAUAAAGACUGUUUUCUUAUCACUUUUGCUGCUUAUUUUUCAUAAAACUCUUUUUCUUUACUUCGUCUUAACAAUUGUAUAAAGAAGUUGCAAACUCUGUUAUUCCUUACUCAAGUGUGAGGGUUGGAAACAGGUAAUAAUUGCACUUUCCUUAUAAAAUAAAAAUUAAAAUUGAAAAUCAUACCUUUUUAACCAUUUUAGGUUUGUAAUAUCUAACCUUUCAAGAAAAUAUUAAUUGCACUUUCUUUUUUGUUCCAAAAGAAAUUCAUAUAUCUAAUGUCCAAAAAGUUUCUCCUUUAACCGCAAACAUUCAAAAAGAAAAUUUAGAAAAUAAAAAUUAAUGAAAUUAAUAUGAAACCUGAGGAGAAUUCUUCAAUCCAAGCUGCGGAUAAAAACCUUGAAUAUCUCGAAUCCCUCCAAGAUUCGCCACGGAAAUUGCUUGCUGAUACUCUUCCACCAUAGCCAUUGCUUUUGUAGUGACCUAAAAUUUGAGCGAAUACCUUUGCCAUUGUUUUAAUUCUUAACAAAUACGAAUUCAAUUUAAUAUUUACUCGUGAUCCGAUUGAAACAUGAGAAAUUUUUUUAAAAACACGAGAAUUUUGAAGCACGAAUUUUUUUAAAAACGAAAGUUUUUAAAACACGAUAAUUUUUUAAAAUACGAAAAUUUUAGAAAUACGAAAAUUUUUGAAACACGACAAUUUUUCAAAAGAUAAUUUUUUUUUAAAAUACGAAAAUUUGUGAAACACGAGAAUUGUUGAAAACACAAAAAUUUUUAAAAACACGACAAUUUUGAAAACAUGAAAAUUUUUGAAACACGGAAAUCUUUAGAAACAAGAAAUUUUUUUAAAACACGACAAUUUUUGGAACACGAGAUUUUUUUUUGAAUAUUUACAAUUUUUAAAAGGGCGUAUCGUGUUUAACAUAAACCGGUGAUGUCCACCCAACAUAGCGAUGAAUUUAACGAUUUAAUGUUAAAUCAAUUCGUUACCUUAUUUAUUAAAAUUAUUUAAAAUAAAAUUACAUUAAAUUAAAUUAAAAAAAUAAAUACAAAAAUAUAAAAAUACCAAUAAUAUUAAAGCGAAAUGUUACCCAAAAUACAUGCAUUAAAUUAAAAGCGGAAUAAAACGAAAUUAGCGAAAAAUAUCCAAAAACGCGAUUUUCGCCGAACGAGUUACGCAAAUUGAACCCCCUUUUUUUCCUCUCUUUUUCUUUUUUUUCUUUUUUUUCUGGACUGGGCUGGGCAGGUUGUUGGGCCUGCUGCUGGAACGGGCCCAGGGGCCUGCUAGGCCUGCUGUUGGGCCUGGCACUGGGUUGGCCUGCUUGAAGUGCUGUUGGGCCAGCACUUGGGCUGUUAUGGCCUGCUGGGCUUGCUAAUAAGUGGCCAGCUUCCUUUUUUUGCUUUUAUCUCUUUUUUUGGGCUGCUCUUUGGGCCGCUGGGCUGCUACUGUGGCCUGCUAAGCUGCUGAUGCUGUCGGGUCGGGUAACAGGUCAGAUGGGUCGAGUCGAGCCGGGUCGGCCAGACUAUUAAAAAAAAUAUUUUCUUUUUUCUUUUUCUUUUUCUUUUUCUUUUCCUCCUUUCUUCUUCCUCCUUUCUUCUUUCUUUCUUCUUUCUUUUUUCUUCUUUCUUUCUUCUUUGUUCAGCUCCCGAUGACGCUCCCCCCAGCCUGCUGCGGUGGUCGAUGGCGGCGCACGAUGAAGCUCUCCUCUUCUCCUCCUCUUUUCUGAAAAAAAGCUCUCUAUUUUCUUUAUUUUUUCUUGGAUUUUUUUCAUGUAGGGGUCCAAUUUUUGGAGUUUAAACCCCUUUUUAUAGUUGGUUUUGCUUCUUUUUUUGCAGGUAGCAGGUGGGGAAGGCCAUGCCCUAGGCCGGCGGCCGGAAAUUGUGGGGCAGGUGCAGGAAAUCCUCCGAAUUAUUGGGGAUUUUCUGACAGAAGGACCAAAGUGUAAAACAUGUAAAACUUCUGGGAUGAAAUGUAAUUUUGAAAAAAAUUUAGGGUCAAAAUUUAAUUUUAAGAACGUUUAGGGGUCAAAAUGAAAUUUCAAAAAAUUUUAAGGAUCACAAUGAAAUUUUAAAAAGUUUAGGCGUCAAAAUAUAAUUUUAAAAAUUUAAAGGGUCAAAAUAUAAAUUUUUAAAAAAACACGAAAUUGCUUGCAAAAAUUGGCACGAAUUUUACAUUUUAUUUUCUUACGAAAUUCAUAACAAAAAAAAAUCCAGCAAAUGAAAAUAAAUUAGAAUAUCACCAUUGCUUCUAAGUAGCGUAAUCUUUCUCUCGACAUUUCCUCUCUCGCCUGAAAAUCGAAAUCCAUCACGUUACUUGAAAAAAGAAGAAGAAGGAAUUACACAAGAAAAAAAUCAAAUUUUAAUAGAGAAUACGAGCUGGAGAUCGUAGUAGGCGGAUUUGGAGAUAAGAGAUCCAUCGGGAGAUAAGCAAUGGCGCUCUAGCUGAUCGAUUACUUGGAUGACGUCAGCCGGCAAGUUUUGCCCUCCUUUCACCAUGAAUUCAGUCUUGUUUUGGCUUCGAAACGAUGUUAAUGAGUUCUGUUUGUUUACUGGGAAAAUGAAAAGGAAACUAAACGAGAAAAAGGCCGGCCUUUGGAUUUUUGAAAACUUGAAUUGAAAUGGAAGCAAAGGUUAUCGAAGGCGUGAAAAUACAAAAUCAACCCUCUAUUUUCUCUUAUUGGAGAAAAAUAAAUUAAAACAUUUAUUUAUUGUUAAAAUCUGCUUUUACUCCUUGUAAUUUGAUCAAAUUUUAUAUUUAGUCCCUGUACUUUACAAAAGUUAAAAAAUUAGCUCCUCCUACAUUUUUAUUAUUUAAAAAUAACAGCCCAAUCGUUAAAAUUGCAUGUUUUUACCAAAGUCAAAUUGACAUCAUGACUAGGUUGCCCUCAUGUAAUGUAACAUAUGUUUGACGGAAAAUAAGUCAAGUUGACAAGUUUUAAUAUAAACUACCAAUAACGAUAAUGAUUGAACUAAAAUUUUUUUAAGUAAAAAAUGUAGGAGAAUUGAUUUUUUAACUUUUUAAGUAUAUGGAGUAAAUCUCAAAUUUUAUAAAAAUAUAGGGACUAAAAACAUAUUAUAACCUUUAUUUAUGUUUAAGUUAAUUAUUGUUCAUUUUCUUUUUACCUCAAAUAAAUUAUUUAUCUCAAAAUUUAUUUAAGUUUUUUUUUAAAUAUGUUAAGGAAAAAUAAGAUGAUAACUGCUAUAUAAAUUUAUCAUUUUAUUUUUAAAUAUAUAUAAUUAUUAAAAGAGUAAAAAUGUAAAAAUGCAUUAUAGAAAAACACUUAUAUUUUAUGUUUAGAAUUUAUUUUCAAUUAAAAUUAUGUUUAAAUAUUUAUUUGUCUUUAAAAAGAUUAGAAAUAAUUAAUAAAAAUCACAUUGAAGUGAGACGAGGAGAGACGAAAAUGAAUGUAUCUAAUAUCUAUGGGAGUUGUAGUACUUUUUAAAAGGUAAAAUGACUUAUUUGGCCAUCUAACUUUUAAAAAAAAUAAUUUUAGUCAUUUAUUUAAUUUUUUACUUCUUUCAAACUUUAAACUUGCUUUUGUUUAUCAAAUCACCCAAAAUAGAUAGAAAAAUUAACAUAUGUUAAUUUUGUUGACGUGACAUACACGUGAAAUGCCACAUAAAUGUCAAAUCAAUAAUUAAUUAAUUUUUAAAAAAUUAAAAAUUAAUAAACUUAUUAAAAAAUAUUUUUUUAAUGAUUUUAAUUUUAAAAAUUUGAAUAAUUAUUAAUGGAUAUACUAGAGGCAAAUCUAGGAGGAUUGGUGUCGGCAAAGAGCUUGGUGGCAACAAAAAAUUUUAAUGGAAAAAAAAUAGCCUAGUGCUGCCAAUGAGAAAACUGACGCUAAAAAAAAAAUCAAACUUUCUAACAAAAAAAUACACCGAUGUUGCCAAUGGUAAUGGCAACACAAAAAAAAUCUAUUUUUUUAAAACAUUAUUUUUUCUGAUGGGUGUCGCCAAGGAGAACGACAACACAAAAAAAACUUUUUACAAAAACUUUGAUACAUUAAAAAAAAAACACUAGUACCGCUAAUAACAACGACGACACUCAUUAAAAUAAUUUUUUCCUUUUUUUCUUUUUCUCCUGGAAUACCGAAUUUUUAUGGGGUGGACGAUUAUACAUACUGGUGCUGCUAAUGGCACGACGACACUCAAAAAUUAAUUUGGUAAAAAUUAAGAAUAACAUAUGACUAAUGGUACCAUUUUGUUAUCAAGCAUCAUGAGGGUAUUGAUAUAUUCCUCACGUGGAACAUUAAAGUCCGAACUCAAAUUUUGUUUUGUAGACUAAAAAUUAUCUUUUUAAUAAAUUUUAAUUUGAUUUAAAAUUUUAUUAAAAUGAUAUUUUUUACUUUUGGGGUGGCAAAUCACACCUAAAUAAAAAAUAUCGGUACCAUCUCUAUAUAUUUAAAAUUAAAUUAAAUUUUACUGUUUAAAAUUUAAAUAUUUCACAAUAAACUUGACAUAUCCAUAGACUGAUGUGAACAAAACUCGAUUCAAUUCAGAAAAAUUAAUUUUUUUAAUUUUGAGUUAAUCGAAUUGAGUUAUUAAUUAUUUGAGUCAACUCGAAUAAGUAAUUCGAGUUUCGAGUUCGAAUUGAUUUGAAUUUUACAAAUCGAAUAACUCUAAUAACUUGAAUAACAGAUUGAUGUACAUACCCUUUUAGUCCUUGUCAAGUUUGAAAAUAAACAAAUUGAUCUUUUUCAACAAAAAUUACAAAAAAUUCAAAAUAAAUUUUAAACUCAAAAUAUUUAUAAAAAUUCCAAAAUUUAUAUUUUUCAAAAAAUUAUAAAAUUUUCAAAAAAGUUUUUAAAAAAUUAUAAAGAAAGUUAAAAAUAAAAAAAUAAUUUAAAAUUUAAAAUAAUGUAUGUAACUAAAACAAUUAACUUAUUGUUAAAUUAUGCAUUAAAACACAAUACUUGUAUGGCAUAAAUAAUUACAAUUAGAUAGUCAUAAUUACUGAAUUAAUUUGGGCAUAGUACCUAAAGGCUCAUUCCUGAAUUUUUUUACGGAAAUGAGCUGCUUCUAGAAAUAAUUACGAUUGUGGACUGAAAAUUUAAAAACGCAUUGAUAUGGAAGCGUUUUUAGGGGAUAACCUAGAAAAACGCUUCCACGUUAGCGCUUUUGUCCUUGUAUCUGGCAAAAGCACGCUUACAUGGAUGUGCUUUUGCCCAUGCUCGAACUAAAUUUUCAGAAAAAGAUCAUUUUUUUAAAUAUUUCAAAAAUAGACCAAUUUUUUUAAAAAUUUACGAGAAUAAGUCUUUAUAAAGACCCAAAGUGACAGCACCAUUUCUUUUUUUUUUGUGCCACCAAUAUAUAUUGAAAUAAAACUUACAAAACAGAUAUUUAUAUAAACUCAAAGUAUCAUUUUCCACAUUGUAAAAUAUAAUUAGUUAUAUAAAAAUCUGUCUGUAAAUUUUAUUUUCACAUUAAUUGGUAGCACAAAAAAAAAAAAGAAAUUGUGCUGCCACUUUAGAUCUUUAUAAAUGCUUAUUCUUGUAAAUUUUAAAAAAUUGAUCUAUUUUUGUAAUAUUUUUAAAAAAUAUUUUUUUGAAAAUUUAAUCUGAGCAUGAGCAAAAAUGUGUCCACGACACAAGGGAAAAAACGCUGAUGUGAAAGCACUUUAUUCCUUAUAUAUUUAUAUAUUUGACACAAACAUAAUCCUAAUAACUACCCAAAUGUUGUAAAUUACUAAACUAUAAAUGUAUAAAAAUAUGAAAUAUUUUAAACAUGGGUACUAUAAGUUUCUACAUUAUGGCAUAUUUGGUGAAAAUUAAUUAUAUUUAUUAAAAAAAUGACUCUUAAAUUUAGGGCAAAUUACACAUAAAAGCCCUAUUUUUUUAAAAUUUACCGAAAUAGGCCUGAUAUUUUAUUAUUUAUUAGAAUGUGCCAUUUUCCCCGAAAUCGCGUCUACGUCAGCGUGAUGUUAGGGGACGUGUCAGAAAAUCGCGUCCUCGUAGGCGCGAUUUGUGUCCACGUAAGCAAAGGGCGCUGAUGUGGACGCGAUUUGCUGACACGUCCCCUAAAAUCGCGCUGACGUGGACGCGAUUUUGGGAAAAAUGGCCCAUUCCUGUAAAUAAUAAAAUACCGGGCCCAUUUCGGUAAAUUUUUAAAAAAUAGGGUUUUUUUAUAUUUUUCCCCUAAUAAUACAUAUUAAUGUAUUACUGUAAUAUGUAGCUCAAAUUAUGUAUUGUAGUUAAUAUUUAUAAUAUUGUAGCUCAAAUUGUCAAUUAAUGUAAUAUUGAAGAGUUAAUUGAUUAAAAAAAUAAAUGCAACAAGUACAAAAAAGAUUCAAAAUUAUUACCAACAAGAUUUGAACCAAGGUAUUAAGGGAAAAGAGCAAACAUCUUAACCAACUAAGCUAAAUUAAUUAAUUAACAUAUUAUAAAAAUACUGUUAUUAUCUUAAUUAUAUUACUUACAUUCUAAUGAUUUAUCGGACCUAUUCCAUACAUGUGUCAAAUCAGAAAAAAUAAUACAACAAUUCUGUAAAAAAAAUCCGGUGUAUACUUCAAAUAAAUAAGGAAAAUAAUGAUUUGAAUGUUUCAAAAUUCAAUUUUAAACCAAAAAAAUCAAAAUUUAGAGGUAAAAAAGGAUCUUUUUCGACGAAAACUGCGGCAAACAUGUAUGAUUGGUUAGUUUCAAAAUAAUGACUGAAUGAUUGGGGCAAAUGACCAAAAAAAGCCAUUUUUUUCAAAAAUUACCGAAAUGGGCCGAUUUUUUGAUUAUUUACCGGAAUGAGCCAUUUUUCGGGAAAUCGGGUCUACGUCAGUGCGAUGUCGGAGGGCAUGUCAGAGGGUCGCGUCCACGUCAGCAAGUCGCGCUGACGUGGACGCGACCCUCUCCGCGCGUGAACAGUGCCCAACGGUAAAAAAUUUGACCGUUGGCCCCCCCAACGGUAAAAAAAAGAGAGUAUAAAUACCCCCCACCCCUUUUAUUUUUUUCACAUCUCAAAUUCUCUCAAUUUCCUCUCUAAUCCUCUCAAUUUCAUUCCACAAUUCUCUCAAUUUCCUUCAAAAAUUCUUUCAAAUCCAUAUUUAAUUUCAAUUUCCCCUCAAUUUCAUUUUUUUAAAAUAAUUUUAAUUUUUUUCUAUUUCAUUAAAAUAAAUUUAAAUUUUUUUAUAUUUUCAUCAAUGGCCGGAUCAUUGAUUCGUCUUGAUAGGAAUCACAUAUCGGUGGAGCAAAUGAAAAUGGUAAGUAUUAAAUUUAAAUUCGCUAGUAUUAUUUAAGAAUUUUUUAUUUAUGUAUUUUUAGAUAAUUAUUAAUUUAUUAUUUGUUAUAAUAGUCUGAAGAUCGGGUAUUGGAAUGCAAUAUCCGGAAUAUGCGACCUAUAUCACCGUUAAUAGAGAACUACCUGCGGGAAGCGGGUUUUUGGCACGUGGCGAACAUAGGCCGGGGAUGCAAGUUGGACACGAAACUGAUCAGUGCGUUGAUCGAGAGGUGGAGACUCGAGACGUACACAUUUCAUCUUCCAUGUGGAGAGUGCACUAUCACUCUAGAAGAUGUGAGUCUGCAGUUGGGAUUGCUGGUGGACGGGCACCAGUCACCGGGUCUGCCCAAUUUAGCAAUUGGGAGGCGGUGUGCUAUGAGCUUUUAGGCACUAUUCCUGACAAAAAGGAUGGAGGUAAGGUCGAGAUGGGCUGGUUACGUGCCACCUUCCCCGAUCCGAAUGCAAAUUCAACCGAAAUUGAAAGAAUCCGAUAUGCUCGAGCAUACAUUCUUCAAAUAAUUGGAGGUUAUCUGAUGCCCGACAAGUCACGAAGCCGUGUACAUCUAAGGUGGCUGCUAAAACUAGUUGAUUUUAGAGCAGCCCGUGAAUUGAGUUGGGGGUCUGCCGUAUUGGAAACAUUAUAUCGGGAGAUGUGCGGGACGACAUGACCGAGGAGAGCAAACAUCAGAGGUUGCGUGUCACUACUGCAAUCAUGGGUACGGUUUCGCUUUCCAUUUCUACGUCCUCGAGUGAACCACCCAUAUACAUUCCCACUCGUAACGAGGUAAAUUUUAUAAUACAUUUUGGAAUUAUUAUGUAGAUUCUGUAAGAAUAAAAGAAUGCUAAAAAUUAAUUUAAUUAGGUGGAACCAUCCGUUAAGUUAUCGUGGAUUACCGUCUGAACUUGAAGAUAUACGGCUUCUCUUGGACCAACGGUCGGAAGCAGAAGUAAGUAUUAUUGCAAAUUGAUAUUUUCAUACAUUCGCUAGUCGAUUGAUAUUUAGUAUUUAGUAUUUAGUAUUAUGUAUAUAACUAAUAUUUCUAUCAUGUUCAUAUAGUUUCAAUGGAAACCAUAUGAGGAUCCGGCAAUUCGGGUAGUAAUACCGGAAGAGUUUUUACAAAAUCAGAACGCUUGGCACGUGAAAGUCGUGUUGGUAAACUACGCAACAGUGGAGCCGCACCAGACAGACAGUGUGCUAUGACAGUUUGGAUGUAGACAACCGAUUCCUGUGGACCCUGAGGUGUUUGACGAGCACAAUAAAAUUGACCUUCGGCUAUUAGGGACGGAUUGGCCUAGAUACUAGUCCGAGUUUACGGAAAUGUGGGAAAAUCAGCAUGAAUAUCUACCUACUCGGGAACCAAUCAUCGUUCCGGAAUUAGCGUGCGUUCCAGAAUACAUGCCAUGGUUUAGGAUCCAUGGCAAGCCGUAUUUACUAACGCCAGAGGAGAGGCAGCGACAAAUACGAGUCGAAAGGGAAAGGCGUGGGCCUCUAGAUCCAAGAGGAGAAGACCACGAAUGCGGCCCCUCAACGAGGCGCAGACAGUCACCCGGCUCAUCAUUAGCGGCCAUGCAAUCACCGUCCCCAAUGAAAGCACCGACCCAGUCACCUGACGCAACAAUUCAACAGAUGAUACCCACGCAACCGCCUUUCCCUAUGAUGCCAGGUGUGUUUCCUAGCCCUUAUAUGUACCCUAACCCUUACAUAUAUCCUUUUCCGAGUCCUAUGGCAGGUUGGAGCCAAAUGCCUGGUUCAGCUCCAUUUCCGAGUCCUAUGCCGAGCAGACCGCCGAUAUAUAGGCCAGUGGCGCAGGAGGGAUCGCAAGGGGGGCCGUCGGGGAGCUCUCCUUUUUACCAAUCGCCACAAACGUAUGGCUUUCAAACACCGUCGCCGUUCAUGAUGCAAACACCUCCACAUACACUAUUCUUUGAAGGUGGAUCAUCGUCCCAAGUCCGACAACCAGAUGCCGAACCGGAAGAAGCACAAUCACCACCAGAGGAAGAACAACCGCCACCGAAAGCUAGAGGAAGGAGGAACCCAGCGCGUAACCGUCGACGGCCGCCAUGUGAAACCGAAUCCCCCGUGCAUAGACAUUGAUUGCCGUAUUUUAAUUUAUUAUUUGAUGUAAUAAAAUAGAAGUUUAUUUGAUGUAAUACGCAUAGAAAUUUUUUCGAGUUAAUUUGAUAUUAUUUGACGUAAUAAUAUAAAAGUUUAUUUUAAUAUUAUUUGACAUAGUAAAAUAGAUGUUGUAUUUGAUGUAAUAAAAACCCUAACCCUAACCCUAACUUAAUUAAAAACCCUAACCCUAACUCUAACUAUAACUUAAGUAAAACCCUAACCCUAACUUAAUUAAAACCCUUAAAACCCUAACCCUAACCCUAACCCUAACUUAAUUAAAAACCUAACCCUAACUUAAUUAAAAACCUUAAAACUCUAACCCUAACUUAAUUAAAAAUACUAACCCUAACCCUAACCUUAACCCUAACCGAUAAUAGCUUAAAAACCUUAAAACCCUAACCUUAACUUAAUUAAAAACCCUAACCCUAACCUAAUUAAAAACCUUAAAACCCUAACCUUAACCCUAACCUAAUUAAAAACCCUAACUCUAACCCUAACCCUAAUUUAAUUAAAAACCCUAACCCUAACCCUAACCCUAACUUAAUUAAAAACCCUAACCCUAACCCUAACUUAAUUAAAAACCCUAACCCUAACCCUAACCUUAACUUAAUUAAAAACCCUAACCCUAACCCUAACUUAAUUAAAAACCCUAACCCUAACCCUAACCCUAACUUAAUUAAAAACCUUAACCCCAACUUAAUUAAAAACCUUAAAACCCUAACCCUAACCUUAACUUAAUUAAAAACCCUAACUCUAACCCUAACCCUAAUUUAAUUAAAAACCCUAACCCUAACUUAAUUAAAAACCCUAACCCUAACCCUAACCUUAACUUAAUUAAAAACCCAAACCCUAACUUAAUUAAAAACCAUAACCCUAACCUUAACCUUAACUUAAUUAAAAACCCUAACCCUAACCCUAACCUUAACUUAAUUAAAAACCUUAACCCUAACUUAAUUAAAAACCCUAACCCUAACCCUAACCCUAACUUAAUUAAAAACCCUAACCCUAACCCUAACCCUAACUUAAUUAAAAACCCUAACCCUAACUUAAUUAAAAACCUUAAAACCCUAACCCUAACCUUAACUUAAUUAAAAACCCUAAACCUUAAACCUAAUUUAAUUAAAAACUUUAACCCUAACCCUAAACCUAACCCUAACUUAAUUAAAAACCUUAAAACCCUAACCCUAACUUAAUUAAAAACCCUAACCUUAACUUAAUUAAAAACCCAAACCCUAACUUAAUUAAAAACCCUAACCCUAACCCUAACCUUAACUUAAUUAAAAACUCUAACCCUAACCCUAACCUUAACUUAAUUAAAACCCCAAACCCUAACUUAAUUAAAAACCCUAACCCUAACUUAAUUAAAAACUCUAACCCUAACCCUAACUUAAUUAAAAACCCUAACCCUAACCUUAACCCCAACUGGUAACAACUUAAAAACCUUAAAACCCUAACCUUAACACUAACUUAAUUAAAAACCCUAACCCAAACCCUAACCCUAACUUAAUUAAAAACCCUAACCCUAACUUAAUUAAAAACCCUAACCUUAACUUAAUUAAAAACCCUAACCCUAACCUAAACCCUAACCAUAACCUUAACUUAAUUAGAAACACUAACCCUAACCUAAUUUUACAUAAUGUUAUAUUUGGUAAAAUGUUUUGACUGGUACUAAUAAUUUACUGGCAUAUAUAAUUUUUUCAAAAAUUAUAUUUUUUUUGAUUAAUUCAAAAAUUACAUUCAACUAUUGCGAUUAAGGCAUGAUCGACUUGUAUGGCCUGGGUUCCUACACCAUCCGCACAACUUCUGUUGACUGGCUGUUUCUCGGAUAUCCAUAUUGCUCCGUAUUCUAGUGGAGCAAGGUCGACCCUUUAGUUUGUGACGCAAUUCUCUAUCCGGUAAUAGCUUAAAAGGAGCAAGAGAUACGGGCGGCCACUUACGUUCAUCUGGGACCGGUGGGAAAACAUUUUUCCAAACGUUUUACACGUUUUCCAAUUUGUACACUUCGUCAACGAAACUCAUAGGAUCUAGAUGGAGAUUCUGACAAGCUGCAAUAACAUGAGCGCAUGGAUAACGAAGUGCAUCAAACUUCCCACAGUCACAAGUCUUGUUUCGCAAGUGUACACGAUAUUGCCCGCCAACAACAUCUUGGUGCAGUCUGUCAAACUCAGUCACACGAAACUAUAAAUUGUCUCGAUCGUGACACACUGUGUGCAUGAUGUUUGCCCUCGCCUUCGCCUUGUUAAUUUCUUGAACUACCUUACUGCACCAUACAUGGCCACCCUGCAUCUGGCCUGCAUAAGUUGCUGCUCGCUUUGGAAAUAGCGCCGCCAAAUGGAAAUACAUCUCUCACACAACCACUGUUAUCGGUAGAUGACGCAUUCCUUUAAGAACAGAAUUUAUGCAUUCUGCCAGGUUCGACGUUAUAUGGCCAUAUCUUAGGCCUCCAUCGUAUGCUUGUGCCUACUGUUCGAAACGUAUGUUACAAAGGUAGUCCGCCCCUUCUUCGUUUUGGGAUCGUAAAAUUGCCAACAUCUUGUGAAAACGAUCUUUAUUUAUUUCAUACCCUGCCAAUAUAAGAUCAUAGUGAAUAUUUAAUACCACUUCUACUAAUAAAACUAAUUCAAAAUGACAAACUGAAUAAUACAGUUAUAGACUAAAUACCCAUGUUGGUCACUUGUCGUCGUUUCAUCUUAGAUGGAUAUUGCCUGUAGUAGUUCGAAGUAACGUAUCUUAGGCUAUAUCUAUGGUGUGUGCGUUGCCAUAAGCUUCCCUCUCGAUCAAAUGCAGCUAGUAUACUGACGCCCCGAUCUGAAAUAACACAGAUAUCAGGUUGGGGGCACACAUGCCUCCUUAACCUAGAGAGAAAGAAAUCACAGUCAUCAGACGACUCCCCCGGUGUUAUUGCAAAAGCAAUUGGAAGAAUUCUCCCACCGUCGUCCUGUGCCACUGUAACCAAUAGCCGAUGAGUAUACCUACCGAACAUGAAGGUACCGUCAAUUUGUACCAAUGGCUUGCAGUAUGGAAAUGCCUCUCGAAAUUACUUAAAGGUCCAAAAUAGCCGUUUGAACACUUGGCAUCCACGUAGCAAUCGGCCGUUGUAGUACGCAUGUUCCGUUUCAAGUUCUGUGAUGGCACCUGGGACGUAUCUCUCUACCACCUGACACCAGUGCCAUAUUUUAUUAUAUGAGGCGUCCCACCCACUAUGCAUCUUCUCCAACGCCUUUUGCUUAGCUAUCCAAGCCUUGCGGUAAGAGGGCGUGUACCCCAUUUGGCUACGGAUAUUGGCAAUUAUCAUCCGCACUGAAGUCUUAGGAUCUACUUUUAUCGUGGGCAGUAUCAAGCUAGCUAACAUGGCUGAAUCCAUUUUGGGAUGGUCUUGUGAAACACCUACAGAGGGACUACAUUAAUUAAUGCAACAUUGAAAAAUAAAAAUUAUUAUCCAGAUACAUUCAAUCCUGUACCUGCAGCAUAUGUAUGUGGACCUUUUUACUUUUUUAUGUCCGCACACCUCGCCUCGAACUUAUCAAAUUUUGAUUUAAUGACGUGGUAAUUAACGCCGUUUUUGAUGCUAUGCUGUUUCAAUGAACCGAUAAAACUAUCAUUAUUGGUAAACUGAUUACCAACUUCAAGUUCACUGAAAUCUACCCCCGAACUUGUACGAUCGCUCAACCAGUGUGGUAGAUAUAGAAACUCUAACACAUCAUCUGCUGACAGAUCGACAUUAUGCAUGUGGGCUGGAGGUGAGUAUGCUCUGAAUUGUGGAUUUUCUUCAUCAUCUGAACUCCUUUCAGCAUCUUCACCUUCUGUUGGAAUAGGCUCUGAUUAUGAAAAUAAUCCCACAUCUACACUAUCCGGCCGGGGCUCUCGAGGUGGAUCUAUAUCGGAUUCAUCUUCUAACUCAUAAUCAUCUGUAGCGUACGACGUCCCCUCACUGGGUAACCUGCUAACCGAGUGUCGGCCAAGGGUCAUGUAUACAUCUCGAACAUCGGACGAAAGUACAUCAGUUGGCGACGUAAAUUGUACAUAUAACUCAAUAUAAGUUGCUCCACUAGGAAGAUGUGUCUGCACCAUUGCCUCCAAGCUACGGGCACCUUUUAUGUCAAACGAGUCAUAUGUCAUCGGAUCAACACAAGAACAAAAUCGAUACGUGAUUGACAGAACUUUCAUUGGCAUCGUUCCGAAGAUUUUACGCCUAAUUCUUUUACGAAGUUCUGUCAAAUCUAUGUUCUGGUUAAAUGACAGUCGCACCGUAUUCUCCGAUAAAAAACACCAUUCUCGGUGUGGCAAACCUCACCAUCGUAGUAAAUAACAGCACUAAUACGUUCACUCAUUUUGAAACUCACACUUUCUUAGCCUCUCUAAAUUGUUUCUGCUAUGACUUAUGCUUUCUAAGAACAUUUUCUGCCUAAUUUAUAGCCUCAACCCAAACUUGCUAUUGUAGCAAAAUCGCGUCCACGGGGCCGCGGUUUCACAAUUUCUCCUCAAAUACCAUCCUGGUAGAAGCGAUUUUAUACUAUUUGCUCAGAAACGUCAAAAAAAAUCAUUUCAUACAUGACCUACUGUAGCAAAAUCGCGUCCACGGGGGCACAAUUUCACAAUUUCUCCUCGAAUUUCGUCCUGGUAUAAGCAAUUUUACACUAUUUGCUCAGAAACGUCAAAAAAAAUUAUUUCUUACAUGACCUACUGUAGCAACAUCGCGUCCACGGGGGCGCGAUUUCACAAUUUCUCCUGAAAUACCAUCCUGGUAGCAGCGAUUUUAUACUAUUUCACCAGAAACGUCAACUCGAAAUAAUUUAUUCUGGGACCUAUACAACCUAAAAAGCCUGAACCCUAAUCCCUAAAACCAAAAAAAACAAAUGUGAAAAAACAUUAGGGUCGCGUCCACGUCAGCGCGACCUGCUGACGUGGACGCGACCCUCUGACAUGUCCUCCGACAUCGUGCUGACGUAGACGCGAUUUCCCGAAAAAUGGCCCAUUCCGAUUAGGGGUGAGCAUUCGAUCGAAUCGAAUCGAAAAUUUUUGAGUUAAUCGAGUUUUCGAAUCUCAUUUUAUCAUCCUAACUUUAUUUGAAGUUUUUUCGAAUCGAGUCGAGUGAGAUGGAAUUCGAAUCGAAUCGAAUCGAAUAUAUUUGUUCGAGUUAAAUUUUAAAAAAUAAUUUUGGGUCCUUGUAACCAUUGUCACCCAUCGUAAUAAAAUUUGUCCACCUUAAUCAAAUUUUUUUAUUAACUUUCAUCACCUCAUAAUUUAUUUAUUAAUUUUUUUUAUACUGGUUAGCUUAUUUGUUUGCUUAGUUGUUUCAAUUAUCUUCGGAUUCUUGUCACUAUGUAUUUUGGAAUUAAAAAAUAUAUUAAAUAUAAAAAUAUGAUUUUUUAAUAAAAUUUAUUUUAAAAAUAAAAUUUGAAAUUGAUACCAAUAUAAAAUUUUAACACGAAUAUUUUAUGGCAUAAUUAAGAAUUCAAUUUUAAUAUAAAUAUUCAAUAUGACUAAACAAUUCAAUAAUAUAAAUAAUAUAAAAUGUGAAAUUUAAUUUAAUAAUAUAAAUAGUAUAUAUAAAUAAAAUUAUUACUAUUUAUGUUUAGUGAUUUUUUUUUGGAUAAUUUUGAUUUUUUAUUUGAGAGUAAAGGGUGAGAAGUAAAAGUUUAGGGGGAAAAUAAAAAGUUUUGGGGAAUAAAAGUUUGAAGGAAAGUAAAUAGGGGGAGUAAAAUUUUGGAGGGAAAAUAUUAAAAAAAUGGAGGGGGGAGGGUUUGGGGUAGAUGGGAGGUGGGAUGGGAAGAGAAUAAAAGUUUUAGGGGAAAAGUGGGAGGGUGUAAAAAUUUUGGGGGGAAAUAAAAGGUUUUGAAGGUGUUUGGGAGUAAAAUUUUAAAAAAAAUGAAUGGAAGAGUAAAAUUUUGGUGGGAAAUGGAUUUUGGGUAGAUUGGGGGGUUGGGAGGGGAGGGGAGGGGAGUAAAAGUUUUGGGGAGAAAGUGGGAAGGAGUAAAAGUUUUGAGGGAAAAGUAAAAAAGUUUGGGAGUUUAGGGUAAAACUGUAAAAUAUUAUAGUUUGAUAUUCGAAUUAUUCGAGUUAUUCAAAUUCGAAAACUCAACUCGAUUCGAACUCGAAAUUCGAAAAAAAUCGAGUUGAUUCGAUUAACUCGAUUAACUUGAAUAACUCGAUUCGUUUAACUCGAAAUUCGAAUUUUUUUUCGAUUUUUUCGAGUCGAAACGAAUUUUGCUCACCCCUAAUUCCGAUAAAUAAUCAAAAAAUUGGCCCAUUUUAGUAAAUUUUGAAAAAAUGGCUUUUUUGGUAAAUUGGCCGAAUGAUUGACGUUGUCAUGAAUGUUUGGUUAGUUUGAUGUAUGAUUGGUUGUAUGUAUAGCAUGUUUUGAAUGAAAGUAAAGCUUAUACAAGAUAUAUUCGUACAAGUGAUUUCCUAUGAAAUGUUAGAAAGAUUGCUAUACAUGCAGAAAACAAAAGUUGUAAAUGUACAUGAAAUUGUGAUUUGUUAAAUUAUACCACCUUGAAGUUAAAUUGAAAGUUGGAUCGAUGAUCUUACUCACUGAAUGUAUUUGAUAAUUUGAGGGCAUGUUGAACAUACCAAUAAAUUGUGAAAGUAUUGAAUUAUGACUAUGUAUGAAAUUGUAUAACAUUGAUUAGAAUUAGGUUUUUUCAACCUAUAAAUAGAUGUAGUAGAAACUCCUCUUGUAUUAUUCGAAUUCGACAUUAGUGAAUUUUUUUCUCCUCUGCCCGUGGUUUUUCUCCGAAAGGAUUUCUACAAAAAUCUGUGUUCUUUAUUUUUUUCAACAAUGUUUUUAUAUUGCCAUUAUCGAUGUUCAGUUUUUAACAUAUUCUAAUCAAUAUGAAUCGAUUUUAAUAGACAAAAAAACUAUCGAAACUAAACUUAAAUUACUUAGACUAAUCUAGAAUUGAAGCAGUACAUAUCAACCUAUAGUACCAAUAUAAUACCAGAGAGAAUCGUGAUAAGCUGGACAAUGCAUAUGUAAGCUGGACCAUGCAUAUAUAGUUUUCUAAGUAAAUUCCUAGAAUCCAUUAAAUAUAUACGCAAUACGCUCUGUCUCUUCCUUUCUCGGGAUCUCCAUGUACUGUGCUGACUUUUCCUUUUCCAUUCAGUUAUCUUAUACAACAUCAACGAAGGUUCUAUUUUAAAGAAUACCCUUCAUAAAAACUAAUAUUUUGGGUUGAUAGCUAUUCUUCCUUGAGUUCUCAUUUUUAUCAUUAUACUCAAUAUUUAUUAAUUUUUCCUUAAUGCAAUUUGCAUCAAGAAUUUGUUUAUUUUACCUCAAAGAGAUUAGACCCAACAUCUUAUCCGUACGGUGGGUAAAACAAGGACGACGCCAAGGGAACUGGUAGGGGUCAGGCCACCCUAAAACAAAAAAAAAAUCACUUUAAUCCCUUUAAGUUAAUAAAAUUAUUAGUAAACGAUUAAGUUGUAUUCAAAAAUUAUAAAAUAUUCAAACAAAUAAAAAUUUUAAAUAUAUAAAUUCGAAAAAAAUAACAUAAAAUACACUUGGAUUGUCAUUCAAGUUGUCAUACCUAAAAAUUUAAGGUUUUUAGUCAAUAUCUCCAUUCAAAAAAUUGUAAUAAUUUGACUUAAUUUGAAAGAAGGACUGAUUUAACUAAAAAAGAAUAAUGACCAAAUUGAUAAAAAAAUAAACAUUAAUGACUAACUUUGUUAUUAUCCAUAAAUAAUAAAUUAAUUUUAUCUUCAAUGGAAGUUUAAGGAUUAAGUUAAUGCUGAUCCAUAAAUAGCGGGUUCAACGCCAAUAGCUUAGCCUAUCAAACCAUUUACCUUAAUCUUGAGUAGUUAAACAAUGGGGAACGAAUAUUAAGAAGAUUUUAUAAGCACAUGAUUGAAAUCAAAGUACUUCAAACAAACAAUUUAUAUGGAUCCAUUUUCAUUGUUCAGCUCAACGACUUGCAGAAAAAUGUGGUUUGGAAACUUUGGGGUUGCAUUUAACGUAAUCAUCUUAGUUGAUGCUUAACCUCAGCAAAGAUGCAACUUUUUCUGCACCUUAUGCUAUAUUGGUUGGUAUGAGCUGAUUCCAUGAUGUUUAUAUUAUUUUAUGGAUAAGUUUUAAUUGAAUCAUUUGUAAAAAUUUGAUCUCUAAUUUUUUCAUUGAUAUGUAUGAUAUAUGUAACACCCCAAACUCGGCCUAGAAGUUUAAGCCAAAUCUAGACGAGCUACACUAACGUAGCAAAAUCGUACUUCUUGUCAGAGUUUUAACUUUGAAAAUCAAAAAAUCAUUUUAGUCAAUUUAGACGAUUUUGUAAUUUUGUUUUAGACUUGGCAGAUACUGACGAGAUUUGGAAACUUAGAACAUUUUGCAAUUGAUGGUUGGGAGGAGUUGGCAUCUCUAUCACGGUAUGGGUUUAGUUUAGUUGGACAUCGUUUCAUUUCCGUUUGGCGUUGUGCUCAACUGCAGUCUUUGGAAGCAGAGGAAGCCGAAUUGCAACCUGACAAGAUUUCACGUGUUGAAUCUUUGGAGAUAAUUUCUUGUGAUAGGCUCAAUAGACUGCCAAAAGUCUUACAUGAGCUCACAUUCCUUACAGUGAUGGAAAUUGAUAAUUGUCUAAGCUUGGUUUCUUUUGCAGAGAAUAACUUACCACCUAAUUUUAAAAAGCUGAGAAUUAGAAACUGUGAGAAUUUGGAGUAUUUGGUUGAUGAAAAAGAAGAUAAUAAGAGUAUGAGUAGUACCCUCUGUCUUCUUGAGGACUUGAAAAUCUUUGAGUGUCCAUCUCUAAUGUCUUUGUCAUCGAAGCGGCACAAAAAUAUUUGCAAUCAGCUUCAACUUCUCGAAAUUGACCAGUGCUCAAAGCUGAGUUGCUAAUUAAAAACACUAACCCUAACCCUAACCUUAACCCUAACCGGUAAUAGCUUAAAAACCUUAAAACCCUAACCUUAACUUAAUUAAAAACCCUAACCUUAACCCUAACUUAAUUAAAAACCCUAACCCUAACUUAAUUAAAACCCUAACCCUAACUUAAUUAAAAACUUUAAAACCCUAACCCUAACCCUAACUUAAUUAAAAACCCUAACUCUAACCCUAACCCUAACCUUAACCCUAACUUAAUUAAAAACCCUAACCCUAACUUAAUUAAAAACCCUAACCCUGACCCUAACUUAAUUAAAAACCCUAACCCUGACCCUAACCUUAACUUAAUUAAAAACCCUAACCCUAACCCUAACCCUAACUUAAUUAAAAACCCUAACCCUAACUUAAUUAAAAACCUUAAAACCCUAACCCUAACCUUAACUUAAUUAAAAACCCUAACUCUAAUCCUAACCCUAAUUUAAUUAAAAACCCUAACCCUAACCCUAACUUAAUUAAAAACCCUAACCCUAACCUUAACUUAAUUAAAAACCCUAACCCUAACUUAAUUAACAAACCUAACCCUAACCCUAACCCUAACUUAAUUAAAAACCCUAACCCUAACCCUAACCUUAACUUAAUUAAAAACCCAAACCCUAACUUAAUUAAAAACCCAAACCCUAACUUAAUUAAAAACCAUAACCCUAACUUAAUUAAAAACCCUAACCCUAACCCUAACCCUAACCGGUAACAGCUUAAAAACCUUAAAACUUUAACCUUAACCCUAACUUAAUUAAAAACCCUAACCCUAACCUUAACUUAAUUAAAAACCAUAACCCUAACUUAAUUAAAAACCCUAACCCUAACCUUAACUUAAUUAAAAACCCUAACCCUAACCUAAACCCUAAACCCUAACCAUAACCUUAACUUAAUUAAAAACCCUAACCCUAACCUAAUUUUACAUAAUGUUAUAUUUGGUAAAAUGUUUUGACUGGUACUAAUAAUUUACUGGCAUAUAUAAUUUUUUUCAAAAAUUACAUUUUUUUUGAUAAAUUCAAAAAUUACAUUCAACUAUUGCGAUUAAGGCAUGAUCGACUUGUAUGGCCUGGGUUCCUACACCAUCCGCACAACUUCUAUUGACUGGCUGUUUCUCGGAUAUCCAUAUUGUUCCGUAUUCUACUGGAGCAAGGUCAACCCUUUGGUUUGUGACGCAAUUCUCUAUCCAGUAACAGCUUAAAAGGAGCAAGAGAUACGGGCGGCCACUUACAUUCAUCUGGGACCAGUGGGAAAACAUUUUUCCAAACGUUGUACACGUUUUCCAAUUUGUACACUUCGUCAACGAAACUCAUAGGAUCUAGAUGGAGAUUCUGACAAGCUGCAAUAAUAUGAGCGCAUGGAUAACGAAGUGCAUCAAACUUCCCACAGUCACAAGUCCUGUUUCGCAAGUGUACACGAUAUUGCCCGCCAACAACACCUUGGUGCAGUCUGUCAAACUCCGUCACACGAAACUAGAAAUUGUCUCGAUUGUGACACACUGUGUGCAUGAUGUUUGCCCUCGCCUUCGCCUUGUUAAUUUCUUGAACUACCUUACUGCACCAUACAUGGCCACCCUGCAUCUGGCCUGCAUAAGUUGCUGCUCGCUUUGGAAAUAGCGCCCCCAAACGGAAAUACGUCUCUCACACAACCACUGUUAUCGGUAGAUGACGCAUUCCUUUAAGAACAGAAUUUAUGCAUUCUGCCAGGUUCGACGUUAUAUGGCCAUAUCUUAGGCCUCCGUCGUAUGCUUGUGCCUACUGUUCGAAACGUAUGUUACAAAGGUAGUCCGCCCCUUCUUCAUUUUGGGAUCGUAAAAUUGCCAACAUCUUGUGAAAACGAUCUUUAUUUAUUUCAUACCCUGCCAAUAUAAGAUCAUAGUGAAUAUUUAAUACCACUUCUACUAAUAAAACUAAUUCAAAAUGACUAACUGAAUAAUACAGUUAUAGACUAAAUACCCAUGUUGGUCACUUGUCGUCAUUCCAUCUUAGAUGGAUAUUGCCUGUAGUAGUUCGAAGCAAUGUGUCUUAGGCAAUAUCUAUGGUGUGUGCGCUGCCAUAAGCUUCCCUCUCAAUCAAAUGCAGCUAGUAUACUGGCGCCCCAAUCUGAAAUAACACAGAUAUCAGGUUGGGGGCACACAUGCCUCCUUAACCUAGAGAGAAAGAAAUCACAGUUAUCAGACGACUCCCCCGGUGUUAUUGCAAAAGCAAUUGGAAGAAUUCUCCCAUCGCCGUCUUGUGCCACUGUAACCAAUAGCCGAUGAGUAUACCUACCGAACAUGAAGGUACUGUCAAUUUGUACCAACGGCUUGCAGUAUGGAAAUGCCUCUCGAAAUUGCUUAAAGGUCCAAAAUAGUCGUUUGAACACUUGGCAUCCACGUAGCAAUCGGCCGUUGUAGUACGCAUGUUCCGUUUCAAGUUCUGUGAUGGCACCUGGGACGUAUCUCUCUACCACCUGACACCACUGCCAUAUUUCAUUAUAUGAGGCGUCCCACCCACUAUGCAUCUUCUCCAACGCCUUUUGCUUAGCUAUCCAAGCCUUACGGUAAGAGGGCGUGUACCCCAUUUGGCUAUGGAUAUUGGCAAUUAUCAUCCGCACUGAAGUCUUAGGAUCUGCUUUUAUCGUGGGCAGUAUCAAGCUAGCUAACAUGGCUGAAUCCAUUUUGGGAUGGUCUUGUGAAACACCUACAGAGGGACUACAUUAAUUAAUGCAACAUUGAAAAAUAAAAAUUAUUAUCCAGAUACAUUCAAUCCUGUACCUGCAGCACAUGUAUGUGGACCUUUGUACUUUUUUAUCUCCCACAACCCUGUCCUUUUCCUUAACGAGUCGACGAUUUUCCAGGAACAUGUGCCGUCUUGCACCGCACACCUCGCCUCGAACUUAUCAAAUUUUGAUUUAACGACAUGGUAAUUAACGCCGUUUUUGAUGCUAUGCUGUUUCAAAGAACCGAUAAAACUAUCAUUAUUGGUAAACUGAUUACCAACUUCAAGUUCACUAAAAUCUACCCCCGAACUUGUACGAUCGUACAACCGGUGUGGUAGAUCUAGAAACUCUAAUACAUCAUCUGCUGAUAGAUCGACAUUAUGCAUGUGGGCUGGAGGUGAGUAUGCUCUGAAUCGUGGAUUUUCUUCAUCAUCUGAACUCCUUUCAGCAUCUUCACCUUCUGUUGGAAUAGGCUCCGAUUAUGAAAAUAAUCCCACAUCUACACCAUUCGGCCCGGGCUCUCGAGGUGGAUCUAUAUCAGAUUCAUCUUCUAACCCAUAAUCAUCUGUAGCGUAUGACGUCCCCUCACUGGGUAACCCGCUAACCGAGUGUCGGCCAAGGGUCAUGUAUACAUCUCGAACAUCGGACGGAAGUACAUCAGUUGGCGACGUAAAUUGUACAUAUAACUCAAUAUAAGUUACUCCAUUAGGAAGAUGUGUCUGCACCAUUGCCUCCAAGCUACGGGCACCUUUUAUGUCGAACGAGUCAUAUGUCACCGGAUCAACACAAGAACAAAAUCGAUACGUGAUUGACAGAACUUUCAUUGGCGUCGUUCUGAAGAUUUUACGCCUAAUUCUUUUACGAAGUUCUGUCAAAUCUAUGUUCUGGUUAAAUGACAGUCGCACCGUAUUCUCUGAUAAAAAAACACCAUUCUCGGUGUGGCAAAUCUCACCAUCGUAGUAAAUAACAGCACUAAUACGUUCACUCAUUUUGAAACUCACACUUUCUUAGCCUCUCUAAAUUGUUUCUGCUAUGACUUAUGAUUUCUAAGAACAUUUUCUGCCUAAUUUAUAGCCUCAACCCAAACUUGCUAUUGUAGCAAAAUCGCGUCCACGGGGCCGCGGUUUCACAAUUUCUCCUCAAAUACCAUCCUGGUAGAAGUGAUUUUAUACUAUUUGCUCAGAAACGUCAAAAAAAAUCAUUUCAUACAUGACCUACUGUAGCAAAAUCGCGUCCACGGGGGCACAAUUUCACAAUUUCUCCUUAAAUUCCAUCCUGGUAUAAGCAAUUUUACACUAUUUGCUCAGAAACGUAAAAAAAAUUAUUUCUUACAUGACUUACUGUAGCAACAUCGCGUCCACGGGGGCGCGAUUUCACAAUUUCUCCUCAAAUACCAUCCUGGUAGCACCGAUUUUAUACUAUUUCACCAGAAACGUCAACUCGAAAUAAUUUAUUCUGGGACCUAUACAACCUUAAAAGGCCUGAACCCUAAACCCUAAAACUAAAAAAACCAAACGUGAAAAAACAUCAAGGUCGCGUCCACGUCAGCACGACCUGCUGACGUGGACGCGACCCUCUGACAUGUCCUCCGACAUCGUGCUGACGUAGACGCGAUUUCCUGAAAAAUGGCCCAUUCCGAUAAAUAAUCAAAAAAUCGGCCCAUUUUAGUAAAUUGGCCGAAUGAUUGACGUUGUCAUGAAUGUUUGGUUAGUUUGAUGUAUGAUUGGUUGUAUGUAUAACAUGUUUUGAAUGAAAGUAAAGCUUAUACAUGAUAUAUUCGUACAAGUGAUUUGCUAUGAAAUGUUAGAAAGAUUGCUAUACAUGCAGAAAACAAAAGUUGUAAAUGUACAUGAAAUUGUGAUUUGUUAAAUUAUACCACCUUGAAGGUAAAUUGAAAGUUGGAUCGAUGAUCUUACUCACUGAAUGUAUUUGAUAAUUUGAGGGCAUGUUGAACAUACCAAUAAAUUGUGAAAGUAUUGAAUUAUGACUAUGUAUGAAAUUGUAUAACAUUGAUUAGAAUUAGGUUUUUUCAACCUAUAAAUAGAUGUAGUAGAAACUCCUCUUAUAUUAUUCGAAUUCGACAUUAGUGAAUUUUUUUCUCCUCUGCCCGUGGUUUUUCUCCGAAAGGAUUUCCAUAAAAAUCUGUGUUCUUUAUUUUUUUCAACAAUGUUUUUAUAUUGUCAUUAUCGAUGUUUAGUUUUUAACAUAUUCUAAUCAAUAUGAAUCGAUUUUAAUAGACAAAAAAACUAUCGAAACUAAACUUAAAUUACUUAGACUAAUCUAGAAUUGAAGCAAUACAUAUCAACCCAUAGUACCAAUAUAAUACAAGAGAGAAUCGUGAUAAGCUGGACAAUGCAUAUGUAAGCUUGACCAUGCAUAUAUAGUUUUCUAAGUAAAUUCCUAGAAUCCAUUAAAUAUAUACGCAAUACGCUCUGUCUCUUCCUUUCUCGGGAUCUCCAUGUACUGUGCUGACUUUUCCUUUUCCAUUCAGUUAUCUUAUACAACAUCAACGAAGGUUCUAUUUUAAAGAAUACCCUUCAUAAAAACUAAUAUUUUGGGUUGAUAGCUAUUCUUCCUUGAGUUCUCAUUUUUAUCAUUAUACUCAAUAUUUAUUAAUUUUUCCAUAAUGCAAUUUGCAUCAAGAAUUUGUUUAUUUUACCUCAAAGAGAUUAGACCCAACAUCUUAUCCGUACGGUGGGUAAAACAAGGACGACGCCAAGGGAACUGGUAGGGGUCAGGCCACCCUAAAACAAAAAAAAUCACUUUAAUCCUUUUAAGUUAAUAAAAUUAUUAGUAAAUGAUUAAGUUGUAUUCAAAAAUUAUAAAAUAUUCAAACAAAUAAAAAUUUUAAAUAUAUAAAUUCGAAAAAAAUAGCAUAAAAUACACUUGGAUUGUUAUUCAAGUUGUCAUACCUAAAAAUUUAAGGUUUUUAGUCAAUAUCUCCAUUCAAAAAAUUGUAAUAAUUUGACUUAAUUUGAAAGAAGGACUGAUUUAACUAAAAAAUAAUAAUGACCAAAUUGAUAAAAAAAUAAACAUUAAUGACUAACUUUGUUAUUAUCCAUAAAUAAUAAAUUAAUUUUAUCUUCAAUGGAAGUUUAAGGAUUAAGUUAAUGCUGAUCCAUAAAUAGCGGGUUCAACGCCAAUAGCUUAGCCUAUCAAACCAUUUACCUUAAUCUUGAGUAGUUGAACAAUGGGGAACGAAUAUUAAGAAGAUUUUAUAAGCACAUGAUUGAAAUCAAAGUACUUCAAACAAACAAUUUAUAUGGAUCCAUUUUCAUUGUUCAGCUCAACGACUUGCAGAAAAAUGUGGUUUGGAAACUUUGGGGUUGCAUUUAACGUAAUCAUCUUAGUUGAUGCAAAACCUCAGCAAAGAUGCAACUUUUUCUGCACCUUGUGCUAUAUUGGUUGGUAUGAGCUGAUUCCAUGAUGUUUAUAUUAUUUUAUGGAUAAGUUUUAAUUGAAUCAUUUGUAAAAAUUUAAUCUCUAAUUUUUUCAUUGAUAUGUAUGAUAUAUGUAACACCCCAAACUCGGCCUAGAAGUUUAAGCCAAAUCUAGACGAGCUACACUAACAUAGCAAAAUCGUACUUCUUGUUAGAGUUUUAACUUUGAAAAUCAAAAAUUCAUUUUAGUCAAUUUAGACGAUUUUGUAAUUUUGUUUUAGACUUGGCAGAUACUGACGAGAUUUGGAAACUUAGAACAUUUUGCAAUUGAUGGUUGGGAGGAGUUGGCAUCUCUAUCACGGUAUGGGUUUAGUUUAGUUGGACAUCGUUUCAUUUCCGUUUGGCGUUGUGCUCAACUGCAGUCUUUGGAAGCAGAGGAAGCCGAAUUGCAACCUGACAAGAUUUCACGUGUUGAAUCUUUGGAGAUAAUUUCUUGUGAUAGGCUCAAUAGACUGCCAAAAGUCUUACAUGAGCUCACAUUCCUUACAGUGAUGGAAAUUGAUAAUUGUCUAAGCUUGGUUUCUUUUGCAGAGAAUAACUUACCACCUAAUUUUAAAAAGCUGAGAAUUAGAAACUUUGAGAAUUUGGAGUAUUUGGUUGAUGAAAAAGAAGAUAAUAAGAGUAUGAGUAGUACCCUCUGUCUUCUUGAGGACUUGAAAAUAUCUGAGUGUCCAUCUCUAAUGUCUUUGUCAUCGAAGCGGCACAAAAAUAUUUGCAAUCAGCUUCAACUUCUCGAAAUUGACCAGUGCUCAAAGCUGAGUUGCCUAUUUUCAAACACCAAGUUUCCCAUAACGCUUAAACAAUUUGACAAUUGGGGGAUGUCCAAUGUUGGAAUACAUAGCCGAGGAGUUUGAGGAAAGCGCUUGUCUUGAAUCUAUUAAUAUUGGAGAUUCUGGAAUUAAAUCUCUACCACGAGGACUAGACAAGCUCAUCCAUCUCCAGGAGAUUCGUUUGAAUUCGUGUUCAAAUUUGGUUUCUUUUGAAGAAAGUGGGUUGCCCAGCACCAGCUUCAGAGCUUUUGUCGUUGAUGGUUGUCAAAAUUUUGGAGCCCUUCCUAAGUGCAUGGCCAGCAUCACCUCCCUUCGACAAUUAAGUGUGCGCGACUGUUCGGCUGACAUAUCAUUUCCAUCGGAGGGAUUCCCUGCCAAUCUCACAUCACUUGCAAUCUCAAACGCACCCAAGAUUUAUAGGUCACUUGUGGAAUGGGGAUUAAAUAGACUCACCUCUCUUCAAAAAUUGACCAUCGGAGGUGGAGGAUGCUCAAACGUGGUGUCGUUCCCAGAAGAAGGGAUUGGAAUGAUGCUGCCUCCUUCUCUCACCCGUAUUAGUCUUUUCCAAUUUGAGAACCUGGAAUUCAUGUUCUCCGAGGGCUUUCAAGACCUCGCCUCUCUUAAAGUAUUGGACAUCGAUAAUUGUCCCAAGCUAACAUCUCUUCCAAAAAAAGUCGUGCUUCACUCCCUUGGAUAUUUAUCUCUUUCCAGUUGUCCGUUGCUACAAGAAGAGUGCUCAAGUGAUAAAGGACGAGAGUGGUCUAAGAUUUCCCACAUACCCCUUGUUGAAAUUGAUAAUAAAGCAGUCAUCCCGAGGGAAUCAGAUUGAAAGAUGAGUCGUAAAAUCUGUGAUUGGUUUCUUCAGAGUGAUGGGAGAGGUACAAAAAACCAUUUCAAACAAGUCUAACUUUCUUUACGAACAAGAUAAGAGUAGGAAUCAGUAUCAAUUUAUUGAUUAAUAUUUGCAGGGAUUGAAAGAGAAGUUGGGGUGGAAGUGAGGUUUCAGAAAGAUCCAAGUUUCAGAAAGAUCCUUUGAAGGAAAAGUAAAAAAGAUGUCACUUCUCUUGUUAAAAAUUUCAAAGAUGUUAUUGGCACACAAUUCAGGUGGAAUUUGUCAUUUAGUGUUUCAGAGGUUUGUAAACUUGUUUCUUGUUAAAAAUUUCAAUGACAAAAGUAUAAAUGUUGAUGAGAUGUUAUUGGCAUAUAGUUUAAUGGGUGGUGUUUCAGUAGUUUCAGAUGUUUGUAAACUUGUUUCUUGGCUUUGGGGUUUAAUGUUGGAGUAGCAUUAGAUCAUCGGUUUUUCUAGAAUGUGAGCUUUGUCUAUUGUUUAUUUUAUUCUUCUACUUUACUUUUCUUAUAUACAAUUUCACGUUCAACUUCAAUCUUAUAACAUUUUUUUUAAUUUUCAAUAUAUCUUUAGUUAUCUUCUAUUUUGGAAAAUUUAGGCAAAAAUGCCAUAAAGAAAACUAAUAUUUCGAAAGAAUGCACAUUUUGUUACAAAAUAUUUUUUUUCUUUUUCUCUGUCCAAAAUAUAUCAAUUUCUCCAAAUUUAGGAAAUAUCGACUUGAUUCCCUAACUUUUUUUUUAUUUCAACAUUUUUAUCUAAAUUUCUCCUAUUUUUCUAUUUCACUUUCUUGUUUUUUUUUUCUCUUUCAAUUUUAUUUCUUUCUUUUCUUCCUAUUCUUUCCUCUCUUUCCCAACCUUAACUGUCUCUAGCAUGCACUACAGCCGCACUACGACAUUUGUUCCUCUGUCCAAAUAAUGGCAUUGGUCAACUCUUUUCCUCAUUCUCUUUCAUUUCCAAAUAAUGGCGUUGGGGUUCUCCUCCGUCAAUCACCUUGCUCUUUUGUCAUCAUGUUGUCACUAAUCAGAGAAGCCACCAAAUGGUCCACAUUUCCUUUCUCUCUCCUACUUCUUUUGUCAUCACUGCUUGUUACGAUGUUGUCACUAAUCUUGAAGGCAAAUCAAUUCAACAAAAAGUGUAUUAUCACAUUCAAUUUCGACCUUUCUGAAGUCUUUUCCUCGUAUUAUGAAAACACCUUCCAACAUGGUAGAGCGGAUUUUUUUGAAUAUUGAAUAUAGAGCAUAUAUGAUAAUUGAUUAUCUUGCUAAUUGGUUAUCUUGCUUCGUUUUUCUAUAUAAAUUUAUUAUUUUACUUUUAUAUAUGUAUGAUAAUUGGUCUCUUUCUAACAUUUCAAAGUUUAAUAUUCCAGCAGAUAAGACAAUGUUGAGGUUUGGAAACUCAGAACAUUUUGAAAUUGAUGGUUGGGAGGAGUUGGCAUCUCUAUCACGGUAUGGGUUUAGUUUAGUUGAACAUCGUUUCAUUUCCUUUUGGCGAUGUCCUCAACUACAGUCUUUGGAAGCCGAGGAAGCCGAAUUGCAACCUGACAAGAUUUCAUGUGUUAAAUCUCUGCGGAUAUAUGACUUUGAAAGGCUCAAUAGACUGCCACAAGUCUUACAUGAGCUCAUAUUGCUUACAGUGAUGGAAAUUGAUAAUUGUCGAAGCUUGGUUUCUUUUGCUGAGAAUAACUUACCUCCUAAUUUAAAAAAGUUCAGAAUUAGAAACUGUGAGAAUUUGGAGUAUUUGGUUGAUGAAAAAGAAGAUAAUAAGUGUUUACACCAUUUUUUGUAAAACGGAGUCGACUUUAAUUUUGAAAAUAAAAACGAAUAUGGGAGUCACCACCAAUCUUUUUUAAUGAGGUGUGAUCGGGUCACCUCGAAAAGUUAUUAUUUUAAUAAACAAUUUGAUUUAUUAAAACAAUAAUUUCGGUCUACGGAAUUUAAAAAAAUGGGUUCGGGAGUCGGUUAUGUACGAGGAAGGAUUAGCACCCUCGUAACGCCUAAAAUUGGUACGUAGUUGAUUAAUUACUGUCUUAAUGUCGAAGAUUAAAAAUUUUGAAGAGUUUUUUUAAAAAAUAUAAUCCUUUGCUAAAAUACCGACAAUUUUCGAGAAAAGGAGUAUAUUUCACGUUAAUCGAGAGAGAAAAUUACAUCUCGUAAGUUAAGACAUAAUGUCUUGAAUUCCUGAUACGAGAAUAAAUACCAAAAAAUUAUUUAACUAUCUCGAGUUUAGAAAAGUGAUCGUGUCUCGUAAGUUAGAACACGAUCUUUUGCUAUUUCUCGAGAUCGUUUAAAAACCUUUGUUUGAAAAGAUUCGUGUAUUUAGAUUUAUUGCGAAAAUUGUAACCCCUAAGUUAGGGUACGACCUUCUUGAAUCUAAACUCGAAAUUUUACUUAUUCAAAAGUCAUAAUUUAUGCAUUGAAUAAAAUUAAUCUUACUUGAAUUAGUAAAAAUACAACACAUUGUUAAUAUGCGUAACAAAACAAUAAUAGAUACGACAAUGUAAGCAUGAAUAAUGCGAGUAACAACAAAAUAAUAAGUAAACAAAAUAAAAAGGACAAAGUGAUUACAUAUAAAAUAACAAGUAAAUAAAUAAGUAGAACUAAAACAUUUUUUAAAGUAAUAGUGUAUAUGAAUAAAUAAAUAAACACCAGGUAACAAUGAUAACAAUAAAUAAAAUAAGUAAAACUAUGUAAAAAUGAAGAUAUAUGUAUUUAUAUAUAAUUUUAAGUUAUGAAAAAAAAGUAUAUAUAGUUUUAAGUUAUAAAAAAUAUAUAUAUAAAUAUAGAUAGUUUUUAUAAAGUAAAAAAAUGUGUAUAUAUAUAAAUUAUAGAAUAUACAUAUAUAUUAUAAAAAUAUAUGUAUGCAUGUACAUAUUUUAAAAUUAUAAAAUAUAAAAGACGUAUGUAUAUAUAUAUACAGAUUAUAAAACAUGUGUAUGUGUAUAUUUAUAUUAGAAAAAUGUAUGUAUAUAUAUAAAAUUUGGAAUUAGAGGUAUAAAUGAGUAAAUAAUAAUAACAACAAUAUUAAUGAUAUAAUAUAAUAGUAAUAAUAAUAUUAACAUGAUCAAUUUAAUAAUAAAAUAACCUAAAUACCAAAUAGAUGACUAAAUUGAAACCAAACAAAACCUUAGGGCCGAAAUAAAAAAAUCUAGAACAAAGAAAAGGACUAAAUAGUGACGCGCGCGAAAGGAAGGGGACCAAAAGGAAAUUUAUCCAGGCCUCGAAAUCGGACAGCUUCGAUCGGGACCAAAUUGAAGAAGCGAUAAAUUUUUGGGGUAAAAUUAAAAAACUAAAAAUACUUUAUGGUAAAACCAUUAAAAGUGGAAGGACCUAUUGCGCAAAUAGACCCUUCACCACAAAAACACUCAGAUCCUGAGGGUAAAUGGGUCGGGUCACGGGUCAGAGACCAAAACGACGACGUUUUGGUCUCUGAACUUAAAUUCCAAAACGGCGUCGUUUCCUGCUUCUUAUUUAAACACCUUUUUUUUUUAAUUUCCCCCCUCACACUAAAAAAAAUCUGUAGAAACCUCUCAAAGCCUACCCCAUGCCCUCCGACGGUUGGGCUUCUCAUCGCCGCUCAUCCGUUCGUCGCCCCGCCACUAAACCGACGACCGACGAAGCGCGAUAACUGGCUCUUAAAGCCCUAUUUCUGGGCGAGUUACAAGGUCGGGCCUUUGAGCCCUAUAAGGACAGAGACAAAGGCCCUCGAACCCCUAUUCAAGUCUGGUCCCCACGACGGAGAACCGCCCUCUGACGGCGCGGUCACUAGGCGUCCGGUGAGCUUUUUUUCCCUCUUUUUUAUUCUUUUUUGAUAGUUUUUUUCCUUAAAAAAUAGACUUAAAAAGAGAAAAAAUGAUGAAAAAUAAAAAUAAUCAAUCGAACAAAAAACGAAGAAUAGCAACCUUUGUUUUCUUUUUAUUCCUGGUGUCCGUGAAAAAAAUACCAAAAGAAAUACAAGAAACAGUUCGGGCUUUUAUAGCCGAAUACAGAAAUAUUUUUUUGUUCUCUUCUCUGUUGUUUUCUUCUGUUUUCUUGUCCUUUUCCAUGUUGUUUUCUUUUUUAAUUUGCGUGUUUUCUUCUCAUUGCAGGUGGAACAGGUACGGAUGGGACGUGACGAACAGCGGCCAGCAAGGGUCAGAAGACGCGGCGCUAGGGUUUCAAACUUUCUGAAACCCUAGUUUGACCAAUGGGUCAGAGGGUUUUGGGCCAAUUAGAUUAUUGGGCCUUUUGGGGCCAUUCGGGUUUUGGCAUGUAAUGGACUGUUAUUUUUUUAAUAUUUGGGCCUGGGAAGAAAUUGGGCUUGUACAAUAAGAGUAUAAGUAGUACCCUCUGUCUUCUUGAGGACUUGUCUAUUUAUAAGUGUCUGUAUCUAAUGUCUUUGUCAUCGAAGGGGCACAAAAAUAUUUGCAAGCAGCUUCAACUUCUCCAAAUUACCGAAUGCUCAAAGUUGAGUUGCCUAUUUUCAAACACCAAGUUUCCCAUAACUCGUGGAUUUACUUGGUUUACUUGGUUUGGAAAAGGAUAUCUCAUUGUUAAUAAACUUAUCUUCUAUUUUGGAAAAAUUAGGCAAAAAGAUCGAAAAAAAAAUUAGGGAGUUAGGUCGAAAAUUUUCAAGUUUAAGGAGAUAUGUUGAUUUUGAACAGAAAAAUAGAAAAUGCGUCUUGAGAAAAGCGCUUUUUGCAAAACUCAUUUUCUUUUGACAAAUUAGUAUUUUUUUACAAUAUAUUUAUUAAAGAGAAAUUGAACUCGAACACUCAAUAAUAAAACUACUAAUAUUUGACAAUUUGGCUAAAAAAAAAGCUAAUAUGUCAAAAGAAUAAAAUUACCGAUAGGACCAAUGGAUAGUGUGAUAUAUCUCUAACUAGCUUCCAACCCAAUGAGCUUUCUAUAAUUUGCAAGGUAAAUAAAAACAAAUAUGUAAGCAAUGAAUGCUUAGUAAGCUCGUGUAAUCUUUAAUCAUAUUAGUUCAUCUAAAAUUGAAAUCUAUACAUAUCAAGAAUAAUCCAAUAUUAAUACCAUAAUACUCAUGAAGCUAUAUUCAUCAGCUCACGAGGUGAAUAAAUCCACAGUAUCACCUAAAUAUAUAAUCCCAAGUUUAGUAGGAUUUUAUAUAACUUUAACUCUUUAUAAUUUCUUUAUUUUCAUUUGCAUUUCUUUACUUUCCACGCUUAUUCCAUAUGUGUGACACACAAGUCAUAAACAUAUCAUUCAACCAUAGUCACAAGCUAAUGCAUUUAAUCAAAGUCUUUUUCGAAUUGAUCACAUGAUAAAUCAUUUCAUAAGAAAUUGCAUAAUCUAAACCUUACCACUUUUUAGUGAGCGCUAGCAUAUUUUUAUUUAGAUACUUUCCAAUUCAAUGCAUUAUAUAAAUAAUCAUAAUACCAUUCAACCAAUAGCUUGGCACUUGCCUAAGCAUCAAGCAAGAAUACUGGUUAGUGUACUUGCACACAUUAUAUAUAAACUCAUCAUACAUAAUUUUCUUGUAUCAACAUAUUAAAGAUAAUCAUACAUUUACAUGUCAUGAUACAUAUCAUUCUCUUGUCAUUUCUUCAUAGACAUAUAUCAUUCAUUUCAUUAUUUCAAUAUUUCAUGUACCAUCAUUUUCAUGAAUUUCGUACAUCCCAGUAAUAGUUCAUUUCAAAUUCAUGUUAUCUCACUUCAUAACUUUACCCGUUAUAUCAUUUAAAUAUCAAUGGUUACAUUUAUUUCAGAUCAAUACCAAUAAUAAUCUAUAAAUCUUUUAAUUCAAUCACAUAAGUCUUUUAUCGUUUCUUUCUGAAUCGAAGAACGACUUAUUGAUUUGAGUACAUCGUUCUUUGGUGCCAUAUUCCAACUAUGGUCUUGCACAUAUAAACACUGCCAUAGUCCGACCAUGGUCUUACAUUCAUAGUGCCAUAACCCAGUUAUGGUUUUAUCCAUCAAUUCAUCAUUUGCCACAAAAUGAUUGUACUCAAUCCCGCGUUCAAUCCAAAUUGAGUAUUAAAUUCGAUAUUAUAUUUCCAAUAAUAAUUCAAUUCCAUGUUUUCUAUUACCCUUAUUAUUUUCCCAUAUUUAUCUCGUUAAAUUUCUUGGAUAUUUGAUGGAUUUUCAGAUGUACACUUUUAGUGUACAAUUUCGGGUCCGUCAAUUCAUAUUCAUGUGGGCACAUUUUCAUUUCAGAGAGCACACUCUCGCGAACCUUAUCCUUACAAUGGGAUUACGAGUCCAGGCUAAAUCCCCUAUAAUAUAAACUCAUAGAGUGUUUUCGGGAUUACCAGUCCAGGCUAAAUCCCCUACAAUGACAAUUACUCUAAUGAGCUUGGAUCUGAAUUACCAGUCCAGGCUAAAUUCAAACCCUAAUUUGGAUUACCCGUCCGGGCUAAAUCCAUUUUCCACAUAUUCUUCGAAAGGGCUAUAUCAGGAUAGGAACACCCGUCCGGGCUAGAUCCUUUUUACCGUCAAUUCCUUUUCAGAGAUCCAUCGAAUUUUCCUUCCAUUCAACCGGGAUUUCUUUCCUUUUUUAUCAAAUAUAUCAAUGUUUCAUCAAUUAUCAUACAAUGAACAUUCAAAUCAUAUUCACAUAAAUAACAUACAUUUCAAGCAUUUAAGAAUAUAAUUCAAGUUACGCGAACCUACCGAGCUAAAUUGUAAAAAUACCAAAAUUUAAGAACAUUUUGGUAAUUUUCCAUUUUCCUCGAAUUUGUACCCAAUCUUGAUCUAAAUUAAUAUUUCUUUCAAUUUAUUAAUUUAAAUAAUAAAAAAAUUCAUUUCAUGCAACUUAGUCACUUUUUGACAUUUUUUACAAAUUUACCUUUAAAAUAUUACUUUUAUUCAAUUUAGUCCCUGAACCUAAAACAUGCAAAAUAAUCAUUUUUAAUGAAAACUCAUGCUAGUUGAAUAAUCAUAUAUUUUCCUCCUCCUCCUCUCCAUUCCACAUCCUUGAUGUAUGUAACAUGCUUAUAUGUAAUAUUAUCUAUAAUUUCACCAUUUAUUUAUAUAUUCAUUCAAAUAUGUCCAAAACUGUUUUAGUGUAAAAUGUUGAUAACUAAAUUUAUAACACUUUCCUUUCCUUUCUCUUCAAUAUUUUCCAUCACUUUCUCUUUUUUCCCUUUACUAACAAAACAAGAAUAUAGGACCUUAUAUAAUGAAACUCUACAUUGACAUUAAUUUCCCACUUUUUCAAAAAUAUAUUGAAAUCUUAAUGUUUUUACCUUGUGCUAUUGAUUUCAAUCUUUAACUUAAUUUUCUCUCUCCUCCAGCUUCUAUUUCUUUAAUCUAACUUGAUAUUCUAGCUCCCCAUAGUCUCCUUGUUAUCUUUCUCUCUUGAUGGCUAUGGAAAUUCUUUUGAUUUCUAGGUGAAAAUGGUAAUUUUUUGGUGGAAGGACCAAAUUGUAAAGAAAGCAAAACUUUCUUUCUUUCCCUCUUUUUCUCACGUUGAAUGUAUAGGAAGAUGAUAACUUCUCUUCAUUUUUCCUCCCUUUUAUAUUAAUCAUUUAAUAAUAAAAUAAUACUAAAAAUCUUAAUAAAAUAUUAAUUAAAUAACAUUUAUCUAAUUACUUAAUUAAAAAUAUCACCAACAUCAUAAUUACCUUCUAGAAUUCUCUCUCUCUAAUUGACUAUUUUGUCAUUUAUAGUCUUUUAAAAUUCCAUCCUUGAGUCAUCACUUAAUUUGGUAAAAUUGUAGUUUAGUCCCUCAAAAUUCUUUACCUUUUCAAUUUGGUCCUAAUCCAUCCAUUUUCCUUAGUUUCUAGAUUAAUCCACCCUUAAAAUAUUUUCACUAUUGGUCCUUCAACUUUUUCAUAUUUACACUUUAACCCCUCAAAUUUUGAGUAUUUACUAUUGGGCAACAAAACAUUUCUCACUUUUACAAUUUAAUCCUUUCUUGAAUUAAUAUGCCAUAAUAUACUUCCCAAUGUUAACAUAACUCAAAAUUACCCUUUUUUAUCACUUUAUUUCCUUAUUUUACUAUAUUAGGAAUAUUAUCUUACUUUCUUACUGUAGUAAUUUUCGGGGUAUUACAUUCGAGUUCGAAUUGAGUUGAAUUUUACAAUUCGAAUAACUCUAAUAAUUUGAAUAAGAGAUUGAUGUACAUACCUUUUUGGUCUCUGUCAAAUUUAAAAAUAAGCAAAUUGGUCUUUCUCAACAAAAAUUACAAAAAAUUCAAAAUAAUUUUCAAAAAUUCAAAAUAAUUUUCAAAAAUUCAAAAAUAAAUUUUAAAACUCAAAAUAUUUAUAAAAAUUCUAAAAUUUAUAUUUUUCAAAAAAAUAAAAAAAUUUCAAAAAAGUUUUAAAAAAUUAUAAAGAAAGUUAAAAAUUUUAAAAAAAAUUAAAUAAUAAUUUAAAAUUUAAAAUAAUGUAUAUAACUAAAACAAUUAAUUUAUUGUUAAAUUAUGCAUUAAAACACAAUACUUGUAUGGUGUAAAUAAUUACAAUUAGAUAGUCAUAAUUACUGAAUUAAUUUGGGUAUAGUACCAAUAAAGGCUCAUUUCUGAAUUUUUUUUACGGAAAUGUGCAGUUUUUACAAAUAAUUACGAGUAUGGUUUGAAAAUCUAAAAAUGCACUCACAUUGACGUGCUUUUAGGGGAUAACUUAGAAAAAACGCUUCCACGUCAGCGCUUUUUUUCUUGUAUCAGGCAAAAGCACGCUGACGUAGACACGCUUUUGCCCGUGCUUGGACUAAAUUUUCAAAAAAACGAUCACUUUUUAAAAUAUUUCAAAAAUAGACUAAUUUUUUUUGAAAAUUUAAAAGAUUAAGCCUUUAUAAAAACUCAAAGUGACAAUACUAUUUCUUUUUUUUUUUGUGCCACCAAUUUGUAUGGGAGUAAAACUUACAAAAUAUAUAUUUACUAUAAACCCAAAGUCUCAUUUUCUACAUUGUAAAAUAUAAUUAGUUACAUAAAGAUCUGUUCUGUAAAUUUUAUUUUCAUAUUAAUUGGUGGUACAAGAAAAGAAGAAGAAAAAAAUAGUACUCCCACUUUGGAUUUUAUAAAUGUUUAUUCUCAUAAAAUUUUAAAAAAUUGAUAUAUUUUUAUAAUAUUUAUAAAAUAACAUUUUUUAAAAAUUUAGUAUACAACACGUGGACGUAAGAAAAAAAAAGUUGAUGUGGAAGCGCUUUAUUCCUUAUAUAUUUUUAUAUUUGAUACAAACGGAAAGCAAAAAACAUUACCAACCGGCUAACCAAUGGAGCUUUGCCACGUUUACAGAAAAAUAACAUAUUACAAUGACAUUAAAUGUAUGUCCUGCGGGUGUGCAGGAAAGAUAAAUGGUUGUGUAGGCAUUGUUUAUUGAUUGGUAGCUGAUAAGAAAAUAUAGUAGAGUAUGCUCCAAUAAUAGAGUCAUUUAAUUUCAGAAAUCCAAAAACUGUGACCUGUUUUCCACUUUCUUGUGUUUUCCAUCUCAUUUCUCUCUAUUCGUUGACUUCAGCUCCAUUCCCUGUUAACCCCAAUUAUACACAAUCCAUCUCAUUUAAUUUCGGAAACUGCUUGCUGAUACUCUUCCACCAUAGCCAUUGCUUCACAGUAAAUUGCCUGCAAAAAUUGACACGAAUUUUACAUUUUAUUUUCCUACGAUAUUCAAAAAAAAAAAAACCAGUAAAUGAAAAUUAAAUUAGAAUAUCACCAUUGCUUCUAAGUAGCGUAAUCUUUCUCUCGACAUUUCCUCUCUCGCCUGAAAAUCGAAAUCCAUCACAUUACUUGAAAAAGGAAGAGGGAAUGACACAAGAAAAAAAAUCAAAUUUUAAUAGAGAAUACGAGCUGGAGAUCGUAGUAGGCGGAUUUGGAGAUAAGAGAUCCAUCGGGAGAUAAGCAAUGGCGCUCUAGCUGAUCGAUUACUUGGAUGACGUCAGCCGGCAAGUUUUGCCCCUCCUUUCACCAUGAAUUCAGUCUUGUUUUGGCUUCGAAACGAUGUUAAUGUGUUUUGUUUGUUUACUGGGAAAAUGAAAAGGAAACUAAACGAGAAAAAGGCCGGCCUUCGGAUUUUUGAAAACUGGAAUUGAAAUGGAAGCAAAGGUUAUCGAAGGAGUGAAAAUACAAAAUCAACUCUCUAAUUUUUUUAUCGGAGAAAAAUAAAUCAAAACAUUUAUUUAUGAUUAAAAUCUUCUUUUACUCCUUGUAAUUUGACAAAAUUUUAUAUUUAGUCCCUAUACUUUACAAAUUUAAAAAAUUAGCUCCUCCUACAUUUUUUAUUUAAAAAUAACAGCCCAAUCAUUAAAAUCGCAUGUAUUUACCAAAGUCAAAUUGACAUCAUGUUUAGGUUGCCCUCAUGUAUUGUAACAUAUGUUUGACGGAAAAUAAACAUGUCAAGUUGACAAGUUUUAAUAUAAACUACCAAUAACGAUAAUGAUUGAAAUAAAAUUUUAUAAAUUAAAAAUGUAGGAGAAUUGAUUUUUUAACUUUUUAACUAUAUGGACUAAAUCUCAAAAUUUAUAAAAAUAUAGAGACUAAUAAUAUAUUUAACAUUUAUUUAUGUUUAAGUUAAUUAUUGUUCAUUUUCUUUUUACCUCAAAUAAAUUAUUUAUCUCAAAUUUUAUUUAAGUUUUUUUUUAAAUAUGUUAAGGAAAAAUAAGAUGGUAACUGCUAUAUAAAUUUAUCAUUUUAUUCUUAUAUAUGUAUAAUUAUUAAAAGAGUAAAAAUGUAAAAAUACAUUAUAGAAAAACACUUACAUUUUAUGUUUAGAAUUUAUUUUCAAUUAAAAUUAUGUUUAAAUAUUUGUUUGUCUUUAAAAAGAUUAGAAAUAAUUAAUAAAAAUCACAUUAAAGUGAGACCAGGAGAGACGAAGAUGAAUGUAUCUAACAUCAAUGGGAGUUGUAGUACUUUUUAAAAGGUAAAAUGACUUAUUUGGCCUUUCAACUUAUCAAAACAAAAGUAAUUUUAGUCCUUCAUUUAAUUUUUUUUACUUUUUUUAACCUUUAAACUUGUGCUUUGUUUGUCAAAUCACCUAAAAUAGAUGUAAAAAUUAAUAUAUAUUAAUUUUGUUGACGUGACAUACACGUAAAAUGUCACAUAAAUGUUAAAUCAAUAAUUAAUUAAUUUUUAAAAUUCAAAAAUAUAUAAUAAAUUAUUUUAAAAAAAUAAAAAUUAUUAAACUUAUUAAAAAAUAUUUUUUUAAUAAUUUUAAUUUUAAAAAUUGGAAUAAUUGUUAAUGGACACGCCAGAGGCAAAUCUAGGGGGCUUGCAAGGCCCUGACCCCCAUAAAAUGGAAAAAUACUAUUUAGGCUCUUUAAAAUUUUGUAAAAUUUAAAUUAAUAAAUGUAAAAUUGUACUUUGGUCGGCCUAAAAUUAUAAAAAUUUGAUUUAAUCUUUUAGAUAUUAUAAAGAUAUAGACUAUAAAAAAUUAAAAAUUUCAGUCGCCCCCUAAAAAUUAUUCUGGCUUCACCCCUAGGACAUACAUAUGGAUUGCGAUAUCAGUAAAGUUAACAAACAUUAACUUUUUCAUGCAUUUCGAAGUGAUUUGACAAACAAUAAAAAUUUAAAAAUUAAAAAAGAUGAAAAAGAUGAAAAAAAUGACUAAAAUGAAACUUUUAUAAAAUUGAAAGAUGAAACAAAUUAUUAUACCAUUUCUUUUGUAAAACAGAGCACAAAUAUCUCAAUUUUUACAAAAAAUUAGACAUAUUUAAAAUAUGAGUGAAGCUCAGACUUAAACAUUCAAGGCUCAAACUUAGCUCAAUUUGACUCACUUUUAAGUUUAUAAUACUUUAUAUUAUAUUAUUUAAAUUAUAACACAUAAAAAUAUAUUAAAUAUAUAAUACUACUCUAAUGUAAAUAUUAAAAUAAUGUUAAGAUGUCUAUGUAAAAAAAAUUAAUAAAUAAAAUUAUAUAAAAUUAUAAAUAUUAAAUUAAUAUAAUAUAAAUAUUUUUAAAAAAUUUAAAAAUUAAUAUGGACGGACUUAAAAUGGAUUUUAAUUAGUAUUUUGUAAAUACAGACAAGCUUGAAUAAAAUUUUAGGUCCAUAUUUUCUGAUUUUCAACUUUACUCAAAAGUUUAGAUAAAUUAUUAAAUUACCCCACUUGUAAUUUUUGUAAAAACAUUUAUGAUUCGAAGCGAAUCCACACUUGACAGACGUGAGCUUGAGGGCAGCGAAGAAGACUACUCGGUCAAAGCGUUCAUCCUAAAUGAAUUGAAAAAGUACUUUUGAUUAAUUGUUUAAUACUUUAGAUAUCACAACUAAGACCUUGUUUUGAAAAAAUUUUAAAACUCUAGUUUUUCCCUAAUUUUAUUUUCACCUGUGUUUUCUAAACUCGUUUUUUUUUCCAAAAAUGUACUCAUGAGUCUUCAAAAAAAAUAGUAUGUCUUCAACGGGUUUAUCAAACAUGAUUUCUUUUGAACCGUAAUGUUCAGGCCGGGUUUGGGGUAUUACAAAUCACUUAGUCCUCGAAUUUUCUUGGGUUCAAUCCUUAGAAUACUCGAGUGUUCCAUUAUAACACUAAAAAUAUUACAACUCGUGUAACAGUCCGAUUUUUGGUGAUGUCAGAGAUAGUGGUUCGGGCCACUAAAUUCAACGAGUAAGUUCGUAAAUAUUAUUAUUUAAUAUUUACAAGUUAAAUGUGUUUAUUAAAAAAAAGUACAUUCUCGGGACUCCGUUCCCGUAGAACAGACUCAUAAAUCUUUUUAAUAAAUAUUUACGGAGCUAGUUGUGUAGUUAAUUAGGUUUCGAUUAAGUAAAUUUGCUUGAAUUAAAAGUAAUUAGAUAAAAAGACUAAAUUGAAUUGAUUGUAAAAGUUUAAUUAUGAAAUAAAUAAAUAAAAGGGACUAAAUUAGCAAAUAAACAAAAAGUGACACUUGUGUGGUUAUAAUAAAAUACAUGUGUAAUAAAUAUAUACAUACGUUUGUAACAAUAUGUAUAAUUUACUUAUUAUUUAAGUAUAAGAUAUUUUAGAUUAAAAUAUUAUUAUAUUAUAUUAUUAUUAUAAACAAAAGAAAGAAAAGAAAUAAGAAAGAAACAGAAAGCUUAAAACGAAACAGUGAAGGAAAGAAGGAAAGAAAAGAAAAGAAAGAAAGAAAAGGGAAAAUUGUGGUUUUGAAGUUUGUCAAAUUAGUCUAUUUUCUUGUAAUUUUGAUAUUUUUGAAAUCCUAGAACAAAAUACUACUUGGUUUAAGUUGAAAAUUUGAAAGUUAGUAAAUUUUUAGAUGUUGUUCAUGUUGAAUUAAUUGAUGAAUUAGGGAUUAAAUUGAUUGAAUUUCAAGUUAGAAAUUAGUAAAGGGUUGAUUUGUAAAAUAAAACAUGAGUUAAUUGAACUAAAAUUGACAAGUGCAAAUGAGUUAAAUUAGCACCCUUUUUGUGUGAAGUGAGUGAAUCGCUUCUUAAACAAUAAUGCUAUCAUCAACUAUAUGUCUACCCGUGAGAAUGCUGUACUAGAAGGGGAAAAUGAGUUUUUAAAGGAAGGGAUGAAGGUGAUUGACCGUUAUUUUAGUAAUGAUCUUAUAAGUGAUUAAUUCGAGAUACGAGAAUUGCGGAGAAGACCGUUUAGUAUAAAGCCAUGAAAUAACUUAAUCCACGUAUUACAAAACACAUGUAACAACUUAGUUAAGGGUAUAUUUUUAUAAAUAUAAAAAAGAUUAAUUAAAAAAAAUUAAAUUUAUGUCUAAAUAUAUUAUUUUUAAACCAAUUUUUCCAACAUAAGAAAAUGCAACUAUGAUAAUCUUAUGGAUAUAUGUUAUUUUAUAGUUUCUUGUAAAUCAUUAUCUGAAUGCGUCCCCACUGAGUACAGCAAUAAUCAAAAACAAAAGUUGAUACUCAUAUGUGUGGUAUCUUUUACAUUCAGACUAUGAAAAAUCGAAUCCUUUUUGGCUAAUUGAAUCCUAAUCAUGGUUGAAACCAAGAAUCUAUUGGAUUUAUAUUCCAAUAUGCUUCGUUUUAAUGUGCAUACCAGAGGCGAAUCUAGGUGUGCUUGUAGGCCUUACCCCAUUAAAAUAAAAAAUUAUUAUUUAGGUUCUUUAAAAUUUUUUAAAUUUUAAAUUAAUAAAGAUAAAAUUUUACUUUGGCCGUCUUAAAAUUAUAAAAAUUUAAUUUAAUCCUUUAGAAAUUAUAAAGAUAUAAACUAUAAAAAAUUAAAAUUUCAUUCGCCCCCUAAAAAAUAUUUACGAAGCUAGUUGUGUAGUUAAUUAGGUUUCGAUUAAGUAAAUUUGCUUGAAUUAAAAGUAAUUAGAUAAAAAGACUAAAUUGAAUUGAUUGUGAACGUUUAAUUAUGAAAUAAAUAAAUAAAAGGGACUAAAUUAGCAAAUAAACAAAAAAAUGUGACACUUGUGUGGUUAUAAUAAAAUACAUGUGUAAUAAAUAUAUACAUACAUUUGUAAUAAUAUGUAUAAUUUACUUAUUAUUUAAGUAUAAGAUAUUUUAGAUUAAAAUAUUAUUAUAUUAUAUUAUUAUUAUAAACAAAAGAAAGAAAAGAAAUAAGAAAGAAACAGAAAGCUUAAAACGAAACAGUGAAGGAAAGAAGGAAAGAAAGAAAAGGGAAAAUUGUGGUUUUGAAGUUCCGUCAAAUUAGGGUGGGUUUGGAUGGGCGAUUGGGUGCGAUGCGGUGCAUUUAGCUUACUUUUUGUCUCACGCUACAGUAUCACUACAGUAUCUAAUCUCACCGCCACCGCUAUUUUUACACUAACCGCAGAUAAACGCACCGCCCAUCCAAACUCAAGGUUAGUCCAUAUUCUUGUAAUUUUGAUAUUUUUGAAAUCCUAAAAUAAAAUACUACUUGGUUUAAGUUGAAAUUUUGAAAGUUAGUAAAUUUUUAGAUGUUGUUCAUGUUGAAUUAAUUGAUGAAUUAGGGAUUAAAUUGAUUGAAUUUUAAGUUAGAAGUUAGUAAAGGGUUGAUUUGUAAAAUAAAACAUGAGUUGAUUAAACUAAAAUUUACAAGUGCAAAUGUGUUAAAUUAGCACCCUUUUUGUGUGAAGUGAGUGAAUCGCUUCUUAAACAAUAAUGCCAUCAUCAACUAUAUGUCUACCCGUGAGAAAGCUAUACUGGAAGGGGAAAAUGAGUUUUUAAAGGAAGGGAUGAAGGUGAUUGACCGUUAUUUUAGUAAUGAUCUUAUAGGUGAUUAAUUCGAGAUACAAGAAUAGCGGAGAAGACCGUUUAGUAUAAAGCCAUGAAAUAACUUAAAUCCAUGUAUUACAAAACACAUAUAAUAACUUAGUUAAGGUUUUAUUUUUAUAAAUAUAAAAAAUUAAAUUUAUGUGUAAAUAUAUUAUUUUUAGACCAAUUUUUCCAACAAGUUAAAUGAAUCAUUUCCAAUUGAAACCGAGAAUGAAACACCCCAAUAAGAAAAUGCAACUAUGAUAAUCUUAUGGAUAUAUGUUAUUUUAUAGUUUCUUGUAAAUUAAAAUUUCAUUUGCCCCUAAAAAAUUAUUCUGGCUUCACCCCUGAGACAAACAUGAAUUGGCACAUCAGUAAAGUUAACAAACAUUAACAUUUUCAUCUAUUUUAAAGUGAUUUGACAAACAAUAAAAAUUUAAAGAUGAAAAAAUGAAAAAAAAUGACUAAAAUGGAAUUUUUAUAAAAUUGAAAGAUGAAACAAAUUAUUAUACCAUUUAUUUUGUAAAACAGUGAUGACAACCCCUCUCAAUUGCCAUCCUUGGUGUUAGCAACCCCAAAAUGGUAGGUAAUGUUGAUAUAAAUAUACAAUUAUUAAUUGUUCCAAGUGCAGAAAACCACAAUAAUAACUUUAUGAGAAACAAAAUUAAGAAAAUAAAUGAAAAUGUUUGAGCAAAAAUAUCUCAAUUUUUACAAAAAACUAAACAUGUUUAAAAUAUGAGUGAAGCUCAGACUUAAACAUUCAAGUCUCAAACUUAGUUCAAUUCGACUCAUUUUUAAGUUUAUAAUACUUUAUAUUAUAUUAUGUAAAUUAUAAUACAUAAAAAAUAUAUUAAAUAUAUAAUACUACUCUAAUGUAAACAUUAAAAUAAUGUUAAGAUGUCUAUGUAAAAAAAAUUAAUAAAUAAAAUUAUAUAAAAUUAUAAAUAUUAAAUUAAUAUAAUAUAAAUAUUUUUAAAAAAAUUAAAAAUUAAUAUGGACGGACUUAAAAUGAGUUUUAGUUAGUAUUUUGUAAAUACAGACAAGCUUGAAUAAAAUUUUAAGUCCAUAUUUUUUUAUUUUCAACUUUACUCAAAAGUUUAGAUAAAUUAUUAAAUUACCCCACUUGUAAUUUUUGUAAAAAAGUUUCUGAUUCGAAGCGAGCCCACACUCGGCAGACGUGAGCUUGAGGGCAGCGAAGAAGACUACUCGAUCAAAGCAUUCAUCCUAAAUGAAUUGAAAAUGUAUAAUUUUGAUUAAUUGUUUAAUACUUUAGAUAUCACAACCAAGAUCUUAUUUUGAAAAAAAAUUAAAACUCUGGUUUUUCCCUAAUUUUAUUUCUCCUAUGUUUUCUAAACUCGUUUUUUCCAACAACGUACUCAUGAGUCUUCAAAAAAAAAUAGUACGUCUUCAACGGGUUAAUCAAACAUGAUUUCGUUUGAGUUUAAGAGGUUUGCCAAAAUGAAGUAAUAUUGUUUUCAUAUACAGUGUAACCUCCACAAUCUAACCUUAACGUUUAGGCUAGGUUUGGGGCAUUACAAAUCACUUAGUCCUCAAUCUUUUUUGGGUUCAAUCCUUAGAGUACUCGAGUGUUCCAUUAUAACACUAAAAAUAUUACAACUCGACUUGUCACACUUGCAGUACACUGCUAGAUUAUUGAUUGGUUUGCGUUGAUUAUUAUCCCCAAUGUGCACUGUCAAGUUGUUGGCGCUGUUGUCAGGGAGUUUAUGUGUGAUUGAGUGAUUUGCUUGAUUAAUGCUUGUUUACUAGGGAGAUAACUAGCAAAACUUAAUUCUAUAGAUAUGACACUUGUUUUUCUUUCAAUUGCUCAUUUAUUUUCUUAGUUAAGUAUUCUUGAAAUUGAAAACUUAUAGAAUAAUCUUGACAUCACCCUUUCACAAUGGAGAGCUAUUUUUGGACUAAUCUUUCUUCUCAUUUAUUCUGGCUUCACGGUGUUAUUGAAUCUCAUACCUACUCUCUGCCGAUCUUGAAAUGUACACAUCCAUCGUCACCUUCUACAACUGCUUCAUCGAAAAGAAUGUACACCAAAAUCAUUAUGUUAUUCAUCUUCAAAACAAUUUUUGUUUUUUCUUCUACUAAACACAAAUAUUUCACAAAUAUUUAAGUUGAACAGUUACAACAAUGUUAAAAAAAUAGUAUAUUUAAGGAUUGGUGCUACCAAAAAGCUUGGUGGCAACAAAAAAAUUUUAAUGGAAAAGAAAAUAGCCUUGUGCCGCCAACGAGGAAAAUGACACAAAAAAUUAAACUUUCUAACAAAAAAUGUAAUGGCCCAAAUUCAAGGUUAUCGGAAUAGUGGUUUCGUAACCACAAAUCCGAUUUAAAGAGAAAUUUAUUUUAAUAUUUUUCCAUGAAUAUUGGAAUGAUAGGAAAAUAGUAUAAAAAUAUCGAUAGAAAAAUUUUAUCGAUUUAGUGAUUAGUUAGAAAAAGAAAUUAGUGAAGAAAUUGGGUAAAAAUAAGGUAUAGAGACCUCAAUCUCGUAAAACCGAGUCAAAAAUAUUUUUAUAAAUAUUUAUGAACUGUUAAUAAUAUGGUAUUAAAAUUUCGUUCGAAAAUUUUGAUGUUUGGGUAGUCAAUUAAGUGAAAAGGACUAAUUUGAAAAAGGUAUAAAAGUUACUAAAAGGAUUAAAUAGCUCAAUUGUUAAAUGAGGAGGGACAUAAAUUGAAAAUAACCCCAAAAGGAUUCAGGAGAAUUGAAGAAUUAAGGGUAAAAUUGGAAUAUUGCAAAAUUUGCUUUAAAAGAUAGGACUAAAAUGGAAUUAUCUAGAUUUCUCUUCAUUUUUCUGCAUUCCCAUCAGCCAAAAACGUCCUAAGGGUUUCUCCAAGCUGGUUUUUCAUAAUUUUUGCACCAAGUGAGUUAAUCCUUGCCCUUUUCUUGUAAUUUUUGUGUUUCUAAGACUUUUACAACUAGGUCCUAUUACUAAAUUCAUUAGUUUUCGAUUUUGUGGAUGAAGUUGAAAGUUGCUAUGAAUAUGUGCUGGAAUUUUAUGAUGAUAUAGGAUGAAAUUGAAGCUUUAAUCUAUUUAUGAGAUGAUUUUAUUAGGUACUUUCAAUAGAAAUUGAUUUGUAGGACCUAAUUGUGAAAAAGUUUGGAAUUAAAGUCUAGUACUGAAAUUCUGAUUUCCAAAGCUUAUGAAGUAGUUUAAAGUGAUGGGAUAAAGUGUUAAUUGAGAAAAAUCAGCUCAAUUGAUAGGUUAAUUGAGCAGGGAUGAAAUUAGCAUUUAUUGAAAGUUUAGGGAAAAAUGGUAAUUAACAUUAUACACUAAAACAGAUUUGGACAGCAGCAGUAGGUUAACUUUGAAAAAUCACCAAAAAUUGUAGAAAUCGAAUUAGAGGAUGAAUAAAAUAUGAAAUUAAAUCUUAUUGAGUCUAAUUUCUCAUAGAAGAAACGGUUUAAUCAAUGGAAUUGUAAAUCAUGAGAUAUAAUGGAUUUUGUGAGACAAAGUCAGAAGGAAUUCUGGUUCCCCUGUUCUGACUUUGGAAAAUCAUUAAAAAUUGUAGAAAAAUGAUUAUGAGUUGUAAUUUAUAUGUUUAGAAUCCUUAAUGAGUUUAUUUUCAUAAGCAAUAAACGGAAACAUCAUCCAAAUUCUGUAGAAUGAGAUAAUUAAUUUUUAGUGAAGAGGGGUCGGAACUGUCAAACAAUGAAACAGGGGAAUUUUAAAGAAUAAACUGUACUUGUUGGCCAAACCAAAAAUUCUGAAAAUUUUAUGGUAAUAAGAUAUGUGAGUCUAGUUUCAGGUAAAAUUAACGGAUCUUAAUUUUGAGUUCCGUAGCUCAAGAUAUAAAUAUUUUAGUGACUGUGACUCAGUGAGACAGCUUUGAAUGCAUUAUAAAUUAUAAUGGAAUUAUAGAGAAUGUUACAUAUGAACAUGAAAUGUAUUAUAUUAAUGAUUAAAUUUAUUUAUUUAGAUCCAGAAAGUUCAAAUACGAAGCUAGAUCGAGGUAAAGAAAAAGUUCGGGAUUAGUAGAUUUUUGUUUACAAACAAGUGUCGAGGUAAGUUCUUGUAACUUGAAUUAUAUUCAUAAAUGCUUGAAAUGUUUGUUAUUGAUGUGAAUAUGAUUUGGAUGUUUAUUGUAUUAUAAUUGAUGAAGUAUUGAUAUUCUUGAUGAAAAGAGGAAAUAAAUCCCGGUUGAAUGGAAGGAAAAUUCGAUGGAUCUCUGAAAAUGAAUUGACGGUAAAAAGGAUCUAGCUCGGACGGGUGAUCCUCUCCUGAUAUAGCCCUCCCGAAGAAUAUGUGGAAAAUGGAUUUAGCCCGGACGGGUAAUCCGAAUUAGGGUCUGAAUUUAGCCUGGACUGGUAAUUCAGAUCCAAGCUCAUUAGAGUAAUUGUCGUUGUAGGGGAUUUAGCCUGGACUAGUAAUCCCGCUGUAAGGAUGAGGUUCGCGGGAGUGUGCUCUCUGAAAUGGAAAUGUGCGCACAUGAAUAUGAAUUGACGGACCCGGAUUUGUACACUAAAGUGUACCUCUGAAAAUCCAUCGAAAUUCCAAGUAGUUCAACGGGAUAAAUAUGGAAAAUAACAAGGGAAUGGAAAUCAUGGAAUUGAUGAGCUCAUCAAUCAUGGUAUAAAUUAUUGAUACAUGGAAAUUAUUGGACUAAUUUGAAUGUUGAGUUUGUGCAUGAUAGGGGAAUAAUGUAUUGAAUGAAUGUAUGAAUGUUUAUUGUAUUGUAUUGAAAAUAUUAGGUAAGUAUAAUUCUUGUUACAUGAGCUUACUAAGCACAAAGUGCUUACCCUGUUUCCUUUUCCCCUGUUUUGUAGUGUUAAGAGCUCGGAGGUCGGAUUUGGUCGGAGACGCAUCACACUAUUAACCUCAAGAUCUCGGUAUAUAAAGAAACUUUAUUUUAGAAAUCAAUGGCAUGUAUAAGCUAGUAAAGUAGAUGUUAAUGUGAAAUGAAUGUAUAGUUAGCCAUUAGUAUGGCUAACAAACUUUGGUUUUGGAUAUGUGAUGAUAUUAUCUUAUGAAUAUUAUAAAUCUAUCUUGAAAAUAUAUAUUGAAAUGGAUUAGUUGUGUCGAAUUAGCCUCGGUUUAAAAUUUACAGGUAAGAUUUGAUAUUUAUAAAGGGGUUAUAUGAAAAAAAAAUUUCAGUAAAAUUUGGUAAUACCUCGUAUCCUAUUCCGGCGAUGGAAACAGGUAGGGGGUAUUACAUUUGUUGGUAUCAGAGCUACGGUUUAGCCGGUUCUCGGACCGACGUAUCAAAAAUGGGGUUAGCUAUACAUGCCAUUUAAAUUAUUGUUGAUAGUGUGAUAUCUCUUGACCAUUUGAAAUGUGAUUUUCUUAUAGUAAAUGUCUGCCGACCGAGCUCAAACUGAGGAAGCCGAGAGUCAUGCUCCAGCUUCAGAACAAAGAGAAGCUGAAGCUACUAGUAGUAGAAAGUCCGAGACAAGGGACCAAAAUGAAGAAGCUAAAAUGGCCUUCUAUCAAAUGAUGAAUGAAUGGUUUACUCAGUAUAUAAGAACUAACCCUGUAGUGAAGCAAACUCAAGCUCCCCCUCCUCCUCCUCCAUCGGUUUCCGAGAUUCUGCAGGGUACAGGUGCCGAAUCUAUCAGAAAAGGGACAGCUCCGGUUGAUAAAAUUAGAUAAUAUGGGGUAGAGGAAUUCAGAGCUACAAUUAAUGAUGAUCCCGAACGAGCUGAGUUUUGGUUAGAGAAUACUAUUCGGGUUUUGGAGGAACUAUCUUGCAUACUAGAAGAGUGUCUGAAAUGUGCAGUAUCAUUGCUAAAAGAUACAGCUUACCACUGGUGGAAUACUAAAGUUUCAGUUGUUCCGAAAGAAGAAAUUACGUGGGAAUUCUUUCAGACCGAGUUCAGAAAGAAAUAUAUUAGUCAGAGGUUCCUUAAUCAGAAGAGAAAAUAAUUUCUUGAGCUAAAACAGGGUAAUAGAUCAGUAUCUGAGUAUGAAAGAGAGUUUGUCCUAUUGAGUAAAUAUGCUCGAGAAUGGGUACAAUCAGAGGCUGAAAUGUGCAAAUGGUUCGAAGAAGGGUUGAAUGAAGAAAUUAAGCUACUGAUCGGAAUUCUUGAAAUUCGAGAGUUUGCUACAUUGGCAGAGCGAACUUAUAAAGCAGAAGAAUUGAGCAAAGAAAAGAAACAAGCUGAAAGAGAAGCUCGGGUUUUCAGUAAAAGAUCGAUGGAAAAAUCUCAAUUUUUUGCUUCAAAAAAAUUGAAGAAAUACCAGGACCGUUCUACCUCAGCCACUGGGUAUUCGGGUAGAGAGCGAGGUUUUCAGCGUACUAAUCCAAGACCUUCUACCCCAUCAGUGACCAGUGUUGGCAGUGUUGGUACCCCUAAGCCAAGAUGCCAGUACUGUAAUAAAACUCAUUUUGGUGAAUGCCGAUUAAAGAGCGGGGCUUGUUACCGAUGUGGUUCUUUCGAUCAUUUCCUCAGACAUUGUCCAGAAAGGGGUGAAAAUAAGCUGAAUAGACAGCAAAGCUGAGUAAUCCAGUUUUGAGGGGUAGACCACAUCGAUCAUCUGGUGAUGUCGGUGGUAGCCGAAGAGCUACGAGAGAUACUGUAGGCAGGCCUGAGGUACGAGCACCUACUAGGACAUAUGCCAUCCGUGCUAGAGAAGAUGCUUCAGCACCUGAUGUUAUUACUGGUACAUUUUCUUUACUUGAUACUGAUAUUACUGCAUUGAUUGAUCCUGGUUCUACACAUUCAUACAUAUGCACAAAAUUAGUAUUUGUUAAAAAUUUAUCUGUUGAACCUACUGAAUUUGUGGUUAAAGUCUCGAACCCCCUGGGCCAGUUUGUGAUGGUGGAUAAAGUGUGUAAAAAUUAUCCACUGAUGGUAAGAGGUUAUUGUUUCUCGGUUGACUUGAUGUUACUUCCUUUUGAUGAGUUCGAUGUGAUAUUGGGUAUGGAUUGACUAACUCAGCAUGAUGCAGUAGUAAAUUGUAGACAGAAAUAUAUUGUGUUGAAGUGUCAGAAUGGAGAAUUACUUCGGGUUAAAUCUGAUCAGACAGAGGAAUUAUCUAAUGUGAUUUCAGUGCUGACAGCUCAGAGGUGUAUUAGAAAAGGGUAUGAUGCUUAUUUGGCAUAUGUGUUAGACACUACGGUAUCUGAAUCAAAGAUCCAGGCAGUGCCAGUUGUAUGUGAAUUUUCUGAUGUGUUUCCAGAGGAAUUACCGUGGUUGCCGCCAAAAAGAGAAGUGGAAUUUUCUAUAGAUCUGAUUCCGGGAACUACUCCGAUCUCCAUAGCUCCAUAUCGUAUGGCUCCUACGAAAUUAAAUGAGUUAAAGACACAAUUGCAAGAACUUGUUGACAGGGGUUUUGUUCGACCGAGUCAUUCACCUUGGGGUGCUCCGAUUCUAUUUGUGAAGAAGAAGGACGGAUCCUUAAGAUUAUGUAUUGAUUCCCGACAGCUCAACAAAGUCACUAUAAAGAAUAAGUACCCAUUGCCUCGAAUUGACGAUCUGUUUGACCAGUUGAAGGGUGCCACUGUAUUUUCAAAGAUUGAUCUCCGAUCGGGCUACUAUUAGUUACGGGUAAAGGAGUCAGAUGUACCAAAAACAGCUUUCAGAACCAGGUACGGGCAUUAUGAGUUUCUUGUUAUGCCGUUUGGGCUGACUAAUGCACCUGCAGUAUUUAUGGACUUGAUGAAUCGGAUAUUCAGCCCGUACUUAGACAGGUUUGUGGUAGUUUUUAUUGAUGAUAUAUUGGUCUAUUCCCGAGAUGAAAAUGAAUAUGCGGAACAUUUGAGAAUUGUGUUGCAAAUUUUGCGAGAGAAGCAACUAUAUGCUAAAUUCAGUAAAUGUGAAUUUUGGCUGCGAGAAGUGGGUUUUCUCGGACAUAUUGUAUCCGCAGAAGGCAUCAGAGUAGAUCCGAGUAAAAUCUCAGCUAUUGUCAAUUGGAGUCCACCGAAGAAUGUAUCUGAAGUUAGAAGUUUCUUGGGUUUAGCUGGUUAUUAUCGAAGAUUUGUACAGGGGUUUUCUAUGAUAGCUUUUCCGAUGCCCCGCUUAUUACAGAAAGAUGUUAAAUUCGAGUGGGCUGAUGAAUGCCAACAGAGUUUUGAUCGAUUAAAAGAGUUGUUGAAAAAAGCACCUGUGUUGGUACAGCCUGAACCGGGUAAAGAAUUUAUUAUUUAUAGUGAUGCAUCAUUAAAUGGUUUAGGUUGUGUCUUGAUGCAAGAAGGUAAAGUUGUAGCUUAUGCUUCGAGACAACUUAAGCCACAUGAAAUAAAUUACCCGGUGCAUGAUCUUGAAUUAGCUGCUAUUGUAUUUGCAUUAAAAAUAUGGCGGCAUUAUUUGUAUGGUGAAAAAUGUCAUAUUUAUACUGAUCAUAAAAGCCUGAAAUAUUUGAUGACACAGAAAGAUUUGAACUUGAGACAGCGUGGGUGGCUUGAACUGAUAAAAGACUAUGAUUUGGUUAUUGAUUACCAUCCGGGUAAGGCUAAUGUUGUAGCUGAUGCUCUGAGUCGAAAAUCUCUGUUUGCUUUACGAGCUAUGAAUGUCCAGUUGUCUUUGGUUGAUGAUGGUUCAGUCGUAGCUGAGUUGAGAGUUAAACCGACAUUUUUACAACAAAUAUAUGAAGCUCAGAAAAAUGAUGAAUAGCUACAGGCUAAAUGGGUACAAUGUGAGUCAGGUAAUGAUUCAGAAUUUCAGAUUGGAACUGAUGGUUGUUUAUUAUUCAGAGGCAGAGUAUGUGUACCGAAGAAUUCAGAGCUUAUACAGAAGAUUUUACAUGAGGCAUACAGUGGUAUUAUGUCCGUACAUCCGGGAGGUAAUAAAAUGUAUAAUAAUUUGAAGAAGAUGUACUGGUGGCCAGGUAUGAAACGUGAUAUUUCUAAGUUUGUAUCAAGAUGUCUAAUAUGUCAACAGGUCAAAGCUGAACACCAGGUACCUUCGGGAUUGCUCCAGCCAAUUACCAUACCGGAAUGGAAAUGGGAAAGAAUUACUAUGGAUUUUGUGUCAGGAUUACCAUUGUCACCGAAAAAGAAAGAUGCCAUUUGGGUGAUCGUUGAUCGAUUAACAAAAUCAGCACAUUUUAUCCCGGUACGUAUGGGUUAUUCUCUAGAUAAAUUGGCUGAACUGUAUAUAUCUGAGAUUGUCAGGCUGCAUGGAGUGCCAAUCUCUAUUAUCUCUGAUAGAGAUCCCCGAUUUACAUCUCGUUUCUGGGACAAAUUGCAAGAAGCCUUGGGUACUCAGUUGAUCGAUUAACAAAAUCAGCACAUUUUAUCCCGGUACGUAUGGGUUAUUCUCUAGAUAAAUUGGCUGAACUGUAUAUAUCUGAGAUUGUCAGGCUGCAUGGAGUGCAAUCUCUAUUAUCUCUGAUAGAGAUCCCCGAUUUACAUCUCGUUUCUGGGAUAAAUUGCAAGAAGCCUUGGGUACUCAGUUGUAUUUCAGCACUGCAUUUCAUCCUCAGACAGAUGGCCAAUCUGAGCGUGUAAUUCAGGUACUGGAAGAUAUGCUCCGAUGUUGUAUAUUAGAGUUUGAAGGUAAUUGGGAGAAGUAUCUACCUUUGAUUGAAUUUGCUUACAAUAACAGCUAUCAGUCCAGUAUUAAAAUGGCUCAGUAUGAAGCUUUGUAUGGUAGAAAAUGUAGAACACCAUUAUAUUGGACAGAGCUCAGUGAAAAGAAGAUACAUGGGGUUGAUUUGGUCCGGGAAACAGAAGAAAAAGUUAAGGUGAUUCGAGAUAGUCUAAAAGCAACUUCCGAUCGUCAGAAGUCAUAUGCUGAUCUUAAACGAAAAGAGAUUGAAUUCCAGGUGGGUGAUAAGGUAUUCUUAAAAGUGUCUCCUUGGAAGAAAGUUCUCCGAUUCGAUCGAAAGGGCAAAUUGAGUCCAAGAUUUAUCGCGCCAUAUGAAAUCAUAGAAAGAAUUGGACCGGUUGCUUAUCGAUUGGCAUUACCACCGGAACUCGAUAGAAUACAUAAUAUUUUUCAUGUGUCUAUGCUACGACGAUAUCGAUCAGAUCCUUCCCAUGUUAUUUGUCCAACAGAACUGGAGAUUCAGCUAGAUAUGACUUACAGUGAAGAACCAAUCAAGAUAUUGGCACGAGAAACAACAGAGCUUAGAAAUAAAAAGAUAAAUUUGGUGAAAGUAUUAUGGCAAAAGCACGGGGUUGAGGAAGCGACAUGGGAACCGGAGGAGGAAAUGAGGAAACAAUACCCGAACCUCUUUACUGGUAAGAUUUUCGAGGAUGAAAAAUCUUUAAGGGGGGAGAGUAGUAAUGGCCCAAAUUCAAGGUUAUCGGAAUAGUGAUUUCGUAACCACAAAUCCGAUUUAAAGAGAAAUUUAUUUUAAUAUUUUUGCAUGGAUAUUGGAAUGAUAGGAAAUAGUAUAAAAAUAUCGAUAGAAAAAUUUUACCGAUUUAGUGAUUAGUUAGAAAAAGAAAUUAGUGAAGAAAUUGGGUAAAAAUAAGGUAUCGAGACCUCAAUCUCGUAAAACUGAGUCAAAAAUAUUUUUAUAAAUAUUUAUAAAGUGUUAAUAAUAUGGUAUUAAAAUUUUGUUCGAAAAUUUUGAUGUUUGGGUAGUCAAUUAAGUGAAAAGGACUAAUUUGAAAAAGAUAUAAAAGUUACUAAAAGGAUUAAAUAGCUCAAUUGUUAAAUGAGGAGGGACAUAAAUUGAAAAUAACCCCAAAAGGAGAUAUUUUGGGCGGCAUACGCUGAGAAAAAUCAGGAGAAUUGAAGAAUUAAGGGUAAAAUUGGAAUAUUGCAAAAUUUGCUUUAAAAGAUAGGACUAAAGUGGAAUUAUCUAGAUUUCUCUUCAUUUUUCUGCAUUCCCAUCAGCCAAAAACGUCCUAAGGGUUUCUCCAAGCUGGUUUUUCAUAAUUUUUGCAGCAAGUGAGUUAAUCUUUACCUUUUUCUUGUAAUUUUUGUGUUUCUAAGACUUUUACAACUAGGUCCUAUUACUAAAUUCAUUAGUUUUUGAUUUUGUGGAUGAAGUUGAAAGUUGCUAUGAAUAUGUGCUGGAAUUUUAUGAUGAUAUAGGAUGAAAUUGAAGCUUUAAUAUAUUUAUGAGAUGAUUUUAUUAGGUACUUUCAAUAGAAAUUGAUUUGUAGGACCUAAUUGUGAAAAAGUUUGGAAUUAAAGUCUAGUACUGAAAUUCUGAUUUCCAAAGCUUAUGAAGUAGUUUAAAGUGAUGGGAUAAAGUUUUAAUUGAGAAAACUCAGCUCAAUUGAUAGGUUAAUUGAGCAGGGAUGAAAUUAGCAUUUAUUGAAAGUUUAGGGAAAAAUGGUAAUUAACAUUAUACACUAAAACAGAUUUGGACAGCAGCAGUAGGUUAACUUUGAAAAAUCACCAAAAAUUGUAGAAAUCGAAUUAGAGGAUAAAUAAAAUAUGAAAUUAAAUCUUAUUGAGUCUAAUUUCUCAUAGAAGAAACGGUUUAAUCAAUGGAAUUGUAAAUCACGAGAUAUAAUGGAUUUUGUGAGACAAGGUCAGAAGGAAUUCGGGUUCCCCUGUUCUGACUUUGUAAAAUCAUUAAAAAUGGUAUAAAAAUGAUUAUGAGUUGUAAUUUAUAUGGCUAGAAUCCUUAAUGAGUCUAUUUUCAUAAGAAAUAAACAGGAACAUCAUCCAAAUUCUGUAGAAUGAGAUAAUUAAUUUUUAGUGAAGAGGGGUCGGAACUAUCAAACAAUGAAACAAGGGAAACUUUAAAGAAUAAACUGUACUUGUUGGAUAAACUAAAAAUUCUGAAAAUUUUAUGGUAAGAAUAUAUGUGAGUCUAGUUUUAGGUAAAAUUAACGGAUCUUAAUUUGGAGUUCCGUAGCUCAAGAUAUAAAUAUUUUAGUGACUGUGACUCAGUGAGACAGCUUUGAAUGCAUUAUAAAAUGGAAUUAUAGAGAAUGUUACAUAUGAACAUGAAAUGUAUUAGAUUAUGAUUAAAUUUAUUUAUUUAGAUCCAGAAAUUUCAAAUACGAAGCUAGAUCAAGGUAAAGAAAAAGUUCGGGAUUAGUAGAUUUUUGUUUACAAACAAGUGUCGAGGUAAGUUCUUGUAACUUGAAUUAUAUUCAUAAAUGCUUGAAAUGUUUGUUAUUGAUGUGAAUAUGAUUUGGAUGUUUAUUGUAUUAUAAUUGAUGAAGUAUUGAUAUUCUUGAUGAAAAGAGGAAAUAAAUCCCGGUUGAAUGGAAGGAAAAUUCGAUGGAUCUCUGAAAAUAAAUUGACGGUAAAAAGGAUCUAGCCCGGACGGGUGAUCCUCUCCUGAUAUAGCCCUCCCGAAGAAUAUGUGGAAAAUGGAUUUAGCCCGGACGGGUAAUCCGAAUUAGGGUCUGAAUUUAGCCUGGACUGGUAAUUCAGAUCCAAGCUCAUUAGAGUAAUUGUUGUUGCAGGGGAUUUAGCCUGGACUGGUAAUCCCGACAAUACUCUAUGAGUUUAUAUUACAGGAGAUUUAGCCUGGACUGGUAAUCCCGCUGUAAGGAUGAGGUUCGCGGGAGUGUGCUCUCUGAAAUGGAAAUGUGCGCACAUGAAUAUGAAUUGACGGACCCGGAUUUGUACACUAAAGUGUACCUCUGAAAAUCCAUCGAAAUUUCAAGUAGUUCAACGGGAUAAAUAUGGAAAAUAACAAGGGAAUGGAAAUCAUGUAAUUGAUGAGCUCAUCAAUCAUGGUAUAAAUUAUUGAUACAUGGAAAUUAUUGGUCUAAUUUGAAUGUUGAGUUUGUGCAUGAUAGGGGAAUAAUGUAUUGAAUGAAUGUAUGAAUGUUUAUUGUAUUGUAUUGAAAAUAUUAGGUAAGUAUAAUUCUUGUUACAUGAGCUUACUAAGCACAAAGUGCUUACCCUGUUUCCUUUUCCCCUGUUUUGUAGUGUUAAGAGCUCGGAGGUCGGAUUUGGUUGGAGACGCAUCAAACUAUCAACCUCAAGAUCUCGGUAUAUAAAGAAACUUUAUUUUGGAAAUCAAUGACAUGUAUAAGCUAGUAAAGUAGAUGUUAAUGUGAAAUGAAUGUAUAGUUAGCCAUUAGUAUGGCUAACAAACUUUGGUUUUGGAUAUGUGAUGAUAUUAUCUUAUGAAUAUUAUAAAUCUAUCUUGAAAAUAUAUAUUGAAAUGGAUUAGUUGUGUCGAAUUAGUCUCGGUUUAAAAUUUACAGGUAAGAUUUGAUAUUUAUAAAGGAGUUAUAUGAAAAAAAAAUUUCAGUAAAAUUUGGUAAUGCCUCGUAUCCUAUUCCGGCGACGGAAACGGGUAGAUGGUAUUACAAAAAAAUACACCGGUGUCGCCAAUGGCAAUGGCAACACAAAAAAAAAUUCUAUUUUUCUUAAACAUUAUUUUUUUCUAAUGGCUAUUGCCAAGGAGAACGACAUCACAAAAAAAAAAACUUUUGUACUAGUACCGCCAAUGAUAACGACGACACCCAUUAAAUUAAUUUUUUCCUUUUUUUCAUUUUCUCCUAGAAUACCAGUAUUUUUAUGGGGUGGACGAUUAUACAUACUGGUGUCGCUAAUGGCACGACGACACUCAAAAAUUAAUUUGGUAAAAAUUAAGGAUUACAUAUGAUUAAUGGUACUAUUUUGUUAUCAAGCAUCAUGAGGGUGUUGAUAUAUUACUUACGUGGAACAUUACAAUCGAAUUCAAAUUUUGUUUUGUAGACUAAAAAUUAUCUUUUCAAUAAAUUUUCAUUUAAUUUAAAAUUUUAUUAAAAUAAUAUGUUUUUACUUUUGGGGUGGCCAAUCACACCUAAAUAAAAAAUAUCGGUACCAACUCUAUAUAUUUAAUAUUAAAUUAAAUUUUACUGUUUAAAUAAAUAGAUGUGAACAAAACUCGAUUUGAUUCGAAAAAAAUCAAUUUUUUUUAAAAUUUUAGUUAAUCAAAUUGAGUUAUUUGAAUUAUUCGAGUCAAAUCAAAUAAAUAAUUUGAGUUUCGAGUUCGGAUUGAGUUGAAUUUUACAAUUCGAAUAACUCUAAUAAUUUGAAUAACAGAUUGAUGUAUAUACCCUUUUGGUCCCUGUCAAGUUUGAAAAUAAGCAAAUUGGUCUCUCUCAACACAAAUUACAAAAAAUUCAAAAUAAUUUUCAAAAAUUCAAAAUAACUUUCAAAUAUUCCAAAAUAAUUUUUAAAACUCAAAAUAUUUAUAAAAUUCUAAAAUUUAUAUUUUUCAAAAAAUUAUAAAAAUUUCAAAAAAUUUCUAAAAAAUUUAUAAAGAAAGUUAAUAAUUUAAAAUAAUAAUUUAAAAUUUAAAAUAAUGUAUAUAACUAAAACAAUUAACUUAUUGUUCAAUUAUGCAUUAAGACACAAUACUUGUAUGGCGUAAAUAAUUACAAUUAGAUAGUCAUAAUUAUUGAAUUAAUUUGUGCAUAGUACCAAUAAAAGCUCAUUUCUAAAUUUUUUUUACGGAAAUGAGCAGCUUCUAAAAAUAAUUACGAGUAUGGACUGAAAAUCUAAAAAAGCACUGAUAUGGGUGCGUUUUGAGGAAUAACUCAAAAAAAUGCUUCCACAUUAGUGCUUUUUUCCUUGUAUCAGGCAAAAGCACGUUGAUGUAGACGCGCUUUUGCCCGUGCUCGGACUAAAUUUUUUUAAAAAAUGUCAUUUUUUUAAAAUAUUUAAAAAAUAGACUAAUUUUUUUAAAAAAAAUUAAUAUAAUAAGCCUUUAUAAAAACAUAAAGCGGUAGCACCAUUUCUUUUUUUUUCUUGUGCCACAAAUUAAUAUGGAAAUAAAACUUACAAAACAGAUAUUUAUAUAAACCCAAAAUCUCAUUUUUCACAUUGUAAAAUAUAAUUAGUUAUAUAAAGAUCUAUUCUGUAAAUUUAUUUUUAUAUUAAUUGGUGGCACAAAAAAGAAAAAAAAGAAUGGUGCUGCCACUUUGGAUCUUUAUAAAGGCUUAUUCUCGUAUUUUUUUAAAAAAAUUGAUCUAUUUUUAUAAUAUUUUUAAAAAAUAAUAUUUUUUGAAAAUUUAGUCUGAACACGAAUAAAAAUGUGUCCACGACACAAAAAAAAAUUUAGUCUGAACACGAACAAAAUUGAUCUAUUCCUUAUAUAUUUAUAUAUUUGAUACAAAUAUAAUCCUAAUAACUACCCAAAUGCUGUAAAUUACUAAACUGUAAAUGUAUAAAAAUAUGAAAUAUUUUAAACAUGUGUAUCAUAGAAUUCAAUUAAGAUAUUGUAUGAAAGUAUGAUUUCUUCUAUUCUCUUGUAAGAAUUGAAGGCUUUUUGAUUGGGUGAGUUCAAAGAAGUAUUGUUUAGUCUGCCUUAUUUUCCUUUCUUCAUUUUUUUCCUUAUAUCAAAAAACAUAUUAAUAACUCAAUCAAAAUUAUCUCCAAGAACAAAAUUUUGUUAUGCUUAAUAUCUUUAAUUUGAUCUGUAUCUGUUUUAAUUCUGCCCUUUUUUCGAGUAGUUUCUAGAUUAUGGCAUAUUUGGUGAAAAUUAAUUAUAUUUAUAAAAAAAAAUUGACUCUCAAAUUUAUACGAAAAAGAAGUUAAGAAAUGAAAUGGCUAAAGUACCAUCCAUUAUCCAAGCAAAGCAAAUAACGGACAAUUUAUCAAAAAAAGCCUUUUUUUAUAUUUACCGAAAUAGGCCCGAUAUUUUAUUAUUUACCAGAAUGUGCCUUUUCCGGCAAAUUGCGUCCACGUCAGCGCGAUGUUAGGGGACGUACCAGGAAAUCGCGGCCACGUCAGCGUGCUUUGCUGAUGUGGCAACAAAUAGCGUCCACGAGGGGGCGAUUUGUUGCCACGUUAGCAAAGCGCGCUGACGUAGCCGCGAUUUCCCCUAAUAUCCCCACCUCUUUUUUUUUUCACAAACUAAUCAUCGCUCAAAUUUCCUCUCAAUUUCCUCUAAAUUUUCUCUCAAUUUUGGUGUUGAGAGGAAGCAUUGCAAAUAAUUAAAUAAGAUAUUUCAAAAGAAGGUGGAAAGGAAGACUAAAACAUUUUGGCGAUAAAGUUAAAAAAAUAAAUUGAGAGAAAUUUAAAAAAAAAUUAGAGUCAAAAUUUUGAAGGGUCAAAAAGUUCUUUCACAAUUAUUCAUAGUGAUUUAAAAAUAAGAAUUACAAAAUUAACAAUUAAUAAAAAUAAUGAAAUAAAUUUUAAUUAUAAUGACAUUAAUGAUUAAAAACGGAUAAUAUUAAUUAUAAAUUUUAAUUAUAAUGGAGCUUUGCCACGUUUACGGAAAAAAUAAGAUAUUAAUUAGUGAAGAUGAGUACAUGUGAACAAUGACAUUAAAUGUAUGUCCUGUGGGUGUGCAGGAAAGAUGAAUGGUAGUGUCGGCAUUGUUUAUUGAUUGGUAGCUGAUAAGAAAAUAAUAGUGAAGAUGAGUACAUGUGAACAAUGACAUUAAAUGUAUGUCCUGUGGGUGUGCAGGAAAGAUGAAUGGUAGUGUCGGCAUUGUUUAUUGAUUGGUAGCUGAUAAGAAAAUAAUAGUGAAGAUGAGUACAUGUGAACAAUGACAUUAAAUGUAUGUCCUGUGGGUGUGCAGGAAAGAUGAAUGGUAGUGUCGGCAUUGUUUAUUGAUUGGUAGCUGAUAAGAAAAUAAUAGUGAAGAUGAGUACAUGUGAACAAUGACAUUAAAUGUAUGUCCUGUGGGUGUGCAGGAAAGAUGAAUGGUAGUGUCGGCAUUGUUUAUUCAUUGGUAGCUGAAAAGAAAAUAAUAGUGAAGAUGAGUACAUGUGAACAAUGACAUUAAAUGUAUGUCCUGUGGGUGUGCAGGAAAGAUGAAUGGUAGUGUCGGCAUUGUUUAUUCAUUGGUAGCUGAAAAGAAAAUAUAGUUGAGCUGCGGCUUCUGUUUUCAAUGCUUAUGCUCCAACAAUAGACUCAUUUAAUUUCAUAAUUCCAAAAACUGUGACCUGUUUUUCCCUUUCCUUGUGUUUUCCAUCUCAUUUGCAACUAUUCAUUGACUUCAACUCCCUUGACAAUCCAUCUCCAUUCCUUUCCCUCAAUCUCCCCUUCCUUCUUCAUCUCUCUCUUUGAUUUCUUUGUCCCAAUUCCACCAUGUCUGUCUUUGGAGAGGCUGCUGUUUCUGCCUUUUUGGAGCUGUUGUCUGCCAAGUUGCUUGACUCUGCACUCAGCUUUGUGGCCGAUUACCAGCAAGUCCGCGAGCAACUCAUGCUGUGGCAAUCCUUAUUAGCCGAUAUCAAAGCAGUGUUGAACCAUGCAGAGGAGGAGCAGAUCCACGACGAGGGUGUGAAGAAUUGGUUGGACGAUCUCCAAGACUUGGCUUACGAUGUGGAUGACAUCUUGGACGAGGCCGCUUACCAAAAGUUACGUCUCAAGCUCCAAAAAACUCAAGCACAAGCCAGCUCUAGUCAGGGAGGGAAACUCAUUAUAGCCUUAGAAUCUGGUUUUCGUUUCUGUCAAUUCUCUUUUAUGUUCAAUUCAAAGAUACAAGCAAUCACUGAUAGACUGAAUAGUUUGAAGACUCGAAGAAGUAGUUUGGGGUUGAGUGAGAUCAUGUCUCAAGGCGCAACUUCCAUGGGAAACCAACCCAGGCUGCAACCAACUUCGUUGAUGGAUGGAGCUGUGGAGUAUGUUGGUAGAGCCAAUGAGAAGCAAGAAAUGCUUGAGUUGCUCAAAAGUAACAAUUCCGAUGGAGUUCGUGUCCUUUCCAUCGUUGGCAUGGGAGGGAUGGGGAAAACAACUCUUGCUCAGCUUGUUUACAAUGAUCCCAGCAUUAAGGAGUCUUUCGAUCACAAGUCCUGGGUAUGCGUUUCUACUGACUUUGAUGCUGUUAACAUAACAAAGACGAUUUUAAGAUCCCUCGAUGCUGACUCACAUGAUGAGAAUGACUUGAACUCGCUUCAAGUCAAGUUGAAGUACAAGUUAUCCUUAAAAAGGAUGUUGCUUGUUUUAGAUGACAUUUGGAACGAGAGUUACAGUGAUUGGACCAUCUUACGGACUCCAUUUGGAGCAGGAACCAAGAUUAUUGUAACAACUCGACUCCAAACGGUUUCAUCUAAUGUCGAUUCGGUGAAAGCGUUUUACUUGGAUAAACUCUCGCAUCAUGAUUGUUUAUCCAUAUUUGCUCAGCAUGCAUUGAAAGCAAGAAACUUUGAUGGGCAUCCCCAAUUUAAAGAAAUUGGAGAGAACAUAGUGAGAAGGUGCAACGGCUUACCUUUGGCAGCAAAAGCCAUUGGAAGCUUAUUACGCACAGUUACGGAUCACAGUGAAUGGGAAAAGGUAUAUCGGAGUGAGAUAUGGGACCUACCAGAAGAUCGAUGUGACUUAAUUCCAGCUUUGCGAUUAAGCUACCAUUAUCUUCCUCCUCAUUUGAAACGAUGCUUUGCAUACUGCUCCAUAUUUCCUAAAGAUUAUGAAUUUGAAGAAGAAGAGAUAAUCUUGUUAUGGAGAGCAGAAGGUUUCUUGCAAUCAAAAGAUAAAAAUCAAGGCAAAGGUCUUGGAAACCAAUAUUUUCAAGGUCUAGUGUCAAGGUCAUUUUUUCAAAGAUCUAGUGAAGACAAAUCCCGUUUCGUGAUGCAUGAUCUUAUGAAUGAUUUAGCUCAAUCAGUUGCAGGAGAAAUAUGUUGCAGACUGGAGGGUGAAAAGCAACAAAAGUUUUCGCAUCGUUCUCGCCACUCAGCUUAUGUUAUCGAUGAUUGGUGUCAGAGUGAAAAGAAGUUUAAGGCAUUUUAUCAAAUGACUUCUUUACGUACUUUCUUACACUUAAAGGAUCCAAGAUAUGGGGAAUUAUAUAUAUCUAACAUUGUCUUGGAUGAUUUAUUGCCAAAACUUAGCUACUUAAGGGUUCUUUCUUUGGGUGGGUAUAAGAUCUAUGAUUUGCCCGACUUUUUUGAAAAAUUAAAACAUCUACGCUACUUAAAUUUUUCUAGAACCCGAAUCAAGCGUUUACCUGAUUCUUUGUGUAGUCUUUAUUUUUUGGAGACUUUAAUAUUAAGGGGUUGUUCAUAUCUCAAAAAUUUACCCUCGAAGAUCGGAAACCUUCUCAACUUGCAUUUUCUUGAUAUUAGAGGUGCGGAUUUAAUAGAAAGGAUGCCCUCCGGAUUUGAUCAGCUAACUCAGCUUCAAACGUUAUCUAAUUUUGUUAUAGGGAAAGGUGAUGGACGUCUUAUUAGUGAAUUGAAAAAUUUGUCAUACCUUAGAGGUAAUUUUUGUCUUUCUGGAUUGGAGAAUAUUAAUGGUCAAGAUGCGAGGGAAGCUAAGUUAAAUGAGAAGCUAGAGAUUGAUGGGUUAGAACUACAAUGGGGUCCAGACUUGGAGAAUAAUACAAGGAAAACAGAAGUCGAAGAGCGGGUGUUGGACUUUCUUCAUCCUCCGAAAAUGCUUGAGCAACUUAUCAUUGAGAAUUACGGGGGGGUAAAAUUCUCAUCUUGGAUAGCAGAUUCUUCCCUCAAGAAUUUGUCGUCUUUGAAGCUUCGCAAUUGUAAAAAUUGCAAGUCACUACCAUCAGUUGGAAGGUUGCCAUUGUUAAAAGAUCUUUCAAUUUUUGGUUUCGAUCAAGUACAGAAGAUUGGUGUUGAGCUCUUCGGAGAAAAUCAAUUGAAUCCAUUUGCAUCAUUAGAGAUUCUGUCUUUUGAGAGACUUCCAAACUGGAAGGAGUGGGACACUUGUGAAGGAGACGAGAAGGUUUUGAAACUCCCCAGCCUUCGUGAGCUUUCAAUCAAAAACUGUCCUCAAUUGUUAGGAAGGUUGCCUACCCAUCUUGCUUCCUUGCAAAAACUUGAAAUUCAUUGGUGUAAGAGUUUGGUUGUUUCAAUAUCAAGUUUCCCGUCACUGAGUGAAUUAAGUAUACAAGGGUGUGCAGAACUGGUGGAUGAUUGCUCUUCUCCUGCAAAGGAGCUUUCUUCUUUGCAAACUUUGUCUCUUUCUAACAUUUCAAAGUUUAAUAUUCCAGCAGAUAGGACAAUGUUGAGGUUUGGAAACUCAGAACAUUUUAAAAUUGGUGUUUGGCAGGAGUUGGCAUCUCUAUCACGGCAUGGGUUUAGUUUAGUUGGACAUCGUUUCAUUACAGUUUGGGGUUGUCCUCAACUGCAAUCUUUGGAAGCAGAGAAAGCCGAAUUACAACCUGACAAGAUUUCACGUGUUGAAUCUUUGAGGAUAGAUUGUUGUGAUAGGCUCAAUAGACUGCCACAAGUCUUACAUGAGCUCACAUUCCUUACAGUGAUGGUAAUUUGUCAAUGUCGAAGCUUGGUUUCUUUUGCAGAGAAUAACGUACCUCCUAAUUUAAAAAAGCUGAGAAUUGUACAAUGUGAGAAUUUGGAGUAUUUGGUUGAUGAAAAAGAAGAUAUUUGCAAUCAGCUUCAACUUCUCGAAAUUAACCGCUGCUCAAAGCUGAGUUGCCUAUUUUCAAACACCAAGUUUCCCAUAACGCUUAAAUAUUUGACAAUUUGGGGAUGUCCAAUGUUGGAAUACAUGGCCGAGGAGUUUGAGGAAAGCGCUUGUCUUGAAUCUAUUAAUAUUAUAGAUUCUGGAAUUAAAUCUCUACCACGAGGACUAGACAAGCUCAUCCAUCUCCAGGAGAUUUUUUUACGUUCGUGUUCAAAUUUGGUUUCCUUUGAAGAAUGUGGGUUGCUCAGCACCAGCUUCAGAGCUUUUGUAGUUGAGAGCUGUGGAAAUUUUGGAGCCCUUCCUAAGUGCAUGGCCAGCAUCACCUCCCUUCGACGAUUAAGUGUGCGCAACUGUUCGGCUGACAUAUCGUUUCCAUCGGAGGGAUUCCCUGCCAAUCUCACAUCACUUGCAAUCUCAAACGCACCCAAGAUUUAUAGGUCACUUGUGGAAUGGGGAUUAAAUAGACUCACCUCUCUUCAAGAAUUGACCAUCGGAGGUGAAAGAUGCUCAAACGUGGUGUCGUUCCCAGAAAAAGGGAUUGGAAUGAUGCUGCCUCCUUCUCUCACCCAUAUCCGUCUUUUGCGAUUUGAGAACCUGGAAUUCAUGUUCUCCGAGGGCUUUCAAGACCUCGCCUCUCUUAAAGUAUUGGAGAUCUUUCAGUGUCCCAAGCUAACAUCUCUUCCGGCAGAAAAGGAGCUUCUCUCGCUUGGAUAUUUAAAUAUUAACAGUUGUCCGUUGCUGCAAAAAGAGUGCUCAAACGAUAAAGGACAAGAGUGGUCUAAGAUUUCCCACAUACCCUUUGUUACAAUUGAUGAUAAAGCAGUCAUCCCGAGGGAAUCAGAUUGAAAGAUGAGCCGCAAAAUCUGUGAUUGGUUUCGUCAGAGUGAUGGGAGAGGUACAAAAAACCAUUUCAAACAAGUCUAACUUUCCUUAAGAACAAGAUAAGAAUAGGAAUCAGUAUAAAUUUAUUGAUUGAUAUUUGCAGGAAUUGAAAGCGAAGUUGGGGUGGAAGUGAGGUUUUAGAAAGAUCCUUUGAAGGAAAAGUAAAAAAGAUGACACUUCUGUUGUUAAAUGGGUGAAAUUUGUCAUUUAGUGUUUCAGAUGUUUGUAAACUUGUUUCUUCGCUUUGUGUAUUGUUUAUUUUGUUCUUUUACUUUACUUGUCUUAUAUAUGAUAGGAUAUAAUAGGGAAGAAUAAGAUGAACAAUUUCACAUUAAACAUCAAUCUUAUAACAAUUUUCUUAUUUUGAAUAUAUAUAAGAUAUUCGACAUUUAACCAUUUGACUAAAAAAAUUUUAAUAUGUCGAAAGAAUACACAUUUUGUUACAAAAUGUUUUUAUUAAGAUGCAUUUUCUGUUUUUCUCUCUAAAAUAUAUCCAUUUCUCUAAAUUUAGGAAAUAUCGAUCUAAUUUCCUAACCUUUUUUUUAUUUCAACAUUUUUAUCUAAUUUUCUCCUAUUUUUCUAUGUCACUUUCUUGUUUUUUCAUUCCUCUUUCAAUUUUAUUUCUUUCUUUUCUUCCUAUUCUUUUCCUCUCUUACCCAACCUUAGCCGUCGCUAGCAUGCACUACAACCGCACUACGACAUUUGUUCUUCUGUCCAAAUAAUGGCAUUGGUCAACUCUUUUCCUCAUUCUAUUUCAUUUCCAAAUAAUGGCGUUGGUCAAUCACCUAGCUCUUUUGUCAUCAUUGCUUGUUUCGAUGUUGUCACUAAUCGGAGAAGCCACCAAAUGGUCCACAUUUCCUUUCUCUCUCCCGCUUCUUUUCUACUUUAUUUUUUUUAUUUUUAAAGCCGUGGACCGCAUUUCACUAUCGUUGCUCUCCGUUGUCGAAUCGAGCCACCACCAUAAAUGGCCUUGCUUCUAGUCAACAUGCACUGCUGCUCAGCCCUUUGUUUCUUUCCCUUUUUUUACUGUCGCCUCUCCUGUCUAACUGAUAACUCUAAAAUAUUGAGUUAUCUUUAGCACUUCUAGAUUGGUAAUUCAUGUAAAAUUUAAGUGUUUGGUAACAAAUUUUGAGAUUUUUAUGACAACUUUGUCCUGUUGAAUGAUACUAAGAUAAAUUUACUAAUUUGAUCAUUUUAUAUACUAAAACACAUGAUUGCAAUUUUUUGAGACAGUUGAUGUACUAGAAGAAAAGCCAGUCUUGAAGCUCACCCUUUUGGUCCUCAAUGCUGUAGCAUUUCUACAACAUAAGCCAUGUAAAAGAGGGUUGAGAUAUUGUCAUCUUUGGACUCAAUUAAAAGCUUAUUAGUCUUAGAAAAUUUUCUUGACCCAACUUAAGAAUUGGUCAGCAAAAAUGGAUAACCUGUUAAGAAGAUAGAAGCCCAAAUUAUCCACUAAGGAGGAGAAGUCCUAAUUGUCCAUAGAGGUGCCCAAAUCAGCCACCCAAGACUUGGUUAAAGAUUGAAAACCAACCAAAAAAUUCUCUUAUGUGACUGACCAACUCCCCUCCUCAUUUCAAGGUUUCUCUUCAAUGAAUCAAGCAAAAAUAUCAAAGUCAUCCACUCACUUUCCUUAAAAUAAAGGUCGGAUUUUCAAGGCUCUCAUUUGCUAAAAAUAGCCAAUAUCUACAAGUAUAAAUAACCCUAGCUAUUCUAUUCUGUUAUCCCUUAUUCACCAUCUAUUUUCCCAUUCUUCAUUCUUUCAUUUCCCAGGGAGAGAGCAACAAAAGAGUUUGAGAGAAGCAUUUCAGAAGUUCUUUGAGUAGCAAAGUUUGGCAUCUUGAAGGCAAAUCAAUUCAACUAAAAGUGCAUUAUCACAUUUAACUUCGACCUUUCUGAAGUCUUUUCCCCAUAUUAUGAAAACACCUUCCAACAUGGUAGAGCGAAUUUUUUUGAAUAUUGAAUAUAGAGCAUAUAUGACAAUUGGUUAUCUUGCUUCGUUUUUAUAUAUAAUUUAUUAUUUUACUUUUAUAUAUGUAUGAUAAUUGGUCUCUUUCUAACAUUUCAAAGUUUAAUAUUCCAGCAGAUAGGACAAUGUUGAGGUUUGGAAACUCGGAACAUUUUGAAAUUGAUGGUUGGGAGGAGUUGGCUUCUCUAUCACGGUAUGGGUUUAGUUUAGUUGAACAACGUUUCAUUUUCAUUUGGUGUUGUCCUCGACUGCGGUCUUUGGAAGCAGAGGAAGCCGAAUUGCAACCUGACAAGAUUUCAUGUGUUGAAUCUCUGCGGAUAUAUGACUAUGAAAAGGUCAAUAGACUGCCACAAGUCUUACAUGAGCUCAUAUUUCUUACAGUGAUAGAAAUUGGUAAUUGUCGAAGCUUGGUUUCUUUUGCAAAGAAUAACUUACCUCCUAAUUUAAAAAAGCUGAGAAUUACAAAAUGUGAAAAUUUGGAGUAUUUGGUUGACGAAAAGAAGAUAAUAAGAGCACGUUUGGUUCGCUGUAUUGGAAUAGAGGCGUAAUGGAAUAGAGGUGUAAUAACAAAUCAAUUGUUUGGUUGAAUGUAAUGGAAUAGAGGCAUAAUAGUAAUCUUGUAUUUGGUUGAACGGAAUAGAGGUGUAAUAGCAUAAUGGAAAAAACUAAAAUGACUAGAAUACCCUUAGCAUAAAUUUAUUUUGGUAAAUGAUUAUUGUUAUUGUUAUUUAAAUUUUAAUAAGAUUAUUAUUAUCAAUAAUAAAUAAUUUAAUCAUAUUUAAACAUAAUUAUUAUUAAAUAUAUUAUAAUUAAAACAUAUAAUUUAAUAAAAUUCUUAAUAAUCAAUAUUCUUAUAUGAAUUUACUCAAAUCAUAAUAUAUGAUACUAUAAAAUAUAAAUUAACAUAAUAAUUAUUAAAUAUAUUAUAAUUAAAAUAUAUAAUUUAAUAAAAUUCUUAAUAAUUAAUAUUCUUAUAUGAAUUUACUCAAAUCAUAAUAUAUUAUACUAUAAAAGAUAAUUUUAAAUAAUUAAUAUUAAAUAUAUUUUAAUUAAAAUAUAUGAUUUAAUAAAAUUUAAAAUAAUUAUAACUAAUAAAUUAUCUUAUAUGAAUUUGUAUAAUUUAAAAUAAUUAUUAUUACAUAUAAUUUAAUAAUAAUAUAUAAUUUCAUAAAAUUCUUGAUAAUAAAUUUUCUUAUAUGAACUUAUACAAUUUAAAAUAAUUAAUAUUAAAUUUAAUUUAAUAAUGAUAUAUAAUUUCAUAAAAUUCUUAAUAAUAAAAUGUUCUUAUAUGAAUUUACUAAAAUCAAAAUAUAACUUGAGAAUUAUAUUCUGGAUAAACAUAAUUAACUUAUAUUAAGAAAAGGCUAGAUGAAAAUGAAAUUCUACAUCAUAAUCCAUAUGUUAUAUAGUUUUACAACAUCAAAAAGUUUGAACAUUGAUUUUUAAUGGUGAGAAAGAAAUUUUCUAACCCAUUCUAAUCGCGCAACAAAAGGUAAACUAAAGAAAACGAUCAUUUGGGUUGGAUGAUCUGGAAUUUUACUCAAAACGUCAUACCGCUGAUCGUCGGUUAAACCUUCAAUUUUCCAUAAGGAUGAAUAUAAAUUUGAAGCUUUCUCUUCCAUCUUUUGAUAUUCUUCUGACUUCUGCUGAAUUACCACCUCGAAGGCAAUACUCCUACUGAUUUGAUCGCCAACAGCCUUGAUGUUUUCGGCCAAUAAAGUGGCAGCCUCAUCAAAUGAAGAAUACAUAUUAUCACGAGCAUCGGAUUUCUUCUUUCUCUUGUUUAAAGAUGAGGAACCCCCUUGGUUUCUAUCUCCUCGCAGCUCCGAACCAGAAACAUCCAUGUCCUCCAAAGAGAAGUCAGCUUCGCAGUCAUAGAAUGUGUCUCUCUCUUCAUUCAUAUCUGUAGUAGGUACAUCCUCAGCAUUUAUUUCUUCAAAAACAUCAACAGCUGUUUGCGCAUCUUUCCCAGUCGCUCGAUCUCUUGCGUAUAUGGCAGUAAGCUGGUUGUAGUAAGGGAAAGUACGAUGUCUGAAUUGAGCGAAUUCUUUAUGACUCUAAAAAAAAUGAGGAAAUCAUAUUAGUUAUAAGUUUGGUAAAAAAAACAAAUAAAGACAUGAAAUACAUUUUACAUUUACAUAGGAGUCCCAAACUGCAUCUUCAGCAACAACGAGCUGCCUAUGCUCGUCCCAACCAAAACCGCUAUUGUUUUGGCCAUUAAGCAUGUCAUAGACGAUUGACCAUUCCCUUUUUAGUAACCUAAUCCUCGAUUCAAUAUUUGGUUUCGCCUUCAACAUUGCAUUUGGUAAAGCCUUUUCUAGCAUCUUUCCAACUCGUUCAAAUAACCGGCUUUGAACCCGGUACCAACAUUAAAUGUUCCAACAUUGUGCAAGUCCACCAUGCAAGAUCUUCUUCUGGAACCCAUUUUCUUUUGGUUCCUCGAGAAACUUGAGAAGAAGCAUGUGAUUGUGGAACACCUGACAUAAUUAUCUUAAAAAAAACAAAUUAACAUUAUGACAGAAUUUUUAAUAUCAUGAAUCAAAAGGUAAACAAUUUAUAAAAUUAUAUCGUUUGUUCAAUAUCAUGAAUCAAAAGCUCAAUACUAAAUUUAAAAUUAUAACACAUGCUGAAUGAAAAGAAAUUAAAUUAUAAUUCAACAAGUUUAGUACAGUACAGAAUUUUAUUCAAACACCACCAAAGUUUCAUAAAUUAAAUACAUAAAAUAACAUCAACAAAUUAAGUCAAACUCAAUUUGUCCCUAAACCUAACUAAUUUCUAGAUGUUUGCCAUUCAUCGAACAUUUGGUUGGCUAGUUCCAUCCUCCAAGUAGACCAAGCAUCCGAUGGAUGAAUAUUUGUGAUAUUCGGUUCAUCGUCAUCCACCACAUUACUAGGUAAUCCUUCUCCUACCUCCGCUUCAAUGGGAUCAAUACUCAUAUGGGUUCAAAUAAAAUUAUGGAGCAAACAACAUGCAAUAAUAAUUCUAUUGUGCACCCUUACAGGAUAGAACGAUGGACUCCUAAGUAUUCCCCAUCUAAGUUUUAAUAAGCCAAAGCAUCUUUCAAUAAUAUUACGUGCUGAGGCAUGUUUCAUAUUAAAAAACUCUUGCGGAGAACUUGACUGAUAACCCUGACGCCACUCGUUCAAAUGAUAGCGUUGUCUUUUAAAAGGUGCAAGAAAUCUCUCACAAGUUGUGUAUCCAGCAUCAACUAGAUAAUAACCUAUAAAAUAAUUUUUUUUUAAAUGAUUAAUUCAGCACAAAAAGUUUGAUCUUAAUGAACAAUAUCAAAGUCCUCUAACUGUCCACUUUACCAUGAGGAACAAUUAGUCUAUGUCUUCUACUAAUGGCAUCUCGAAGAACCCGUCCAUCGGCAACUGAACCUUCCCAACCAGGAAGAACAUAAACAAAUUGCAUCUCAGGUGUACAAACACCUAGUAUAUUUGUUGCUAUGUCACAUUUUCGCGUUCAAUAUCUAGGUUUAUCAACUGUUAGCACCCUAAUCUUGAUGUGAGUUCCAUCAAGAGCACCUAAGCAAUUCUAUAUCACAUGAUAUAAAACCUUGAGUUAGAAUACUAAUUUAAACCCAAGUCAACUAAAUGUUGUAUAAUCUAUAUAUAAAACUCAGUCCAAUACCUUAAACCAUUUCCACCUUUUGUCAUAAGAAUCGGUUGUAAUUGGCUCCGACUUUUUAAAUAACACAUCUUGUAAGCGUAUGACAGCAUUUAAAACACUAUGAAAUGCUCUGCUAACAGUUUCCCCGGACCUUCUAAAGUGAUGCUUGAUAACUCGAUUUUUCAGGUGAUGGGAGAUGAUAUGUAAAAACAUUGCUACUUGCUCAUCAACAAGCAUGUUUCUUGACGACUUCAAUCCCCCUAUCGAUUCUAACAUCUCACAUAGUUUAAAAAAAGCAGUUCUAUUCAUCCUAACUUGUUCAAUACAAGUCUCGUCACUAGCAUAUACAAGCCUUUUCACAUAAUCCCGUUUUGCAUAAAAAUCUAAGGUAUAUGACCUAAUCAUUGGUCUACAAGUUUGUAGGCUAAGGCUGGCACCCAUUCUAAAUAAGAACCAAAUCGUAAUUCUACAGAUUUCCAACCAUAUUGUCAAUGCAAUACCAAUUCUUUUACGCCUCUCACGUUGUGCAAUUAAAGGCAUACGAGCCAUUACUGCAACAUAUUAAAAUUAGAACACACUAUCAAAGAAUUGAAGUUGCAAUUAGACAUUAUCAAAUAAAAAUAAACAAUAUUAAUUUAGAACACACUAUCAAAGAAUUGGAGUUGCAAAUUAAAUUUUAUAAAAAUAAUUGAGAGUCAAACAAAUUAAAAAUGAGAGCAACUAGGUUAUUAAUUUUGGGGGAGUUGAUAGGAUUAUAUGGGGAUAAGAAAUUACAGCAAGGAACAUUGAAUCUAAAAGAAUCAAGAUGGCACGUGUUUAUUUUUAAUUAGUAAAAUUAUUAGUAAAAAUUUGCAUAAAUGAUUGAUAGCUAUUAACAAAUUUAAUAUUUUAAAGAUAAAUAGUUAAUAAGAAUAUAGUAAUAAACUUUAUCAUUGUAAUUAUAAAAAUCUAUAUAAUAUAUUGAUUCAGCAGAAAGUGUAUAUAUUUUUAUAAAUAUUACCUAAUUGAAAAUGAAUUCUAACUUAAUGUCUAAUUGUAAAUACAUUAUUUUAAUUAAUAAAAUAUUAUAAAUUCCAUAUUUUUGAAUAAUUCACAUAGAUAAAAUUUUUAAAAUAAAUAAAUAUUAAAUAUGUUUUUUAUAUUAAUAUUAAAUUUUAAUUGUUAUGCCAUGUUUUAUUUAUAUUUUGGAUUUAAAUGUAUAGUUUUAUAUUAAUAUUAUAUAAUCAAAAUGAUUUUAAUUAUAUUUCAAUUAAAAAUAUUAUAUAAUCAAAAUGAUUUUAAUUAUAUUUUAAUAUACCUUAAAUAACAUAAAUAAGAUUUUUAUUUGAGCUUAAAGUUAGCACAAUUUAUUUUAAUAAUGUUUAAAUUUGAACGAGAUCUUUGAAAGUAUCAAAAUCGUUAUAUUUUUAUCAUAAUUGAUAUUAAUACAAGAAUUGGUACUAAAGUUUGAUGUCCUUUUUAUAACAAUAUUCUGUCCAUGAAUUUCCUUUUUUUUUUGGUCAGCAAAUAAAAGUAUUAUUAAAAUCCAAAGAGUUAAAAAUUAACCACAAAGUUAAUAGAACACACUUUAAACACAUACCAAAAAGAGAUAACUUAAGCUCCUAUAAACCCACCAUAAAUAUUCGACAGUUGAAUGUAAAUCUUCAAAAGAUCCUAGAAUUCCAACGAUUUGCUUGAAAGUUGGACAAUGGAAGGUGGAGGAGAGAGAGCAACUGAAAGCAGCAACCAUGUGAUAAUUUUUUCAUGAUUGUUUGGAAAGAAAGGAAGUACAAAAGUAGAACACUAAGCUAAUUCAGAAUAUAUGUUGGAAUGAAUCAAAACAAAGCAGCAACCAUGUGAUAACUUUUUCAUGAUUGUUUGGAAAGAAAGGAAGUACAUCCACAAUUGAAAAAUGGGUUAAUGUUUGAUAUAUUGACAGAUUAUAAGUUUGACAGAUAAUUUAAAACUUUUAAAAGUAAGAUGAGAGAUUUGGUAAUGAAGAAAGCUUUGGGUAAUUUAUGUUCCUUGGGUGCCAUCAACUGGAGGUACAGGUCAUGGCUUCAUUUUCACUUCAAUAUAUAUACAGCCCAAUAAAAAAGGGUUUUCUUGGUUUCUCAUAUAUGGCCAAAAGCAGAUACAGUGGAAGGAGACCUUAUCAGCUAAAUAUUUCAAAAAGAAUGAAACGUAAGAGCAACAUAUAGGAAAAAACUCUUAGUUUCAUAAUUCCACACCAACUUGGAGAUCAAAUUAGCAGUAAAUGUACUUGGGUGUUAAUUCAUUAACUAGUCGUAUUAACACACAUUAAAAUAUGGAGAGCCAUGGAAAGCUACACUAUACCUAUACGAAAAGACUAUAUAUGGAGAGCUAAUUGAUGCAUGCAAAACUCCGAUUGCUACACAAUAUGAAUCUACAUUUUUUUCACCUCCAAAUUAACAGCACUAUUGGCAACAUCCAACAUGAGUUCUUAUGCUAAAACCAUGAAUCUCCUUUUCUUAUUAGUCUGUCUCCAUUCAUUUAUCAGUGAGCAAACAUUUCAAAGCAUUCAAAGUUGAAGUAGUCAAGUCAGUUUUAAAGAUGAUCUCUUUUUUUGGUACUUGCUCAAGAUAUAUAUAUUGGAAUCUCUGUCUAGUUUAGAUUCAUUCUGAAAACAACCACCGAGAAAUUUUAUGGCAACCAGGACUAUUUUGUAAACAUUUUAAGCACUAUGCUGUCAUUCUAGAGCUCAUUAUAUGCAUGUUAAAUUGCAAUAUCCAUGACAGAAUAUCAGAGUGUUUCUAUUCAACAGAAUUCUCAAAAAGCAUACAAAUCCAAACAGGACAUGAGCAUCAUAGUCCUUUGUUUUCAUUUCUGACUGAUCAAGCAGAUGGAGCCACUGCAAAUAAAUUAUAUAGCCACUGCAAACAAUUGUAUAGCCACAUGCAAUGGGGGGAAACUAACCUGUAACGAGGAAAUCGGAGAGGAGAUCGAUGAAGAACUGCUGGAGCAAAGAACCUGCAAUGAUCAACAACCAAAAAAAAUAAUGAAAAAAAAACCAUAACCGGCAAGAAACGAAAUGCCGAUUUGCCAAGAACUGAAACAAUCGCAUGCAGAGAGGAAAGAAAUAGGUUACUCAGAAGGCGGAGUUUACUGAUUCAAGCCGUCCGAAGAUCUGACACCGUCGAAUCAGAGAAAGAUGCAAAGUUGAAAUCGGGAUCGGCUAGAGGUUUGGUUCGCUGGGAGGGAAAGGGUCGGCUGGAGUCGAUUUCGGCAAGGGGAGGGUAAAUGAGACACCGAUUACCUAAUCUUUGCUUUUGCAAUGGAUUAGAAAUCGGUGGUGAAGCAGCCAAAAUGCGGAAUCCGUCCGCAACGGAUUAGGCCAGUAUUAGGGCAAUACAGCGAACCAAACUCUGUAUUCAGUGGGGCCACCGAUUCGGGGUGUAAUGGCUAAUCCAUUACACCCAACCAAACAAGGCAUAAGAGUAUGAGUAGUACCCUCUGUCUUCUUGAGGAGUUGUCUAUCUAUAAGUGUUCGUAGUACCCUCUGUCUUCUUGAGGAGUUGUCUAUCUAUAAGUGUUCGUCUCUAAUGUCUUUGUCAUCGAAAGGGCACAAAAAUAUUUGCAAUCAGCUUCAACUUCUCCAAAUUACCGAAUGCUCAAAGCUGAGUUGCCUAUUUUCAAACACCAAGUUUUCCCAUAACACUUAAACAUUUGAUAAUUGGGGAAUGUCCAGAGUUGGAAUACAUAGCCCAAAAGUUUGAGGAAACCGCUUGUCUUGAAUCUAUUCUAUUUUUCAGAUCUGGAAUUAAAUAUCUACCACGAGGACUAGGCAAGCUCAAACAUCUCCAGGAGAUUUGGUUGCUUUCGUGUUCAAAUUUGGUUUCUUUUGAAGAAAGUGGGUUGCUCACCACCAGCUUCAGAGCUUUUGUAGUUGAUGGUUGUGGAAAUUUUGGAACCCUCCUAAGUGCAUGGCCAGCACCACCUCCCUUCGACGAUUAAGUGUGCGCAACUCUUUGGCUGACAUAUCAUUUCCAUCAGAGGGAUUCCCUGCCAAUCUCACAUCACUUACAAUCUCAAAGACACCCAAGAUUUAUAGGUCACUUGUGGAAUGGGGAUUAAAUAGACUCACCUCUCUUCAAGAAUUGGUCAUCAGAGGUGUAGGAUGCUCAAACAUGUGUCGUUCCCAGAAAAAGGGACUGGAAUGAUGCUUCCUCCUUCUCUCACCCAUAUCAUCCUUUUAGAAUUUGAGAAUCUGGAAUACAUGUCAUCCAAGGGCUUUCAAGACCUCGCCUCUCUGAAAGAAUUGGACAUUGGUGAAUGUCCCAAGCUAACAUCUCUUCCGGAUAAAGACGUGCUUCUCUCGCUUGGAUAUUUACAUAUUUACAGUUGUCCGUUGCUGAAAGAAGACUGCUUAAGCGAUAAAGGGCGAGAGUGGUCUAAAAUUUCCCACAUACCCCUUGUUGAAAUUGAUGGUAAAAUAGUCAUCCCGAGGGAAUCAAACUGAAAGGGCAAUCAUAUAGCACACAAAAAAUCCUUUUCACCAACGUUAGUUUAUGGAACACGACAAGCAAUUGACUGGGGGAUUUGUUCAAAAUCGUUCUAGAUCCAAUCAUAGAAACAAAAAGGAUGAUACAAACCAUUCGACUGGUAAAAUCGAACGGGAUCUGAAAAUUAUGAGCUAGCAUGAUCUGGUAAGCACUUGAGGUCCAUCUCGACUUGGUGAAUAGUCCAUUGCAUAUUUUCUAGUUUCUGUAAUGUAAACCGGCGGCGUUAAUGUUUUGUUCAAAAGGAACCUUGAGUGAAACACCAGUUAAUUUUGAAGCUGAUGCCACCUUAACAACAUCAUGGUACUGCCUUGCAAUUGUAUCGAAGUGAGGAUCGACACCUUGAUACUCACGUAGGCGUGUUACCUGUUUAAAAGGGUUGUAACACGAACUGAGAUUGAGACAGACAAGAAAGAAGAAAAACCCGAAUGAGAAAUAACCCUGAGUUACGAAAAUAUGCAUAAUUUUGAAUGAAAAACCAAGUAUAUUCUAAUCAAACAUUAGGCUACCGAACCAGAUAAAGAAGAUUUUACAUACAGCUUUAUUAUACGCAGCAGAGGCUUCUUCGGUAGCCUCGACAGGAUAUUUCCUGCCAACAAUGCCAGACAUGGUUAUGGCUUGCUUUAAAACAAACAAAUAAAAGAGACGCUUAAAAAAAUUAUAACAAUGGGAGCAGUCCACAAUACAGCAAGAAAUAUAGGGCCACAAACCUUAGUUUUGCACUCAUGGUCUCGCACCUUUUGCAGAGCCACGUCUUCUGUAAUUCAUCCUGCAAAGUAAAAGAUGAGUUUAAAGAUCAGUCCAUGGAAGAACAUAUAAAACCCUCAACAGACGCUGGAAAAUAACUCCCAGAGUAUAGAAGCUUACAUAUUGAUGUUGAUGUUGCAACUUCAAAUCUUUGACGAGCUUAAUGAGCACUCCAAGUAUUUGCUCUAGGACCCGUUAAGAGAGAUUGUUUUACAUCACGUAUCGUGAAAAAUAUAGAGCAAACCCGUUCUCAAAACACUAUGUGAUCCAUGAAAAACUCCUGUUAAUAGAACUCAGUCUCACAUGGAUUUCUAUUAACCUACACUAUAAUAUUCUGCAAAUUUCCUAUCUGUGGAAUAGAGAUCCUCCCGCAAAGCUGCUUCUUCCCUCUCAAUCUCCUCAAUUAUCAACUUAACCCUGGUAAAAGAAAUAUCACAAACAGGUAAUCAACAUCGAGCAUAUAAGCCAACCCCAUCAAAAAGGUGGAGAAAGUAACUAAUACCUUUCUGGAAGCCGAGAGCUUGAACUUUGACUUCCAGAAGAUGAGUCUGCAGCACAAAAUGAAUAGUACCAAAGGGACCACAAUUCCAAGAAGCAAAUAUGCUUCAUAUAUUUGCUCUCACAUUCUAAUUUCGUCAUAUGUAAUCUACGCCUUUUGCAAUAAAAUGAUGGGCAACAAGAUCUAUGGAUUGAUAUCACAAACCAGUGAGGAAUUUUGGGACAGAACAUUAUGAAGGAUGCAUUGUUUCUGACAACAUGUUAAAACAAUGGGGAUAUAUAAACUAUUAGGCAUGUUGAGAAGUGAAAAAGGAUAAAGAUAUAUGAAUGUACCAAUAUCAUCAACAAAGGCAUCAGCUAACUUGUCACACUUAGAUUUCAACCGAGCAUCAAUCUCCCUUGAAAGAGUUAACUGAUAGUCAGCCAUAUCCUAAAUUUGCAAAUUAACAAAAAUUAUAGAAAUGUGUCAUGAUCUUGUAAGAAAGUUUAUGACAACUAAAACAAGGGCCUCUUUUGUAAUUAAAGAUCUUAAAACUUCCAUCUGCAAUCAUGAAACAAAGUUUUCAUACCAUUGACAAUGGUACUCGUUGAAGCUGAGUUUGCCACAAAUAAGCAGGUGUUAUUCCAAGAAAACGAUUAGGCACACCACCAACACCAGGUUCUCCUGAAUCACCAGUAUUAUUUGCAGCUGCACCACUGGUUGCAGCACUAUUUGCAUAAUUCAAUGAGUUUGAACUCGAGCUGAUAGUGAGACUGGUACUAGUACUAUCAAGCGAACUCCGUGACAUAAUACUCCAUUUCUCAAUUUCUUCCUCAUGAAUUUCCCCAUCUUUAGAUAUUAGAGGAAGUCUCAAUCUUUGAGCCGCUUCUGCAACAACUAAUCGAUGCUCUAGAGUCUCAUAAACCUAAAGUUCAUAAACACAAAGUAGAACCCUUAUCAGAUUCCCAACUAUAAAGACUGUUUUCUCAUCACUUUUGCUGCUUAUUUUUCAUAAAACGCUUUUUCUUUACUUUCGUCUCAAGUGUGAGGGUUGGAAACAGGUAUUAAUUGCACUUUCCUUAUAAAAUUAAAAAUUAAAAUUGAAAAUCAUACCUUUUUAACCAUUUUAGGUUUGUAAUAUUUAAUCUUUCAAGAAAAUAUUAAUUGCACUUUCUUUUUUGUUCCAAAAGAAAUUCAUAUAUCUAAUGUCCAAUAAGUUUCUCCUUUAACCGCAAACAUUCAAAAAGAAAAUUUAGAAAAUAAAAAUUAAUGAAAUUAAUAUGAAACCUGAGGAGAAUUCUUCAAUCCAAGCUGCGGAUAAAAACCUUGAAUAUCUCGAAUCCCUCCAAGAUUCGCCACGGAAACUGCUUGCUGAUACUCUUCCACCAUAGCCAUUGCUUCACAAUAAAUUACCUGCAAAAAUAGACACGAAUUUUACAUUUUAUUUUCUUACGAAAUUCAUGACAAAAAAAAUCCAGUAAAUGAAAAUUAAAUUAGAAUAUCACCAUUGCUUCUAAGUAGCGUAAUCUUUCUCUCGACAUUUCCUCUCUCGCCUGAAAAUCGAAAUCCAUCACGUUACUUGAAAAAAGAAGAAGAAGGAAUUACACAAGAAAAAAAUCAAAUUUUAAUAGAGAAUACGAGCUGGAGAUCGUAGUAGGCGGAUUUGGAGAUAAGAGAUCCAUCGGGAGAUAAGCAAUGGCGCUCUAGCUGAUCGAUUACUUGGAUGACGUCAGCCGGCAAGUUUUGCCCUCCUUUCACCAUGAAUUCAGUCUUGUUUUGGCUUCGAAACGAUGUUAAUGAGUUUUGUUUGUUUACUGGGAAAAUGAAAAGGAAACUAAACGAGAAAAAGGCCGGCCUUUGGAUUUUUGAAAACUUGAAUUGAAAUGGAUGCAAAGGUUAUCGAAGGAGUGAAAAGUAAAAAAUCAACCCUCUAUUUUUUUUUAUCGGAGAAAAUAAAUCAAAAACAUAUAUUUAUGGUUAAAAUCUUCUUUUACUCCUUGUAAUUUGACAAAAUUUUAUAUUUAGUCCUAUACUUUACAAAUUUAAAAAAUUAGCUCCUCCUACAUUUUUUAUUUAAAAAUAACAGCCCAAUCAUUAAAAUCGCAUGUAUUUACCAAAGUCAAAUUGACAUCAUGACUAGGUUGCCCUCAUGCAUUGUAACAUAUGUUUGAUAGAAAAUAAACAUGUAAAGUUGACAAAUUUUAAUAUAAACUACCAAUAACGAUAAUGAUUGAACUAAAAUUUUUUAAAUUAAAAAUGUAGGAGAAUUGAUUUUUUAACUUUUUAAGUUUAUGGACUAAAUCUCAAAUUUUAUAAAAAUAUAGAGACUAAUAAUAUAUUUAACAUUUAUUUAUGUUUAAGUUAAUUAUUGUUCAUUUUCUUUUUACCUCAAAUAAAUUAUUUAUCUCAAAAUUUAUUUAAUUUUUUUUAAAAAAUAUGUUAAGGAAAAAUAAGAUGAUAACUGCUGUAUAAAUUUAUCAUUUUAUUUUUAUAUAUAUGUAAUUAUUAAAAGAGUAAAAAUGUAAAAAUACAUUAUAGAAAAACACUUAUAUUUUAUGUUUAGAAUUUAUUUUCAAUUAAAAUUAUGUUUAAAUAUUUGUUUGUCUUUAAAAAGAUUAGAAAUAAUUAUUAAAAAUCACAUUGAAGUGAGACGAGGAGAGACGAAGAUGAAUGUAUCUAACAUAUAUGGGAAUUGUACUACUUUUUAAAAGGUAAAAUGACUUAUUUGGCCUUUCAACUUAUCAAAAAAAGUAAUUUUAGUCCUUUAUUUAAUUUUUUUACUUUUUUUAACCUUUAAACUUAUGCUUUGUUUGUCAAAUCACCUAAAAUAGAUGGAAAAAUUAAUAUAUAUUAAUUUUAUUGACGUGACAUACACGUUAAAUGUCACAUAGAUGUUAACUCAAUAAUUAAUUAAUUUUUAAAAUUCAAAAAUAUAUAAUAAAUUAUUUUAAAAAAAUAAAAUUUAUUAAAUUUAUUAAAAAUAUUUUUUUAAUAAUUUUAAUUUUAAAAAUUGGAAUAAUUGUUAAUGGAUAUACCAGAGGCGAAUCUAGGGGGCUUGCAAGACCCUGACCCCCUUAAAAUGGAAAAUUACUAUUUAGGCUCUUUAAAAUUUUGUAAAUUUUAAAUUAAUAAAGGUAAAAUUGUACUUUAGCUACCCUAAAAUUAUAAAAAUUUGAUUUAAUCUUUUAAAUAUUAUAAAGAUAUAGACUAUAAAAAAUUAAAAAUUUCAUUCGCCCCUAAAAAAUUAUUCUGGCUUCUCCCCUGGGACAUACAUAUGGAUUGCUACAUCAGUAAAGUUAACAAGCAUUAAGUUUUUCAUGCAUUUUGAAGUGAUUUGACAAAUAAUAAAAAUUUAAAGAUUAAAAAAGAUGAAAAAAAUAAAUGACUAAAAUGAAAUUUUUAUAAAAUUGAAAGAUGAAACAAAUUAUUAUACCAUUUCUUUUGUAAAACAGAGCAAAAAUAUCUCAAUUUUUACAAAAAAUUAGACAUGUUUAAAAUAUGAGUGAAGCUCGAACUUAAACAUUCAAUGCUCAAACUUAGCUCAAUUCGACUCACUUUUAAGUUUAUAAUACUUUAUAUUAUAUUAUAUAAAUUAUAACACAUAAAAAAUAUAUUAAAUAUAUAAUACUACUCUAAUGUAAAUAUUAAAAUAAUGUUAAGAUGUCUAUGUAAAAAAUUAAUAAAUAAAAAUAUAUAAAAUUAUAAAUAUUAAAUUAAAAUAAUAUAAAUAUUUUUAAAAAUUUUAAAAAUUAAUAUGGACGGACUUAAAAUGGAUUUUAAUUAGUAUUUUGUAAAUACAUACAAGCUUGAAUAAAAUUUUAGGUUCAUAUUUUCUGAUUUUCAGCUUUAUUCAAAAGUUUAGAUAAAUUAUUAAAUUACCCCACUUGUAAUUUUUGUAAAAAAAUUUCUGAUUCAAAGCGAACCCACACUCGGCAAACGUGAGCUUAAGGGCAGCGAAGAAGACUACUUGGUCAAAGCGUUCAUCCUAAAUGAAUUGAAAAAGUACACUUUUGAUUAAUUGUUUAAUACUUUAGAUAUCACAACUAAAAUCUUGUUUUGAAAAAAUUUUAAAACUCUAGCUGUAACAGGCCCAAUUGGCCCGGUUGUAACACCCCUUACCCGUAUCCAACACCGGAAUAGGGUAUGAGGCAUUACCAGAACACAUACACUUGUAAACGUAUUUAACCGAGUUAUAAAAUUUCGUCUAAAUUAAAACUUUCAAAAUUAUUAACAUGCUUUUAUAACUCUUCACAAUAUAUCCUCAAAAUAUUAUAAUCUUAAUAAAUAGGGCCUACGAGACCUGAUACAUACUCAUGCAAUUCAAUGCUUCAUUUCCAUUUCAUUCAAUUCGCAAUUUCUCGUGCUCACAAUUUAAAUCAUAUCACUAGCAAUUUCCAUUUAAUUCACGUACAAUUCAAUGCCACUAAGUUUAACACUGACACGUAUUUACCAUUUAUCUCAACGUUUAUCGAUUAUACCAUUCAUUAACACAUUUAUGAAAUUCUCAAUUUUGCAAUAUAAAUAUCACAUUAGCUUAAAUAACAACAUCAUCCUGAUACAAAUACACAACCACUUACCCAUUUGCUUUAAUUCUUUUGGGCCCAAUUGUCACUUACCAUCCUUAAUCAAAUUAGGGAUCGGUUACGAAAAAUUGAGUACUUCACUUUCACUUUGCCAUAGUAUAACUAUGGUCCUACGUAUGAUCUCUUAUCACUUGUCCCUGAUCAGAUAAGUGUAGCUAGGCUACCACUUAUCACUUUGUCUCUUGAUCAGAUAAGUGUAGCUAAAGCUAUCACUUAUCACUUUGUCACAUGAUCAGAUAAGUGUAGCUAAAGCUACCACUUAUCACUUUAUCACUUGAUUAGAUAAGUGUAGUUAAAGCUACCACUUAUCACUUUGUCACUUGAUCAGAUAAGUGUAGCUAAAGCUACCACUUAUCACUUUCCACUUGUCACUUAUCACUGAUCAGAAGUACUCAAAUUCGACGUUCCGCUCAAUUUGAUCAUUUAUUCGGUUUUCGCAUUGUUAUUUUAUUUUCAAUCCAUCAACAAAUACAUAUCAUCAUACAUAUUAAUUCAUGAAUUUAACAUUUAAUCGUUAAAUUUCAGCCAUAUAAACUUACUAUUUUAUUACCUUUCCACACUCAUUUCUUAUGCAUAUCACACAAGAUAUAAACAUAUCAUUCAAUCAAAGUCGCAAGCUAGUGUAUUUAAACGUAACUCUUUUUGAAACUAACCACAUGAUAAACCAUUUCAAUGCAUAACUUAUAAAUUUAACGUGGCAUAAUUCAACCAUUACUUGGCCAAAGCCUAAGCAUGUAUACCAAAUAUGAUAGCCAAAUACACAUAUAGCAUAAGCAUUAUAAGCAUGGAUGAGCACAACAUUUAUUAAUGUCCCACACUUACCAACAUGUGUUAAUUCAUAAACCAUUCAUGACAUUACUUCAUGCCCAAUCAUAUACCAAAUAUACUAUUCACACAUACUAUGAAACUUUAUUUUCACACAUGAGCUUAAACCACGUCAAUAAUACACAAAUCAUUCAUAUAUUUUCCAAUUUUCCUCCUCCUUCUCUCCAAUCCACAUCCUUAAUGUGUAUAACACACUUAAACAAUAUUAACUAUAAUUUCACUAUUCACUCACAUGUAUAUUCAAAGCUAUUUAUCCGAGUCAGAGUCACUAAAUUAUUUUUAUCCGGAGCUACAGAACUUCAAAUUAAGAUCCGUAAAUUUUCCCCGAAACUAGAUUCACAUAUCUUCUUACCAUAAAAAUUUAAGAAUUUUUUGUUUAGCCAAAUAGUACAGUUUAUUCUUUAAAGCUUCCCCUGUUUCUCUUCUCGACAAUUCUGACCUCUCUUCACUAAAAAUUAAUUAUCUCAUUGUACAAAAUUCGAAUGAUGUUUUCGUUUGUUUCCUUUGAAAAUAGACUCAUUAAGGAUUCUAACAUAUAAAUUAUAACUCAUAACUAUUUUUGUAAAAUUUUUAACAAUUUUACAAAUUCAGAACAGGGGAACCCGAAAUCAUUCUGACAUUAUCUAACAAAAUUUAUUAUAUCUCAUGAUUUACAAUUUCAUUGCUUUCACCGUUUAUUCUAUGAGAAACUAGACUCAAUAAGUUUUAAUUUCAUAUUUUAUUCAUCCUCUAAUUCUAUGAGAAACUACUGCUGCUGUCCAAAACUGCUUUAGUGCAAAAUGUUGAUUUCCAUUUUGCCCCAAAUUUCACAGGUUAUACAAUUCGGUCCUUUCUCAAUUAACCCCUCAAUUGAUAUAAUUUUCUCAAUAAUACUUUACCUAGACAUUAUGAGUUAUUUCACAACUAUUGAAAUUCAGAAUUUCCACAUAUAACUCUAACUUCAAACUCUUUUACUAUUAGGUCCCAAACAUUCACUUUCGAUUCAAUUCUUUCAAUAAAAUCAGCAUAUGAACAAUUUAAAGCUCUAAUUCCAUGCUAAAUCAUCAUAUACUUCCAGCACAUAUUCAUAGUAACUUUCAACUUCUUUCAUAGAAUCAAAAACUAAUAAAUUCAACAAGUGGGCCUAGUUGUAAAAGUCACAAAAAUACAAAAGUUUCAAGAAAUAAUCAAGAAUUGAACUUACUUGGAGCAAAAAUAUGAAGAACCAGCUUGAAGAAACCCUUCUAUGGUGUUUUAGCUGAUGAGAAUGCAGAAAAAAAUGAAUAGAAUUCUCGAUAAUUCCACUUUGGUCCUAACUUUAUUAAGCAAAUUUUGCAAUAUUCCAAGUUUACCCUUAAUUCUCCUUACUUUCUUGCUGAUUUCAUGCCUUUGCCGUCCAGCCCAAAUAGACCUUGGGUCUAUUUUCCUUUUAAGCCCUCUUCCUUUUAUCAUUUAAGCUAUUUAAUCAUUUCCUAUAAUUUUUGCAUUUAUUACAAUUUAGUCCUUUUUGUUCAAUUAAUUAUCGGAACUUUAAAAUUUCUUGACAAAACUUUAAUACCAACUUUUUAACACUCCAUAAAUAUUUAUAAAUGGCUCGGUUUAAAAUCUCUGAGAGCUCAAUACCUCGUUUUCGAUUCUAAUUAUUUUAAUAUUUAUUUUUAGUGCACUAUUCACUAUUUCAAAGUUUUUCCUAACUUCACAUUUAACUUAUACUCACUAAAUUAAUAAUAUUUUCUACUCAUUUGUCGAAUUUAGUGAUUUGGAAUCAUCAUUCCGACACCUUUGAAAAUUCAGGCCAUUACAUUUUUUCCUCGUUGGAUUUGUGGUCCCGAAACCACUGUUCCGACUAGACCCAAAAUCAGGCUGUUACACGGGCCCUUUACAAAAUAAAAAUGGGCAGUCCAGGCCCAAUAACUCUAAACCUAGCCCAAUUAACACCCCAAAUUCCCUAAACCCUAGCCGCAUAUUCUUCAAACACUAGUAGUCGCCGCAGGCCGCAACAGUAGUCGCCAUUUGCGCGAGUUGCGCCUUCGCGUGCGCGCACACUCCUCAACAGCCUCCGAACCUAUGAAAAAGGAGGCCUACAGCGCAGCAAUAGCAACAAACACAACAAAUAUUGUUGGGGAAAUAUAUUUUUUUCCUAUUAUUUUAUUUUCAGCUAUUUAUGGCCGUUAUCAAUCUGUAAAUGGGGGAGACAAGAUUAAAAAUACAGAUUCGAUUUUUUAACAAAGGUUUUUUUCCGUCUUAUUUAAUCGGUGUUCGUCAUUCACGAUUCUUUUUUCUUAUUUUUUUGUUUUAUUUUUUUAUUUCGUUUAAAAUAUAAAAAAGAAGAAAGGAAGCUUACCUCUUUUGCCAGAGUCGUCGAAUUGGCGCCACCUCCGUCGCGAUCCGAACCCCGGCGCGCAGUUGAACGGCGGCGCGAAGAACGGGUUGAAAACCCUAGCAGAGCUUUCGCACUCUUUUUGUUUUUUUUCUUCUUUUCGUUAUGCUGCAAAUGAAAUUUAAAAAAAACUGUUUUAAAUUGUAUUAGUGAAACGGCGCCGUUUGGUAUUGGGGAAGGGGGUCCACGCGUUGACCCGACCCGCAUCAGGGUCCGUGCGUAUCAACCUUGAAUGGUAGAUUUGCACUAUUAGUCCCCCAUUUUUGCGACGCAUUUCAAUUAAACUCAUUUUGUUUUUUAAAUUAGCCGCAUAUUUCAUUUCUGUUUCAAUUUGGUCCCUCGCUGCGCAGCAUUUUGGAGGGUGGGAUUAAUUUCCCUUUUAGUCCCCCAUUGUUGUUCGCGUGUUCAAGUUUGUCCUUUUCUAUUUAUUUUCGAAUCUACCCCAUUUUUUUGUUUUUAAGUUCAAUUUAGUCCAUUUUUAGCUUUGUUUUUAUAUAUUCUUUUUUUAUGUUUAUCAUUAUACCAUUAUUUAUUAUUAUUAUAUUAUUUACUAUCACUGUUAUUAUCAUUAUUUCUAUCUUCAUGCACGCAUUAUCUUUUUUUAUAUAUAAUACAUAUAUGCAUGCUUUUUUUUACUUGCAUAUUUUUUAUAAUAUAUAUAAUGCAUUUUAUGUAGUAUAUGUAUACCUGCAUACAUUUUAUACACUUUUUUUAUUUUUCAUUUUAUUUCUUAACUUCUAUAUACAUAUAUAUACAUUUUCAUAAUUUCUUAAUAUAUUGUUUUUUUCAUUUUUAUAAAUACAUGCAUUUUUUACAAAACAUAUAUAUAUCUUUUAUAUUUUAAUUCCGAAAACAUUUGUUUUACUUUACUUUUGUAAAUAUAUACACAUAUUUACAAAUUUACUUGUAUCUUGUGCUUAUAUUUUGUAAAUACAUAUACAUUUUAAAUUAAAGUAUUUAUUUCAUAUUGUACAUUAACUUUAAACAUACCAUUUGGGAAAUAUAUUUCGGUUUUGUCAAUAUAUCAAAAUCAUUUUCUCUUGAUUCGAAGUUUUUUUGAAUAAAAGAAAUAUUCAAAGUUUGGGAUUUUCGAGGAAAUUGAGCCCUAACGCAUUGGGUUCCGAUUUUCUUCGUUAAUUUUAAAUGGCCGAGAAUAUUCUUUAUUCAAAAUGCAUGAGUAUAAAAAUCAUUUUCGGGAACUUAACUUGUUGCAUCCUAAUGUAUUGGGCAUGACAUAUUGCUUUCUCAAAAUGAAGAUUUUCGCAUAAAAACAAUAUUCAAAGUUCGAGGAUUUUGAGAAAUUGUACCCUAACGUAUUGGGACUCGAUUUCUUUACAUGACUUGAACAAUUGAUUAUUCUUUUUAGAUUUCAUCAUUUGAGUUGUUUUUAAAAAAAAUUUUAGCCCUCGACACUAAGACAUCAAAUAAUCAAUUUGGUACCGAUUUUGGGCGCCACGAGGGUGUUAACCCUUCCUCGUGCGUAACAAACUCUCGAACUCGUUUUCUCAAAAUUCGUAGGCCAAAAUAAUUUUUAAGAGGAGCCGAUCACACCUUAAUAAAGGAUCGGUGGCGACUCCAGUUUUAUUUUUAAAAGUCGACAACUAAAUUUUUUGUUUUCAAAAAAUGGUUUCGACACUAGUUUUUCCCUAAUUUUAUUUUCACCUGUGUUUUCUAAACUCAUUUUUUUUUCCAAAAACGUACUCAUGAGUCUUCAAAAAAAAAUAGUACGUCUUCAACGGGUUUAUCAAACAUGAUUUCUUUUGAACCAAAACGUUCAGGCCGGGUUUGGGGUAUUACAAAUCACUUAGUCCUCGAAUUUUCUUGGGUUCAAUCCUUAGAAUACUCGAGUGUUCCAUUAUAACACUAAAAAUAUUACAACUCGUGUAACAACCCAAUUUUCAGUGAUGUCAGAGAUCGUGGUUCGGGGCCACUAAAUCCGACGAGUAAGUUCAUAAAUAUUGUUAUUUAAUAUUUACAUGUCAAAUGUGUUUAUUAAAAAAGUGCAUUCCUGGGACUCCGUUCCCACAAAACAGACUCAUAUAUAUUUUUAAUAAAUAUUUACGAAGCUAGUUGUGUAGUUAAUUAGGUUUCGAUUAAGUAAAUUUGCUUGAAUUAAAAGUAAUUAGAUAAAAAGACUAAAUUGAAUUGAUUGUGAACGUUUAAUUAUGAAAUAAAUAAAUAAAAGGGACUAAAUUAGCAAAUAAACAAAAAAAUGUGACACUUGUGUGGUUAUAAUAAAAUACAUGUGUAAUAAAUAUAUACAUACAUUUGUAAUAAUAUGUAUAAUUUACUUAUUAUUUAAGUAUAAGAUAUUUUAGAUUAAAAUAUUAUUAUAUUAUAUUAUUAUUAUAAACAAAAGAAAGAAAAGAAAUAAGAAAGAAACAGAAAGCUUAAAACGAAACAGCGAAGGAAAGAAGGAAAGAAAGAAAAGGGAAAAUUGUGGUUUUGAAGUUCCGUCAAAUUAGGGUGGGUUUGGAUGGGCGAUGCGGUGCGAUGCGGUGCAUUUAGCUUACUUUUUGUCUCACGCUACAGUAUCACUACAGUAUCUAAUCUCACCGCCACCGCUAUUUUUACACUAACCGCAGAUAAACGCACCGCCCAUCCAAACUCAAGGUUAGUCCAUAUUCUUGUAAUUUUGAUAUUUUUGAAAUCCUAAAAUAAAAUACUACUUGGUUUAAGUUGAAAUUUUGAAAGUUAGUAAAUUUUUAGAUGUUGUUCAUGUUGAAUUAAUUGAUGAAUUAGGGAUUAAAUUGAUUGAAUUUUAAGUUAGAAGUUAGUAAAGGGUUGAUUUGUAAAAUAAAACAUGAGUUGAUUAAACUAAAAUUUACAAGUGCAAAUGUGUUAAAUUAGCACCCUUUUUGUGUGAAGUGAGUGAAUCGCUUCUUAAACAAUAAUGCCAUCAUCAACUAUAUGUCUACCCGUGAGAAAGCUAUACUGGAAGGGGAAAAUGAGUUUUUAAAGGAAGGGAUGAAGGUGAUUGACCGUUAUUUUAGUAAUGAUCUUAUAGGUGAUUAAUUCGAGAUACAAGAAUAGCGGAGAAGACCGUUUAGUAUAAAGCCAUGAAAUAACUUAAAUCCAUGUAUUACAAAACACAUAUAAUAACUUAGUUAAGGUUUUAUUUUUAUAAAUAUAAAAAAUUAAAUUUAUGUGUAAAUAUAUUAUUUUUAGACCAAUUUUUCCAACAAGUUAAAUGAAUCAUUUCCAAUUGAAACCGAGAAUGAAACACCCCAAUAAGAAAAUGCAACUAUGAUAAUCUUAUGGAUAUAUGUUAUUUUAUAGUUUCUUGUAAAUUAAAAUUUCAUUUGCCCCCUAAAAAAUUAUUCUGGCUUCACCCCUGAGACAAACAUGAAUUGGCACAUCAGUAAAGUUAACAAACAUUAACAUUUUCAUCUAUUUUAAAGUGAUUUGACAAACAAUAAAAAUUUAAAGAUGAAAAAAUGAAAAAAAAUGACUAAAAUGGAAUUUUUAUAAAAUUGAAAGAUGAAACAAAUUAUUAUACCAUUUAUUUUGUAAAACAGUGAUGACAACCCCUCUCAAUUGCCAUCCUUGGUGUUAGCAACCCCAAAAUGGUAGGUAAUGUUGAUAUAAAUAUACAAUUAUUAAUUGUUCCAAGUGCAGAAAACCACAAUAAUAACUUUAUGAGAAACAAAAUUAAGAAAAUAAAUGAAAAUGUUUGAGCAAAAAUAUCUCAAUUUUUACAAAAAACUAAACAUGUUUAAAAUAUGAGUGAAGCUCAGACUUAAACAUUCAAGUCUCAAACUUAGUUCAAUUCGACUCAUUUUUAAGUUUAUAAUACUUUAUAUUAUAUUAUGUAAAUUAUAAUACAUAAAAAUAUAUUAAAUAUAUAAUACUACUCUAAUGUAAACAUUAAAAUAAUGUUAAGGUGUCUAUAUAAAAAAAAUUAAUAAAUAAAAAUAUAUAAAAUUAUAAAUAUUAAAUUAAUAUAAUAUAAAUAUUUUAAAAAAAUUAGAAAAUUAAUAUGGACAGACUUAAAAUGGGUUUUAGUUAGUAUUUUGUAAAUAUAGACAAGCUUGAAUAAAUUUUUAGGUCCAUAUUUUAUGAUUUUCAACUUUACUCAAAAGUUUAGAUAAAUUAUUAAAUUACCCCAUUUGUAAUUUUUGUAAAAAAGUUUUUGAUUCGAAGCGAGUCCACACUCGGUAGACGUGAGCUUGAGGGCAGCGAAUAAGACUACUCGAUCAAAGCAUUCAUCCUAAAUGAAUUGAAAAUGUAUAAUUUUGAUUAAUUGUUUAAUACUUUAGAUAUCACAACCAAGAUCUUGUUUUGAAAAAAAAUUAAAACUCUGGUUUUUCCCUAAUUUUAUUUCUCCUAUGUUUUCUAAACUCGUUUUUUCCAACAACGUACUCAUGAGUCUUCAAAAAAAAAAGUUCAUCUUCAACGGGUUAAUCAAAUAUGAUUUCGUUUGAGUUUAAGAGUUUUGCCAAAAUGAAGUAAUAUUGUUUUCAUAUACAGUGUAACCUCCACAAUCUAACCUUAACGUUUAGGCUGGGUUUGGGGUAUUACAAAUCACUUAGUCCUCAAACUUUCUUGGGUUCAAUCCUUAGAAUACUCGAGUGUUCCAUUAUAACACUAAAAAUAUUACAACUCGACUUGUCACACUUGUAGUACACUGCUAGAUUGUUGAUUGUUUUGUGUUUAUUAUUAUCCCCAAUGUGCGUUGUCAAGUUGUUGGCGCCGUUGUUAGGGAGUUUGUGUGUGAUUGAAUGAUUUGCUUGAUUAAUGCAUGUUUACUAGGGAGAUAAUUAGCAAAACUUAAUUCUAUAGAUAUGACACUUGUUUUUCUUGCAAUUGCUCGUUUAUUUUCUUCGUUAAGUAUUCUUGAAAUUGAAAACUUAUAGAAUAAUCUUGACAUCACCCUUUCACAAUGGAGAGCUAUUUUUGCACUGAUCUUUCUUCUCAUUUAUUCUAGCUUUACGGUGUUAUUGAAUCUCAUACCUACUCUUUGCCUAUCUUGAAAUGUACACAACCAUCGUCACCUUCUACAAUUGCUUCAUCGAAAAGAAUGUACACCAAAAUCAUUAAGUUAUUCAUCUUCAAAACGAUUUUUGUUUUUUCUUCUACUAAACACAAAUAUUUCACAAAUAUUUCAGUUGAACAGUUACAACAAUGUUAAAAAAAAUAUAGUAUAUUUAAGGAUUGGUGCUACCAAAGAGCUUGGUGGCAACAAAAAAAUUUUAAUGGAAAAGAAUAUAGCUUGGUGCCGCCAAUGAGGAAAAUGACACAAAAAAAAUAAAGCUUUCUAACAAAAAAUACAUCGGUGUCACCAAUGGCAAUGGCAACACAAAAAAAAAUUAUUUUUUAAAACAUUAUUUUUUUUCUAAUGGCUGUUGCCAAGGAGAACGACGUCACAAAAAAAACUUUUGUACUAAUACCGCCAAUGACAGCGACGACACCCAUUAAAAUAAUUUUUUCCUUUUUUACGACACCCAUUAUUUCCUUUUUUUCUUUUUCUCCUAGAAUACCAGUAUUUUUAUGGGGUGGACAAUUAUAUAUACUGGUGCCGCUAAUGGCAUGACGGCACUCAAAUUAAUUUGGUAAAAAAUAAUUUUAAAAUAAUAUUGUUGGGAGGGAUAGUCACAUAUUUUAAAUAUGGAUUGUAAAACGGACAUGAAGAAUAACAAAAAAUAAAGCAUAGUUUGUAACAUUCCUUUUGUAACGAAAAAUGGUUAGGGGUGAUUGUUUUGUUAUUUUUCGAAAGUUGAAUGUUUGAAUUGAAACUUAAGUGAUUGUUUUGUCAGCUAUACGAAAGUUGAGUGAUUGUUGGUGUAAUUUACCCUUUAAAAAAUUAUAAAAUUUUUAAAAAAUUCUAAAAAAAAAUAAAGAAAGUUUAAAAAGUAAAAAAUUUCUAGAAUAAUAAUUUUGAGGACUUAAAUAAGUUAAUUUAUGAUUCAAGUUUAUCGUAAUAAAGUAUUUUUUAUUAUUAUUAUUUUACUUUGAAUUUUUUUUAAAAAAUUAUGUGCUAUGACAUUUAAUUAAUUAUAUUGUAACAAGAUUUUAAUGUAACAUGUUUAAUUUUUUAAUUUAACUUGAACAAUUUCACUCGAUUUGGCUCGACUUGAAUUUUAUUUCACUUGACCCGAUUCGAAAAAAAUUCAAAUCGAGUUAGGAUGAUAAAAUAGGAUUCACCAAUUCAAUUAAUAUGAAAAAUUUUCACUCGAUUCAAUAGAUCGCUCACUCCUAUCCAUAGAUGCCAAAGUACUAUAAUCAUGACUAAUAAUUACUUUAAUUCCAAUAGGCAUGAAAAACUCGUUGAUAUUAACAAUUAAAUUAAACUUGACUCUUAUGAGUGUUAAAAUAUCUCUAAAAAAUAUUUCAAAAAACAAUUUUAAAGAUACAUAUUUUAAUAAAUAAUCAAUACAUUUAUAAAAUCAAAAUAAAAAAUAAAAUAAUUAGUAUAAAUUUAAACUUAAAAUUAAAAAUAUUAAUAUUAAUAAAACUUUAAUAAAAAAUAAGUAAUAAAUUCUAAUCUUUAACUAAAAAAUAAUGUAUAUAACUCAAAUCCAUUGAAUAAAAUUAAUUUAUUGUUAACUUAUGGCAUUAAAACACAAAGACUUGUAUGGCGUAAAUAAUUACAAUUAAAUUAAUUUACAAAAUAUAAUGUAUUAAUCAUUCCAAAAACUCUGACCUGUUUUCCACUUUCUUCUGUUUUCCAUCUCAUUUGUCUCUAUUCGUUGGCUUCAACUCCAUUCCCUGUUAUCCCCAAUCAUACACAAUCUAUCUCCAUUCCUUUCCCUCAAUCUCCCCUUCCUUCUUCAUCUCUCCCUUUGAUUUCUUUGUCCCAAUUCCACCAUGUCUGUCUUUGGAGAGGCUGCUCUUUCUGCCUUUUUGGAGCUGUUGUCUGCCAAGUUGCUUGGCUCUGUACUCAACUUUGUGGCCGGUCACCGGCAACUCCACCACCAACUUAAGCUGUGGCAAUCCAUAUUACCCGAGAUCAAAGCAGUGUUGAACCAUGCAGAGGAGAAGCAGAUCAAGGACGAGGGUGUGAAGAAUUGGUUGGGCGAUCUCCAAGACUUAGCUUACGAUGUGGAUGACAUCUUGGACGAGUUCGCUUACCAAGAGUUACGUCUCAAGCUCCAAAAAACUCAAGCACAAGCCAGCUCUAGUAAGGUACGGAAACUCAUUCCAACCUGCUGUACUGGUGGUCAUUUCUCUCCAUUCUCUUUUAUGUUCAAUGCUAAGAUGAUUUCAAAGAUACAAGCAAUCACUGAUAGACUGAAUAGUUUGAACACUCGAAGAAGUAGUUUGGGGUUCAGUGAGAUCAUGUCUCAAGGCGUAACUUCCAAGGGAAAGAAACCCAGGCUGCAACCAACUUCCUUGAUGGAUGGAGCAGUGGAGUAUAUUGGUAGAGCCAAUGAGAAGCAAGAAACGCUUGAGUUGCUCAAAAGUAACAAUUCCGAUGGAGUUUGUGUCCUUUCCAUCCUUGGCAUGGGAGGGAUGGGGAAAACAACUCUUGCUCAGCUUGUUUAUAAUGAUCCCAGCAUUAAGGAGUCUUUUGAUCACAAGUCCUGGGUAUGCGUUUCUGAUGACUUUGAUGCUGUUAACAUAACAAAGACGAUUUUAAGAUCCCUCGAUGCUGACUCACGUGAUGAGAAUGACUUGAACUUGCUUCAAGUCAAGUUGAAGGAGAAGUUAUCCGGAAAAAGGUUGUUGCUUGUUUUAGAUGACAUUUGGAAUGAGAGUUACAGUGAUUGGAACAUCUUACGGGCUCCAUUUGGAGCAGGAACCAAGAUUAUUGUAACAACUCGACUCCAAAAGGUUUCAUCUAAUGUCGAUUCAGUGAAAGCAUUUUACUUGGAUAAACUCUCGCAUCAUGAUUGUUUAUCCAUAUUUGCUCAGCAUGCAUUGAAAGCAAGAAACUUUGAUGGGCAUCUCCAAUUUAAAGAAAUUGGAGAGAACAUAGUGAGAAGGUGCAACGGCUUACCUUUGGCAGCAAAAGCCAUUGGAAGCUUAUUACGGACAGUUAAGAAUCAUAGUGAAUGGGAAAAAGUAUAAUAUUCCUCUUUGCAAACUGGUGGAUGAUUGCUCUUCUUCUGCAAAGGAGGUUUCCUCUUUGCAAACUUUGUCUCUUUCUAACAUUUCAAAGUUUAAUAUUCCAGCAGAUAGGACAAUGUUAAGGUUUGGAAACUCAGAACAUUUUUCAAUUGAUGGUUGGGAGGAGUUGGCAUCUCUAUCAUGUUUGGGUUCAGUUUAGUUGGACAUCGUUUCAUUUCCGUUUCGAGUUGUCCUCAACUGCAGUCUUUGGAAGCCAAGGAAGCCGAAUUGCAACCUGACAAGAUUUCACGUGUUGAAUCUCUGCGGAUAUAUGACUGUGAAAGGCUCAAUAGACUGCCACAAGUCUUACAUGAGCUCACAUUCCUUACAGUGAUGGUAAUUUAUAAUUGUCGAAGCUUGGUUUCUUUUGCAGAGAAUAACUUACCUCCUAAUUUAAAAAAGCUGACAAUUGAUUCCUGUAAGAAUUUGGAGUAUUUGGUUGAUGAAAAAGAAGAUAAUAAGAGUAUGAGUAGUACCCUCUGUCUUCUUGAGGAGUUGUCUUUCUAUAAGUGUCCGUCUCUAAUGUCUUUGUCAUCGAAGAGGCAUAAAAAUAUUUGCAAUCAGCUUCAACUUCUCGAUAUUUCUGUCUGCUCAAAGCUGAGUUGCCUAUUUUCAAACACCAAGUUUCCCAUAACGCUUAAACAUUUGAGAAUUUGGGGAUGUCACAAUGUUGGAAUACAUAGCCGAGGAGUUUGAGGAAAGCGCUUGUCUUGAAUCUAUUAAUAUUACAGAUUCUGGAAUUAAAUCUCUACCACGAGGACCAGACAAGCUCAUCCAUCUCCAGGAGAUUUGGUUGGAUUGGUGUUCAAAUUUGGUUUCUUUUGAAGAAAGUGGGUUGCCCAGCACCAGCUUCAGAGCUUUCAAAGUUAGUGAUUGUGCAUGGCCAAUCACCUCCCUUCGACGAUUAAGGGUGUUCAACUGUUCGGCUGACAUAUCAUUUCCAUGGGAGGGUUUCCCUGCCAAUCUCACAUCACUUGCAAUCUCAAACGCACCCAAGAUUUAUAGGUCACUUGUGGAUGGGGAUUAAAUAGACUCACCUCUCUUCAAGAAUUGACCAUCGGAGGUGGAGGAUGCUCAAACGUGGUGUCGUUCCCAGAAGAAGGGACUGGAAUGAUGCUGCCUCGUUCUCUCACCCGUAUCUUCCUUUCAGAAUUUGAGAACCUGGAAUUCAUGUUCUCCGAGGGCUUUCAAGACCUCGCCUCUCUUCAAAGACUGGAAAUCAGUGAAUGUCCCAAGCUAACAUCUCUUCCGGAAAAAGACGUACUUCUGUCGCUUGGAUAUUUAAGAAUUUACAGGUGUCCGUUGCUGCAAAAAGAGUGCUCAAGCGAUAAAGGACGAGAGUGGUCUAAGAUUUCCCACAUACCCCUUGUUGAAAUUGAUGGUAUUUAUUGAAUGAUGUUUGCAGGGAUUGAAAGCGAAGUUGGGGUGGAAGUGAGGUUUCAGAAAGAUCCUUUGAAGGAAAAGUAAAAAAGAUGACACUUCUCUUGUUAAAAGGGUGGAAUUUUUCAUUUAGUGUUUCAGAGGUUUGUAAACUUGUUUCUUGUUAAAAAUUUCAAAGACAAAAGUAUAAAUGUUGAUGAGAUGUUAUUGGCAUACAGUUCAAUGGGUAUGGGUGGUGUUUCAGUAGUUUCAAACGUUUGUAAACUUGUUUCUUGGCUUUGGGGUUUAAUGUUGGAGUAGCAUUAGAUCAUGGGUUUUUGUAGAAUGUGAGCUUUGUGUAUUGUUUAUUUUAUUCUUUUACUUUACUCGUCUUAUAUACAAUAGGGAAGAAUAAGAUGAACAAUUUCACAUUAAACUUCAAUCUUAUAACAUUUUCCUUAUUUUCAAUAUAUCUUUACUUGGUUUGGAAAAGGAUAUUCCAUCCUUAUUAACUUAUCUUCUAUUUUUAUUUCGACAUUUUUAUCCAAUUUUCUCCUAUUUUUCUAUUUCACUUUCUUGUUUUUUCUUUCCUAUUUCAAUUUUAUUUCUUUCUUUUUUUCCUAUUCUUUUCCUCUCUUUCCCAACCUUAGCUGUUGCUAGCAUGCACUACGGACAUUUGUUCUUCUGUCCAAAUAAUGGCAUUGAUCAACUCUUUUCCUCAUUCUCUUUCAUUUCCAAAUAAUGGCAUUGGAAAGUGCUUUUGAAAAGUGGGUGGAAAAGUACUUUUGAAAAGUUUGAUUUAAAAUUUGUUUAGUAUUGCUGUCAAAAAAUACUUUUGAAAAAUAAAAUGUCAAUUUUAGACAUGUUAUUAUCAAGUAACAAAUAUGCGUUUAAAUAAUAUUUAAAUUAGUUAAUAUUAUUAUAUUUUAGUAAGAAUUUAAAAAAUUAUUAUAACUUGUUAAUAUUUUAAUAAAUGAAUUAUAAAUUUUAAAUAUUUUUAAGCAAUAAAUAAUAAUUAUUUAUAAAAUUUAAUUAGAAUAUAUAAACUAUAUUUUAAAUAUUUAUAAAAUUUUGAGCAACUCAUCAUUAAGAAUUGCAGUGGUGCAAAAUUCUCAUCUUGGAUGGCAGAUUCUUGUUUCAAAAGUUGAAGCGUUCUGAGGAGCAUUUAUCGACUUAUUCAAUGGUUUGGGUGAGUUAUGUAUAGUUUUAAAUAUAGUAUUUAUCCUCUUCUAUACUUCAGCUAAUGCAAGACGUAAAGCAUCAAUGAAGAGUUUUGUCUUUCUUUUGAUUGUCACUAUCCUUUCUUGUUCAGCUGAAAUGAAAAAAAAAAAAACAUCUUGAGGCUUAUUUUAAAAUAUGGCAGAUUCUUGUUUCAAAAGUUGAAGCGUUCUGAGGCGCAUUUAUCGACUUAUUCAAUGGUUUGAAUGAGUUAUGUAUAGUUCUAAGUAUUGUAUUUAUCCUCUUCUAUACUUUAGCUAAUGCGAGACGUAAAGCAUCAAUGAAGAUUUUUGUCUUUCUUUUAAUUGUCACAAUCCUUUUUUGUUCAGCUAAAAUGAAAAAAAAGAAGCUUAAAAUAUGGAAAUUUUGAUUUUAUUAAAAAUAUGGAAGCUUACCUUCGUCGUAUUUUUAGUUAGUCACGUGAAAACACAUCAGUCGCCUCUCUUGUCUAACUGAUAACUCUAACAUAUAGAGUUAUCUUUAGCACUUCUAGCUUGGUAAUUCAUGCAAAUUUUAAGUGUUUAAUAACAAAUUUUGGGAUUUUUAUGACAACUUUGUCUUGUUAAAUAAUACUAAGAUAAAUUUGCUAAUUUGAUCAUUUUAUACACUAAAACACAUGAUUGCAGUUUUUGAGACAAUUGAUGCACCGGAAGAAUAGACAAUCUUGAAGUUCACCCUUUUGGUGCUCAAUGUUGUAGCAUUUCCACAACAUAAGCCAUGUAGAAGAGGGUUGAUAUAUGGUCAUCUUUGGACCAAAUUAAAGACUUAUUGGACUUUGGAAAUUCUCUUGACCCAACUCAAGAAUUGGGUCAGCAAAUAUGGAUUGCUUGCUAAGUAGAUAAGAGCCCAAACCAUCCUUAAAAAUAAAAUAUAUGCCCUUUUAAAAAAUAUAUAUGCUAUAAAAUUAAAAUACUAUUAUUACCAUAUAAAAAAUAAUAUUUUAAACUUAAAUCAUGUAUGGGAGUGUGAAAAGCCAUAAAAAAUUAGAUUUGUAUGUAAUUAUUUGCAAUUAUUUGUGCAAUUAAUCCAAUUUUUAUUCUGUAAUUAGUUGCUCUAAUUACACUUGGGAACGUUUAGUUAGUUAAAUCUUAUAUCAUAGUUUGUAAUUUUACAUUCUUGAAUGAAAUUUCGGUGUUUAAAUUUUUUAACAUUUUGGUUAUCUCAUUCUCACAUUCUUGAACAGUAAUUAAAGACAAAAAAUAACGUUACGUUAUCUCAGAUUAUGGAUUGAAGACAAAAUUAACCUUUGUUUUUAUUAUAUCAGUGAAUAUAAUCUUCCCAAAAUAACUGUAAUUAAAAUCCAAAAUGAUUUUUUUUCUUUUCUCUCUUAACUUUAAAAACCUUAGGCCACGUUUGGCUCGCUGUAUUGGAAUAGAGGUGUAAUGGAAUAGAGGCGUAAUAGCAAUUCAAUUGUUUGGUUGAAUGUAAUGGAAUAGAGGCGUAAUAAUAUUCUUGUGUUUGGUUGAAUGGAAUGGAGGUGUAAUAGCAUAAGGGAAAAAACUAAAAUGACCAAAAUACCCUUAGCAGAAAUUUGUUUAGGUAAAAUAUUAUUGUUAUUGUUAUUGUUAUUAAAUUUUAAUAAGAUUAUUAAUAUCAAUAAUAAAUAAUUUAAUCAUAUUUUAACAUAAUUAUUAUUAAAUAUAAUUUAAUAAAAUAUAUAAUUUAAUAAAAUUCUUAAUAUUAAAUAUUCUUAUAUGAAUUUACUAAAAUCAUAAUAUAUAAUAAUAUAAAAUAUAAUAUAAAAUAAUUAUUAUUAAAUAUAAUUUAAUAAAAAUAUAUAAUUUAAUAAAAUUCUUAAUAUUAAAUAUUCUUAUAUGAAUUUACUAAAAUCAUAAUAUAAAUACUACAAAAUAUAGUUUAAAAUUAUUAUUAAAUAUAAUUAGAUACAAAUAUAUAAUUAAUAAAAUUAUUAAUAUUAAAUAUUCUUAUAUAAAUUUACUAAAAUCAUAAUAUAUAAUACUAAAAUCAUAAUAUAUAUAAUUUAAUUUUUGAAUGAAUGCAAAUGAUUCACUAUGAAUGUUUCAUUCAUAAGAUCUCCCCUGCUGUAACUUCUUCCUAAAUAAAGAUUGAAAAACAAUAGCAAACAAAUAAUUCAAAGGAUUUUUUCAUUAAUUUUAUAAAUGUUAAUUGCAAGAAGCAACUCCAGAAAUCAUUAUAUGUUAUAAAUAAUUCAGCACUUAUGAGCUAAACAAAGGAGCUUGAUGAUAUCCCAAAACACAGGUUGAUACAAACUUGAUAGCAAUCUUCCAUCAAAAGUGUACGGAUGAAGAUAAGAGAUGGUGACAUUUUGGUAAGAUAAAGGUUCCAGGAUAGCUUAUCGCCCCAAAAGCGCAACACGAUCCUUCUGUACUGCCUGUGUCAGGUUGAUGUCAAAGAGUUCGAAUCGUAUGGGCAUCUCCAUCUCAUAGAAGGGGUUCUUCAAAACAUAAUCUGUGUAGAGCUCAUAAACAACUUUCAAGAGAGCCUCCAUGUGCUGUGUCCCAGGUUCACAAACUACAAAGAACUUUGUCCUUGAAAAUCAUAACAUGCAUAUUUGAAAAAUCAACAGUGUAGAGAAUUCAUCGAGUGGUUAUUUAGAAUCCAUUUAAAGGAGAGAAUUCAUAUUUGUACAUGAGUUUGAAGAAUUCAGAAUCCAUUUAAAGGAGAGAAUUCAUAUUUGUACAUGCUUCUUGUUAUUAUUAAUUAUAACAGAGUUGAACUUGAGACUACCAUGGUAUAUGAGUCAAAAACGAAAUGUUAACAAAGUAUGGCCCUUUUCAUUUACCUUACUUGAAUAAUACCUCAAGUUGAAAUGCAAAUCUUAAGUAAUUGUUUUAUUUAGACGGGAUAAUAUUAUUACCUUGCAACACCCAACGCAAACACAUAAUAAGCACAAAAAAGUGAGUUAAACAGGGUGAUCUUAUAAACCUUAUUUAUAAAAUUAAAUCUGCCAUCUAAGUAAUUUUUACCUUGGUGUUUUGCAUCACUCGCAACUGAGGUAAAACUGAAACGGCUUCCAGAUAUACACAGAAUGCCCAGGAAAUCCGAUUCAAUAGAUUAUGGGAAGUUGUUGGAUGAAUACACAGAGCUAGUACUGCACAAGGGACAACCUGAAUCCAAAUUCAAACACCCAUAUGACUUCUACAAUAUGUUAAAAAAAGGAAUAAAUCCACUCAAGGAACAAAGAAUAUAAUUGUAUUGCUAAAACGUGUCUAUGCGUAGCAAUACAAAAAAUGUAAAUACCUUCAACAAUUUUUGUUCAAUUGGUUGCCAGAUAAAAUAUAUUAAAUCAAAACUAGCAGGGUGAGGUAUAAGGUGACUUUCAAAGUGGUAUUUAAAACAAACAAGUGCUAAGAAGAACUGAAGACAAGUUACAGCUCAAUAGACAGUUAGAAGACUACCUACACAUGGAAAAAAAACGAAGAAAGAGAACAAAACAUAUUUAACCAGUAAUUGAGGGUUAAUCAAUUCAUUCAUCCAUCUUGUGUAAACGAAAAGGCCAAUAUCAAAAGGCAUACUGGAUUUUAACAACAACCAAACUUUAUACAUAGCAGGAAAGUCAGAAGAGAGAAAGAACAGCUUCUUUUGGUCCAAAAGCUACCUUUUUUUAUCAACCAACAUUCUACCCAUACUUCAUUCAUGGAGAAGAAUAGCAAGAAACGGAUACCUUAAAUCGAAAGAAACAAGAAAUCAAGCCGGAAAUUCAACCUAAAAACAACUAUAUAGCAAAAAAAAAAAAAAAAAAAACACAAUCGGCACAAAGUCAGCAAAUCAAACUCUUUAAAAUUUUGCUAUUUAGCCAUUACCUUAAUGAGUUCUUGAAACUACUAAAUUAAGAAAAAAUAUGUAACACCCCCUAACCCCAAACCGUCGCCGGAACAGGGUUACGAGGCAUUACCGGACAUAUCAAACAAUUUGCAAUUUUUUUUCUUAUGUAAAUAACCAACAUAUUGGAAUCAUUCCUAAAUGCAUAUAAAUUUCACUAAAUAUAACACCCGUUACCCGAGACCAUCAACGGAAUCGAGUACGAGAUGUCAUCAAAUUUUAACUUACCAAUUCGGAGCAUAAAAAUUUACUUUUAAAAUUUAAUUCACUGUUCACAGCAAAACUGUCCAUCUGCGCGACUGUCACUAAUUUAAUUAUAUCUCGAGUUAGGAAAAUCGAAAUUAAAAUCCGUAAAAUUUCCCUGAAACUAGACUCAUAUACCUUCUUACCAUAAAAUUUCCAGAAUUUUUGAUUUAUCCAAUUAGUACAGUUUAUUAGUUGAAAUCUCCCCUGUUUCACUACUUGACAGUUCUGACCUCUUGGCACUAAAAAUCAAUUAUCUCAUUACACAGAAUUCAUAUAAGGUUAUAGUUUGUUUCUAUUGAAAAUAGACUCACUAAGGAAUCUAUAAAUAUAAAUUAUGACCCAUAAUUCUUUCUGUACAAUUUAUAAUGAUUUUCUAAACUUGGAACAUGGGACUCCAGAAACAGAUCUGACCCUGUCUCAUUAAAAUUCUCAUAUCUCAAAAUAUAAAAUUCCUUUUGUUAAACCGUUAUUUUUCUAUGAAAAUAGACUCAACAAGAUUUAAUUUCAUAUAUAAUUCACCCUCUAAUUUAUUUUAUACUAUCCUAGGUGAUUUUUCAAAGCCACGUCACUGUGCUGCCUGAAUUCUGAUUCUUUGCAAAAUUUUACCCUUUCAUGAUUUUCAUACUUAACAAUUUAAUAACCAUUCAUAUUAAAACAUAAUAACAUUUAUACACAACCUAUGUACAUGCCACAUUACCCAAAGAAAACAUACAUCACCAAAAUUAUGCUGAAGUCGGGAUUGAUCUGGAUGCUGAACCGGGACCUUUAACUUCUAUCGACCUGUGCACGGAAACAACCGUACGCUGAGUAAUUCAUACUCAAUGGUAUUACCAUAAUUCAAAUUAUAACAAUAAUGUACAUGUAAUGCAUAAAUUGUAUAUACAAUUUAAAUUCAAUAUCUCAACAAUAGCAAUCCAUCAAUCAAUAUCACAUAUCCACAAUUUGAAUUUGAACAUAUCAUGAACCUUAGGUUCAUUUCUCAAUCUUAUUUCACAUUUCAAUUCACAAUUCAACUUUUUCAUUUCAUUUCAGUAGCUCAUUCGAUCAACUCGUUCGAUUUAUCAUUUCAUUAAUUACCCUAUUAACAAAACUCGGACUUUGACGGAUACACGGAUCCAACCAAACACACCAGUACGGCACAUUGUGCCUGUUGACACCAUUUUUUGGACAAAAUGGGGUCGACUUGGGUUUUGAAAAAUGAAACAGGAGUCGCCACCAACCUCUUUUUUUUAUGAGGUGUGAUUGGAUCACCUCAAAAAAAAAAAGGGUUGUUUUUAAUAAAUGAUUUGAUUUUAUUAAAACAACGGUUUCGGUCCACGAAAUCUAGAAAACGGGUCCGGGAGUCGGUUACGUACGAGGAAGGAUUAGCACCCUCGAUACACCCAAAAUUGGUACCUAGUUGAUUACUUAAUGUCUUAAUGUCGAAAAUUGAGAACUUUAGAGAAUUUUUUUAAAAAUACGAUCAUUUUAUUAAAACAUUAAAAAUUUUCAAGAAAAAGGGGAUAUUUCACGUUAUUCGAGAAAGAAAAUCAUAUCCAGUAAGUUAGAAUACAAUGUCUCAAAUUCCCAAUACGUGAGUGAAUGCCAAAAUUUUACUUAUUUAAAAGAUAUUUUAUUAUCUCGAUUUUACGAAAGGGAUUAUGUCCAGUGAGUUAAGACACGAUCUUUUUAUUCCCGAGAUCAUUUAAAACUUAAGUUUGAAAAGAUUCGUGUAAUAAAGUUUAAAAGAAUAUUCAAUUGUUUAAAUCAAAUGAAGAAAUCGCAACCCAAUACGUUAGGGCACAAUUUCUCAAAAUAUUAAACAUUGAAUAUUACAUGUAUUUCAAAAAAAAUCCUCGUCUCGAGAAAACAACGUGUCACAUCCAAUGCGUUAGGAUACAACGUAUUGAAUUCUCGAUAACGAGCUUUUUAUCAUUUUUUAAAAGAGUAAUCUCGAUUAUUUAGGUUCAACGAAGAAAAUCGGAACCCAAUACGUUAGGGCUUGAUUCUCUCGAAGAUCUAAAACACCGAAUAUUACUUAUUUUUAAAAUUUCUUUUUUGAAAUCUAAAUAAAAAAUUGGUGUAAUGGAAAUGAUGAUGAUAUAAGCAAAAUAAUACAAACAAAGGCUACUAAGUAAAAAUAAAUACAGAGACGAACUAAUAUAAUACACAAUUAUAAGCAUAUUAAAACAUUCAUUCUAAAUAAUGAAAAUGUAAAUGAAGAAAUAAACAGAGAAAAUGUAUAUAACUAUAAAAAUAUAAAAUAUAUAUGUGUUAUAAAAUAUGAAAAUGUGAGUAUUUACAUAUAUAUGAGUAGAUUAUAAAACAUAAAAAUAUAUAUAAUAAAAGUAUGUACAUUACAAGAACGUGUAUAUGUACAUAAAUAUGAAAAUUUUAAGAUAGAACAAUGUGCAUAUAUAUAUAUACUUAUACAAAUUAAAAAAUAUGUACAUACAUGUAUUAUAAAAAUUUAUUCACAUAUACAUACAUGCUUGAAAUUGUAAAAUAAUAACAAGAAUAUGUAUAUAUAAACAUAUAUGAAACAUGAGAUGUACGAAUGUAUGUAUAUAGAUACGGAUGGUAGAAAUAUAGGCAUAUAAAUAUAAAUACUUAAAAUGUAUAUAUAAAUACAUACAUAAAUUAUAAAAUAGAUAAUAUAGUCAUGUAUAUAUAUUAUUAAAUAUUAGACAUAUAUAUGUAUAUAUAUAUAUAGUAAGAUUUAAAGUAAGAAGACAAUAAUAUAAAAACAUCACAUUCAAAUGACAAAAUAACCAAAAAUAAAGAAAAAGGAUUAAAAUACAAUUUAAACUAAAUUGACAGGAUAAAUUAAAAAAAUAAACCAAACGUAGGGACUAAUUUCAAAGGCGCGAAAGAAGCUAAGGAUUAACUGGGGAAAUAUCCCGCACCAACCAAACGGCGCCGUUCCAAGGAAGUGCAUGUACAUGGUCUGGGGAUUAAAAUAAAACAAAAGGAAAUUUUGCGGCCGAAAUUACAAAUAAUAAAAGAAUUGCAUUGAAAACGCCAUAAAGGCGGAGGGGCUUAUUUCGCAAAUAUCCCCUCAAGCCUAAACACGCGGAUCCCUUUGCUGGAGCGGGUCGGAUUUUCGGGCCAGGAGCUAAACGAUGCCGUUUUGGCGUUUUAAAGGGGUGAGGAAAACGACGCCGUUUUACUCCCCUAUUUAAACCAGUUUUUUUCCAAAAACUUUCAUUUUUCUUUCUUCUUCAAAAAAAAAAACCCAAAAAAUCCUCUCAACUCUCCCCUUUUCUCUCUGAGCGCCGGCCAAGGGUCCGGCCGAGAGCCACCGCACCGGCCGUCGCCCUCCGGCGCUGGCGCCACCGUGUACGGCGGCGGGGAGACCAAAAGUCUCCCUUUUUCUCUCCGAUGACUCUCCUCGGCCUCCUGAGCGCUCCGGUGACGUAAAGAAAAGGGUAAGAAGCUUCUUUUUUUUUAAUCCUUUUUUUAUAUAUUUUUGUGUAAAAAAUGAAAGAAAUAAAAUUGUAAAAAACAAUAGUAACAGUAGAGAGAAAAAAAGGAAAACCGGUCAGAAAUGGGUGUUCAACCUUUUUUAUUUCUCUUCUUUGUGGAAAAUAGGGGCCGAACCCCUUACAAUUUUUUUGAAUGGCCUUUUAUAGCCAUUUUUUCACAACCAAAAUCCCUAUUUCCUACUGCUAUUGUAUCCUUUCUUUUGCAGGUAGAGUAGGUGAGGGUGUCGGUGGCAGGUGCGGCGCGAGUCAGAAGGCAGGUGGCUGAGGUGAUUGACGGCGGCGGUAGAUGCAAGUGGGGUACUAGGGUUUCAGUCUCUGAAACCCUAGUCUGAUGUGGGCUUGUCCAUUGGGCUCGGGUAUUGGGCCGUUCGGGUUUUUGGGCUCCGAGUUAGGCUAGUUGGGUUGGUGGGUUAGUUUAAUUGGUUUGGUUUUUGUUUUUUUUGUAAUUGGGCCCCAGGCUAAAAUUGGGCUUGUACAGCUGCCCCUCUUUGCUCGUUGUCGUGUAACGAGAACAGAGCAAAGACUAAGAAAGACCAAUUUUGCCCGGUCUCGUCGAUUCUUGACUUCUCUUGACGCUUCUCUUCUUCAAGUAGUUUCAUUCCAAUCCAAUGUGUCGCGUUGCUUCAAUCCACUCCACUGCAACUUCAGAGAUAUAUGACUUGUAACUUCAAUCCAUUCUGUUGUAACUUCAGGGGGUAAGGUCCAUGAUUUUGACCCGCUCCACUGCAACUUCAGGGAGAUCGGACUCAUAUCUUCAACUUGCCCCACUACAACUUCAGGGGGAUAAGAUUCGUGACUUCAACCUGUUUUACUGCAACUUCAGAGAGACAAGGUUUGUGACUUCGCUUCCAUCUAUUCCACUACAACUUUAGGGGAAUAAGAUUAGACAUGAUAAGAAUUGCUAUCUACUGUCCGCUCCGCUACAACUUUAGGGGGACAUGACUUGUUGUUUUCAGUCUAUUCCACUGCAUCUUCAGGGAAAUAAGACUUGAUGUGAUCUACUCUGCUGUAACCUCAGAGAGAUAAGAUCCUUUAUUUUAAUCCGCUCCACUGUAACUUCAGGGAGAUAGGAUAGUGUCUUCGAUCUGCUCCGCUGUAAUCUCAGGGAGAUAAGAUCUCUGGCUUCAAUCUGCUCCACUGUAACCUCAGGAAGAUAAGAUCUGAAAUUCUCCGGUCUACUCCACUGUAACCUCAGGGAAAUAAGACCUGAUGUGAUCUUCUCUACUGUAACUUCAGAGAGAUAAGAUCCUUUAAUCCGCUCCAUUGUAAUCUCAAAGAGAUAGGAUUACUAUCUUUGAUCUGCUCCGCUGUAAUCUCAGGGAGAUAAGAUCUCUGGCUUCAAUCUGCUCCGCUGUAACCUCAGGGAGAUAAGAUCUGAAAUUCUUUGGUCUGUUCCACUGUAAUCUCAGGGAGAUAAGACCUGUAUAAUAAACCUAAUUAUGCCUAAUGAUUAGGAUGACAUGAUCAAAAUGAAACAAAUGCUCCUAACUAGACAUAUGUGAAUGGUGUUUGCAUGAAUGCAGAAUUUUAUUUUUCCGAGAAUGAUCUCGCUUAGGUUAUCACUACUCGAAGUUUAUCAAGGUUUUGUGACUGACGUGCUACAACGCCUUCUCGCUUGACUGAUUUUUCUGAAGGAACAUUCAGCCAGACUGUCCCCAUUGUAAACCUCAAAGUUAUAUCCACUGGGACGCCAAAAUUUGUACCAUCAUUCUCUCACAGUAAUCUAAGGGUAGAAAUAUGUGGCUUUUCCUCUGUCCUCUUUUAUCAUAAUUCGGGGAUAUAGGAUCUGAACCGUUCUGGUUUCCUACACCAUUCUCAAGGUGUCGUACCAAAGUCUUAUGCGCAAGUGAAGGCUCUCUUCUCCGAGGUAACCUCUUCCUAUUGCUUGAUGAUCAUUGCUUGCUUGUUCAUUUAAGCUUUGUAAUUAACACGACAGCUUGUCAUUUUGUUCAAUCAAUGUUUAGACAACGAAAUCUGAAAGGAUAGUCUUUAACUUAGACUCUUCUUUCCUAGCUAUUUCACCCUUUAAACUUGGUAUUUUCUAAACAAUAGUCAUGUUUCAGGUCCCUAUAUUAUUUAGAAAUUUUCCAGAGUAAUGUGCAAAACUUCUUUCCUGAAAGUUUUAUUAGUUCGUUAAUCAAUAUUCCUAUGCAACAUGUUUGCAAAAAGAUCAUAACAAUGGAUAAGAAUAAAGCUAGUUCUGAUCAUAACUCAAAUAAAACAUCACAGAUGGCGAAAGAAAGGUAACAAAGAAGUGGAUUGAGAAUGUGCGUUUUCACAAAGGGAAAGGAAGAAAGAAAGAAAAUAAAAAAAUGUAUUUUCAAGAAUACACAUAAGAACUAGGUGCCCCAGUUAUCGCCGCUUGAGUUUCUCUGUACAAACUUUCCGAAGACCCUUCUAAGUUUGACAUGUGUUCAGGAGAUCUGCAAUACUCUGUCAAUGUUCCAAGACGUUGCAUAUCCUUUCUUAUUGGUUCAAGUAAAGGAAGAUCAUCAUAUCCCCCCGAUCAAAAUUUGAUCCGCUCAAGUCCUGAUGUUCCAAUCCUGCCCAAUACUUGAGUCGCCCUUUUCGGGUUUUCGACUCAAGCCCUCUUUGGUCUCAAAGUGCCCUUUACGGGUUUUCACCUUAGCCUCUCUAAAGUCCCCUUUUUUUUUUAGGAAGCAAAGCGCCCUUUACGGGUUUUCACUUUGGUUCCCCUUUCUUUCAAGUGAAGUAUUUCUUGACGGAGUCUGCGUUUACAGGAUUUGGUAAACUUUUGCCAUCCAUCUCGCAUAGGAUCAAAGCUCCACCGGAAAAGGCCUUCUUUACAACAUAAGGGCCUUCCCAAUUUGGCAUCCAUUUUCCUCUAAAAUCUUUUUGCAUAGGAAGAAUCUUUUUUAGUACCAAGUCCCCUUCACGAAAUUCUCGGGGGCGAACCUUUUUAUUAUAGGCUCGCAUCAUUCGUUUCUGGUACAUUUGCCCAUGGUGAAUAGCUCUUAGCCUCUUUUCCUCUAAUUAGGUUCAACUGAUCGUACCGAGAUUGGAUCCAAUCAGCUUUAUCCAACUGUAGCUCAGAUAACACCCGUAGAGAAGGGAUUUCAACUUCAAUGGGUAAUACUGCCUCCAUUCCAUAAACCAGAGAAAAAGGCGUUGCCCCAGUAGAAGUUCUAACAGAUGUUCGAUAGGCAAGGAGAGCAAAUGAUAAUUUCUCAUGCCAAUCCUUGUAGGUUUCAGUCAUUUUCCCCACAAUCCUUUUAAUGUUUUUAUUGGCCGCCUCCACUGCACCAUUCAUUUUGGGACGAUACGGCGAUGAGUUAUGAUGCUUAAUUUUAAAUUUGCUACAAACUUCAGCUAUUGUACUAUUAUUCAAGUUCAUCGCAUUGUCGGAUAUGAUCCUCUCAGGCAUUCCAUAUCGACAAAUGAUCUCCUUCUUCAAGAAUUUGCUGACUACUGCUUUCGUGACAUUUGCAUAUGAAGCAGCCUCCACCCACUUGGUAAAGUAAUCAAUUACUACGAAGAUGAAGCGAUGCCCAUUAGAAGCCUUUGGUGAUAUUGGCCCAAUAACAUCCAUACCCCACAUGGAAAACGGCCAAGGAGAGGUCAUGACGUGAAGAGGUGAAGGAGGCGCGUGUAUUUUGUCUCCGUAAAUUUGGCAUUUGUGGCACUUCCUGGCAUGAUCAAUACAAUCUCCUUCCAUGGUGGGCCAAUAGUACCCAAAUCUCAUGAUCUGUCUGGCCAUCGUGAAACCACUGGCGUGCGUCCCACAAAUACCCUCAUGGACUUCUUCCAAAAUUUUCUUGGCUUCUACAGCAUCAACACAUCUUAACAGUACUCGAUCAUUCCUUCUUUUAUAUAACACUUCUCCAUCUAAGACAUAUUCAAUGGCUAUCUUUCUCAGAGUUCUUUUGUCAUUCUCUGUCGCUUGAUCAGGGUAUUCCCGAUUCUUCACAUAUUGUAGGAUACUCUGAUACCAAGGACAAUCAUCUUUUCCCUCCUCCUCAAUAUUGCAGCAAUUAGCCGGGGUCUCAGAGAUACUCAUCUGAACAGGUCUCAUUGCCUCAAGUCUAUUCACCUGAAUCAUCGAAGCUAGAGUAGCUAAUGCAUCAGCCAUUUGGUUUUCCUCCCGUGGGAGGUAAUAGAAGGUGAUAUCGUCAAACUCCUCAGCCAAUUCAAGAACUAGUUUUCUAUAACCGAUUAGCUUAGGAUCUCUAGUCUCCCACUCCCCUUUGAGUUGGUAUAUCACCAACGCUGAAUCUCCGUAUACUCUCAGUACUUUGAUGUUUCGUUCAAUGGCUGCACGAAUGCCCAUAAUACAUGCUUCAUAUUCUACCAUGUUAUUUGUACAAUCGAAGUCCAACUUGCUAGCAACAGGAUAAUGAUCUCCACUUGGGGAUACCAAAACUGCCCCAACUCCAUUACCCGUAGCAUUUGAAGCUCCAUCAAAAUUUAACUUUCAUACGUGAUCCAUUUGAGGAUUUUCUUCAGUAUUCGCCACAUACAUCAAGUCCUCGUUUGGAAAAUCGAAAUUCAAAGAUUCAUAGUCCUCCAAGGCUCUACUAGCUAGGAAAUCGGCUAUUGCACUUCCCUUUAUGGCCUUCUGACUGACAUAUACUAUAUCAAAUUCUGAGAGCAAGAUCUGCCAUCUAGCCAUUCUCCCGUUCAAAGCAGUCGAUUCCAUCAUAUAUUUUAAAGGAUCUAACUUUGAAAUCAGCCAAGUCGUGUAAUACAACAUAUACUGCCUCAGUCUUCGGGUUGCCCAGAUUAGAGCAUAACACAACUUCUCAAUUGAUGAGUACCUCAUUUCGCAAUCGGUAAAUUUCUUACUGAGAUAGUAUAUUGCCCUUUCUUUCUUUCCCGUCUCAUCAUGUUGGCCCAAUACGCAUCCCAUGGAAUUCUCCAACACUGUUAGAUACAAUAUCAAUGGCCUAUCUGGACUUGGAGGUGAUAAGACUGGAGUAUUAGCCAAGUACUGCUUUAUCUUAUCGAAAGCCCUCUGACACUCUUCAUCCCAUUCGCCCGGAUUAUGUUUCUUUAAGAGCCGGAAUACUGGAUCACAUCUCUCUGUCAGUUGUGAGAUGAACCGAGCAAUGUAAUUCAGCCUCCCUAGGAAACCUCGAACCUCCUUCUGAGUGCGCGGGGGAGGUAAAUCUCGUAUUGCCUUUACUUUGUCUGGGUCAACCUCGAUCCCCUUUUUGCUAACUAUGAGGCCUAAUAACUUCCUUGAUCUGGCUCCAAACGUGCAUUUGGCCGGGUUAAGCUUGAGCUGAAAUUUCUUUAAUCUCAAAAACAACCUUUUCAAGACCUGAACAUGCUCUUCUUCCGUUCUAGACUUCGCGAUCAUAUCGUCAACAUAGACUUCGAUCUCCUUGUGCAUCAUGUCGUGAAACAAAGUCACCAUAGCUCUUUGAUACGUUGCUCCCGUAUUCUUCAAUCCGAAGGGCAUUACCUUGUAACAGAAUGUUCCCCAUAAGGUAAUGAAUGUGGUUUUCCUCAUGUCUCCAGGGUGCAUCUUUAUUUGAUUGUAUCCAGAGAAACCGUCCAUGAAAGUAAACAAUGAAUAGCCCGCCGUGUUAUCUACCAAAGUAUCAAUGUGAGGCAGUGGAAAGUUGUCCUUUGGACUAGCCUUGUUUAAAUCCCUAUAAUCCACACACAUUCGUACCUUUCCAUCUUUUUUGGGAACAGGGACGAUGUUGGCUACCCAAUCCGAAUACUUGACCUCUUGUAAGAAACCAGCGUCGAAUUGUCUUUUAACUUCUUCUCUUAUUUUCAACACAAUGUCAGGUCUCAUUCUCCUAAGCUUCUGUUGAACGGGUUUACAAUCCUCCUUUAUGGGCAGACGAUGCACCACAAUGCUAGUACUUAGCCCAGGCAUAUCUUGGUACGACCACGCGAAAACAUCCUUGAACUCUCGGAGCAAAUUAAUGAGGUCUUGCCUUGUCUUUGCGGUGAUUUCAGUUCCAAUUUUCACCUCCUUUCCAUCCUCUAGGCUCACUAUUUCUAACGAUUCCCUAUGAGGUAGGAUAUGCUUAUCCUCUUGUUCCAUCAUUCUUAACAAGUCCGGAGAUGCAUCAUAAUCUUCGUCAUUUUCAAAGUCGUGGGAUCCCUCUGAACACACUUCUUGCUCAAAAAUAGGCUCCGUGUUUGAGGCAGCGUCACUCAUGUCAUUGAUAUCUGAAGACCUAUGAGGGCAUAUCAAAGAAUAUACCAAGAAUAUAAAUUUAUGAAUAUGUUUGUGCAAAAGAAUUACAAAUGAAAGAAUUAUUUGUAAGACAAUCAACCAAAUGAAAAAUAUAAAAGGAAAAAAAGUGACUGAUCGAGAUGAGCGUAGACACGCAUUUCAUUAAAAUAAUGAUAUUUAGGCCCAAUGCCUAUUUCACAAAAGAUUUCAUAUCGUUUCUAGGCCAACAAACAACAGGAAUGUUUUGAGCAUUACUCUGAAUAAGCCCUAAAGACUACAGGGAUUUCUUCAGCAGUCCAAUUGUUUAGCUCGUUUCCAGGCUCAUAAGGGCAGAUCUCCAACAAAGCCCUCCUUUCCGUUGCUUCUAUGGCGUUGGUAUAAACGUUUUCCAACAUUCCUCCCAUGCCGCUACCGGACACUCCACAUUCAGAAUGAAUAAAUCCUCCCGACACAAAAGAUGUAGAUAUGUGGGGAAAGGUUAAAGGCUCACACUUAGCUUCAUGUCCAUUCAAACGCGCCCUUCUUCUCUCUUGUCUCUUCUCUACUUCUUUCUUCUUCUGCUUCAUGUCUGGCUUGUACCCUAAACCAAAUCUAUCAAACUUUUCCUUUGGCAUUGGUGCCUCAAUCCUUCCCUGAAGAUAUUUUCCCAAUCCUUUCCCGGGUAAGGCUCCUCUUCCUACCAUCAAUCGCAAUCCCAUCUCAGUGGUCCUGGAUAUUUUCGGUACUGGAAUUCUAUUUCCCUCCGCAAUAAACAUCGCGUUCACAAAUUCUAACGACCGAAAAGAACAUUCUAGUGCCUCAUCGUUGAUGUCCACAUAAGGUGCAUCGCUAGUCAUCAUUGCGAUAAUAUCCUCCUCUGCAUCUAUUGUUACCAACCGAUCCUCCGAUACCAACUUCACCUUCUGAUGUAAUGAUGAAGGUACUGCCCCUGCUGAGUGUAUCCACGGUCUCCCCAAUAGACAGUUGUAGGAGGGUUUAAUAUCCAUUACCAAGAAAUCCACCUCAUAAGUGACUGGGCCAAUCCUUAAUGGUACCUCAAUUCUCCCCAUAACCUCCUUUUUUGUUCCAUCAAAUGCCCUUACUAUGCUCUGGCAUGCUUUCAUGUGCGAACUGUCUAUUGGUAAUCGACUAAGAGUGGACAAAGGUAAUACAUUUAGUGCAGAUCCAUUAUCAACCAAGGCCCCCGGGAGUGUGUACCCUUUGCAUCGGACAGUAACAUGCAGGGCUUUAGUAGAACCUCUUCCUCCGGAUGGUAUUUCAUCAUCACUGAAGAAGAUAAAAUUGUCAGCACCAAUAUUGUUGAUCAGCCGAUCCAGCUUGUUUACCGAAAUAUCGUCAGCCACAUAUGUUUCGUUUAGCACCUUUAAUAGUGCAUUCCGAUGUACUUCUGAGUUUAAGAGUAAAGCUAAUACAGAAAUGCGGGCUGGCUGUUUGUGCAGUUGCUCCACAACACUGUAUUCACUGUGUUUCAAAAACUUCAAAAACUCCUUUGCCUCCUCUUCUUUUAUUGGUUCAUUUACCAAUGGUUCAACUUCUACUGCUUUCCCUUUCCUCUGUUCUUUCUUCCAAUUCUCUUCCCUGGACGACUCUGCUUGAGCGUCAUAUCUUUUUCCAUUGCGCGUGUAAGAACCUAUUUCCUGAUUUCUUUCUGCUUCUUUUCCCAAAAUGGUCACAUUACACCCGUAAUUCCACGGCACCAUUUUGUUAUCCCUAUAAGAGAAAUUUGAUGGUUUCUGGAUUACAAUUUUCGGUGUUACCUGAGCCCUAACCUCAUUACCCUUAGGGCGUGAGAUAAUGACCACAGGAUGAUUUAUUUUUGGAGCCUUUGUUCCCAACUCUGUCGCGCAUAUGCUCCUCAUUUCUUUCGCAUCUUCGUAAAACCUCAUCUCCUUGUUAUCCAUCAUGCUUUGAACCAAAGCCUUAAAUCCUUCACAUUCUUGGAUUUCGUGCCCUGUUUUAUGGUGAAAUUCACAAUAAUUUCCCAUCUCAUGCCCUUCCUCAGAAUCUGAAAUAACCAAACCUCUUUUCGCCAUUUCUUUCCAGACCCGUUUCAACGGAGUUUUUACUUCAGCAAUGUCAGUCUUGACUUCUUCUCCCGUACCUUCGCUAACCAUAUUCACCCCCUUAUCUGCGUUAGGUGAGUCGUCAAGUUUGACGACACCUAAAUUGAUAAGUCCUUCUACUACCUUCUUGAAGGCAGUACAAUUUUCUAUCGAGUGCCCAGAAAUUCCCGCAUGAUAAUCACAUUGCGCGUUCAUAUCAUACCAUUUUGGAUACGGGGGUUGUAGAGGACUCAAGUAACGAGGAGCAACAACAUGUGCAUCGAAUAAAGUCUGAUACAACUCAUUGUAUGACAUCGGGAUUGGCGUGAAUUGGGGCUUUUCAGUAGUUUGCCUAGCUCCCGACUCUUGUCUUGAUGAUCCCUGUUGAUUAGCAACCACUUUCUUUGGUUGAUUCACGGUAAUUGACCUACCAUAAGCAUUCACAUUAUUCACUUCAUUUUCUCUUUUCCUCAGGGGUGCCCUCCUAUUAUUUUCUCCUCCAUCUAUUUUUCCACUUUUAAUGGCAUGCUCAAUCAUUUCACCAUUCAUGAUUAUAUCCAAGAAAUUUUUUGAAGCGCUUCCCAACAUGUGAGUGAUGAACGGGGCUUUCAAAGUAUUAAUAAAAAGUGUCGUCAUCUCUUUUUCCAAAAGCGGUGGUUGCACAUGAACUGCCACCUAUCGCCACCUCUGCGCAUAUUGUCUGAAGCUUUCGUUCGAUUUCUUCUCUAAAUUUUGCAGAGUUAUCCUGUCAGGCAUCAUUUCUGAGACAUGAUUGUAUUGUCUCAGGAAAGCCUGUGCUAAAUCCCUCCAAGUAGCAAUUUUAGCUCGGCUCAGCUGAUUGUACCACUUUGACGCCGCUCCCGUAAGACUUUCCUGAAAGCAAUGUAUUAAUAAUUGAUCAUUAUUAAUAUGCCCCGUCAUUCUUCUACAAAACAUAGUAAUAUGGGAUCCUGGGCAACUAGUCCCGUUGUAUUUCUCAAAUUCCGGCAUCUUAAAUUUGUAAGGGAGCACCAAGUCCGGAACCAAGCUCAGAUCCUUUGCAUCUAUUCCAUAGCUUUCGAUGCUUUCUAUUGCCCUAAACUUCUCUUCUAUCCAUUUCCAUUUCUCCUCAAAUUGUUUUGGAAAUUCCUCCUUCGCCUUGUCCUUUUCAACCAUCUCGUCAAGAUCUGGGACAGCAAUAUUAUUCGGGAUAUCACCGGGAUUAAAGCCCGCUCCGGGUUGAAAAUUCAUUGGGAUUGAAGCAUCGCCUUGGAACUGCUGGGGCCUAACCGACACAGAGGGUCUCCGCGGAUGCAGCUCAGUCUGUACUUGCGCAUGCGGAGGCGUGAAACCUGGAGGAUAAAGUGGUUCACCAUUGUUUUCUUCUUCACUAACAAUCACAGGACCUUUACCCUUAUCUACUCCCUUCAAUAAUUGCGUCAUCUUAGCCACCAGAUCAUUUUGGGACUCCUCCAUCUUUUGCACCAUGUCACGCUGAAUCUUUUCUAUUUGCUCUUUCAUUUGCGCCUGCAACUGGUCUUGCAUUUCUUUUUGAAGUCGCUCUAGCUUCUCCAACCUUUGGUCCAUAAUUUUUGUCUUAGCUCGGGUGCCGUAACUUUGUUGGUUUUCCAGGUUAACUGAAAUGAUUUUAUUCGAUUAGGUUUUUAAUGGUCAUUAAUGCAUAUGAUGUGAUGCAAUGCAUGAAAAGAAUGCAAAGAAAAAGAGGCACUGAUUCUAAUUCAACUUCAUUAGAAAACUUUACUAGAUAAAGAGUUUCUUUACAUAAAAUAGACUACAUAUAUGGCUUUGCCCUUACACUCAAAGCCUUAACCUUUCUAAGAAGCCAAGCUAACUCUCGGCCCCUGUCCGACUCUAACUCAUACUUCAAACUUAAUAGAUCAGCCUGAACCGCUAGAGUUUGCAGAUGAUCAGCUACUUCGCGCACUUGAGCCACCGCCUCUCCCAUAAUAUAAUCUCUUUCUCUAAUCUGCUCUUGAGACCGACGGAAUUGUCUUUGCCACUGCUCAUUAUUUUCUUCCAGAAGCUCUAUCCGGAUUUCACUAUUUUACAAUGCAUUUUCUAGCCCUCCUAUUUGUCCUUUUAAUUCUUCAAUUUUGUCUAAGCUCGCCCUUAAUUCAAGCGUAGCAUUACGAUUACAGUACUGGUGAAGCGAUCUUUCUAGUUCAGCUAUCCGGACCUUCAACUCCGUCUUCUCGUCUUGGCAAACUAGUAGACUCUUUCCCAAUGCGACUUCUCAAGCCCGAGUAUCCUGAAAUUUCUUUUCCCAUUGAUUAACUUUCGUCUUUUCCUCCUGAAUUUCUUGUCGCCAUUGUUCUGGCAUUUUACCCAAGCCAGCAGCUCUUACCGACCUGCGCAACUUCUUGUAAUCUGUCUUCAGGCUGUCCAAAUCUUCUUCUGCUUUGUUCUUUCCUUUUCUCAAUUUAUCGGCCUCUAAUCUUUGAAUGUCCACAUCCAGUCCUAACUGCAUUUUUUCUUCCUCUAGUUGUUCUAUCUUCUUCCCCAAUUCUAAACUCCUUUUUUCGAAUUCUUGUUUGAUGAUUUCUAUCUCAGAAGGCAAAACUUGUAAGUGUUCCUCUAAAGAUCGAGCAGUUUCUGAAUUUGACGCCGGGAUGUUGUUGUUGAUCCUUUGAUCACGCCACUGACCAUACUCGGGGGUAAUUGUCGGACCCACGGCUAAGAUCUUCAUUCGACGAGUCUGGUUUCAGGCACUAGAUAUUUCUCGAACCUUCUUCUUGUAGUUGUCCUCCCUAUAGGAAAAAUCACAAUAGGCCAACCCCUGCGUUGCUGGUAUGAAUUGUCGUGAUCUAUACUGUCUUGAUACGAGUAGAGGAGCAUAUCCGAUAGCUCCCCAUAUCCCGAGCAGCGGAACCCAGUCAAAAUCUCCACAUCGGUACAAUAUCUCAUCAGGAAUUAACCAAGGAGCCCUCCACUCAAUAUCUUCAUCCUGGAGAUUCUGGAGUAUCUCUAUCCAUUUUUCUUCUGAAAUAUCAUCCCGUCUUGGCGUGGCCACCAAUUCUCCUAGAGGGGAGUAGCUAUCAGAGAAUACCCGAUAAGAGACCUUUUCGACUUUCCAGAAGUGGCUAUGGAACCAUGCCAAUAAGAGCUGCGCGCAUCCAAUAAACCUUCCCUCCCCUGCUUUUCGACACGCAUUCAAGGAUCUAAAAGUUUCAGCGAGUAUUGCCGGAACCGGUGUAACCCCUUUACUAAGCCGAUCAAACAAAUCAGAUACAGCCUCGUCUAUGUGUCCUAAAGCUUUGGGGAAAACCACUAGUCCAUAGAUACCUAAAGCGAAGACAUCGACCCUUUUCUUUAAGUCAGGAUGUACAAGCACCAAAUCUCGCAAACUUUUCCAAGGAACACAUUUACUGUCGCCCUUCUGUUGGAUCCGGGCAGCGACCCACUGCUCGCUCAUCCCAGUGAUGUUCAUUAAUUUCUUUAACAACGUAGGGACACAAGCAGCUCUGGAAUAAGCCUUGUCGACUUGAAUCUUUGGGCACCGAAGCAAGGUCGUAUACUCCUCCACAGUAGGCGUCAAAUCUACCUUCCCAAAAGUGAAACAACUGUAGGCAGGAUUCCAAAACUGAGCAAGGGCUCGGAAUAAAUACUUGUCCACUUUGACACUAAGCAGAUAAGGUAGGUCGCCAUAGUUACAAUAGAACAGCUGCUUGGCCUCGACAUCCCAUUGAUCCCAGACUUCUUUCAUUUCUCGAAGGUCAUUCUGGAUUACACUGAUACGGGUAAAAUCCCACAAUUCUGACACGUACCCUUCGGUAAGACUAUCGCCUUUCUCCCGUUGUGUCGUUUCAGCCCAUAUUCGCACAGCCGCAUUAUCCUCUACUUUAUCAACAAACCCCUUUUCCAUGAUAAGCUUUCUACCAAGAAACUGAACGUAAAUCGACACCUCUUUUAGAAUGAAGAUGCCAUGCAAUCACAAACAAAGUAAAUUAGCAUUAAACACAGAAUAAGAUUUAAAAUAAGCGACAAAUAAAUACAACAUUCAUUUAGGUAAGCACUAAAAAUUUGGAGUAGCUCUACCUAGGUCGGUUCCUAUGGCUCAUUACAUGUGGUUUGGUUCUAAAGUAGGGUACCUGAACCAGCAAAUUCCUCGAUCCUCACCCAUUAUAGGCUCAUACGGACCAAGUUCGAUUCAGGGGGAUACAUUUCCCUAUGGCCAUGCGGAGAUGAAAAUCUCACGAAGACAUAGGUACGGAUAUAUCCCGAAAGCGAUUCACUAUCCCAUGCGGAGGUGAAAACCUCACGAAGGCGUAGCUUCUCACUCCCACCUAAAAAGGUGUGACCAACGGUCAUGCAAUGCAAUGCGGAAAGAUACCAAAAUUUAAACAAACAGAGCAAUUAUAAACCCCAAUGAUGAUGAUUAUGAUAAAGACAGAUAAAAUGCGAUGAAAGGAUCGUAAUUUUAAACCGAAUUUUCAAUUUUUGACAAAAGACAAAAAGUAAUCACCACGUGGCUUGACCCUCUUAUCCGUUCUCCCCAGUGGAGUCGCCAAGCUGUUGACACCAUUUUUUGGACAAAAUGGGGCCGACUUGGGUUUUGAAAAAUGAAACAGGAGUCGCCACCAACCUCUUUUUUUUAUGAGGUGUGAUUGGAUCACCUCAAAAAAAAAGGGUUGUUUUUAAUAAAUGAUUUGAUUUUAUUAAAACAACGGUUUCGGUCCACGAAAUCUAGAAAACGGGUCCGGGAGUCGGUUACGUACGAGGAAGGAUUAGCACCCUCGAUACGCCCAAAAUUGGUACCUAGUUGAUUACUUAAUGUCUUAAUGUCGAAAAUUGAGAACUUUAGAGAAUUUUUUUAAAAAUACGAUCAUUUUAUUAAAACAUUAAAAAUUUUCAAGAAAAAGGGGAUAUUUCACGUUAUUCGAGAAAGAAAAUCAUAUCCAGUAAGUUAGAAUACAAUGUCUCAAAUUCCCAAUACGUGAGUGAAUGCCAAAAUUUUACUUAUUUAAAAGAUAUUUUAUUAUCUCGAUUUUACGAAAGGGAUUAUGUCCAGUGAGUUAAGACACGAUCUUUUUAUUCCCGAGAUCAUUUAAAACUUAAGUUUGAAAAGAUUCGUGUAAUAAAGUUUAAAAGAAUAUUCAAUUGUUUAAAUCAAAUGAAGAAAUCGCAACCCAAUACGUUAGGGCACAAUUUCUCAAAAUAUUAAACAUUGAAUAUUACAUGUAUUUCAAAAAAAAUCCUCGUCUCGAGAAAACAACGUGUCACAUCCAAUGCGUUAGGAUACAACGUAUUGAAUUCUCGAUAACGAGCUUUUUAUCAUUUUUUAAAAGAGUAAUCUCGAUUAUUUAGGUUCAACGAAGAAAAUCGGAACCCAAUACGUUAGGGCUUGAUUCUCUCGAAGAUCUAAAACACCGAAUAUUACUUAUUUUUAAAAUUUCUUUUUUGAAAUCUAAAUAAAAAAUUGGUGUAAUGGAAAUGAUGAUGAUAUAAGAAAAAUAAUACAAACAAAGGCUACUAAGUAAAAAUAAAUACAGAGACGAACUAAUAUAAUACACAAUUAUAAGCAUAUUAAAACAUUCAUUCUAAAUAAUGAAAAUGUAAAUGAAGAAAUAAACAGAGAAAAUGUAUAUAACUAUAAAAAUAUAAAAUAUAUAUGUGUUAUAAAAUAUGAAAAUGUGAGUAUUUACAUAUAUAUGAGUAGAUUAUAAAACAUAAAAAUAUAUAUAAUAAAAGUAUGUACAUUACAAGAACGUGUAUAUGUACAUAAAUAUGAAAAUUUUAAGAUAGAACAAUGUGCAUAUAUAUAUACUUAUACAAAUUUAAAAAUAUGUACAUACAUGUAUUAUAAAAAUUUAUUCACAUAUACAUACAUGCUUGAAAUUGUAAAAUAAUAACAAGAAUAUGUAUAUAUAAACAUAUAUGAAACAUGAGAUGUACGAAUGUAUGUAUAUAGAUACGGAUGGUAGAAAUAUAGGCAUAUAAAUAUAAAUACUUAAAAUGUAUAUAUAAAUACAUACAUAAAUUAUAAAAUAGAUAAUAUAGUCAUGUAUAUAUAUUAUUAAAUAUUAGACAUAUAUAUGUAUAUAUAUAUAUAGUAAGAUUUAAAGUAAGAAGACAAUAAUAUAAAAACAUCACAUUCAAAUGACAAAAUAACCAAAAAUAAAGAAAAAGGAUUAAAAUACAAUUUAAACUAAAUUGACAGGAUAAUUAAAAAAAUAAACCAAACGUAGGGACUAAUUUCAAAGGCGCGAAAGAAGCUAAGGAUUAACUGGGGAAAUAUCCCGCACCAACCAAACGGCGCCGUUCCAAGGAAGUGCAUGUACAUGGUCUGGGGAUUAAAAUAAAACAAAAGGAAAUUUUGCGGCCGAAAUUACAAAUAAUAAAAAGAAUUGCAUUGAAAACACCAUAAAGGCGGAGGGGCUUAUUUCGCAAAUAUCCCCUCAAGCCUAAACACGCGGAUCCCUUUGCUGGAGCGGGUCGGAUUUUCGGGCCAGGAGCUAAACGACGCCGUUUUGGCGUUUUAAAGGGGUGAGGAAAACGACGCCGUUUUACUCCCCUAUUUAAACCAGUUUUUUUCCAAAAACUUUCAUUUUUCUUUCUUCUUCAAAAAAAAAAACCCAAAAAAAUCCUCUCAACUCUCCCUUUUCUCUCUGAGCGCCGGCCAAGGGUCCGGCCGAGAGCCACCGCACCGGCUGCCGCCCUCCGGCGCCGGCGCCACCGUGUACGGCGGCGGGGAGACCAAAAGUCUCCCUCUUUCUAUCCGAUGACUCUCCUCGGCCUCCUGAGCGCUCCGGGUGACGUAAAGAAAAGGGUAAGAAGCUUUUUUUUUUAAUCCUUUUUUUAUAUAUUUUUGUGUAAAAAUGAAAGAAAUAAAAUUGUAAAAAACAAUAGUAACAGUAGAGAGAAAAAAAGGAAAACCGGUCAGAAAUGGGUGUUCAACCUUUUUUAUUUCUCUUCUUUGUGGAAAACAGGGGCGAACCCCUUACAAUUUUUUUGAAUGGCCUUUUAUAGCCAUUUUUUCACAACCAAAAUCCCUAUUUCCUACUGCUAUUGUAUCCUUUCUUUUGCAGGUAGAGUAGGUGAGGGUGUCGGUGGCAGGUGCGGCGCGAGUCAGAGGGCAGGUGGCUAAGGUGAUUGACGGCGGCGGUAGAUGCAAGUGGGGUACUAGGGUUUCAGUCUCUGAAACCCUAGUUUGAUGUGGGGCUUGUCCACUUGGGCUCGGGUAUUGGGCCUUUCGGGAUUUUGGGCUCCGGGUUAGGCUAGUUGGGUUGGUGGGUUAGUUUAAUUGGUUUGGUUUUUGUUUUUUUUGUAAUUGGGCCCCAGGCUAAAAUUGGGCUUGUACAGUGCCUAAAACGGUACAUAGUACCUGAUCAGUAUACGACACAUAAGUGCCUGAAACGACACACGAGGUGCCUGAUACGACACAUAAAGUGCCUGAGAUAUGACACAUAUAGUGCCUGAGAUACGACACAUAAAGUGCCUGGACGGCAAAGCCGAUAACCCGUACUCUUCCAAAUCCUAUGGCAUGCCAAUUAUAUCCGACUCAGCCUCGACUAGUUAAUAGGGUAUUUAAAAUCACAAUUUCUCUUAUGUUCAUUUCAAUAAUUUUUCCACCUUUCAUUCGAUAAUUAAUUCACAAAUUCACACAUAUAAAUAAUAAUAAUAAUAAUAAUAAUAAUAAAUAAUAAUAAAAUACUUACCUCACAUUCCAUUUACCAACCUCAUAGAUUAAAAUCUAACAUUUAAUAAUAAAUAACUUGAAUAUAGUAUACAAACCGUGAGAUUCUUGCGUUUUUACUCCUCGAUAAUCUUCUCUUUUCCUUUCCGUGCCGAUGUUUCUGGUUCUUUGCUAGCUAUUGAACUUCAAGCUUCAAAUCCCCUAGGUUUUCCCUUUUAUUUUCUUUCCCCUUUUCCUCCCUCUGUUUUAGUCCUCUUCUCUGCUUCUUUUCUAGCUAUUUCUGUUUUCUUUUCUUCUUUGUUUCUUUCUUUUUACUUUAUUCCUUUUAUGCAUUAGUUAAUAAUAAUAAUUUAAUAACUUUUUUUAACACAUAAAAAAUCUCAGAUUUUUAUACUUAUGCCGCCUCAACUUUGGCAAUUGGUAUAAUUGCCUAUUUAGUCCCUCUUAUUUUAUUUUAAUCUAUAAUUAAACUUUCACUUCUAUUGUAAUUUAAUCCUUUUUACUAAUUACUCUUAAUUAGGCUAAAUUCACCUAUCUAAAACCUAAUUAAACACACAACUAGUCUAGUAAAUAUUUCUAAUAAUUUUUUUCGAACUCAAUUUACUAAGACGGAGGCCCGAUAACACACUUUUCCGGUGCCCACGGAUUUUGGGCGUUACAAAAAAAUCCAUUCAAUAAGUAUUAAAUUUAAGCUACAAAUUAAUCGAAAACAAUUUCCAAUAACAAAAUAUAGAAUUUUUUAUCAACGGGCAAGAGAGAAGAAGCUUUUUUUUUUUUUUUAGAAUUACCAGCACAAGUCUUCUCUUUGGUGAGCUUAUAGAUGAGGGCAGAGAUUCCGAUAGAACGGACAGCCUCGGCGGCGACAAAGAAGUUGUCGUGGUCAUUUACAAUGACUCGGAGAAGAACCAAUGCCGCCAUCCCGAUACCACCGCCAAAAAAAGUCUUCACCUUCGGCGGCUGUUGUCUCACCCACAUCGACACCGCAUGGAUCGGCCUCUUCUGUGUCCUCAUGUCUUCUUUAUUCUUUUUUCCCGUUUUGGGGAUUUAGAAGGUGGUGGGAUUCUGGAUUUUGGGGUUUGAUUUGAGCUUUUUGUUUAAUAGGGAAAAAAUAAAAGUGAUUCGGGUGGAUUUUUAUUUGACGGGCAAGAAAUAUGAAUCUGAAUUAAAAUUACCUGAAAUAUGGGAACAGAGGAGAGAAAGAAGAUGAAGGAGAAUAUCUGAAAUAUGGCAAGAGAGUUUGAGGGCAGAAAUUGUGUAGAGAGUUUGACGGCAGAUGAAGGAGAAGAUGAAUGAGGGCAAAAUUUGGAAAAUGGGAAAAAGAGAGUGGAAUGUAAUAGCUAUUCAGUGCUGAAGGCAAGGAAUGGCUAUUACAGCUUCUCACGUAAUAGAGGCUGAAUGGAAUAAGGCUNNNNNNNNNNNNNNNNNNNNNNNNNNNNNNNNNNNNNNNNNNNNNNNNNNNNNNNNNNNNNNNNNNNNNNNNNNNNNNNNNNNNNNNNNNNNNNNNNNNNNNNNNNNNNNNNNNNNNNNNNNNNNNNNNNNNNNNNNNNNNNNNNNNNNNNNNNNNNNNNNNNNNNNNNNNNNNNNNNNNNNNNNNNNNNNNNNNNNNNNNNNNNNNNNNNNNNNNNNNNNNNNNNNNNNNNNNNNNNNNNNNNNNNNNNNNNNNNNNNNNNNNNNNNNNNNNNNNNNNNNNNNNNNNNNNNNNNNNNNNNNNNNNNNNNNNNNNNNNNNNNNNNNNNNNNNNNNNNNNNNNNNNNNNNNNNNNNNNNNNNNNNNNNNNNNNNNNNNNNNNNNNNNNNNNNNNNNNNNNNNNNNNNNNNNNNNNNNNNNNNNNNNNNNNNNNNNNNNNNNNNNNNNNNNNNNNNNNNNNNNNNNNNNNNNNNNNNNNNNNNNNNNNNNNNNNNNNNNNNNAGAUUAUCACGAAACUCAUACUAUAUUUCCAUCGAUUUGGUAGUUUAUGCUCGUUUAGUUUCAUUAUGUGGCAUAUACAUAAGGUUAAUAUAUAUUUUUAUUUUGGGAUGACAGUUUUGGUUUGAACCUUGAUGAAUGCUUACUUUUAAAAUGGUAAAGGAUAUAUGAAAAUGUGUAGGAGAUGGUAACUUUUUGAAUGAAAUAUGUUAACUUGAUUGGAAAAAUUUAGUAGUCAAUGGGCAUGACUAAAAUGUUGGUAUGAAAUGACUUUGAUUGUGUAAUGGUAGAAAUUAUCAAAGAAAUGGUAUGGUUUUAUCAUGUAUUUGGAAAGGCUUGAAAUGAAUGAAAGAUUAGUUUGUAUUGAAAUUGGUAUGUAAUGUUGUGAAAGGGUGCCAAAUUAUGGCAUAUUGGUGGGAUGAAAUUAGGACUUAUGAUGAGUGUAUGGUAAUUGUGUUUUGAAGUGAUUUUGUGCAGGUUAUAAGGAUACCUAAGGAUCAUUUGGUUGUAAGUUGAUUUGGACAUGGAAUGGGCAUUUAAAAUGGAUUUUUUUUACAAUUUUUGCAAUAAGGUAUUGAUACCUCCAUAAUGGUAUCGAUACUUAACAUUUUUUCCAAAUAGAUUUUCAAAACAGAAUGCUAAUUUGGUAUCAAUACUAGGGUAAGGUAUCGGUACCUACAAGGAAGUACGGGUACAUUGAUCUAAGUAUUGAUACCUUAUGAUUUUAAAUUGAUUUUAUGAACAUCGAAGCUUGAAAUGGUAUCGGUAUCUAGUAAGGGUAUUGAUACCUGUUCUGAAAUUUUUGAAAUUUUGAAAUUUUGUAAUUUAGCCCUAUUUCAUGUUCUAAUUUAACAAUUAAGUCUCUUAAAUUUAAUAGUCUUAAAAAGGGUUUAAUUGUCAUUUUUUUAUUGUAAUGUGAAAUAUUCGUAUGAUUAUAUGGUUUAAAUUUUGAUGUUUAUCGAUACUUGAUUACAACUUUGAAAAUUUUACAAUUUGGUUCCAAUUUACGUUCGGGUUAAUAAUUAAGCUUUCGUAAGCUCAAUUGAGGCUCGAUUUGAUUGUAUGCCAUAAUAAUUAUGUCAUGAAUUGGUGAAUGAAUGAUUAAUUACUGUGAAUUGCAUGUGAUUAGCUCUAGUAGUUGUGGUAGCAUCUUGUAGUUUGGGUCUGACGGUUGGACUGGGCUAGGGGUGUUACACUACCCCUCAGAUUUGCCCCUGAACCUAGAGGUUGUAGGUCUAAGUACACUUAAGCACGUAAUAUCCUUCAAUUUAAAAAUUUAAAGAGUUAUUAGUACUUUAGUUAAUGUAUAAAAAAAUAAAUAAUUACAAUUGUUGCAAAAAAAUGCAAUUAAACAAAUAAUUAUAUAGUAAGAAAUACAUAUUUGACAGAAAGGUGACAGAAAAAAAUACUUUCAUAGAAAAGGAUUAGUCUAUAAAUUGGUAUCUAACCAUACGUUUUCCCAUCUUAGUACUUAAUUUUUGUAGGUAAACUACACCCAAGGUCACUAAACUAUUAAUAAGUUUAUGUUUUGUUCACUAAACUUGAAAAAGUUACAAAAUGGUCACUAAACUAUACGAAAGUUUUCAUUUAAGUCACCGGGUUAUUAAAAUUGCUACUGUAUGGCAUUCUUUGUUCACAUCGCUUGCACCAAUCGAAAACUCUCAUUUCCCUUCUUUUUCGCAGUUCGUUUUUUUAUGAAACAUUAUUGAACAUCACAAAUUUGUGAAUCUUAAGGUAUGUCUUCUCAAUCUUUGCACUAACCGUCAAAUUAACUUGGAUUUAGGGUAUGUUCUUCUACUCAUUGAUGGGAUUGAUUCGUCAUUCCAAUUGUCGAAUCGUUGUUUAGAGCUCCCUAGCUGUUUUUUUUUUUAACUUAACAAUCUAAUGACUUAAAUAAAAACAUUUGAAUAGUUCAGUGACUUAAUGAAAAAUUUUGAUAGUUAGGCAACCAUUUAACUUUUUGAAGUUGAGUGACCAAAAUGUAAGUUACGAAUAAUUUAGUGACCUUAGGUGUUGUUUACCUGUUUUUUUUUUAAUCACAAGUGGUACCUAAACUACUUUUUUCCUAAGUUGGUCUAUUUGUUAGUCAAACCGUUGAGUCGAUUUAAAAAAAAAAGUCUUAACCCACAAAUUAAUACCUAAAUUAUGUGUUUUUCCUAGGUUGGUACCUAAUUUUUUUUUUAUCACAGGUGGUAUAAUGUAUUCUUUCAUUACCAUUUACUUUAAAAUUUUAUACUUGUUAAAAAUUUUAGCCAAUAAUAGACUAUCACGUCAUAUAAACUUUAAAAAAAAUUAAUUUCUUUUUCUUUUACUUAUUUCCUUUUUAUUUUUUAUUUUUCCUUUUUAUGUUUUAUUUCUUCUUCCUUUAUGUCUAGAAAUGCCAGCAAUGCUCAAAAUUUGCCCUUGAAUGUUGAGACGCUGGCGAUUAAUUUCGUUUUUGAACUUCACCACUUGCUUACUUAAAUUGAUAGGAUCGCAUAAGUUCUUUGAUGAUCAAAACCAGUGUUCCCAAAAUUAAUUGGCCGAUCAAAUUGGUUGGAUCGAGAACCGAUAAGGGUAUCAAACUAGAGAUAGGGUUGAAUAGAUUGACCUUUGAACUGUCACUAACUGAUUGAAUUAAGCUAAAAAUCGGUGAACCAAAUUUCCCUAUUUUAAAUAUUUCAAUUUUUAUAAACUUUUUAAUAAUUUAUUUGAUCAACCUUGGCAAAUCAAUCGAAUUGGAACUUGUGGCAUGAUCGAGUCGGCCAUUGAUUCAAUUUUAAAAAUUUGAUAAAAAAAGUGAAGCUCAAAAUGCUCACACUUGUAGUAAAAGCCCAAGAUGAGAGGAAGAAGAAAGAAAGAAAGAAAAAAAAUGAAGAGAAUCUAUCUAUAUAUAAAGAGAGAAUAAUACUUUUGUCUAUUUAUUUCCACAUGACAAUUUUUAAUUGAUUAUCUUUUUUAAAUAGACUUAACAAUUUGACUAACGGUUGAAUUAACAGAGAUACCAACUUGGAAAAAGAGUUUAGGUACCACUUGUGACCAAAAAAAUGCUUAGGUGUCAAAUGGGAAAUAUGCAUAGCUUAGGUACCAAUUUGUAGGCUAAGCAUUUUCUUUAAAAUAAACUUAACGGUUGGCUAACAAAUGUAUUGAUUUGGGAAAAAAUAAUUUAAGUACCACUUGUAACUAAAAAAAAAAGUUAAGUACCGAGAAAAAAAUGUUUAAAUACAAAUUUGUAGGUUAAGCAUAAAAAAAAUAUAAGUUAUUAAAGUGAUAUCGAGCAAAAGUUUAGAAGUGUGGUAAUGAGGUUUGGUUAAAAUUAUAAAUUAGAGGUUUUAAAAUUUUGAUGUCUUAUUUCAAGUUCCUUUUGUGUAAAUAUUAUGCAUUUUUUUUUAUAGAUUUAUGUGUAGAUCCUAUCUAACUUUAUUCUAAUUUAGGCCUAAUGUAUUUUCGCUUUCACUCUAGUUGUAUUUUGUAUUGAUUUAAUUUUUGUUAUAUAGUUAAGUAGAAUAUAUCAUUUGGGAUUUUAUUUGUAAGUUGUAAACACUUUCCAAAAAUAGGUUGAUGGGUAUUGGAUUUAUACUUCUAAAAUGACAUUGUCCACAUUUAAAUUAAAUUUUUUAUCCUUAAAAAAAUUAAAUUUAUUUUAUCAAUGUUUAGAGAAUAUUUUUAAUUGAAAUUUAGAUAAAUAAUUAUUAAAUUUAUAAUAGCUUGUAUAAAUUUAAUUCCAAUACAAUUUUUUUUUAAAAAAAUGCUAUCAUUAAAAAAUUGAGUAUUCAACUAAAAAUCAAUCAAUUAAUAAUUCAAUUCAAACUAAUUAACUAACCAAAAAUAACUUUAAAAAGUCUACAUAUUUGCUUAAAUAAAAUCCAACAUAAAACUAGGGUUGACUAGUCAAAUCUUAUCAUCUUUAACUCUAUUUGAAAAUUUUCAAAUCAAGUCAAUUAAAUGAAAUUUAAAUCAAGUCGAGUCGAAAUAAAUUUUCGAGUUAAAUUAAAAAAUUAAACAUGUCAAAUUAAAUAUUUUACAGUAUAACUAAUUUUAUAUUAGAGCACAAUUUUGAAACCAUAUAUAUUUGAAAACUUUUUCAAAGCAAAAUAAGAAAAAAAAAAAGUUACGUUAGUUUGAUAAUUUGAAUUAUUAAUUAACUUAUUUUAGGUCCCAAAGUUAUUAUUUUAGAUAAUUUUUAAAAAUUUCAACUUUCUUUAUAUAUUCUUUAGUUUUUUUAAAUAAUUUUGAAAUUUUCAUAAAUAUUUUGAAUUUUUGAAAAAAAUAUUUUUAUUUCUUUUAUGUAAAUUUUGUUGUGAGAGAGACUAAUUGACCUCAUUUUCAAAUUUAUCGGGACUAAAUGGUAUUUACACUUAAUCUAUUAUUUGAAGUAUAAAAUUCGACUAAACUUGAACUCAAAACUCAAAUUGCUUAUUCGAAUUGACUAAAAAAUUAGAAUAACUUAAAUAACUAUGUUGACAACCAAUUUUUUUGGGAUGAAAACGGGGGUCAAUUUUGAUUUUGGAAAGGAAAACACAAAUAGGGAGUCGCCGCCAAUCUCUUUUUUUUUAUGAGGUUUGAUUGGAUCACCUCAAAAAAGGGUUGUUUUGUAAUAAAUGAUUUGAUUUUAUUAAAACAACGGUUUCGGUCCAACGAAAUUCUAGAAAACGGGUUCGGGAGUCGGUUACGCACGAGGAAGGAUUAGCACCCUCGAUACGCCCAACAUUGGUACCUAGUUGAUUACUUAAUGUCUUAAUGUCAAAAAUUGAGAACCCUUGAAGAAUUUUAAAAAUACGAUCCUUGUAUUAAACGUUGAAAAUUUUCAGGAAAAAGGGAUAUAUUUCACAUUAUUCGAGAAAGAGAAUCAUAUCCAGUAAGUUAGGACACAAUGUCUCAAAUUCCCGAUACGCGGAUGAAAAAUGCUUAUUUAAAAGAUAUUUUAUUAUCUUGUUUUAGAAAUAAAUCAUGCCCAGUAAGUUAGGGGCACGAUCUUUUUUAAUUCCCGAGAUCGUUUAAAAAUUUGAGUUUGAAAAGAUUCGUGUAUUUAAAUUUAUUAUGAAAAAUCGAAACCCAGUAAGUUAGGGUGCGAUCCUUUUCGAAUCUAAACACGAAAUAUUUUUUAAAACAAAUUUUGUUUAUUAUCGAGUAAAAAUAAACACGAAAAUCGUAGUAAAAAAAUGUGAAAAGCAAAUUACAUUGUUGUUAGAACGUGGUAAAAAUCAUAAUACACAUAAAAAUAAAAAAUAAUACGAGCAAUAGCAAUAAUAUAAAAAUAAUAAAAGUCAUACCUACAAUCAUAUAAAAUAACAAUAUAUAUAAACAAAUAAAUUAAAACAUUUCAUUCAAAAUAAUAACGAAAUGAAAUAAAUAAGUAACAAAUACAAUUAAAUAUAAAAGAUAUAUAUAGACAUAAACUAAAAUAUGUAUAUAUUAACAAAAUAUAUAAAGUAUAUUUAAAUAUAUAAAAGAAAAAAUAAAUAUGUAUAUAUUUAUGAAAUGAAAAAAUAUAUUAUAGAUAUGUAUAUAAGUUGUAAAAAAGUAUAUAUAAAACUAUAUAAGUAUAUAUACAUAUCUGUUACAAAAAAUAAUGUAUAUAUAUCCACAAAAAAUAUAUGCACAUAUAUAUACAUAUACCGAAAUUUUAAUAAAAUAAAUAUAAAAUAAGUAGAUAAUAAUAAUAUAAUAAUAAUAGGACUAAAUCAAAACUGAAACGAAAUCUCAGGGGGUGAAAUCAAAAGUAAAAUAGGGUAACGGGAUCAAAAUGUGAGGCGCGCGAAAAAUAGAAGGGCCAAUAGGAAAUUAAUUCCUAUAAUCGAACGGCGCCGUUUCUGCCAAGACCCAGGCGCAGGUUCCUGGAUCCGAAUUGAAACGGAUGCAAAAAUUUAUGGUCAAAAUUGCGAAUAUGAGAAAACUUCCUUGAAAGCGCUUCAAAAUUGGAGGGACUAGGGGCGCAAAUAGCCCACUUCAUGAAAACGGCGGGAUCCCCCUGGAGCGGGUCGGGUCGCCGCGCGGGUCAUUGAGGACUAAACGACGCCGUUUUUGGCGUUUUAAAGGGGUGAGGAAAACGACGCCGUUUUACCUCCCCUAUUUAAAAAACCAAUUUUUUUUCAAAAACGUUCAUUUUUCUUUCUUCUUCAAAAAAAAUUCCAAAAAUCCUCUCAACUCUCCCCUUUUCUCUCUGAGCCGCAGCGCGCCAAGGGUCCGGCCGAGAGCCACCCGCACCGGCCGCCGCCCUCCGGCGCGGCGCCACCGUGUACGGCGGCGGGAGAGACAAAAGUCUCCCUUUUUCUCUCCGAUGACUCUCCUCGGCCUCCUGAGCGCUCCGGUGACGUAAAGAAAAGGGUAAGAAGCUUCUUUUUUUAUAAUCCUUUUUUUAUAUAUUUUUGUGUAAAAAAUGAAAGAAAUAAAAUUGUAAAAAAAACAAUAGUAAACAGUAGAGAGGAAAAAAGGAAAACCGGUCAGAAAUGGGUGUUUCAACCUUUUUUUAUUUCACUUCUUUUGCGGAAACAGGGGCCGAACCCUUUACAAUUUUUUGAAUGGCCUUUUAUAGCCAUUUUUUUCACAACCAAAUCCCUAUUCCUACUGCUAUUGUAUCCUUUCUUUUGCAGGUAGAGUAGUGAGGGUGUCGGUGGCAGGUGCGGCGCGAGUCAGAGGGCAGGUGGCUGAGGUGAUUGACGGCGGCGUAGAUGCAAGUGGGGCACUAGGGUUUCAGUCUCUGAAACCCUAGUCUGAUGUGGGCUUGUCCAUUGGGCUCGGGUAUUGGGCCGUCGGGUUUUUGGGCUCCGGGUUAGGCUAGUUGGGUUGGUGGGUUAGUUUAAUUGGUUUGGUUUUUUGUUUUUUUGUAAUUAGGGCCCCAGGCUAAAAUUGGGCUUGUACAGCUGCCCCUCUUUGCUUGUUGUCGUGUAACGAGAACAGAGCAAGACUAAGAAAGACCAAUUUUGCCCGGUCUCGUCGAUUCUUGACUUCUCUUGACGCUUCUCUUUUUCAAGUAGUUUCAUUCCAAUCCAAUGUGUCGCGUUGCUUCAAUCCACUCCACUGCAACUUCAGAGAUAUAUGACUUGUAACUUCAAUCCAUUCUGUUGUAACUUCAGGGGGUAAGGUCCAUCAUUUGACCCGCUCCACUGCAACUUCAGGGAGAUCGGACUCAUAUCUUCAACUUGCCCCACUACAACUUCAGGGGGAUAAGAUUCGUGACUUCGCUUCCAUCUAUUCCACUACAACUUUAGGGGAAUAAGAUUAGACAUGAUAAGAAUUGCUAUCUACUGUCCGCUCCACUACAACUUUAGGGGGACAUGACUUGUUGUUUUCAGUCUAUUCCACUGCAUCUUCAGGGAAAAUAAGACUUGAUGCGAUCUACUCUGCUGUAACCUCAGAGAGAUAAGAUCCUUUAUUUUAAUCCGCUCCACUGUAACUUCAGGGAGAUAGGAUAGUGUCUUCGAUCUGCUCCGCUGUAAUCUCAGGGAGAUAAGAUCUCUGGCUUCAAUCUGCUCCACUGUAACCUCAGGGAGAUAAGAUCUGAAAUUCUCCGGUCUACUCCACUGUAACCUCAGGGAAAUAAGACCUGAUGUGAUCUUCUCUACUGUACUUCAGAGAGAUAAGAUCCUUUAAUCCGCUCCAUUGUAAUCUCAAGGAGAUAGGAUUACUAUCUUUGAUCUGCUCCGCUGUAAUAUCAGGGAGAUAAGAUCUCUGGCUUCAAUCUGCUCCGCUAUAACCUCAGGGAGAUAAGAUCUGAAAUUCUUUGGUCUGUUCCACUGUAAUCUCAGGGAGAUAAGACCUGUAUAAUGAACCUAAUUAUGCCUAAUGAUUAGGAUGACAUGAUCAAAAUGAAACAAAUGCUCCUAACUAGACAUAUGUGAAUGGUGUUUGCAUGAAUGUAGAAUUUUAUUUUUCCGAGAAUGAUCUCGCUUAGGUUAUCACUACUCGAAGUUUAUCAAGGUUUUGUGACUGACGUGCUACAACGCCUUCUCGCUUGACUGAUUUUUCUGAAGGAACAUUUAGCCAGACUGUCCCCAUUGUAAACCUCAAAGUUAUAUCCACUGGACGCCAAAAUUUGUACCAUCAUUCUCUCACAGUAAUCUAAGGGUAGAAAUAUGUGGCUUUUCUCUGUCCUCUUUUAUCACAAUUCGGGGAUAUAGGAUCUGAACCGUUCUGGUUUCCUACACCAUUCUCAAUGUGUCGUACCAAAGUCUUAUGCGCAAGUGAAGGCUCUCUUCUCCGAGGUAACCUCUUCCUAUUGCUUGAUGAUCAUUGCUUGCUUGUUCAUUUAAGCUUUGUAAUUAACAGACAGCUUGUCAUUUUGUUCAAUCAAUGUUUAGACAACGAAAUCUGAAAGGAUAGUCUUUAACUUAGACUCUUCUUUCCUAGCUAUUUCACCCUUUAAACUUGGUAUUUUCUAAACAAUAGUCAUGUUUCAGGUCCCUAUAUUAUUUAGAAAUUUUCCAGAGUAAUGUGCAAAACUUCUUCCUGAAAGUUUUAUUAGUUCGUUAAUCAAUAUUCCUAUGCAACAUGUUUGCAAAAAGAUCAUAACAAUGGAUAAGAAUAAAACUAGUUCUGAUCAUAACUCAAAUAAAACAUCAAAGAUGGCGAAAGAAAGGUAACAAAGAAGUGGAUUGAGAAUGUGCGUUUUCACAAAAGGAAAGGAAGAAAGAAAGAAAAUAAAAAAAUGUAUUUUCAAGAAUACACAUAAGAACUAGGUGCCCCAGUUAUCGCCGCUUGAGUUUCUCUGUACAAACUUUCCGAAGACCCUUCUAAGUUUGACAUGUGUUCAGGAGAUCUGCAAUACUCUGUCAAUGUUCCAAGACGUUGCAUAUCCUUUCUUAUUGGUUCAAGUAAAGGAAGAUCAUCAUAUCCCCCCGAUCAAAAUUUGAUCCGCUCAAGUCCUGAUGUUCCAAUCCUGCCCAAUACUUGAGUCGCCCUUUUCGGGUUUUCGACUCAAGCCCUCUUUGGUCUCAAAGUGCCCUUUACGGGUUUUCACCUUAGCCUCUCCAAAGUCCCCUUUUUUUUUUUUAGGAAGCAAAGCGCCCUUUACGGGUUUUCACUUUGGUUCCCCUUUCUUUCAAGUGAAGUAUUUCUUGACGGAGUCUGCGUUUACAGGAUUUGGUAAACUUUUGCCAUCCAUCUCGCAUAGGAUCAAAGCUCCACCGGAAAAGGCCUUCUUUACAACAUAAGGGCCUUCCCAAUUUGGCAUCCAUUUCCUCUAAAAUCUUUUUGCAUAGGAAGAAUCUUUUUAGUACCAAGUCCCCUUCACGAAAUUCUCGGGGGCGAACCUUUUUAUUAUAGGCUCGCAUCAUUCGUUUCUGGUACAUUUGCCCAUGGUGAAUAGCUCUUAGCCUCUUUUCCUCUAUUAGGUUCAACUGAUCGUACCGAGAUUGGAUCCAAUCAGCUUUAUCCAACUGUAGCUCAGAUAACACCCGUAGAGAAGGGAUUUCAACUUCAAUGGGUAAUACUGCCUCCAUUCCAUAAACCAGAGAAAAAGGCGUUGCCCCAGUAGAAGUUCUAACAGAUGUUCGAUAGGCAAGGAGAGCAAAUGAUAAUUUCUCAUGCCAAUCCUUGUAGGUUUCAGUCAUUUUCCCCACAAUCCUUUUAAUGUUUUUAUUGGCCGCCUCCACUGCACCAUUCAUUUUGGGACGAUACGGCGAUGAGUUAUGAUGCUUAAUUUUAAAUUUGCUACAAACUUCAGCUAUUGUGCUAUUAUUCAAGUUCAUCGCAUUGUCGGAUAUGAUCCUCUCAGGCAUUCCAUAUCGACAAAUGAUCUCCUUCUUCAAGAAUUUGCUGACUACUGCUUUCGUGACAUUUGCAUAUGAAGCAGCCUCCACCCACUUGGUAAAGUAAUCAAUUACUACGAAGAUGAAGCGAUGCCCAUUAGAAGCCUUUGGUGAUAUUGGCCCAAUAACAUCCAUACCCCACAUGGAAAACGGCCAAGGAGAGGUCAUGACGUGAAGAGGUGAAGGAGGCGCGUGUAUUUUGUCUCCGUAAAUUUGGCAUUUGUGGCACUUCCUGGCAUGAUCAAUACAAUCUCCUUCCAUGGUGGGCCAAUAGUACCCAAAUCUCAUGAUCUGUCUGGCCAUCGUGAAACCACUGGCGUGCGUCCCACAAAUACCCUCAUGGACUUCUUCCAAAAUUUUCUUGGCUUCCACAGCAUCCACACAUCUUAACAGUACUUGAUCAUUCCUUCUUUUAUAUAACACUUCUCCAUCUAAGACAUAUUCAAUGGCUAUCUUUCUCAGAGUUCUUUUGUCAUUCUCUGUCGCUUGAUCAGGGUAUUCCCGAUUCUUCACAUAUUGUAGGAUACUCUGAUACCAAGGACAAUCAUCUUUUCCCUCCUCCUCAAUAUUGCAGCAAUUAGCCGGGGUCUCAGAGAUACUCAUCUGAACAGGCCUCAUUGCCUCAAGUCUAUUCACCUGAAUCAUCGAAGCUAGAGUAGCUAAUGCAUCAGCCAUUUGGUUUUCCUCCCGUGGGAGGUAAUAGAAGGUGAUAUCGUCAAACUCCUCAGCCAAUUCAAGAACUAGUUUUCUAUAACCGAUUAGCUUAGGAUCUCUAGUCUCCCACUCCCCUUUGAGUUGGUAUAUCACCAACGCUGAAUCCCCGUAUACUCUCAGUACUUUGAUGUUCGUUCAAUGGCUGCACGAAUGCCCAUAAUACAUGCUUCAUAUUCUGCCAUGUUAUUUGUACAAUCGAAGUCCAACUUGCUAGCAACAGGAUAAUGAUCUCCACUUGGGGAUACCAAAACUGCCCCAACUCCAUUACCCGUAGCAUUUGAAGCUCCAUCAAAAUUUAACUUCCAUACGUGAUCCAUUUGAGGAUUUUCUUCAGUAUUCGCCACAUACAUCAAGUCCUCGUUUGGAAAAUCGAAAUUCAAAGAUUCAUAGUCCUCCAAGGCUCUACUAGCUAGGAAAUCGGCUAUUGCACUUCCCUUUAUGGCCUUCUGACUGACAUAUACUAUAUCAAAUUCUGAGAGCAAGAUCUGCCAUCUAGCCAUUCUCCCGUUCAAAGCAGUCGAUUCCAUCAUAUAUUUUAAAGGAUCUAACUUUGAAAUCAGCCAAGUCGUGUGAUACAACAUAUACUGCCUCAGUCUUCGGGUUGCCCAGAUUAGAGCAUAACACAACUUCUCAAUUGAUGAGUACCUCAUUUCGCAAUCGGUAAAUUUCUUACUGAGAUAGUAUAUUGCCCUUUCUUUCUUUCCCGUCUCAUCAUGUUGGCCCAAUACGCAUCCCAUGGAAUUCUCCAACACUGUUAGAUACAAUAUCAAUGGCCUAUCUGGACUUGGAGGUGAUAAGACUGAGUAUUAGCCAAGUACUGCUUUAUCUUAUCGAAAGCCCUCUGACACUCUUCAUCCCAUUCGCCCGGAUUAUGUUUCUUUAAGAGCCGGAAUACUGGAUCACAUUUCUCUGUCAGUUGUGAGAUGAACCGAGCAAUGUAAUUCAGCCUCCCUAGGAAACCUCGAACCUCCUUCUGAGUGCGCGGGGGAGGUAAAUCUCGUAUUGCCUUUACUUUGUCUGGGUCAACCUCGAUCCCCUUUUUGCUAACUAUGAAGCCUAAUAACUUCCUUGAUCUGGCUCCAAACGUGCAUUUGGCCGGGUUAAGCUUGAGCUGAAAUUUCUUUAAUCUCAAAAACUAACCUUUUCAAGACCUGAACAUGCUCUUCUUCCGUUCUAGACUUCGCGAUCAUAUCGUCAACAUAGACUUCGAUCUCCUUGUGCAUCAUGUCGUGAAACAAAGUCACCAUAGCUCUUUGAUACGUUGCUCCCGCAUUCUUCAAUCCGAAGGGCAUUACCUUGUAACAGAAUGUUCCCCAUAAGGUAAUGAAUGUGGUUUUCCUCAUGUCUCCAGGAUGCAUCUUUAUUUGAUUGUAUCCAGAGAAACCGUCCAUGAAAGAAAACAAUGAAUAGCCCGCCGUGUUAUCUACCAAAGUAUCAAUGUGAGGCAGUGGAAAGUUGUCCUUUGGACUAGCCUUGUUUAAAUCCCUAUAAUCCACACACAUUCGUACCUUUCCAUCUUUUUUGGGAACAGGGACGAUGUUGGCUACCCAAUCCGAAUACUUGACCUCUUGUAAGAAACCAGCGUCGAAUUGUCUUUUAACUUCUUCUCUUAUUUUCAACACAAUGUCAGGUCUCAUUCUCCUAAGCUUCUGUUGAACGGGUUUACAAUCCUCCUUUAUGGGCAGACGAUGCACCACAAUGUUAGUACUUAGCCCAGGCAUAUCUUGGUACGACCACGCGAAAACAUCCUUGAACUCUCGGAGCAAAUUAAUGAGGUCUUGCCUUGUCUUUGCGGUGAUUUCAGUUCCAAUUUUCACCUCCUUUCCAUCCUCUAGGCUCACUAUUUCUAACGAUUCCCUAUGAGGUAGGAUAUGCUUAUCCUCUUGUUCCAUCAUUCUUAACAAGUCCGGAGAUGCAUCAUAAUCUUCGUCAUUUUCAAAGUCGUGGGAUCCCUCUGAACACACUUCUUGCUCAAAAAUAGGCUCCGUGUUUGAGGCAGCGUCACUCAUGUCAUUGAUAUCUGAAGACCUAUGAGGGCAUAUCAAAGAAUAUACCAAGAAUAUAAAUUUAUGAAUAUGUUUGUGCAAAAGAAUUACAAAUGAAAGAAUUAUUUGUAAGACAAUCAACCAAAUGAAAAAUAUAAAAGGAAAAAAAAGUGACUGAUCGAGAUGAGCGUAGACACGUCAUUUCAUUAAAAUAAUGAUAUUUAGGGCCCAAUGCCUAUUUCACAAAAGAUUUCAUAUCGUUUCUAGGCCAACAAACAACAGGAAUGUUUUGAGCAUUACUCUGAAUAAGCCCUAAAGACUACAGGGAUUUCUUCAGCAGUCCAAUUGUUUAGCUCGCUUCCAGGCUCAUAAGGGCAGAUCUCCAACAAAGCCCUCCUUUCCGUUGCUUCUAUGGCGUUGGUAUAAACGUUUUCCAACAUUCCUCCCAUGCCGCUACCGGACACUCCACAUUCAGAAUGAAUAAAUCCUCCCGACACAAAAGAUGUAGAUAUGUGGGGAAAGGUUAAAGGCUCACACUUAGCUUCAUGUCCAUUCAAACGCGCCCUUCUUCUCUCUUGUCUCUUCUCUACUUCUUUCUUCUUCUGCUUCAUGUCUGGCUUGUACCCUAAACCAAAUCUAUCAAACUUUUCCUUUGGCAUUGGUGCCUCAAUCCUUCCCUGAAGAUAUUUUCCCAAUCCUUUCCCGGGUAAGGCUCCUCUUCCUACCAUCAAUCGCAAUCCCAUCUCAGUGGUCCUGGAUAUUUUCGGUACUGGAAUUCUAUUUCCCUCCGCAAUAAACAUCGCGUUCACAAAUUCUAACGACCGAAAAGAACAUUCUAGUGCCUCAUCGUUGAUGUCCACAUAAGGUGCAUCGCUAGUCAUCAUUGCGAUAAUAUCCUCCUCUGCAUCUAUUGUUACCAACCGAUCCUCCGAUACCAACUUCACCUUCUGAUGUAAUGAUGAAGGUACUGCCCCUGCUGAGUGUAUCCACGGUCUCCCCAAUAGACAGUUGUAGGAGGGUUUAAUAUCCAUUACCAAGAAAUCCACCUCAUAAGUGACUGGGCCAAUCCUUAAUGGUACCUCAAUUCUCCCCAUAACCUCCUUUUUGUUCCAUCAAAUGCCCUUACUAUGCUCUGGCAUGCUUUCAUGUGCGAACUGUCUAUUGGUAAUCGACUAAGAGUGGACAAAGGUAAUACAUUUAGUGCAGAUCCAUUAUCAACCAAGGCCCCCGGGAGUGUGUACCCUUUGCAUCGGACAGUAACAUGCAGGGCUUUAGUAGAACCUCUUCCUCCGGAUGGUAUUUCAUCAUCACUGAAGAAGAUAAAAUUGUCAGCACCAAUAUUGUUGAUCAGCCGAUCCAGCUUGUUUACCGAAAUAUCGUCAGCCACAUAUGUUUCGUUUAGCACCUUUAAUAGUGCAUUCCGAUGUACUUCUGAGUUUAAGAGUAAAGCUAAUACAGAAAUGCGGGCUGGCUGUUUGUGCAGUUGCUCCACAACACUGUAUUCACUGUGUUUCAAAAACUUCAAAAACUCCUUUGCCUCCUCUUCUUUUAUUGGUUCAUUUACCAAUGGUUCAACUUCUACUGCUUUCCCUUUCCUCUGUUCUUUCUUCCAAUUCUCUUCCCUGGACGACUCUGCUUGAGCGUCAUAUCUUUUUCCAUUGCGCGUGUAAGAACCUAUUUCCUGAUUUCUUUCUGCUUCUUUUCCCAAAAUGGUCACAUUACACCCGUAAUUCCACGGCACCAUUUUGUUAUCCCUAUAAGAGAAAUUUGAUGGUUUCUGGAUUACAAUUUUCGGUGUUACCUGAGCCCUAACCUCAUUACCCUUAGGGCGUGAGAUAAUGACCACAGGAUGAUUUAUUUUUGGAGCCUUUGUUCCCAACUCUGUCGCGCAUAUGCUCCUCAUUUCUUUCGCAUCUUCGUAAAACCUCAUCUCCUUGUUAUCCAUCAUGCUUUGAACCAAAGCCUUAAAUCCUUCACAUUCUUGGAUUUCGUGCCCUGUUUUAUGGUGAAAUUCACAAUAAUUUCCCAUCUCAUGCCCUUCCUCAGAAUCUGAAAUAACCAAACCUCUUUUCGCCAUUUCUUUCCAGACCCGUUUCAACGGAGUUUUUACUUCAGCAAUGUCAGUCUUGACUUCUUCUCCCGUACCUUCGCCUAACCAUAUUCACCCCCUUAUCUGCGUUAGGUGAGUCGUCAAGUUUGACGACACCUAAAUUGAUAAGUCCUUCUACUACCUUCUUGAAGGCAGUACAAUUUUCUAUCGAGUGCCCAGAAAUUCCCGCAUGAUAAUCACAUUGCGCGUUCAUAUCAUACCAUUUUGGAUACGGGGGUUGUAGAGGACUCAAGUAACGAGGAGCAACAACAUGUGCAUCGAAUAAAGUCUGAUACAACUCAUUGUAUGACAUCGGGAUUGGCGUGAAUUGGGGCUUUUCAGUAGUUUGCCUAGCUCCCGACUCUUGUCUUGAUGAUCCCUGUUGAUUAGCAACCACUUUCUUUGGUUGAUUCACGGUAAUUGACCUACCAUAAGCAUUCACAUUAUUCACUUCAUUUUCUCUUUUCCUCAGGGGUGCCCUCCUAUUAUUUUCUCCUCCAUCUAUUUUUCCACUUUUAAUGGCAUGCUCAAUCAUUUCACCAUUCAUGAUUAUAUCCAAGAAAUUUUUUGAAGCGCUUCCCAACAUGUGAGUGAUGAACGGGGCUUUCAAAGUAUUAAUAAAAAGUGUCGUCAUCUCUUUUUCCAAAAGCGGUGGUUGCACAUGAACUGCCACCUAUCGCCACCUCUGCGCAUAUUGUCUGAAGCUUUCGUUCGAUUUCUUCUCUAAAUUUUGCAGAGUUAUCCUGUCAGGCAUCAUUUCUGAGACAUGAUUGUAUUGUCUCAGGAAAGCCUGUGCUAAAUCCCUCCAAGUAGCAAUUUUAGCUCGGCUCAGCUGAUUGUACCACUUUGACGCCGCUCCCGUAAGACUUUCCUGAAAGCAAUGUAUUAAUAAUUGAUCAUUAUUAAUAUGCCCCGUCAUUCUUCUACAAAACAUAGUAAUAUGGGAUCCUGGGCAACUAGUCCCGUUGUAUUUCUCAAAUUCCGGCAUCUUAAAUUUGUAAGGGAGCACCAAGUCCGGAACCAAGCUCAGAUCCUUUGCAUCUAUUCCAUAGCUUUCGAUGCUUUCUAUUGCCCUAAACUUCUCUUCUAUCCAUUUCCAUUUCUCCUCAAAUUGUUUUGGAAAUUCCUCCUUCGCCUUGUCCUUUUCAACCAUCUCGUCAAGAUCUGGGACAGCAAUAUUAUUCGGGAUAUCACCGGGAUUAAAGCCCGCUCCGGGUUGAAAAUUCAUUGGGAUUGAAGCAUCGCCUUGGAACUGCUGGGGCCUAACCGACACAGAGGGUCUCCGCGGAUGCAGCUCAGUCUGUACUUGCGCAUGCGGAGGCGUGAAACCUGGAGGAUAAAGUGGUUCACCAUUGUUUUCUUCUUCACUAACAAUCACAGGACCUUUACCCUUAUCUACUCCCUUCAAUAAUUGCGUCAUCUUAGCCACCAGAUCAUUUUGGGACUCCUCCAUCUUUUGCACCAUGUCACGCUGAAUCUUUUCUAUUUGCUCUUUCAUUUGCGCCUGCAACUGGUCUUGCAUUUCUUUUUGAAGUCGCUCUAGCUUCUCCAACCUUUGGUCCAUAAUUUUUGUCUUAGCUCGGGUGCCGUAACUUUGUUGGUUUUCCAGGUUAACUGAAAUGAUUUUAUUCGAUUAGGUUUUUAAUGGUCAUUAAUGCAUAUGAUGUGAUGCAAUGCAUGAAAAGAAUGCAAAGAAAAAGAGGCACUGAUUCUAAUUCAACUUCAUUAGAAAACUUUACUAGAUAAAGAGUUUCUUUACAUAAAAUAGACUACAUAUAUGGCUUUGCCCUUACACUCAAAGCCUUAACCUUUCUAAGAAGCCAAGCUAACUCUCGGCCCCUGUCCGACUCUAACUCAUACUUCAAACUUAAUAGAUCAGCCUGAACCGCUAGAGUUUGCAGAUGAUCAGCUACUUCGCGCACUUGAGCCACCGCCUCUCCCAUAAUAUAAUCUCUUUCUCUAAUCUGCUCUUGAGACCGACGGAAUUGUCUUUGCCACUGCUCAUUAUUUUCUUCCAGAAGCUCUAUCCGGAUUUCACUAUUUUACAAUGCAUUUUCUAGCCCUCCUAUUUGUCCUUUUAAUUCUUCAAUUUUGUCUAAGCUCGCCCUUAAUUCAAGCGUAGCAUUACGAUUACAGUACUGGUGAAGCGAUCUUUCUAGUUCAGCUAUCCGGACCUUCAACUCCGUCUUCUCGUCUUGGCAAACUAGUAGACUCUUUCCCAAUGCGACUUCUCAAGCCCGAGUAUCCUGAAAUUUCUUUUCCCAUUGAUUAACUUUCGUCUUUUCCUCCUGAAUUUCUUGUCGCCAUUGUUCUGGCAUUUUACCCAAGCCAGCAGCUCUUACCGACCUGCGCAACUUCUUGUAAUCUGUCUUCAGGCUGUCCAAAUCUUCUUCUGCUUUGUUCUUUCCUUUUCUCAAUUUAUCGGCCUCUAAUCUUUGAAUGUCCACAUCCAGUCCUAACUGCAUUUUUUCUUCCUCUAGUUGUUCUAUCUUCUUCCCCAAUUCUAAACUCCUUUUUUCGAAUUCUUGUUUGAUGAUUUCUAUCUCAGAAGGCAAAACUUGUAAGUGUUCCUCUAAAGAUCGAGCAGUUUCUGAAUUUGACGCCGGGAUGUUGUUGUUGAUCCUUUGAUCACGCCACUGACCAUACUCGGGGGUAAUUGUCGGACCCACGGCUAAGAUCUUCAUUCGACGAGUCUGGUUUCAGGCACUAGAUAUUUCUCGAACCUUCUUCUUGUAGUUGUCCUCCCUAUAGGAAAAAUCACAAUAGGCCAACCCCUGCGUUGCUGGUAUGAAUUGUCGUGAUCUAUACUGUCUUGAUACGAGUAGAGGAGCAUAUCCGAUAGCUCCCCAUAUCCCGAGCAGCGGAACCCAGUCAAAAUCUCCACAUCGGUACAAUAUCUCAUCAGGAAUUAACCAAGGAGCCCUCCACUCAAUAUCUUCAUCCUGGAGAUUCUGGAGUAUCUCUAUCCAUUUUUCUUCUGAAAUAUCAUCCCGUCUUGGCGUGGCCACCAAUUCUCCUAGAGGGGAGUAGCUAUCAGAGAAUACCCGAUAAGAGACCUUUUCGACUUUCCAGAAGUGGCUAUGGAACCAUGCCAAUAAGAGCUGCGCGCAUCCAAUAAACCUUCCCUCCCCUGCUUUUCGACACGCAUUCAAGGAUCUAAAAGUUUCAGCGAGUAUUGCCGGAACCGGUGUAACCCCUUUACUAAGCCGAUCAAACAAAUCAGAUACAGCCUCGUCUAUGUGUCCUAAAGCUUUGGGGAAAACCACUAGUCCAUAGAUACCUAAAGCGAAGACAUCGACCCUUUUCUUUAAGUCAGGAUGUACAAGCACCAAAUCUCGCAAACUUUUCCAAGGAACACAUUUACUGUCGCCCUUCUGUUGGAUCCGGGCAGCGACCCACUGCUCGCUCAUCCCAGUGAUGUUCAUUAAUUUCUUUAACAACGUAGGGACACAAGCAGCUCUGGAAUAAGCCUUGUCGACUUGAAUCUUUGGGCACCGAAGCAAGGUCGUAUACUCCUCCACAGUAGGCGUCAAAUCUACCUUCCCAAAAGUGAAACAACUGUAGGCAGGAUUCCAAAACUGAGCAAGGGCUCGGAAUAAAUACUUGUCCACUUUGACACUAAGCAGAUAAGGUAGGUCGCCAUAGUUACAAUAGAACAGCUGCUUGGCCUCGACAUCCCAUUGAUCCCAGACUUCUUUCAUUUCUCGAAGGUCAUUCUGGAUUACACUGAUACGGGUAAAAUCCCACAAUUCUGACACGUACCCUUCGGUAAGACUAUCGCCUUUCUCCCGUUGUGUCGUUUCAGCCCAUAUUCGCACAGCCGCAUUAUCCUCUACUUUAUCAACAAACCCCUUUUCCAUGAUAAGCUUUCUACCAAGAAACUGAACGUAAAUCGACACCUCUUUUAGAAUGAAGAUGCCAUGCAAUCACAAACAAAGUAAAUUAGCAUUAAACACAGAAUAAGAUUUAAAAUAAGCGACAAAUAAAUACAACAUUCAUUUAGGUAAGCACUAAAAAUUUGGAGUAGCUCUACCUAGGUCGGUUCCUAUGGCUCAUUACAUGUGGUUUGGUUCUAAAGUAGGGUACCUGAACCAGCAAAUUCCUCGAUCCUCACCCAUUAUAGGCUCAUACGGACCAAGUUCGAUUCAGGGGGAUACAUUUCCCUAUGGCCAUGCGGAGAUGAAAAUCUCACGAAGACAUAGGUACGGAUAUAUCCCGAAAGCGAUUCACUAUCCCAUGCGGAGGUGAAAACCUCACGAAGGCGUAGCUUCUCACUCCCACCUAAAAAGGUGUGACCAACGGUCAUGCAAUGCAAUGCGGAAAGAUACCAAAAUUUAAACAAACAGAGCAAUUAUAAACCCCAAUGAUGAUGAUUAUGAUAAAGACAGAUAAAAUGCGAUGAAAGGAUCGUAAUUUUAAACCGAAUUUUCAAUUUUUGACAAAAGACAAAAAGUAAUCACCACGUGGCUUGACCCUCUUAUCCGUUCUCCCCAGUGGAGUCGCCAAGCUGUUGACACCAUUUUUUGGACAAAAUGGGGCCGACUUGGGUUUUGAAAAAUGAAACAGGAGUCGCCACCAACCUCUUUUUUUUAUGAGGUGUGAUUGGAUCACCUCAAAAAAAAAGGGUUGUUUUUAAUAAAUGAUUUGAUUUUAUUAAAACAACGGUUUCGGUCCACGAAAUCUAGAAAACGGGUCCGGGAGUCGGUUACGUACGAGGAAGGAUUAGCACCCUCGAUACGCCCAAAAUUGGUACCUAGUUGAUUACUUAAUGUCUUAAUGUCGAAAAUUGAGAACUUUAGAGAAUUUUUUUAAAAAUACGAUCAUUUUAUUAAAACAUUAAAAAUUUUCAAGAAAAAGGGGAUAUUUCACGUUAUUCGAGAAAGAAAAUCAUAUCCAGUAAGUUAGAAUACAAUGUCUCAAAUUCCCAAUACGUGAGUGAAUGCCAAAAUUUUACUUAUUUAAAAGAUAUUUUAUUAUCUCGAUUUUACGAAAGGGAUUAUGUCCAGUGAGUUAAGACACGAUCUUUUUAUUCCCGAGAUCAUUUAAAACUUAAGUUUGAAAAGAUUCGUGUAAUAAAGUUUAAAAGAAUAUUCAAUUGUUUAAAUCAAAUGAAGAAAUCGCAACCCAAUACGUUAGGGCACAAUUUCUCAAAAUAUUAAACAUUGAAUAUUACAUGUAUUUCAAAAAAAAUCCUCGUCUCGAGAAAACAACGUGUCACAUCCAAUGCGUUAGGAUACAACGUAUUGAAUUCUCGAUAACGAGCUUUUUAUCAUUUUUUAAAAGAGUAAUCUCGAUUAUUUAGGUUCAACGAAGAAAAUCGGAACCCAAUACGUUAGGGCUUGAUUCUCUCGAAGAUCUAAAACACCGAAUAUUACUUAUUUUUAAAAUUUCUUUUUUGAAAUCUAAAUAAAAAAUUGGUGUAAUGGAAAUGAUGAUGAUAUAAGAAAAAUAAUACAAACAAAGGCUACUAAGUAAAAAUAAAUACAGAGACGAACUAAUAUAAUACACAAUUAUAAGCAUAUUAAAACAUUCAUUCUAAAUAAUGAAAAUGUAAAUGAAGAAAUAAACAGAGAAAAUGUAUAUAACUAUAAAAAUAUAAAAUAUAUAUGUGUUAUAAAAUAUGAAAAUGUGAGUAUUUACAUAUAUAUGAGUAGAUUAUAAAACAUAAAAAUAUAUAUAAUAAAAGUAUGUACAUUACAAGAACGUGUAUAUGUACAUAAAUAUGAAAAUUUUAAGAUAGAACAAUGUGCAUAUAUAUAUACUUAUACAAAUUUAAAAAUAUGUACAUACAUGUAUUAUAAAAAUUUAUUCACAUAUACAUACAUGCUUGAAAUUGUAAAAUAAUAACAAGAAUAUGUAUAUAUAAACAUAUAUGAAACAUGAGAUGUACGAAUGUAUGUAUAUAGAUACGGAUGGUAGAAAUAUAGGCAUAUAAAUAUAAAUACUUAAAAUGUAUAUAUAAAUACAUACAUAAAUUAUAAAAUAGAUAAUAUAGUCAUGUAUAUAUAUUAUUAAAUAUUAGACAUAUAUAUGUAUAUAUAUAUAUAGUAAGAUUUAAAGUAAGAAGACAAUAAUAUAAAAACAUCACAUUCAAAUGACAAAAUAACCAAAAAUAAAGAAAAAGGAUUAAAAUACAAUUUAAACUAAAUUGACAGGAUAAAUUAAAAAAAUAAACCAAACGUAGGGACUAAUUUCAAAGGCGCGAAAGAAGCUAAGGAUUAACUGGGGAAAUAUCCCGCACCAACCAAACGGCGCCGUUCCAAGGAAGUGCAUGUACAUGGUCUGGGGAUUAAAAUAAAACAAAAGGAAAUUUUGCGGCCGAAAUUACAAAUAAUAAAAGAAUUGCAUUGAAAACACCAUAAAGGCGGAGGGGCUUAUUUCGCAAAUAUCCCCUCAAGCCUAAACACGCGGAUCCCUUUGCUGGAGCGGGUCGGAUUUUCGGGCCAGGAGCUAAACGACGCCGUUUUGGCGUUUUAAAGGGGUGAGGAAAACGACGCCGUUUUACUCCCCUAUUUAAACCAGUUUUUUUCCAAAAACUUUCAUUUUUCUUUCUUCUUCAAAAAAAAAAACCCAAAAAAUCCUCUCAACUCUCCCCUUUUCUCUCUGAGCGCCGGCCAAGGGUCCGGCCGAGAGCCACCGCACCGGCUGCCGCCCUCCGGCGCCGGCGCCACCGUGUACGGCGGCGGGGAGACCAAAAGUCUCCCUCUUUCUAUCCGAUGACUCUCCUCGGCCUCCUGAGCGCUCCGGUGACGUAAAGAAAAGGGUAAGAAGCUUUUUUUUUUAAUCCUUUUUUUAUAUAUUUUUGUGUAAAAAAUGAAAGAAAUAAAAUUGUAAAAAACAAUAGUAACAGUAGAGAGAAAAAAAGGAAAACCGGUCAGAAAUGGGUGUUCAACCUUUUUUAUUUCUCUUCUUUGUGGAAAACAGGGGCCGAACCCCUUACAAUUUUUUUGAAUGGCCUUUUAUAGCCAUUUUUUCACAACCAAAAUCCCUAUUUCCUACUGCUAUUGUAUCCUUUCUUUUGCAGGUAGAGUAGGUGAGGGUGUCGGUGGCAGGUGCGGCGCGAGUCAGAGGGCAGGUGGCUAAGGUGAUUGACGGCGGCGGUAGAUGCAAGUGGGGUACUAGGGUUUCAGUCUCUGAAACCCUAGUUUGAUGUGGGCUUGUCCAUUGGGCUCGGGUAUUGGGCCUUUCGGGAUUUUGGGCUCCGGGUUAGGCUAGUUGGGUUGGUGGGUUAGUUUAAUUGGUUUGGUUUUUGUUUUUUUUGUAAUUGGGCCCCAGGCUAAAAUUGGGCUUGUACAGUGCCUAAAACGGUACAUAGUACCUGAUCAGUAUACGACACAUAAGUGCCUGAAACGACACACGAGGUGCCUGAUACGACACAUAAAGUGCCUGAGAUAUGACACAUAUAGUGCCUGAGAUACGACACAUAAAGUGCCUGGACGGCAAAGCCGAUAACCCGUACUCUUCCAAAUCCUAUGGCAUGCCAAUUAUAUCCGACUCAGCCCGACUAGUUAAUAGGGUAUUUAAAUCACAAUUUCUCUUAUUUUCAUUUCAAUAAUUUUUCCACCUUUCAUUCGAUAAUUAAUUCACAAAUUCACACAUAUAAUAAUAAUAAUAAUAAUAAUAAUAAUAAUAAUAAUAAUACUUACCUCACAUUCCAUUUACCAACCUCAUAGAUUAAAAUCUAACAUUUAAUAAUAAAUAACUUGAAUUAUAGUAAUACAAACCGUGAUAUUCUUGCGUUUACUCCUCGAUAAUCUUCUCUUUUCCUUUCCGUGCCGAUGUUUCUGGUUCUUUGCUAGCUAUUGAACUUCAAGCUUCAAAUCCCUAGUUUUCCCUUUUAUUUUUCUUUCCCCUUUCCUUCCUCUGUUUUAGUCUCUUUCUCUGCUUCUUUUCUAGCUAUUCUGUUUCUUUUCUUCUUUGUUUCUUUCUUUUUACUUUAUUCCUUUUAUGCAUUAGUUAAUAAUAAUAAUUUAAUAACUUUUUUUUAACACAUAAAAAAUCUCAGAUUUUUAUACUUAUGCCGCCUCAACUUUGGCAAUUGGUAUAAUUGCCUAUUUAGUCCCUCUUAUUUUAUUUUAAUCUAUAAUUAAACUUUCACUUCUAUUGUAAUUUAAUCCUUUUUACUAAUUACUCUUAAUUAGGCUAAAUUCACCUAUCUAAAACCUAAUUAAACACACAACUAGUCUAGUAAAUAUUUCUAAUAAUUUUUUUCGAACUCAAUUUACUAAGACGGAGGCCCGAUAACACACUUUUCCGGUGCCCACGGAUUUUGGGUCGUUACAAAAAAUCCAUUCAAUAAGUAUUAAAUUUAAGCUACAAAUUAAUCGAAAACAAUUCCAAUAACAAAAUAUAGAAUUUUUUAUCAACUGGCAAGAGAGAAGAAGCUUUUUUUUUUUUUUUAGAAUUACCAGCACAAGUCUUCUCUUUGGUGAGCUUAUAGAUGAGGGCAGAGAUUCCGAUAGAACGGACAGCCUCGGCGGCGACAAAGAAGUUGUCGUGGUCAUUUACAAUGACUCGGAGAAGAACCAAUGCCGCCAUCCCCGAUACCACCGCCAAAAAAGUCUUCACCUUCGGCGGCUGUUGUCUCACCCACAUCGACACCGCAUGGAUCGGCCUCUUCUGUGUCCUCAUGUCUUCUUUAUUCUUUUUUCCCGUUUUGGGGAUUUAGAAGGUGUGGGAUUCUGGAUUUUGGGGUUUGAUUUGAGCUUUUUGUUUAAUAGGGAAAAAAUAAAAGUGAUUCGGGUGGAUUUUUAUUUGACGGGCAAGAAAUAUGAAUCUGAAUUAAAAAUUACCUGAAAUAUGGGAACAGAAGGAGAGAAAGAAGAUGAAGGAGAAUAUCUGAAAUAUGGCAAGAGAGUUUGAGGGCAGAAAUUGUGUAGAGAGUUUGACGGCAGAUGAAGGAGAAGAUGAAUGAGGGCAAAAUUUGGAAAAUGGGAAAAAGAGAGUGGAAUGUAAUAGCUAUUCAGUGCUGAAGGCAAGGAAUGGCUAUUACAGCUUCUCACGUAAUAGAGGCUGAAUGGAAUAAGGCUGUAUUACAAUUACAACCAACCAAACGUUGGUUUGGUGGUGGGCCCACCGAUUUGGGGGAAUGCAUUCCUAUUCCCCAACCAAACAUGCUGUUAGUUUAACUUUUUCAAUUUCUUCAUGAUGAAAAAAAAUAAAUCACAGAUUGUGAGGAAUGCAUUAAAAAAUGUCAUAAAACAAAAAUAAAUAGAAAAUUAUGUGAAUGUGAUGAUUAUCACUCCAUUUUCGAAACAUUAAAAUUAUAUAAUUGUGAAAUUUUUAGUUUCAGAUCUCAAAGGUAAUCAAUUCCUCAAAAAAUAAACCAUAUAAAUAAAUGAUUAUCAUAAUUAAAUUUAGAAAUUGUUGAACUGAAUUUAUAUGAUAAAUUAAGGUGUAAUAAAAAUUAAUUUCUUCAAUUAUUAUAAUUUUAUGAAUGAAUUUAAGGUUUUAUUCAACCCACUAGAUAGUUAAUAUAACACACCUCACCUGAUCUGGUCUCCGGACUCGAGUUACAUGAUGCUAUAUCACUAUUGAAACUUUAUCACAUGUAUACAUAGUUUCAAGCAAGAUCGGUUUUAUGACAAUUUACAACAUUUACAGAGGUGUUCGCGGCAAAACAAUUAUACAACCUCAGACACAGUUUAAUACGUGUUUAGGGACCAUUGAGCAAAAUUUCAAAGAAAUCAACUUAGGUAUCGAUACACAAACUAAGGUAUGGAUAUUUUGUAACAUGAGUAUCGAUACUAACAAGAAAAACGAUACCAACUUAGCAUUUUGUCAAAUCUUGAAUCCAAACAUUAAUUUUAUCGAUACUCAAGCACAUGUAUCGAUAUUUUUACCUUGAGUAUCGAUACUCUGUGAAAAGGUAUUGAUACAAAAUUAAGCUACUAUUUUCCUGCACUAUCAUUCCAACAUUGAGAUAUCGAUACUUAUAAUUUGAAUAUCGAGAAUGUUGUACAAAUUGACAAAAAUACAGAAAAACAGGGCAACAUUCGUGCUCUAACAUUUUCCUUUUCAACGUACAUCCUCAACACAAUAUCUAACAUCCAAUUGACCAUACUUAUAACCCAAAACAACAUCAAUACUUCAACAAUUCAGACCCAAAUAAAACCAAUAAAAUAAGGAUAACAUCCAACAAAAUUCUAAAAUUCCAAAAUCAUAAUAAACCAUUAAGAACAUAAAAAUAACCUUGGACAUCCACCUCUCAUCCCGACCUCGGCCCCAUCCUCCAACCCCGUGGUCGACUGCCCUUUUCUCAUUUAUUGGUAGAUAAUAUUAUUAUAUUAGAACUAAAUCUUUAUAUUAUUGGCUGAAUAAUAAGUGAUCAUCUAUUCUUCCCACACGCAGCUUCAGCUAUUUAGCUUGGACAGCAUCUCAGAUUAUUUGUUAUUCUAAUCUUAAUUUUAGUUGAUAAAUCAGUGUUGUUUGGCUGAGUGGUUAAGGCGUAUGCCUGCUAAGUACAUGGGAUUUUCCCGCGAGAGUUCGAAUCUCUAAGGAGACGUUAAAAUUUUUGUCAAACCCAGAUGAGAUGCCCGCCACCGGCGACGUCAGGGGCGGGUAUUGGUGUUGAUGGAGCCUUCUUCGACAGUUCUCCUCUGUUGAGGUUUUCUUCCUAUGUUGGCAGUGCUGGGAGUUUUGUGGUGGUUUAGCGACGGCUUCAUUCGCAUCUCGUUUAGCCUCUCGAGCUUUGGCCUUCUCCGCCUUUCGCCUCUUCCUUUCUAGUGCUUCCUUAGCUUUAGCCGCUUCCUCUUCCUUACUCAAUUCCUCCUCUGUUCUCUUUCUGUAGGAGCAGAUUGCAUAUACUUCUUUUGCUCCACAACCUUUUCCGCAAGUACCUUUUCAGUUUUUCCCACCGCCACUUCCUCUUGCGUUCAAUCUUUCGAAGUUAAGCCAGACAUUGUAUGAUCCACGAACGCUCUUCCAUUUAGUGCUCGAGGAAUUACAGGAGGCACUUCACCAGGACCAAAUGCACGGCCAUCUAAUGUCCUCAGUCUCCAAAGUGUGCUCCUUCAAUUGCAUCUAACAUAUUCUUUUCGGAAUUCAUCGUUGCUAUUCCAUAAGUCCGUAAAUUUCUCCACCUGAGCCAUCAACUGUUUAGAUAAAAUAUUGUACAAAAUUCUUGAUUUGGAGGAAAUAAAACAAAUGCACGAACUCAUCUGGUUAAUACAAAAACUUUGGAGUGCCACUUUAUCCCCUUUUCAAGCCAACUCAUUCGCUUUAUUUAAAUCAUCCAUGUGCUGCCGAAAGUGUUUGAUCUGCAACAUUCAAACAAGAGUAGCGUCGGCAUAUCUUUAUCUUAGUUUAUCAGUUUCGAAGAGCAAUGUAUUGAAUCAGAACCAGAACGAAAAUGCAGGUUUGUCUAUGAGUCUCGGAUAGGAUUAUGUGUCCAACACGAUUAUGUUCAUUCACUCUAAGCUUACAGAAUUUAAAAGUACUUUCUCAUGUGAUUGUUUCUUCAAACAUUGCAACUGUGCAUACGCUUCUUGUUGGAUGUCAUUUGCAGCUUUGAACUGGUAUUGCAAUUCGCUUAACUUGUCGGUUUCCUCAUAGUAUUUUCUCUUAGCUGCCUUAGUGAUCGCCUCGGUGUUUCUGAGUCUGGCUUUCAAUUGGUCAGCUUCCUUCUUUAAAGACUGUAGAAACAGAAGAAUCGAAUAAGCAACCAAAACAUAAGUUGAAUUUAAUUAAUUACAUAUAUAAUAAAAAUACUUUUAUUUCUUAAUGAAUUAAAAUUUUAAAAUAAUGUUCGGUAUCUCCUGGAUUAAUAAGCAAAAAUCGUGGAUUUACUUGGUUUGGAAAAGGAUAUCCCAUUGUUAAUAAACUUAUCUUCUAUUUUGGAAAAAUUAGGCAAAAAGGUCGAAAAACAAAUUAGGGGGUUAGCUUGAAAAUUUUCAAAUUUAAGGAGAUAUGUCGAUUUUGAAGAGAAAAAUAGAAAAUGAGUCUUGAGAAAAGCAAUUUUUGCAAAACUCAUUUUCUUUUGACAAAUUAGUAUUUUUUUUACAAUAUAUUUAUUAAAUAGAAAUUGAACUAAAUUACCAAUAAUGAUAUGUUUUUUUUUUGACAAAUGUAACAUACGUUUGAUAGAAAAUAAACAUGUCAAGUUGACAAGUUUUAAUAUAAAUUACCAAUAAUAAUAAUGAUUGAACUAAUUUUUUUUAAGUUAAAAAUGUAGGAGAAUUGAUUUUUUAACUUUUUAAGUAUAUGGCCUAAAUCUCAAAUUUUAUAAAAAUAUAGGGACUAACAACAUAUUUUAACAUUUAUUUAUGUUUAAGUUAAUUAUUGUUCAUUUUCUUUUUACCUCAAAUAAAUUAUUUAUCUCAAAAUUUAUUUAAGCUUUUUUUAAAAAUAUGUUAAGGAAAAAUAAGAUGAUAAUUGCUAUAUAAAUUUAUCAUUUUAUUUUAUAUACGUAUAAUUAUUAAAAGAGUAAAAAAGUAAAAAUGCAUUAUAGAAAAACACUUAUAUUUUAUGUUUAGAAUUUAUUUUCAAUUAAAAUUAUGUUUAAAUAUUUGUUUAUCUUUAAAAAGAUUAGAAAUUAUUAAUAAAAAUCACAUUGAAGUGAGAAGAGACGAAGAUGAAUGUAUCUAAUAUCUAUGGGAGUUGUAGUACUUUUUGAAAGGUAAAAUGACUUAUUUGACAUUCUAAUUAAAAAAAAAAAUUUAGUCAUUCAUUUAAUUUUUACUUCUUUUAACCAUUAAACUUGCAUUUUGUUUGUCAAAUCACCUAAAAUGGAUGAAAAAAUUAACAUAUGUUAACUUUGUUGAUUGACAUACAAGUGAAAUGCCACAUGGAUGUCAAAUUAAUAAUUAAUUAAUUUUUAAAAUUCAAAAAUUAUAUAAUAAAUUAUUUUUAUAAAUUAAAAUUUAUUAAACUUAUUAAAAUAUAUAUUUUUAAUAAUUUUAAUUUUAAAAAUUUGAAUAAUUGUUAAUGGACAUAUCAGAGGCGAAUCUAGGGGGAUUGGUGCUGGCAAAGAGCUUGGUGGCAACAAAAAAAUUUUAAUGGAAAAGAAAUAGCUUGGUGCUGCCAAUGAGAAAAAUGACACAAAAAAAAAAAUCAAAUUUUCUAACAAAAAAAUACACCGGUGACGCCAAUGGCAAUGGCAAUACCAAAAAAAAAUUCUAUUUUUUUAAAACAUUAUUUUUUUAAUGGGUGUCGUUAAGGAGAACGACAACACAAAAAAAGCUUUUUACAAAAGCUUUGACACGUUUAGAAAAACACUAGUACCACCAAUGACAACGACGACACCCAUUAAAAUAAAUUUUUCCUUUUUUUCUUUUUCUCCUAGAAUACCGAUAUUUUUAUGGGGUGGACAAUUAUACAUACUGAUGCAACUAAUGGCACGAUGACACUCAAAAAUUAAUUUGGUAAAAAUUAAGGAUAACAUAUGACUAAUGGUACCAUUUUGUUAUCAAGCAUCAUAAGGAUGUUGAUAUCUUCCUGGAAAUUACACCCGAAUUCAAAUUUUGUUUUGUAGACUAAAAAUUAUAUUUUUAAUAAAUUUUGAUUUAAUUUAAAAUUUUAUUAAAAUAAUAUGUUUUUACUUUUGGGGUGGCCAAUCACACUUAAAUAAAAAAUAUUGGUACCAACUCUAUAUAUUUAAAAUUAAAUUAAAAUAUAUUGUUUAAAAUUUAAAUAUUUCACAAUAAACUUGACAUCCAUAAAUAGAUGUGAACAAAACUCAAUUCGAUUUGGAAAAAUCAAUUUUUUUUUAAUUUUGAGUUAAUCGAAUUGAGUUAUUUGAAUAAUUCGAGUCAAUUCGAAUAAGUAAUUCGAGUUUCGAUGUAACACUCUUAACCUAGAUCCAUCACCGAAACAGGGUUAUGGAACAUUACCAAAGUUUUCAAAUUAAUUAUCAGGUAUUUUAUUUUUAUCUAGCAUUCAUAUUUGAAACCAAUCAAAAUUAAAACAUUAAUGAGCCAAUGUUGGCCAAAUUAACUUAUACAUGCCAUUAUAACCAGAAUCAAAUCAUUCAAAAUUACCGAUUAGACCAAUGGAUAGUGUAAUAUAUCUCUAACAAGCUUUCAACCCAAUUGAGCUUUCUAUAAAUUGUAGGGUAAAUAAAAACAAAUACGUAAGCAAUGAAUGCUUAGUAAGCUCGUGUAAUCUUUAAUCAUAUUAGUUCAUCUAAAAUAUGAAAUCUAUACAUAUCAAGAAUAAUCCAAUAUUAAUACCAUAAUACUCAUGAAGCUAUAUUCAUCAACUCACGAGGUGAAUAAAUCCACAGUAUCACCUAAACAUAUUAUCCCAAGCUUAGUAAGAUUUUAUAUAACUUUAACUCUUCAUAAUUUCUUUAUUUUCAUUUGCAUUUCUUUACUUUCCAUGCUUAUUCCAUAUGCGUGACACACAAGGCAUAAACAUAUCAUUCAACCACAGUCACAAGCUAAUGCAUUUAACCAAAGUCUUUUUCGAAUUGAUUACAUGAUAAGUCAUUUCAUAAGAAAUUGCAUAAUCUAAACCUUACCACUUUUUAGUGAGCGCUAGCAUAUUUUCACUUAAAUACUUUCCAAUUCAAUGCAUUAUAUAAAUAAUCAUAAUACCAUUCAACCAAUAGCUUGGCACUUGCCUAAGCAUCAAGCAAGAAUACUGGUUAGUGUACUUGCACACAUUACAUAUAAACUCAUCAUGCAUAAUUUUCUUGUAUCAACAUAUUAAAGAUAAUCAUACAUUUACAUGUCAUGAUACAUAUUAUUCUCUUGUCGUUUCUUCAUAGACAUAUAUCAUUCAUUUCAUUAUUUCGAUAUUUCAUGUACCAUCAUUUUCAUGAAUUUCUUACAUCCCAGUAAUAGUUCAUUUCAAAGUCAUGUUAUCUCACUUCAGAACGUUACCCGUUAUAUCAUUUAAAUAUCAAUGGUUACAUUUAUUUCAGAUCAAUACCAAUAAUAUUCUAUAUAUCUUUCAAUUCAAUCACAUAAGUCUUUUACCGUUUUUUUCUUAAUCGAAGAACGAAUUACGGAUAUGAGUACAUCGUUCUUUGGUGCCAUAUUCCAACUAUGGUCUUGCACAUAUAAACACUGCCAUAGUCCGAUCAUGGUCUUACAUUCAUAGUGCCAUAACCCAGUUAUGGUUUUAUCCGUCAAUUCAUCCUUUGCCACAAAACGAUUGUACUCAAUCCCGCGUUCAAUCCAAAUUGAGUAUUAAAUUCGAUAUUAUAUUUCCAAUAAUAAUUCAAUUCCAUGUUUUCUAUUACCCUUAUUAUUUUCCCAUAUUUAUCCCGUUGAAUUUCUUGGAAAUUCGAUGGAUUUUUUGAGGUACACUUUUAGUGUACAAUUUAGGGUCCGUCAAUUCAUAUUCAUGUGUACACAUUUCCAUUUCAGAGAGCACACUCCCGCGAACCUUAUCCUUACAGUGGGAUUACUAGUCCAGGCUAAACCCCCUGUAAUAUAAACUCAUAGAGUAUUGUCGGGACUACCAGUUCAGGCUAAAUCCCCUACAAUGACAAUUGCUCUAAUGAGUUUCAAUCUGAAUUACCAGUUCAGGCUAAAUUCAAACCCUAAUUUGGACUACCCAUCCGGGCUAAAUCCAUUUUCCACAUAUUCUUUGGGAGGGUUAUAUCAAGAUAGGAUCACCCAUCCGGGCUAGUUUUUUUUUACAGUCAAUUCCUUUCCAGAGAUCCAUCGAAUUUUCCUUCCAUUCAAUCGGGAUUUCUUCCCCUUUUUAUCAAAUAUAUAAAUGUUUCAUCAAUUAUCAUACAAUGAACAUUCAAAUCAUAUUCACAUCAAUAACAUACAUUUCAAGCAUUUAAGAAUAUAAUUCAAGUUACAUGAACUUAUCGGGCUAAAUUGUAGAAAAUCCAAAAUUCAGGGACAUUUUGGUAAUUUUCCAUUUUCCUCGAAUUUCCACCCAAUCUUAAUCUAAAUUAAUAUUUCUUUCAAUUCAUUAAUUUAAAUAAUAAAAAAUUCAUUUCAUGCAAUUUGGUCACUUUUUGACAUUUUUUACAAAUUUACCCUUAAAAUAUUACUUUUAUUCAAUUUAGUCCCUGAACCUAAAACAUGCAAAUUAACCAUUUUUAAUGAAAACACAUGCUAGUUGAAUAAUCAUAUAUUUUCCUCCUCCUCUCCAUUCAACAUCCUUGAUGUAUAUAACAUGUUUAUAUGUAACAUUAUCUGUAAUUUCACCAUUUAUUUAUAUAUUCAUUCAAAGCUGUCCACUUGAGUCAUAGUCACUAAAUUAUUUAUAUCUUGAGCUACGAAACUUAGAAUUAAGAUCUUCUAAAUUAUUAUGAAACUAGACUCACAUAUCUUCUUACCAUAAAAUUUUCAAAAUUUUUGAUUUAGCCAAUAAGUACAGUUUAUUCUUUAAAGUCAUCCCUAUUUUGGUGUCUGACAGUUUUGACCCUUCUUCACUAAAAAUUAAUUAUCUCAUCGUACAAGAUUUGGAUAAUGUUCUCGUUUGUUUAUUUUGAAAAUAAGCUCAUUAAGGAUUUUAAAAAUAUAAAUUUAAGCCCCUAAUUAUUUUUAUCCAAUUUUUUAUUAUUUUACAAAGUCAAAACAGGGGAACCUGAAAUCAUUCUGACCUUAUGUCAUAAAAUUUAUUAUAUCUCAUGAUUUACAAUUCCAUUACUUACAUUGUUUCUUUUAUGAGAAACUAGACUCAAUAACCUAUAAUUUAAUAUAUUAUUAAAUACUAUAAUUAAAUUUGAAAAAUUUAUGGUGAUUUUUCAAAUUUCACCUACUACUGCUUUUCAAAACUAUUUUAGUGUAAAAUGUUGAUAACUAAAUUUAUAACACCUUUCUUUCCUUUCUCUUGAAUAAUUUCCAUCACUUCCUCUUUUUUCCCUUUACUAGCAUAACAAGAAUAUAGAACCUUAUAUAAUGAAACUCUUCAUUAACAUUAAUUUCCCACUUUUUCAAUAAUAUCAAACUCAAAAAUAUAUUGAAAUCUUGAUGUUCUUACCUUGUGCUAUGGAUUUCAAUCUUUAACUUGAUAUUCUAUCUCCUCCAGCUUCUAUUUCUUGAAUCUAACUUGAUAUUCUAGCUCCCAUAGUCUCCUUGUUAUCGUUCUCUCUUGAUAGCUAUGAAAAUUCUUUUGAUUUCUGGGUAAAAAUGGUAAAUUUUUGGUGGAAGGACGAAAUUGUAAAGAAAGUAAAACUUUCUUUCUUUCUCUCUUCUUCUCACGUUGAAUGCAUGGGAAGAUGAUGAAUUCUCUUCAUCUUUCCUCCCUUGUAUAUUAAUCAUUUAAUAAUAAAAUAAUACUAAAAAUCUUAAUAAAAUAUUAAUUAAAUAGUAUUUAUCUAAUUAAUUAAAAAUAUCACCAACAUCAUCAUUAUCUUCUAGAAUUCUCUCUCUCUAAUUGACUAUUUUGCCCUUUAUAAUCUUUUAAAAUUUCAUCCUUGAGUCAUCACUUAAUUGGAUAAAAUUACAAUUUAGUCCCUCAAAAUUCUUCACCUUUUCAAUUUGGUCCUAAUCCAUCCAUUUUCCUUAGUUUCUAGAUUAUUCCACCCUUAAAAUAUUUGCACUAUUGGUCCUUCAAAUUUUACAUAUUUACACUUUAACCCCUAAAAAUUUGGAGUAUUUACUCUUGGGCAACAAAAAUUUUCUCACUUUUGCAAUUUAAUUCUUUCUUGAAUUAAUAUGUCAUAAUAUACUUCCCAAUAUUAACAUAACUCAAAAUUACCCUUUUUUAUCACUUUAUUUCCUUAUUUUACUAUAUCAGGAAUAUUAUCUUACUUUUUUACUGUAAUAAUUUUCGGAGUAUUACAUUCGAGUUCGAAUUGAGUUGAAUUUUAUAAUUCAGAUAACUCUAAUAAUUUGAAUAAGAGAUUGAUGUACAUACCUUUUUGGUCUCUGUCAAAUUUAAAAAUAAGCAAAUUGGUCUUUCUCAACAAAAAUUACAAAAAAUUCAAAAUAAUUUUCAAAAAUUCAAAAAUAAAUUUUAAAACUUAAAAUAUUAUAAAAAUUCUAAAAUUUAAAUUUUUCAAAAAAUAUAAAAUUUUCAAAAAAGUUUUAAAAAUUAUAAAGAAAGUUAAAACAUUUAAAAAAAUUAAAAUAAUAAUUUAAAAUUUAAAAUAAUGUAUAUAACUAAAACAAUUAAUUUAUUGUUAAAUUAUGCACUAAAACGCAAUUGUAUGCGCGUAAAUAAUUACAAUUAGAUAGUCAUAAUUACUGAAUUAAUUUGGGUAUAGUACCAAUAAAGGCUCAUUUCUGAAAAUUUUUACGAAAAUGGGUAGCUUUUAAAAAUAAUUACGAGUAUGGUCUGAAACUUUAAAAACGCACCGACAUUGACGCGUUUUUAGAGAAUAACUCAGAAAAAACGCUUCCACGUCAACGCUUUUUUUCUUGUAUCAGGCAAAAGUACGCUGACGCAGACACGCUUUUGCUCGUGCUCAGACUAAAUUUUCAAAAAAAAGGGUCACUUUUUAAAAUAUUUCAAAAAUAAACUAUUUUUUUUGAAAAUUUAAAAGAUUAAGCCUUUAUAAAUAUUCAAAGUGAAAGUACCAUUUCUUUUUUUUUUGCUACCAAUUUAUAUGGAAAUAAAACUUACAAAAUAGAUAUUUAUAUAAACCCAAAGUCUUAUUUUUUAGAUUGUAAAAUAUAUUAGUUAUAUAAAGAUUUGUUCUGUAAAUUUUAUUUUCAUAUUACUACCACUUUAGAUCUUUAUAAAUGUUUAUUCUUAUAAAUUUUUAAAAGAUUGAUAUAUUUUUGUAAUAUUUAAAAAAUAAUAUUUUUAAAGUAAAAAUGUGUGUCGUGGACACAAGAAAAAAAAGUUGAUGUGGAAGCGCUUUAUUCCUUAUACAUUUAUAUAUUUGAUACAAACACAAAGCAAAUAACAUUACCAACCGGCAAACCAAUGGAGCUUUGCCACGUUUACAGAAAAAAUAACAUAUUACAAUGACAUUAAAUGUAUGUCCUGUGGCUGUGGGUGUGCAGGAAAGAUAAAUGGUUGUGUAGGCAUUGUUUAUUGACUGGUAGCUGAUAAGAAAAUAUAGUAGAGCUGCGGCUUCUGUUUUCAAUGCUUAUGCUCCAAUAACAGACUCAUUUAAUUUCAGAAAUCCAAAAACUGUGACCUGUUUUCCCCUUUCCUUGUGUUUUCCAAUCUCAUUUGCCACUAUUCAUUGACUUCCCUUGCCUGUUAACCCCAAUCAUACACAAUCAUCUCCAUUUCUAUCCCUCAAUUUCCCUUUCCUUCUUCAUCUCUCUCUUUGAUUUCUCUGUCCCAAUUCCACCAUGUCUGUCUUUGGAGAGGCUGCUCUUUCUGCCUUUCUGGAGCCGCUGUCUGCCAAGUUGCUUGACUCUGUACUCAACUUUGUGGCCGACCACCGGCAAGUCCACCAGCGACUCAAGCUGUGGCAAUCCAUAUUACCCGAAAUCAAAGCAGUGUUGAACCAUGCAGAGGAGAAGCAGAUCAAGGACGAGGGUGUGAAGAAUUGGUUGGGCGAUCUCCAAGACUUAGCUUACGAUGUGGAUGACAUCUUGGACGAGUUCGCUUACCAAGAGUUACGUCUCAAGCUCCAAAAAACUCAAGCACAAGCCAGCUCAAGUAAGGUACGGAAACUCAUUCCAACCUGCUGUACUGGUGGUCAUUUCUUUCCAUUCUCUCUUAUGUUAAAUGCUAAGAUGAUUUCAAAGAUACAAGCAAUCACUGAUAGACUGAAUAGUUUGAACACUCGAAGAAGUAGUUUGGGGUUGAGUGAGAUCAUGUCUCAAGGCGCAACUUUCAAGGGAAAGAAACCAAGGCUGCAACCAACUUCCUUGAUGGAUGGAGCUGUGGAGUAUGUUGGUAGAGACAAUGAGAAGCAAGAAAUGCUUGAGUUGCUCGAAAGUAACAAUUCCGAUGGAGUUUGUGUCCUUUCCAUCGUUGGCAUGGGAGGGAUGGGGAAAACAACUCUUGCUCAGCUUGUUUACAAUGAUCCCAGCAUUAAGGAGUCUUUUGAUCACAAGUCCUGGGUAUGCGUUUCUGAUGACUUUGAUGCUGUUAACUUAACAAAGACGAUUUUAAGAUCCCUCGAUGCUGACUCACAAGAUGAGAAUGACUUGAACUUGCUUCAAGUCAAGUUGAAGGAGAAGUUAUCCGGAAAAAGGAUGUUGCUUGUUUUAGAUGACAUUUGGAACGAGAGUUACAGUGAUUGGACCAUCUUACGGGCUCCAUUUGGAGCAGGAACCAAGAUUAUUGUAACAACUCGACUCCAAAAGGUUUCAUCUAAUGUCGAUUCGGUGAAAGCGUUUUACUUGGAUAAACUCUUGCAUCAUGAUUGUUUAUCCAUAUUUGCUCAGCAUGCAUUUAAAGCAAGAAACUUUGAUGGGCAUCUCCAAUUUAAAGAAAUUGGAGAGAACAUAGUCAGAAGGUGCAACGGCUUACCUUUGGCAGCAAAAGCCAUUGGAAGCUUAUUACGCACAGUUAUGGAUCAUAGUGAAUGGGAAAAAGUAUAUGAGAGCGAGAUAUGGGAACUACCAGAAGAUCCACGUGGCUUAAUUCCAGCUUUGCGAUUAAGCUACCAUUAUCUUCCUCCUCAUUUGAAACAAUGCUUUGCAUACUGCUCCAUAUUUCCUAAAGAUUAUGAAUUUGAAGAAGAAGAGAUAAUCUUGUUAUGGAGAGCAGAAGGUUUCUUGCAAUCAAAAGCUAAAAUUCAAGGCAAAGGUCUUGGAAACCAAUAUUUUCAAGAUCUAGUGUCAAGGACAUUUUUUCAAAUAUCUAGUAAAGACAAAUCCCGUUUCGUGAUGCAUGAUCUUAUGAAUGAUUUAGCUCAAUUAGUUGCAGGAGAAAUAUGUUGCAGACUGGAGGGUGAAAAGCAACAAAAGUUUUCGCAUCGUUCUCGCCACUCAACUUAUGUUAUCGAUGAUUGGUAUCAGAGUGUAAAGAAGUUUGAGGCAUUUUAUCAAAUGACUUCUUUACGUACUUUCUUAGGCUUAAUGGCUCCAAGAUAUCAGGUAUUCUAUUUAACUAAGGUUGUUUUGGAGGAUUUGUUGCCAAGACUUAGCUACUUAAGGGUUCUUUCUUUGGGUGGGUAUGAGAUCUAUAAUUUGCCCGACUUUUUUGAAAAUGGAAAACAUCUACGCUACUUAAAUUUUUCUAGAACCCGAAUAAAUCGUUUACCUGAUUCUUUGUGUAGUCUUUAUCAUUUGGAGACUUUAAUAUUAAGAAGUUGUUCAAAGCUCAAAAAUUUACCCUCGAAGAUCGGAAACCUUGUCAACUUGCAUUUUCUUGAUUUUAGAGGUGCGGGUUCAAUAGAAAGGAUGCCCUCCGGAUUUGAUCAGCUAACUAAGCUUCAAACGUUAUCUAAUUUUGUUAUAGGGGAAGGUGAUGGACGUCUUAUUAGAGAAUUGAGAAAUUUGUCAAACCUUAGAGGUAAUUUUUGUCUUUCUGGAUUGGAGAAUGUUGAUGGUCAAGAUGCGAGGGAAGCUAAGUUAAAUGAGAAGCUAGGGAUUGAUGGGUUAGAACUAUAAUGGGGUACAGACUUGGAGAAUAGUACAAGGAAAACAGAAGUUGAAGAGCGGGUGUUGGACUUUCUUCAUCCUCCGAAAAAGCUUGAGCAACUCAUCAUUGAGAAUUACGGGGGUGUAAAAUUCUCAUCUUGGAUAGCAGAUUCUUCCCUUAAGAAUUUGUCGUCUUUGAAGCUUCGCAAUUGUAAAAAAUGCAAGUCAGGUUGCCAUUGUUAAAACAUCUUUCAAUUAUUGGUUUCAAUCAAGUACAGAAGAUUGGUGUUGAGCUCUUCGGAGAAAAUCAAUUGAAUCCAUUUGCAUCAUUAGAGAUUCUGUCUUUUGAGAGUCUUCCAAACUGGAAGGAGUGGGACACUUGUGAAGGAGACGAGAAGGUUUUGAAAUUCCCCAGCCUUCGUGAGCUUUCAAUAAAAACCUGUCCUCAAUUGUUGGGAAGGUUGCCUACCCAUCUUCCUUCCUUGCAAAAACUUGAAAUUCAUAGCUGUACCAGUUUGGUAGUUUCAAUAUCAAGUUUCCUGUCACUGUGUGAAUUAAGUAUACAAGGGUGUGCAGAACUGGUGGAUGAUUGCUCUUCUGCUGCAAAGGAGCUUUCCUCUUUGCAAACUUUGUCUCUUUCUAACAUUUCAAAGUUUAAUAUUCCAACAGAUAGGACAAUGUUGAGGUUUGGAAACUCAGAACAUUUUGAAAUUGAUGGUUGGGAGGAGUUGGCAUCUCUAUCACGGUAUGGGUUUAGUUUAGUUGGACAUCGUUUCAUUACAGUUUGGGGUUGUCCUCAACUGCAAUCUUUGGAAGCAGAGGAAGCCGAAUUGCAACCUGACAAGAUUUCACGUGUUGAAUCUUUGAGGAUAGCUUGUUGUGAUAGGCUCAAUAGACUGCCACAAGUCUUACAUGAGCUCACAUUUCUUACAGUGAUGGAAAUUGAUAAUUGUCGAAGCUUGGUUUCUUUUGCAGAGAAUAACUUGCCUCCUAAUUUAGAAAAGCUGAGAAUUAGAAACUGGGAGAAUUUGGAGUAUUUGGUUGAUGAAAAAGAAGAUAGUAAGAGUAUGAGUAGUACCCUCUGUCUUCUUGAGGACUUGUAUAUCUAUAAUUGUCCAUCUCUAAUGUCUUUGUCAUCGAAGGGGCGCAAAAAUAUUUGCAAUCAGCUUCAACUUCUCGAAAUUUACCACUGCUCAAAGCUGAGUUGCCUAUUUUCAAACGCCAAGUUUCCCAUAACGCUUAAACAUUUGAGAAUUCACCAAUGUCCAAUGUUGGAAUACAUAGCCGAGGAGUUUGAGGAAAGCGCUUGUCUUGAAUCUAUUCUAUUUUUCAGAUCUGGAAUUAAAUCUCUACCACGAGGACUAGACAAGCUCAUCCAUCUCCAGGAGAUUUGUUUGGAUUGGUGUUCAAAUUUGGUUUCUUUUGAAGAAAGUGGGUUGCUCAGCACCGGCUUCAGAGAUUUCAAAGUUAUUGAUUGUGGAAAUUUUGGAGCCCUUCCUAAGUGCAUGGCCAGCAUCACCUCCCUUCGACAAUUAAGUGUGGACAACUGUUCGGCUGACAUAUCAUUUCCAUCGGAGGGAUUCCCUGCCAAUCUCACAUCACUUGCAAUCUCAAACGCACCCAAGAUUUAUUGGUCACUUGUGGAAUGGGGAUUAAAUAGACUCACCUCUCUUCAAGAAUUGACCAUCGGAGGUGGAGGAUGCUCAAACGUGGUGUCGUUCCCAGGAGAAGGGAUUGGAAUGAUGCUGCCUCCUUCUCUCACCUAUAUCAUGCUUUUCCAAUUUGAGAACCUGGAAUUCAUGUUCUCCGAGGGCUUUCAAGAUCUCGCCUCUCUUGAAAGACUGGAAAUCAGUGAAUGUCCCAAGCUAACAUCUCUUCCAAAAAAAGACGUGCUUCUCUCGCUUGGAUAUUUAAGUAUUUACAGUUGUCCGUUGCUGAAAGAAGAGUGCUCUUGCGAUAAAGGACGAGAGUGGUCUAAGAUUUCCCACAUACCCCUUGUUGUAAUUGAUGAUAAAGCAGUCAUCCCGAGGGAAUCAGAUUGAAAGAUGAGCCGCAAAAUCUGUGAUUGGUUUCUUCAGAGUGAUGGGAGAGGUACAAAAAACCAUUUCAAACAAGUCUAACUUUCCUUAGGAACAAGAUAAGAAUAGGAAUCAGUAUAAAUUUAUUGAUUUAUAUUUGCAGGGAUUGAAACAAUUCUAAGUUUCAGUAUUUUCAGAUGUUUGUGAACUUCUUUCUUGGCUUUUGGAGUAGCAUUAGAUCAUCGGUUUUUGUAGAAUGUGAGCUUUGUGUAUUGUUUAUUUUAUUCUUUUACUGUACUUUUUUUAUAUGUACGAUAUAAUAGGGAAGAAUAAGAUGAACAAUUUCACAUUAAACAUCAAUCUUAUAACAUUUUCCUUAUUUUCAAUAUAUCUUUACUUAUCUUCUAUUUUGGAAAAUUUAGGCAAAAACAUCAAACUUUUGACCAUUUGACUAAAAAAAAAUUAAUACGUCGAAAGAAUACACAUUUUGUUUUCUUAAGAUGCAUUUUUUGUUUCUCUCUCCAAAAUAUAUCUAUUUCUCCAAAUUUAAGAAAUAUCGACCUAAUUCCCUAACUUUUUUUUUAUUUCAACAUUUUUAUCCAAUUUUCUCUUAUUUUUCUAUUUCACUCUCUUUUUUUUUCUUUUCUCUUUCAAUUUUCUUUCUUUCUUUUCUUCCUAUUCUUUUUCUCUCUUUCCCAACCUUAGCUGUCGCUAGCAUGCACUAUAGCCGCACUACGACAUUUGUUCUUCUGUCCAAAUAAUGGCAUUGGUCAACUCUUUUCCUCAUUCUCUUUCAUUUCCAAAUAAUGGAGUUGGAAAGUGCUUUUGAAAAGUACUAUGGAAAAGUGUUUUUGAAAAUUGCUGUGGAAAAGUGCUUUUGAGAAGUGCUUUUGAGAAGUGCUUUUGAGAAGUGCUUUUAAGAAGUACUUUUGAAGUUUAAAAUUUGAGUGUUUAGCAUUGUUGUCAAAAAGUACUUUUGAGAAAUAAAUGUUUAUUUUAGACAUGUUAUUAUAAAGUAACAAAUAUGUAUUUAAAUAUUAUUUAAAUUAGUUAAUAUUAUUAUAUUUUAGUAAGAAUAUAAAAAAAUUAUUAUAACUUGUUGUUAAUAUUUUAAUAUAUGAAAUAUAAAUUUUAAAUAUUUUUAAGCAAUAAAUAUUAAUUAUUUAUAAAAUUUAAUUAGAAUAUAUAAACUAUAUUUUAAAAAUUUAUAAAAGUUUGAGCAACUCAUCAUUAAGAAUUGCGGUGGUGCAAAAUUCUCAUCUUGGAUGGCAGAUUCUUGUUUCAAAAGUUGAAGUGUUCAGAGGCGCAUUUAUCGAUUUAUUCAAUAGUUUGGGUGAGUUAUGUAUAGUUCUAAGUAUUGUAUUUAUCCUCUUCUAUACUUCAGCUAAUGCGAGACGUAAAGCAUCAAUGAAGAUUUUUGUCUUUUUUUGAUUGUCACGAUCCUUUUUUGUUAAGCUGAAAUGAAAAAAAAAUCAGCUUAAAAUAUGAAAAUUUUGAUUUUAAGAAAAAUAUGGAUUUUAUUAAAAAAAAGGAGUUGUCACUGAAUAUUUUUAGUUAGGUGUGAUAGAUGACCUAUAAAAUCACAUUUUAUAAAAAAAAUUUAAAGUCUCUCUAAAAAUGACAAUUACGCAUAGGAAGAGUUAUAACACCCUUACAACUACCAAAAUUGGUACCUUAUUGAUUAUGUGUAGUUUGAUAAUCCUAAAUUUUAAAUUUAUAAAAUAUGAUAUUUAAUUAUGAUCCAUUUAAUUAAUUACAUAUAUAAUAAAAAUACUUUUAUUUCUAAAUGAAUUAAAAUUUUAAAAUAAUGUUCGGUAUCUCCUGUCCAUAAAAAUACCAAAAAAAAAAUAUUAAUAAGCAAAACUCGUGGAUUUACUUGGUUUGGAAAAGGAUAUCCCAUUGUUAAUAAACUUAUCUUCUAUUUUGGAAAAUUUGGGCAAAAAGGCUGAAAAACAAAUUAGAGAGUUAGGCUGAAAUUUUCUAAAUUUAAGGAAAUAUGUCGAUUUUAAGAGAGAAAUAGAAAAUGCGUCCUGGGAAAAGCACUUUCUGCAAAACUAAUAUUUUUGACAAAUUAAUAUUUUUUUACAAUAUAUUUAUUAAAGAGAAAUUGAACUCGAACACUCGAUAAUAAAACUACUAAGAUUUGACCAUUUGGCUAAAAAAAAGCUAAUAUGUCAAAUGAAUAUACAUUUUGUACAAAAUAUUUUUCGCAAGAUGCGUUUCUGUUUCUCUCUCCAAAAUAGACUUAUUUUUCCAAAUUUAGGAAAUACCGACCUAAUUCCCUAACUUUUUUUAUUUCGGCAUUUUUAUCCAUUUUUCUCCUUCUAUUUUUCUAUUUCACUUUCUUGUUUUUUUUUCCUUUUUCCUUUUUUUAUUCUUUCCUAUUUCAAUUUUAUUUCUUUCUUUUCUUCAUAUUCUCUUCCUCUCUUUCCCAACCUUAGCUAUCGCCAGCAUGGACCACACCUGCCCUUCGACAUUUGUUCUUCGAUCUAAAUAAUGGAAUUGGUAAACUCUUUUCCUCAUUCUCUUUCAUUUCCAAAUAAUGGCUUUGUGGUUCUCCUUCAUCGAUCACCUUACUCUUGUGUCGUCACUGCUUGUUUCGAUGUUGUCAUUGAUCGAAGAAGCCACCAAACGGUCCACAUUUCCUUUUUCUCUCAUGCUUCUUUCUACUUUAUUUUUUGUUUUUAAAGCCCUUAACUGUCGUUUCAUUGUCGUUGCUCUCCGUCGUCGAACCGAGCCACCACCGUCAAUGGCCUUGCUUCUAGUCAACAUGCACUGCUACUUAGCCUCUUGUUUCUUUCCUCUUUUUACUAUCGCUAAUAAGUGAUAAAAGUAAUAUAUUAUAAUCCCGUUCUUAAAGCGUUUUUGGAUGAUUAUUUAUGUAAAUUAGUGAAUUUUAUGCUCCUAAUCUUUUGAAUUCAUGUUUCUAUACUUAGGUGAGCAUUUAGGAGUGAAAGGAGCAAAAAACGAGUGAAAAUUAGACAAAAAGAGAAGUUUUCAGGAGCCACAUGUGCUAGACACACGACCUUAUGAUCCACAUGGGCUGGACACAUGGCCAUGUGCCAGACCGUGUCGAUUUCGUAACUUGCUUCCCAAACACGCCAAAAAAAUGCAAUUUUUAGGUUUUCUAAGUAUUCUAAAGUCUAUAAAUACCAAAUAUAAGAAAAGAGAAGGGGAGCCAUCUAAGAAUAUUGAAGGAAACAACUCGAAGAACAUCAUUGGAGCCAAAUCUGAAGUAUAUUUCCAUUAAGAUCGAAGACCUCUUUUUAAUUUCUUUUAAAGUUUUUAUGAGUUUUUUUUAUUUCUUGUGGUUAUUUUGAAUUUGAGAUGUUUUUAUUCAGAAUUAUGAACUAGUUCCCUAGAUAUUUAGUGAUGGUGAAACUUACGACGAAUUCUAUUAUUUGAUUUCUGUUUUACGCGAUAAAUACUUUAUUCUUGUUCUCAAUUAUGUGUACUUAUCUCUUGUUUUAAUAUUUCCAGGAUAUUAAUUCAUGUUUAAUAUGCUUAAAUCAGAGGAGGAAAAGUCUCUAUUUAAAAGUAGAUCUAGCAUAAUUAAGUGAAGUUGCAUGCAGUCCUAGAAAUAGGACGGCAUAAAUUUACCGGAUUAGAGUCAAAUCUAAUAAAGGAAUCCAUAGAUCGAGUUAAUGCGAUAAUAAAAGUUUUAAUUAGAAAGAAAUUUUAAUUAAUUAACCUAGAGUCAGUUGCUCUUACUCUCGAAAGAGAUAUUAGUAUAGUUUAGGGAUUUCUACGGAUCAAGACACCAAGUGAAUAAAUUAUUUAAUUCAGAUUCGUAAUAAUAGGUGAAGUCUAGGUGGAUUCUUUCCUGGGUAUUGUCUCUCUCAUCGAUUAUUAUUUGGUUAUUUUCCUGAUUUAUUUCCUAUUGAGUUCUUAGUUAGAUUAAUUUAGUAAAUUUAGUUUAAAAGCAAACACUCCAAUUUGUUGGCUAAAUAAUAGGAAAACGACAAUUACAAAUACUUUUAGUCCUCAUGGAUACGAUAUCUCUACUCACCAUAGCUAUACUAUUUAUUGAUAGGUGCACUUGCCUUCGUCGUAUUUUUAGUUAGUCAUGUGAAAACACAUCAGUCGCCGCUCUUGUCUAACUGAUAACUCUAAAAUAUAAAGUUAUCUUUAGCACUUCUAGAUUGGUAAUUCAUGCAAAUUUUAAGUGUUUGGUAACAAAUUUUGGGAUUUUUAUGAAAACUUUAUCUUGUUGAAUAAUACUAAGAUAAAUUUGCUAAUUUAAUCAUUUUAUACACUAAAACACAUGAUUGCAGUUUUUGAGACAAUUGAUGCACCGGAAGAAAAGACAAUUUUGAAGUUCACCCUUUUGGUGCAAUGUUGUAGCAUUUCCACAACAUAAGCCAUGUAGAAGAGGGUUGAUAUAUGGUCAUCUUUGGACCAAAUUAAAGACUUAUUAGACUUUGAAAAUUCUCUUGACCCAACUCAAGAAUUGGGUCAACAAAUAUGGAUUGCUUGCUAAGUAGAUAAGAGCCCAAACCAUCUUUAAAAAUAAAAUAUAUGCCCUUUUAAAAAAUAUAUAUGCUAUAAAAUUAAAAUACUAUUAUUACCCUAUAAAAAUAAUAUUUUAAACUUAAAUCAUGUAUGGGAGUGUGAAAAGCCAUAAAAAAUUAGAUUUGUGUGUAAUUAUUUGCAAUUAUUUGCACAAUUAAUCCAAUUUUUAUUCUGUAGUUAGUUGCUCUAAUUACACUUGGGAACGUUUGGUUAGUUGAAAUCUUAUAUGACAAUUUGUAAUAUUACAUUCUUAAAUGAGAUUACGGUGUUUGAAUUUUUUAACAUUUUGGUUAUCUCAUUCUCACAUUCUUGAAGAGUAAUUAAAAACCAAAAUAACGUUAUGUUAUCUCAUAUUAUGGAUGGAAGACAAAAUUAACCUUUAUUUUUAUCGUAUUAGUGAAUAUAAUUUUCCCAAAAUAAUUGUAAUUAAAAACCAAAAUGGUUUUUUUCUUUCUUUCCUCUCUUGACAUUAAAAACCUUAGCUUAACUUUUUCAAUUUCUUCAUGAUGGAAAAAAAAUAAAUCACAGAUUGUGAGUAAUGCAUAAAAAAAUGUCAUAAAAAAAUAAAUAGAAAAUUAUGUGAAUGUGAUGAUUAUCACUCCAUUUUCGAAACAUUAAAAUUAUAUAAUUGUGAAAUUUUUAGUUUCAGAUCUCAAAGGUAAUCAAUUCCUCAAAAAAUAAACCAUAUAAAUAAAUAAUUAUCAUAAUUAAAUUUAGAAAAUUUUGAUCUGAAUUUAUAUGAUAAAUUAAGGUGUAAUAAAAAUUAAUUUCUUAAAUUAUUAUAAUUUUAUGAUUUUAUUUAAGCCACUAGACGAUUAAUGUAACACCCCUCACCUGAUCUGAUCCUCGGAUUCAAGUUACAGGAUGCUAUAUCAUUAUUGAAACUUUAUCACAUGCGUACAUAGUUCCAAGCAAGAUCGGUUUCAUGACAAUUUACAACAUUUACAGAGGUGUUCACGGCUAAACAAUCAUACAACUUCAGAAACAGUUUAAUACGUGUUUAGGGACCAUUGAGCAAAAUUUCAAAGAAAUCAACGUGGGUAUUGAUACACAAACUAAGGUAUCCAUAUUUUGUAAAACGAGUAUCGAUACUAACAAGAAAAACGAUACUAACUUAGUAUUUUGUCAAAUCUUGAAUCUAAACAUUUUAUCGAUACUCAAGUACAGGUAUCGAUAUUUUUACCUUGAGUAUCGAUACUCGUGAAAAAGUAUUGAUACCAAAUUAAGCUACUAUUUUCCUGCACUAUCAUUCCAACAUUGAGAUAUCAAUACUUAUAAUUUGAAUAUCAAGAACUUUGUUCAAAUCGACAAAAAUACCGAAAAACAGGGAAAAAUUCGUGCUCAAACAUUUUCCUUUUCAACACGCAUCCUCAACACAAUGGGUGAGUUUGGAUGGGCGGUGCGUUUACCUAUGAUUAGUGUAAAAAUAACGGUGGCGGUGAAAUUAGAUACGGUAGCGAUGUCUAACAUCCAAUUGACCAUACUUAUAACCCAAAACAACAUCAAUACUUCAACAAUUCAGACCCAAAUAAAACCAAUAAAAUAAGGAUAACAUCCAACACAAUUCUAAAAUUCCAAAAUCAUAAUAAACCAUUAAGAACAUAAAAAUAACCUUGGACAUCCACCUCUCAUCCCGACCUCGGCCCCAUCCUCCAACCCCGAGGUCGACUGCCCUUUUCUCAAUUAUUGGUAGAUAAUAUUAUUGUAUUAGAACUAAAUCUUUAUAUUAUUGGCUGAAUAUUAAGUGAUCAUCUAUUCUUCCCACACCUAGCUUCAGCUAUUUAGCUUGGACAGCAUCUAAAAUUAUUUGUUAUUCUAAUCUUAAUUUUAGUUGAUAAAGCAGUGUCGCUUUAGCCGAGUGGUUAAGGCGUGUGCCUGCUAAGUACAGGUAAUAUUUUUGUCAACCCCAGAAGAGAUGCCCACCACCGGCGACGUCAGGGGCGGGUAUUGGUGUUGAUGGAGCCUUUUUCGACAGUUGCGUUCUUGGUCUCCUCUAUUGAGGUUUUCUUCCUAUGUUGGCAGUGCUGGGAGUUUUGUGGUGGUUUAGCGACGGCUUCAUUCGCAUCUCGUUUAGCCUCUCGAGCUUUGGCCUUCUCCGCCUUUCGCCUCUUCCUUUCUAGUGCUUCCUUAGCUUUAGCCGCUUCCUCUUCCUUACUCAAUUCCUCCUUCUCUGUUCUCUUUCUGUAGGAGCAGAUUGCAUAUACUUCUUUUGCUCCACAACCUUUUCCGCAAGUACCUUUUCAGCUUUUACCACCGCCACUUCCUCUUGCGUUCGAUCUUUCAAAGUUAAGCCAGACAUUGUAUGAUCCACGAACGCUCUUCCAUUUAGUGCUCGAGGAAUUACAGGAGGCACUUCACCAGGACCAAGUGCACGGCCAUCUAAUGUCCUCAGUCUCCAAAGUGUGCUCCUUCCAUUGCAUCUAACAUAUUCAUUUCGAAAUUCAUCAUUGUUAUUCCAUAAGUCCGUAAAUUUCUCCACCUGAGCCAUCAACUGUUUAGAUAAAAUAUUGUACAAAAUUCUUGAUUUGGAAAAAAUAGAACAAAUGCACGACCUCACCUGGUUAAUACAAAAACUUUGGAGUGCCACUUUAUCCCCUUUCCAAGCCAACUCAUUCGCUUUAUUUAAAUCAUCCAUGUGCUACCGAAAGUGUUUGUUCUGCAACAUUCAAACAAGAGUAGCGUCGGCAUAUCUUUAUCUUAGUUUAUCAGUUUCGAAGAGCAAUGUAUUGAAUCAGAACCAGAACGAAAAUGCAGGUUUGUCUAUGAGUCUCGGAUAGGAUUAUGUGUCCAACACGAUUAUGUUCGUUCACUCUAAGCUUACAGAAUUUAAAAGUACCUUCUCAUGUGAUUGUUUCUUCAAACAUUGCAACUGUGUAUACACUUCUUGUUGGAUGUCAUUUGCAGCUUUGAACUGGUACUGCAAUUCGCUUAACUUGUCGGUUUCCUCAUAGUAUUUUCCCUUAGCUGCCUUAGUGAUCGCCUCGGUGUUUUUGAGUCUGGUUUUCAAUUGGUCAGCUUCCUUCUUUAAAGACUGUAGAAACAGAAGAAUCGAAUAAGCAACCAAAACAUAAGUAAGUUGAAUUUUUUUCCCUUGAGAUUUCCAUCAUCAUACCCAAAUAAACGUUGAUGUGGAAGCACUUUUUUCCUUAUAUAUUUAUAUAUUUGAUACAAACACAAAGUAAAUAACAUUACCAACCGGCUAACCAAUGGAUCUUUGCCACGUUUACAGAAAAAUAACAUAUUAAUUAGUGAUCAAGAUGCGUACAUGUGAACAAUGACAUUAAAUGUAUGUCCUGUGGGUGUGCAGGAAAGAUAAAUGGUAGUGUAGGCAUUGUUUAUUGACUGGUAGCUGAUAAGAAAAUAUAGUAGAGCUGCAGCUUCUGUUUUCAAUGCUUAUGCUCCAAUAAUAGACUCAUUUAAUUUUAGAAAUCCAAAAACUGUGACCUGUUUUCCCCUUUCCUUGUGUUUUUCCAAUCUCAUUUGCCACUAGUCAUUGACUUCCCUUGCCUGUUAACCCCAAUUAUACACAAUCCAUCUCCAUUUCUUUCCCUCAAUUUCCCUUUCCUUCUUCACCUCUCUCUUUGAUUUCUUUGUCCCAAUUCCACCAUGUCUGUCUCGGAGAGGCUGCUCUUUCUGCCUUUUUGGAGCUGUUGUCUGCCAAGUUGCUUGACUUUGUACUCAACUUUGUGGCCGAUCACCGGUAAGUCCACCAGCAACUCAAGCUAUGCCAAUCCAUAUUACCUAAGAUCAAAGCAGUGUUGAACCAUGCAGAGGAGAAGCAGAUCAAGGACGAGGGUAUGAAGAAUUGGUUAGACGAUCUCCAAGACUUAGCUUAUGAUGAGGAUGACAUCUUGGACGAGUUCACUUACCAAGAGUUACAUCUCAAGCUCCAAAAAACUCAAGCACAAGCCAGCACUAGUAAGGUACAAAAACUCAUUCCAACCUGCUGUACUGAUGGUCAUUUCUCUCAAAUCGCUUUUAUGUUCAAUGCUAAGAUGAUUUCAAAGAUAAAAGCAAUCACUGAUGGACUGAAUAGUUUGAACACUGGAAGAAGUAGUUCGGGGUUGAGUGAGAUCAUGUCUCAAGGCGCAACUUCCAAGGGAAAGAAACCCAGGCUGCAACCAACUUCCUUGAACCCAGGCUGCAACCAACUACCUUGAUGGAUGGAGCUGUGGAGUAAGUUGGUAGAGCCAAUGGGAAGCAAGAAAUGCUUGAGUUGCUCAAAAGUAACAAUUCCGAUGGAGUUUGUGUCCUUUCCAUCCUUGGCAUGGGAGGGAUAGGGAAAACAACUCUUGCUCAGCUUGUUCACAAUGAUCCCAGCAUUAAGGAGUCUUUUGAUCACAAGUCCUGGUAUGGGUUUCUGAUGACUUUGAUGCUGUUAACAUAACAAAGACGAUUUAAGAUCCCUCGAUGCUGACUCACAUGAUGAGAAUGACUUGAACUUGUUUCAAGUCAAGUUGAAGGAGAGGUUAUCCGGAAAAAGGAUGUUGCUUGUUUUAGAUGACAUUUGGAAUGAGAGUUACAGUGAUUGGACCAUCUUACGGGCUCCAUUUGGAGCAGGAACCAAGAUUAUUGUAACAACUCGACUCUAAAAGGUUUCAUCUAAUGUCGAUUCGGCGAAAGCGUUUUACUUGGAUAAACUCUCGCAUCAUGAUUGUUUAUCCAUAUUUGCUCAGCAUGCAUUAGAGAAUUGAAAAAAUUACGGUUAUCUAAUUUUUUUAUAGGGGAAGGUAAUGGACAUCUUAUUAGAGAAUUGAAAAAAUUGUCACACCUUAAGAGGUAGCUUUUGUCUUUCUGGAUUGGAGAAGGUUAAUGGUAAGAUGCGAGGGAAGCUAAGUUAAAUGAGAAGCUAGGGGUUGAUGGGUUAGAACUACAAUGGGGUGCAGACUUGGAGAAUUGUACAAGGAAAAUGAAGUUGAAGAGCGGGUGUUGGACUUUCUUCGUCCUCCGAAAAAGCUUGAGCAACUCAUCAUUGAGAAUUACGGGGGUGUAAAAUUCUCAUCUUGGAUAGCAGAUUCUUCCCUUAAGAAUUUAUCAUCUUUGAAGCUUCGCAAUUGUAAAAACUGCAAGUCACUACCAUCAAUUGGAAGGUUGCCACUGUUAAAAGAUCUUUCAAUUAUUGGUUUCGAUCAAGUACAAAAGAUUGGUGUUGAGCUCUUCGGAGAAAAUCAGUUGAAUCCAUUUGCAUCAUUAGAGAUUCUAUAUUUUCAGAGUCUUCCAAACUGGGAGGAGUGGGACACUUGUGAAGGAGACGAGAAGGUUUUGAAACUCCCCAGCCUUCGUGAGCUUUCAAUCAAAACCUGUCCUCAAUUGUUGGGAAGGUUGCCUACCCAUCUUCCUUCCUUGUAAAAACUUGAAAUUCAUAGGUGUAUGAGUUUGGUUGUUUCAAUAUCAAGUUUCCUGUUUCUUUGUAAAUUCAGUAUACGAGGGUGUGCAGAACUGGUGGAUGAUUGCUCUUCUACUGCAAAGGACCUUUCCUCUUUGCAAACUAUGUCUGUUUCUAACAUUUCAAAGUUUAAUAUUCCAGCAGAUAGGACAAUGUUGAGGUUUGGAAACUCAGAACAUUUUGAAAUUGAUGGUUGGGAGGAGUUGGCAUCUCUAUCACGGUAUGGGUUUAGUUUAGUUGGAUAUCGUUUCAUUUCCGUUUGGCGUUGUCCUCAACUACAGUAUUUGGAAGCAGAGGAAGCCGAAUUGCAACCUGACAAGAUUUCAUGUGUUGAAUCUCUGCUGAUAUAUGACUGUGAAAGGCUCAAUAGACUGCCACAAGUCUUACAUGAGCUCAUAUUUCCUACAGUGAUGGAAAUUGGUAAUUGUCGAAGCUUGGUUUCUUUUGCAGAGAAUAACUUACCUCCUAAUUUAAAAAAGCUGAGAAUUAGAAACUGUGAGAAUUUGGAGUAUUUGGUUGAUGAAAAAGAAGAUAAUAUUUGCAAUCAGUUUCAACUUCUCCAAAUUACCGAAUGCUCAAAGUUGAGUUGCCUAUUUUCAAACACCAAGUUUCCCAUAACACUUAAACAUUUGAUAAUUAGGGAAUGUCCAGAGUUGGAAUAAAUAGCCCAAGAGUUUUAGGAAAUCGCUUGUCUUGAAUCUAUUCUAUUUUUUAGAUCUGGAAUUAAAUCUCUACCACGAGAACUAGACAAGCUCAAACAGCUCCAGGAGAUUUGGUUGCUUUCGUGUUCAAAUUUGGUUUCUUUCGAAGAAAGUGGGUUGCUCACCACCAGCUUCAGAGAUUUUGUAGUUGAUGGUUGUGGAAAUUUUGGAGCCCUUACUAAGUGCAUGGCCAGCAUCACCUCCCUUCGACGAUUUAAGGGGGCGCACUGUAUGGCUGACAUAUCAUUUCCAUUGGAGGGAUUCCCUGCCAACCUCGCAUCACUUGCAAUCUCAAAUGCACCCAAGAUUUAUAGGUCACUUGUGGAAUGGGGAUUAAGUAGACUCACCUCUUUUCAAGAAUUGAUCAUCAGAGGUGUAGGAUGCUCAAACGUGGUGUCGUUCCCAGAAGAAGGGACUGGAAUGAUGCUGCCUCCUUCUCUUACCCGUAUCAUCCUUUUAGAAUUUGAGAACCUGGAAUACAUGUCAUCCAAGGGCUUUCAAGACCUCGCCUCUCUAAAAGAAUUGGACAUCGGUAAGUGUCCCAAGCUAACAUCUCUUCCGGAAAAGGACGUGCUUCUCUCACUUGGAUAUUUACAUAUUUACAGGUAUCUGUUUCUGAAAGAAGAGUGCUCAAGCGAUAAAGGGUGAGAGUGGUCUAAGAUUUCCCACAUACCCCUUGUUGAAAUUGAUGGUAAAAUAGUUAUCCCGAGGGAAUUAGAUUGAAAGAUGAGCAGCAAAAUCUAUGAUUGGUUUCUUCAGAGGUACAGAAAACCAUUUCAGAGCUUUUCAGUUUGAUACAUCUAACUUACCUUAGGAACUUGAUAAUAAUAGGGAUUAGUAUAAAUUUAUUUAUCGAUAUUUGCAGGCAUUGAAAGCUAAGUUGGCGUGGAAGUGCUUUCAGAAAGAUCCAUUGAAGGAAAAGUAAAAAGAUGUCACUUCUCUUCGGUAUUUGUAUAUUGUUGGAUAAAUGGCAGCAACAACUAAAACAAAGAAACACUAAGAGCAUAAGCUCUUCGAACAGCAAACAGAACAACAAGCAAAAACUCAAAGCAUCAAGAGCAUGAGCUCUCGGUUAACAAGCAGUAAAGAAGAAAAAGAAAAAAUGUAACUGAAUGGAAUGAUUCAAUUUUUCAUUUCAUUUGAAAAUAUAAGUUACAAAUUUGGAAAUGUCAGUUACCUAACUUUAUAACUGCUCCCAUCUAAUUUUAGCAACUUGCAGUACAAAAUAAUAUAAUUCAAAAGCUGAACAUUUUCCAGCCAUUACAUCCAUCAAUUCAAAUCUUACUAACUAUGAAAUCAAGUUGCAUAUCAACUUGUUUCAGUUACAAAAGAUUACAAAAAUUAAAAGUAAACAAAAUAAACAAAAUGAACCAAGCUGCUCCUAGCUUUGCCCGAGUUCUGGUCUGCUGUAGCUGCUGGUCUGCUCCUUGGCCUGUUGUUGCAUUGCAGUCCAUGUUCAACACUCCUCCUUGAACUGUAGGCAAAAAACACCAAUUGAUUUCCUCAAAAGUUCAAACCUUAUAGUUCCAAGUGGCUUUGUCAAUAUGUCAGCCAGUUGGUCUUGUGAGCUGCAAUAUCUAAGACUCACAUCCUUUGAUUGUACUACCUCUCGAACAAAAUAAAAUUUGAGCUUAAAGUGCUUUGUUUUGCCAUGAAAAACAGCAUUCUUAGAGAUAGAUAUUGCUGAUUGAUUAUCAAUCAUAAUCUCAGUAGGCUCAAAUUGUUCCUCAUUCAAAUCACACAACAAUUUUCUAAGCCAAAUAGCUUGGCUUACUGCUCCAGCUGCUGCUAUGUACUCUGCUUCUGUAGUUGAUUGAGCAACUGUUUGUUGCUUUUUAGAGCUCCAACAAAAAGCUCCUGAGCCAAGUGAAAAGAGGUAGCCUGAGGUGCUCCUCAUAUCAUCAAUCGAACCUCCCCAGUCACUGUCUGAGUAGCCAGAUAGCUUCAGCUGACCUCCUGACUUGAACAUCACUCCAAACUUCAAGGUUCCUUUCACAUACUUGAGGAUUCUCUUUGCUUCCUUUAAAUGUGAUAUGUUCUAGCUAUGCAUGAAACGAGAUAGCAAACUGACCGAAUGCAUAAGGUCAGGUCUAGUUGCUGUCAAGUAUAGCAAACAUCCAAUUAAACUUCUAUACUCCCUUUCAUCCACCUUUUUUUCUUCUCCAUAGCUGCUCAACUUCUGUCCCAUGACCAGAGGUGUACUCACUGGCUUGCAAUUCUCCACAUGAAACUUAGUCAGUAUCUUCAGGCUAAAUGCAUGUUGACUGAUGAAGAUCCCGUGAUCAGUCUGACUUACUUCCAUACCAAGGAAAUAACUCAUAGUUCCCAAGUCUGUCAUAUCAAACAUGACAUGCAUUUUCUCCUUAAACUCUUGAAUCAGUUCAAUUUUGCUUCCAGUUACCAGUAAAUCAUCUACGUAUAUUGACACAAUCAGCAGUGUCUCAUCAUUGGACUUCUUCACAAACAAGGUUGGUUCACUCAAACUUUUCUCAAAGUUGAGUUUAGACAGAUACUCAUCAAUUCUGUCAUACCAGGCUCGAGGAGCCUGUUUUAAACCAUAAAGUGCCUUCUUCAGCCUAUAAACCUUGUCCUCCAUUCCUUGGACUUUGAAACCAUCAGGUUGUUCUACAUAUAUCUCCUAUUUAAGGAACCCAUUCAAGAAGACUGACUUGACAUCAAGCUGGUGGACCUUCCAGUGCUUCUGUGUAGCCAAGGCAAACAGCAAUUUGAUAGUGUCCAGCCUUACUACUGGAGCAAAAGUCUCCUCAAAAUCAAUACCAGCCUGUUGGCUAUACCCUUUCACCACAUGCCUUGCCUUGUGUUUGUUAAGAGAGCCAUCUGCAUUGAAUUUUUCCUUGUAAAUCCACUUGACACCAAUGACCUUCCUCUGUUCAGGCUUGUUCACAAGAUUCCAAGUAUCAUUCUUGUGGAUCAUGUCGAUUUCAGCUUCCAUAGCUUUCCCCCAACUCUUGCUUCUAGCAGCCUCUUCAUAAUUUGAGGGUUCAACAAUGGCCACAUUGCAUCUCUGGUAGAUGUCAGCAAUGGACCUAGUCCCUCUCAUAGAAGCAUCAUCAACAUUGGCAUUACUGGCCUCUUUUUCUGCCAAUUCCAGAUUGCUAUCACCUUCCUCUUCUUCAAAUGGACUUGUAUCUGAACCAUCAAAGUCCCAAAAUCUUGAAUCAUCAGAUUUAACAUCCCUACAUACCAAAAUCUUCUUGGUCGAGGGAUCAAAUAUCCUGUAGCCUUUCUUACAGCCACUAUAGCCAACAAAUAUGCCAGCAGUCGACCUUUUUUCAAGUUUGGUCCUUCUUUCUACUGGUACAAGCACAUAACAUAUGCAGCCAAACAAUUUUAAGUGUGAGACAACAGGUUUAAGUCCAUACCAUGCUUCAAAAGGUGUCUUGUCCUUCACAGCAUGUGUUGGCAGUCUGUUGAGCAAAUAAACUGAAGUGGUGACACCUUCAGCCCAAAAGAUGCCUGGAAGCUUGCUCUGAAACAGUAAACACCUAGUCAUGUUCAUCACUGUCCUGUUCUUCCUCUCACUCACUCCAUUUUGCUGAGGAGUGUACACUGUGGUCAAUUGAUGAUAGAUUCCAGCCUGCUCACAUAGCUUCUGUAAUUUCUCAGACAAGUACUCUGUGCCAUUGUCUGUCCUUAGGGCCUUAAUCUUGCAACCUGCUUGAUUCUCUGCCCAAGCCUUGAACUUCACAAACAUGUCAAACACUUCUGACUUCUGUUUCACGAAGUACACCCAGCAAAAUCUAGUCAAAUCAUCAAUAAACAAAACAAAGUACUUACUGCCAUUCAGUGAAGGUGUCUUCAUUGGUCCACAGACUUCUGAGUGCACUAGCUCAAGUCUGUCUCGAGCCCUCCAUGCCUGGUUAGCUGAAAAGGGCAACCGGGCUUGUUUACCAAGCUGACACACCUCACAAACACCUUCACUUACACUAACCUUCACCAUGUCCUAUGUCAUAUUCAUUUUGUGUAGCAAAUCAAGUGAUUUGAGGUUAACAUGGCCAAACCUCAUGUGCCAAAGAUCAGUAUUGUCAACUGAGCUUGUAUAGGCACUUUUCUCAAGUUGACUCACAUCCAAAAUAAAACAUUUGUCUCCCAUAGGUGCUGAGACAAUCUCCCUACCAUGAGCAUCACUUAUAACACAUGAAUCAUUCUUGAAAACUAGUGAAAACCCUUUCUUAACUAGCUGGCCUACACUAAGUAAAUUUUAGUCUAUUUCUAGCACAUAGAGCACAUCAGAAAUGACUUUGUUUCUUGAACCAGUAUGAAUCACCACAUCACCUUUCCCUUUUGCUUCAAUCAAGUUGCCAUUGCCUACCCUGACCUUCGAGACAUAGCUCCUGUCAAGGUUCUUGAAAAGCCUCUCAUCUGCAGCCAUGUGGUGUGAGCAGCCACUAUCCACAAGCCAACUACAUUUGCUGUUAACUGCAAAACAUGAAGAUGUAAAUACAUGCUCCUCCUGAGCUUGCACAUCUUCAGCAAUCUUAGCUUGUAUUGGCUGUGUUUGUGCCUUUUUAUGACUCCUACAAAUUUUCUCAUGAUGGCCAAACUUCUUGCAACUCCUACACUGAAUAUCUAGUUUUGUCCAGCAAAAUUUCUCCAAAUGGUUGGUCUUUUUGCAGUGAAUGCAUGGUGGAAACCUACUUCUGCCUGCUUCUCUGUUUGCUCCUUUCCUUGCCUUAUCCUUUCUUUCAAGCCAAGGUUUCUUAGCUCUCUGAUUUGAGCUAGAUCCUUCCCUAGUUCUUGCUUGGAAGGCUCUUUUAGGGUUCUCCUCCUGUCUGCUAGCUCUCUUUUGCUCGAGUGCAUAAAGUGAGUUGACCGACUCAGACAGGGAAAUAGUUGUGAGGUCCCUCGAGUCCUCCAAUGAGGAGAUUUUUGAUUCAAAUCUCUUAGGAAGGGUGGUGAUCACCUUCUCAACAACCCUGCUAUCACUGAAAUCCUCUCCAAGAAGUCUGAUAUUGUUGACAGUAGCCAUGAUUCUAUCAGAAUAUUGCUUGAUAGAUUCAGACUCCUUCAUUUUUAAAUUUUCAAACUCCCUUCUAAGAUUGAUAACUUGUUGUUGUCUGGUCUUGUCUGAUCUCAUAAACUCCUCUCUAAGCCUGUCCCAUGCCUGCGUAGGGGAAUCACAAGCCAUAAUGCGAGUGAAGAUAACAUCUGACACUCCAUUCUGCAAACAGGCCAUAGCUUUGUGUUUCUUGGCUCGUUCCUCACCAUGUUGCUUGAUCUGAGCAAUGGUAGGAUUUUCUCUUAAUGGUGCUGGCUCGACAUCACUCUCAACUGCACUCCAGAGGUCAAGUGUUUGAAUAUAUGUCUUCAUUUUGACAACCCAAAUAUGGUAGUUGUCUCCAGCAAAAACUGGUGGUAGAAGAGGAGUAAAACUCAUGCUGCCAAGACUGAUUUUGAAAACACAAAAACUGACUUUGUUUUGAAAAACUAAAACAUAAACAACAGAGGUCCUCAAAGAUAGGAGGCUCUGAUUACCAUUUGUUGGAUAAAUGGCAGCAACAACUAAAACAAAGAAACACUAAGAGCAUAAGCUCUUCGAGCAUCAAACAGAACAACAAGCAAAAACUCAAAGCAUCAAGAGCAUGAGCUCUCGAUUAACAAGCAGUAAAGAAGAAAAAGAAAAAAUGUAAUUGAAUGGAAUGAUUCAAUUUUUCAUUUCAUUUGAAAAUAUAAGUUACAAAUUUGGAAAUGUCAAUUACCUAACUUUAUAACUGCUCCCAUCUAAUUUUAGCAACUUGCAUUACAAAAUAAUAUAAUUCAAAAGCUGAACAUUUUCCAGCCAUUACAUCCACCAAUUCAAAUCCUACUAACUAUGAAAUCAAGUUGCAUAUCAACUUGUUUCAGUUACAAAAGAUUACAAAAAUUAAAAGUAAACAAAAUAAACAAAAUGAACCAAGCUGCUCCUAGCUUUGCCCGAGUUCUGGUCUGCUGUAGCUGCUGGUCUACUCCUUGGCCUGUUGUUGCAUUGCUGUCCAUGUUGAACAUAUAUAACCAUCCUAUGCCAUUGAAGAGAAUUUUUGUCAUUUUGGAUUCUUAGAUGUGAUGAAUUUGGUAUAGUUUAAACCAUAUGAUAUAAGCAGGUGAAACAUUACUUAUUUCCAUCAUUUUGCAGUAUUCCUGUCUGGUCUUUCUGAUAUAUUUAUUUAUUGUUACAGGUGAUGAAAGCUAAAUCGACGAGGUAGUGUUGAUUUCAAAAGAUCUUUUCAAGAGAACUAAUGAAGGCAUGGGGUAGAGACUUGGAGAAUAAACAAGUAAAAAAGAAGUCAAAGAGCGGGUGCUAGACUUUCUUCGUCCUUAGAAAAGUUUGAGCAACUCAUCAUUAAGAACUGCGGUGGUGCAAAAUUCUCAUCUUGGAUGGCAGAUUCUUGUUUUAAAAGUUUAAGCCUUCUUAAGCGCAUUUAUUGUCUUAUUCAAUAGUUGGGGUGAAUUAUGUAUAAUUUUAAGUAUUGUAUUUAUCUUCUUCUAUACUUCAGCUAAUGCGAGACGUAAAGCAUCAAUGAAGAUUUUUAUCUUUCUUUUGAUUGUCACAAUCUUUUUUUUUUCAGUUGAAAUGAAAAAAAAGAAAAAAUCAGCUUGAGGCUUUUUUUUAAUAUGGAAAUUAAAAAAAAAGAGUUGUCACUGAAUAUUUUUUGUUAGGUGUGAUCGAUCACCUAUAAAAUCAUAUUUUAUAAAAGAAUUUUAAGGUCUCUCUAAAGAUAAAAAUUUUUAAGUAUGCAUUGAAAUCCAAAGAAAAAAUAGGAAUGCGAGUCAAUUAAGCGUAGGAAGAGUUAUAGCAUCCUUACAACUACCAAAAUUAGUACUUUAUUGAUUAUGUGUUGUUUAAUAAUCUUAAAAUUUAAAUUUGUGAAAUAUAAUAUUUAAUUAUGAUCCAUUUAAUUAAUUACAUAUAUAAUAAAAAUACUUUUAUUUCUUAAUGAAUUAAAAUUUUAAAAUAAUGUUCGGUAUCUCCUGUCCAUAAAAAUACCAAAAAAAUAUAUUUUAUUAAUAAGCAAAACUCGUAGAUUUACUUGGUUUGGAAAAGGAUAUCCCAUUGGUAAUAAACUUAUCUUCUAUUUUGGAAAAAUUAGGCAAAAAGGUCGAAAAACAAAUUAGGGAGUUAGGUCGAAAAUUUUCAAAUUUAAGGAGCUAUGUCGAUUUUGAAGAGAAAAAAAGAAAAUAAGUCUUGAGAAAAGCGCUUCUUGCAAAACUCAUUUUCUUUUGACAAAUUAGUAUUUUUUUUACAAUAUAUUUAUUAAAGAGAAAUUGAACUCAAACACUCAAUAAUAAAACUACAAAGAUUUGACCAUUUGGCUAAAAAAAAGCUAAUAUGUCAAAAGAAUAAGCAUUUUGUACAAAAUAUUUUUCGCAAGAUGUGUUUCUAUUUCUCUCUCCAAAAUAGACUUAUUUCCCUAAAUUUAAGAAAUAUUAACCUAAUUCCCCAAUCGUUAAAAUCACAUGUAUUUAUCAAAGUCAAAUUGACAUCAUAACUAGGUUGCCCUCAUGUAAUGUAACAUAUGUUUGACGGAAAAUAAACAUAUCAAGUUGACAAGUUUUAAUAUAAAUUACCAAUAACGAUAAUGAUUAAACUAAAUUUUUUUAAGUUAAAAAUGAAGGAGAAUUGAUUUUUAACUUUAUGGACUAAAUCUCAAAUUUUAUAAAAAUAUAGGGACUUGCAACAUAUUUUAAUAUUUAUUUAUGUUUAAGUUAAUUAUUGUUCAUUUUCUUUUUACCUGAAAUAAAUUAUUUAUCUCAAAAUUUAUUUAAGUUUUUUUUAAAAUAUGUUAAGGAAAAAUAAGAUGAUAACUGCUAUAUAAAUUUAUCAUUUUAUUUUUAUAUAUGUAUAAUUAUUAAAAGAGUAAAAAUGUAAAAAUGCAUUAUAGAAAAACAACUAUAUUAUUUUGUUUAGAAUUUAUUUUCAAUUAAAAUUAUGUUUAAAUAUUUGUUUGUCUUUAAAAAUAUUAGAAAUAAUUAAUAAAAACCACAUUGAAGUGAGAAGAGGCGAAGAUGAAUGUAUCUAAUAUCUAUGGGAGUUGUAGUACUUUUUAAAAGAUAAAAUGACUUAUUUGACCUUCUAAUUUAAAAAAUAAUAAUUUUAGUCAUUCAUUUAAUUUUUUACUUCUUUUAACCAUUAAACUUGCGUUUUGUUUAUCAAAUCACUCAAAAUGGAUAGAAAAAUUAACAUAUGUUAACUUUAUUGAUUGACACACACGUGAAAUGUCACAUGAAUGUCAAAUCAACAAUUAAUUAAUUUUAAAAUUUUGAAUAAUUGUUAAUAGAUAUAUCAGAGGUGAAUUUAGGGGGAUUGGUGCUGGCAAAGAGCUUGGUGGCAACAAAAAAAUUUUAAUAGAAAAAAAUAGCAUGUUGCCGCCAAUGAGAAAAAUGACACACACAAAAAAAAAAAUCAAACUUUCUAACAAAAAAAAUACACCGGUGUCGCCAAUGGCAAUGGCAACACCCAAAAAAAUUCUAUUUUUUUAAAACAUUAUUUUUUCUAAUGGGUAUCGUUAAGGAGAACGACAGCACAAAAAAAGCUUUUUACAAAAGCUUUGACACAUUUAAAAAAACACUAGUACCGCCAAUGACAAAGACGACACCCAUUAAAAUAAAUUUUUCCUUUUUUUUCUUUUUCUCCUACAAUACCGAUAUUUUAUGGGGUGGAAGACUAUACAUACUGGUGCAACUAAUGGCACGACGACACUCAAAAAUUAAUUUGGUAAAAAUUAAGGAUAAAAUAUGACUAAUGGUACCAUUUUGUUAUCAAGCAUCAUAAGGAUGUUGAUAUCUUCCUAGAAAUUACACCCAAAUUCAAAUUUUGUUUUGUAGACUAAAAAUUAUAUUUUUAAUAAAUUUUGAUUUAAUUUAAAAUUUUAUUAAAAUAAUAUAUUUUUACUUUUGGGGUGGUCAAUCACACCAAAAUAAAAAAUAUCGGUAUCAACUCUAUAUAUUUAAAAUUAAAUUAAAAUUUAUUGUUUAAAAUUUAAAUAUUUCACAAUAAACUUGACAUCCAUAGAUAGAUGUGAACAAAACUCAAUUCGAUUUGGAAAAAUCGAUUUUUUUUAAUUUUAAGUUAAUCGAAUUGAGUUAUUUGAAUUAUUCGAGUCAAUUCGAAUAAGUAAUUCGAGUUUCGAUGUAUCACUCCUAACCUGAAUCUGUCACCAGAAUAAGGUUACGGAGCAUUACCAAAGUUUUCAAAUUAAUUAUCAGGCAUUUCAUUUUUAUCUAACAUUCAUAUUUGAAACCAAUCAAAAUUAAAACAUUAAUGAACCAAUGUUGGCCAAAUUAACUUAUACAUGCCAUUCUAACCAGAAUCAAAUCAUUCAAAAUUACCGAUAGGACCAAUGGAUAGUGUGAUAUAUCUCUAACAAGCUUCCAACCCAAUUGAGCUUUCUAUAAUUUGUAGGGUAAAUAAAAACAAAUACGUAAGCAAUGAAUGCUUAGUAAGCUCGUGUAAUCUUUAAUCAUAUUAGUUCAUCUAAAAUAUGAAAUCUAUACAUAUCAAGAAUAAUCCAAUAUUAAUACCAUAAUACUCAUGAAGCUAUAUUUAUCAACUCACGAGGUGAAUAAAUCCACAGUAUCACCUAAACAUAUUAUCCCAAGCUUAGUAGGAUUUUAUAUAACUUUAACUCUUCAUAAUUUCUUUAUUUUCAUUUGCAUUUCUUUACUUUCCACGCUUAUUCCAUAUGCGUGACACACAAGUCAUAAACAUAUCAUUCAACCACAGUCACAAGCUAAUGCAUUUAGCCAAAGUAUUUUUCGAAUUGAUCACAUGAUAAGUCAUUUCAUAAGAAAUUGCAUAAUCUAAACCUUACCACUUUUUAGUGAGCUCUAGCAUAUUUUCACUUAAAUACUUUCCAAUUCAAUGCAUUAUAUAAAUAAUCAUAAUACCAUUCAACCAAUAGCUUGGCACUUGCCUAAGCAUCAAGCAAGAACACUGGUUAGUGUACUUGCACACAUUACAUAUAAACUCAUCAUGCAUAAUUUUCUUGUAUCAACAUAUUAAAGAUAAUCAUACAUUUAAAUGUCAUGAUACAUAUCAUUCUCUUGUCGUUUCUUCAUAGGCAUAUAUCAUUCAUUUCAUUGUUUCGAUAUUUCAUGUACCAUCAUUUUCAUGAAUUUCGUACAUCCUAGUAAUAGUUCAUUUCAAAUACAUAUUAUCUCACUUCAGAACUUUACCCGUUAUAUCAUUUAAAUAUCAAUGGUUACAUUUAUUUCAGAUCAAUACCAAUAAUAAUCUAUAAAUCUUUCAAUUCAAUCACAUAAGUCUUUUACCGUUUCUUUUUGAAUCAAAGAACGACUUACGGAUAUGAAUACAUCGUUCUUUGGUGCCAUAUUCCAACUAUGGUCUUGCACAUAUGAACACUGCCAUAGUCCGACCAUGGUCUUACAUUCAUAGUGCCAUAACCCAGUUAUGGUUUUAUCCGUCAAUUCAUUCUUUGCCACAAAACGAUUGUACUCAAUCCCGCGUUCAAUCCAAAUUGAGUAUUCAAUUCGAUAUUAUAUUUCCAAUAAUAAUUCAAUUCCAUGUUUUCUAUUACCCUUAUUAUUUUCCCAUAUUUAUCCCGUUGAAUUUCUUGGAAAUUCAAUGGAUUUUUAUAGGUACACUUUUAGUGUACAAUUUCGGGUCCAUCAAUUCAUAUUCAUGUGCGCACAUUUCCAUUUCAGAGAGCACACUCCCGCAAACCUUAUCCUUACAACGGGAUUACCAGUCCAGACUAAAUCCCCUGUAAUAUAAACUCAUAAAGUAUUGUCGGGAUUACCAGUGCAGGCUAAAUCCCCUACAAUGACAAUUGCUCUAAUGAGCUUUGAUCUGAAUUACCAGUCCAGACUAAAUUCAAACCCUAAUUUGGAUUACCCGUUUGGGCUAAAUCUAUUUUCCACAUAUUCAUUGGGAGGGUUAUAUCAGGAUAGGAUCACCCGUCUGGGCUAGAUUCUUUUUACCGUCAAUUCAUUUUCAGAGAUCCAUCGAAUUUUUCUUCCAUUCAAUCGCGAUUUCUUCCCCUUUUUAUAAAAAAUAUCAAUGUUUCAUCAAUUAUCAUAAAAUGAACAUUCAAAUCAUAUUUACAUCAAUAACAUACAUUUCAAGCAUUUAAGAAUAUAAUUCAAGUUACACGAACUUACCGGGCUAAAUUGUAGAAAUACCAAAAUUUAGGGACAUUUUGGUAAUUUUCCAUUUUCCUCGAAUUUCUACCCAAUCUUGAUCUAAAUUAAUAUUUUUUUCAAUUUAUUAAUUUAAAUAAUAAAAAAAUUCAUUUCAUGCAAUUUGGUCACUUUUUUGACAUUUUUUACAAAUUUACCCUUAAAAUAUUACUUUUAUUCAAUUUAGUCCCUGAACCUAAAACAUGCAAAUUAACCAUUUUUAAUGAAAACUCAUGCUAGUUGAAUAAUCAUAUAUUUUACUCCUUCUCCUCUCCAUUCCACAUCCUUAAUGUAUAUAACACGCUUAUAUGUAACAUUAUCUAUAAUUUCACCAUUUACUUAUAUAUUCAUUCAAAGCUGUCCACUAGGGUCAUAGUAACUAAAUUAUUUAUAUAUUGAGCUACAGAACUCAGAAUUAAAAUCUGCUAAAUUAUUAUGAAACUAGACUCACAUAUCUUCUUACCAUAAAAUUUUUAGAAUUUUUGGUUUAGCCAAUAAGCACAGUUUAUUCUUUAAAGUCAUCCCUAUUUUGCUGUCUAACAGUUUUAACCCUUCUUCACUAAAAAUUAAUUAUCUCAUUGUACAGGAUUUGGAUGAUGUUCUCGUUUGUUUAUUUUGAAUAUAGACUCAUUAGUGAUUUUAAAAGUAUAAAUUUAAGACCCUAAUUAUUUUUAUCCAAUUUUUUAUUAUUUUACAAAGUCAGAACAGGGGAACCCAAAAUCAUUCUGACAUUAUCUCACCAAAUUUAUUAUAUCUCAUGAUUUACAAUUUCAUUACUUACAAUGUUUCUUUUAUGAGAAACUAGAAUCAAUAAGCUUUAAUUAAAUAUAGUAUUCAUACUAUAAUUCAAUUUUCAAAAUUUAUGGUGAUUUUUUAAAUUUAACCUACUGCUGCUGUCCAAAAUUGUUUUAGUGUAAAAUGUUGAUAACUAAAUUUAUAACACCUUCUUUUCCUUUCUCUUCAAUAUUUUCAUUCACUUCCUCUUUUUUCCCUUUACUAACAUAAAAAGAAUAUAAAACCUUAUAUAAUGAAACUCUACAUUAACAUUAAUUUCCUACUUUUUCAAUAAUAUCAAACUAAAAAAUAUAUUGAAAUCUUGAUGUUCUUACCUUGUGCUAUUGAUUUCAAUCUUUAACUUGAUAUUCUAUCUCCUCCAGCUUCUAUUUCUUGAAUCUAACUUGAUAUUCUAGCUCCCCAUAGUCUCCUUGUUAUCUUUCUCUCUGGAUGGCUAUGGAAAUUCUUUUUAUUUCUAGGUAAAAAUAGUAAAUUUUUGGUGGAAGGACCAAAUUGUAAAGAAAGCAAAACUUUCUUUCUUUCUCUCUUCUUCUCACGUUGAAUGCAUGGGAAGAUAAUGAAUUCUCUUCAUCUUUCCUCCUUUUUAUAUUAAUCAUUUAAUUAUAAAAUAAUACUAAAAAUAUUAAUUAAAUAUUAAUUAAAUAACAUUUAUCUUAUUAAUUAAUUGAAAAUAUAACCAACAUCAUUACCUUCUAUAAUUCUCUCUCUCUAAUUGACUAUUUUGCCCUUUAUAGUCUUUUAAAAUUUCAUCCUUGAGUCAUCACUUAAUUUGGUAAAAUUACAAUUUAGUCUCUCAAAAUUCUUCACCUUUUCAAUUUGGUCCUAAUCCAUCCAUUUUCCUUAGUUUCUAGAUUAUUCCACCCUUAAAAUAUUUGCACUAUUGGUCCUUCAACUUUUUCAUAUUUACACUUUAACCCCUCUAAUUUUGAGUAUUUACUGUUGGACAACAAAACUUUUCUCACUUUUGCAAUUUAAUCUUUUCUUGAAUUAAUAUGUCAUAAUAUACUUCCCAAUAUUAACAUAACUCAAAAUUACCCUUUUUUAUCACUUUAUUUCCUUAUUUUACUAUAUCAGGAAUAUUAUCUUACUUUCUUACUGUAAUAAUUUUCAGGGUAUUACAUUCGAGUUCGAAUUGAGUUGAAUUUUAUAAUUCAAAUAACUCUAAUAAUUUGAAUAAGAGAUUGAUGUACAUACCCAUUUGGUCUCUGUUAAAUUUAAAAAUAAGUAAAUUGGUCUUUCUUAACAAAAAUUACAAAAAGUUCAAAAUAAUUUUCAAAAGUUCAAAAUAAUUUUCAAAAAUUCAAAAAUAAAAUUUAAAACUCAAAAUAUUUAUAAAAAUUCUAAAAUUUAUAUUUUUCAAAAAAUAUAAAAUUUUCAAAAAUUUUUUAAAAAAAUUAUAAAGAAAGUUAAAAAAUUUUAAAAAAAUUAAAAUAAUAAUUUAAAAUUUAAAAUAAUGUAUAUAACUAAAAAAAUUAAUUUAUUGUUAAAUUAUGCAUUAAAACACAAUACUUGUAUGGCGUAAAUAAUUACAAUUAGAUAGUCAUAAUUACUGAAUUAAUUUGGGUAUAGUACCAAUAAAGGCUCAUUUAUGAUAUUUUUUUACGGAAAUGGGUAGCUUUUAAAAAUAAUUACGAGUAUGGUCUAAAAAUCUAAAAACGCACUGACAUUGAUGCGUUUUUAGAGGAUAACUCAGAAAAAACGCUUCCACGUUAGCGCUUUUUUCUUGUAUCAGGCAAAAGCACACUGACGUAGACACGCUUUUACCUGUGCUCGGACUAAAUUUUCAAAAAAAAGGGUCGCUUUUUAAAAUAUUUAAAAAAUAGACUAAUUUUUUUUGAAAAUUUAAAAGAUUAAGCCUUUAUAAAGAUUCAAAGUGACAGUACCAUUUCUUUUUUUUUGUGCCACCAAUUUAUAUAUGGAAAUAAAACUUACAAAAUAGAUAUUUAUAUAAAUCCAAAGUCUCAUUUUUUACAUUGUAAAAUAUAAUUAGUUAUAUAAAGAUCUGUUUUGUAAAUUUUAUUUUUAUAUUAAUUGGUGACUUAAAAAAAAGAAGAAAAGAAUAGUGCUGCCACUUUGAAUCUUUAUAAAUGUUUAUUCUCAUAAAUUUUUAAAAAAUUGAUAUAAUUUUGUAAUAUUUAAAAAUAAUAUUUUUUAAAAAUUUAGUCUGAGUACUAAUAAAAAUGUGUCCAUGACACGUGGACACAAGAAAUAAAAAGUUGAUGCGGAAGCGCUUUAUUCCUUAUAUAUUUAUAUAUUUGAUACAAACACAAAGCAGAUAACAUUACCAACCGGCUAACCAAUGGAGCUUUGCCACGUUCACAAAAAAAUAACAUAUUACAAUGACAUUAAAUGUAUGUCCUGUGGGUGUGCACUGUGCAGGAAAGAUAAAUGGUUGUGUAGGCAUUGUUUAUUGACUGGUAGCUGAUACGAAAAUAUGGUAGAGCUGCCGCUUCUGUUGUCAAUGCUUAUGCUCCAAUAAUAAACUCAUUUAAUUUCAGAAAUCCAAAAACUGUGACCUGUUUUCCCCUUUCCUUGCGUUUUCCAAUCUCAUUUGCCACUAUUCAUUGACUUCAGCUCCCUUGCCUGUUAACCCCAAUUAUACACAAUCCAUCUCCAUUCCUUUCCCUCAAUCUCCCCUUCCUUCUUCAUCUCUCUCUUGGAUUUCUUUGUCCCAAUUCCACCAUGUCUGUCUUUGGAGAGGCUGCUCUUUCUGCCUUUUUGGAGCUGUUGUCUGCCAAGUUGCUUGACUCUGUACUCAACUUUGUGGCCGAUCACAGGCAAGUCCACCAGCAACUCAAGCUGUGGCAAUCCGUAUUACCCGAUAUCAAAGCAGUGUUGAACCAUGCAGAGGAGGAGCAGAUCAAGGACGAGGGUGUGAAGAAUUGGUUGGACGAUCUCCAAGACUUAGCUUACGAUGUGGAUGACAUCUUGGACGAGUUCGCUUACCAAGAGUUACGUCUCAAGCUCCAAAAAACUCAAGCACAAGCCAGCUCUAGUAAGGUACGGAAACUCAUUCCAACCUGCUGUACUGCUGGUCAUUUCUCUCCAUUCUCUUUUAUGUUCAAUGCUAAGAUGAUUUCAAAGAUACAAGCAAUCACCGAUAGACUGAAUAGUUUGAACACUCGAAGAAGUAAUUUGGGGUUGAGUGAGAUCAUGUCUCAAGGCGCAACUUCCAAGGGAAACAAACCCAGGCUGCAACCAACUUCCUUGAUGGAUGGAGCUGUAGAGUAUGUUGGUAGGGCCAAGGAGAAGCAAGAAAUGCUUGAGUUGCUCAAAAGUAACAAUUCCGAUGGAGUUUGUGUCCUUUCCAUCGUUGGCAUGGGAGGGAUGGGGAAAACAACUCUUGCUCAGCUUGUUUACAAUGAUCCCAGCAUUAAGGAGUAUUUUGAUCACAAGUCCUGGGUAUGCGUUUCUGAUGACUUUGAUGCUGUUAACAUAACAAAGACGAUUUUAAGAUCCCUCGAUGCUGACUCACGUGAUGAGAAUGACUUGAACUUGCUUCAAGUCAAGUUGAAGGAGAAGUUAUCCGGAAAAAGGAUGUUGCUUGUUUUAGAUGACAUUUGGAACGAGAGCUACGGUGAUUGGACCAUCUUACGGGCUCCAUUUAGAGCAGGAACCAAGAUUAUUGUAACAACUCGACUCCAAAAGGUUUCAUCUAAUGUCGAUUCGGUGAAAGCGUUUUACUUGGAUAAACUCUCGCAUCAUGAUUGUUUAUCCAUAUUUGCUCAGCAUGCAUUGAAAGCAAGAAAAUUUGAUGGGCAUCUCCAAUUUAAAGAAAUUGGAGAGAACAUAGUGAGAAGGUGCAACGGCUUACCUUUGGCAGCAAAAGCCAUUGGAAGCUUAUUACGCACAGUUACGGAUCAUAGAGAAUGGGAAAAAGUAUAUGAGAGCGAGAUAUGGGACGUACCAGAAGAUCCAUGUGGCUUAAUUUCAGCUUUGCGAUUAAGCUACCAUUAUCUUCCUCCUCAUUUGAAACGAUGCUUUGCCUACUGCUCCAUAUUUCCUAAAGAUUAUGAAUUUGAAGAAGAAGAGAUAAUCUUGUUAUGGAGAGCAGAAGUUUCUUGCAAUCAAAAGCUAAAAUUCAAGGCAAAGGUCUUGGAAACCAAUAUUUUCAAGAUCUAGUGUCAAGGUCAUUUUUUCAAACAUCUAGUAAAGACAAAUGCCGUUUCGUGAUGCAUGAUCUUAUGAAUGAUUUAGCUCAAUUAGUUGCAGGAGAAAUAUGUUGCAGAGUGGAGGGUGAAAAGCAACAAAAGUUUUCGCAUCGUUCUCGCCACUCAGCUUAUGUUAUCGAUGAUUGGUGUCAGAGUGUAAAGAAGUUUGAGGCAUUUUAUCAAAUGACUUCUUUACGUACUGUCUUACGCUUAACGGCGGCUCCAAGAUUUAAGGUAUUCUAUUUAUCUAACGUUGUCUUGGAGGAUUUGUUGCCAAGUCUUAGCUAUUUAAGGGUUCUUUCUUUGGGUGGGUAUAAGAUCUAUGAUUUUCCCGACUUUUUUGAAAAUUUAAAACAUCUACGCUACUUAAAUUUUUCUAGAACUCGAAUCAAUCGUUUACCUGAUUCUUUGUGUACUCUUUAUCAUUUGGAGACUUUAAUAUUAAGAGAUUGUCGAGAGCUCAAAAAUUUACCCUCGAAGAUCGGGAACCUUGUCAACUUGCAUUUUCUUGAUAUUAGAGGUGCAUAUUCAAUAGAAAGGAUGCCCUCCGGAUUUGAUCAGCUAACUCAGCUUCAAACGUUAUCAAAUUUUGUUAUAGGGGAAGGUGAUGGACGUCUUAUUAGAGAAUUGAAAAUUUUGUCAAACCUUAGAGGUAAUUUUUGUCUUUCUGGGUUGGAGAAUGUUAAUGGUCAAGAUGCGAGGGAAGCUAAGUUAAAUGAGAAGCUAGGGAUUGAUGGGUUAGAACUACAAUGGGGUACAGACUUGGAGAAUAAUACAAGGAAAACAGAAGUUGAAGAGCGGGUGUUGGACUUUCUUCAUCCUCCGAAAAAGCUGGAGCAACUCAUCAUUGAGAAUUACGGGGGUGUAAAAUUCUCAUCUUGGAUAGCAGAUUCUUCCCUCAAGAAUUUGUCGUCUUUGAAGCUUCGCAAUUGUAAAAACUGCAAGUCACUACCAUCAGUUGGAAGGUUGCCAUUCUUAAAAGAUCUUUCAAUUAUUGGUUUCGAUCAAGUACAGAAGAUUGGUGUUGAGCUCUUCGGAGAAAAUCAAUUGAAUCCAUUUGCAUCAUUAGAGAUUCUGUCUUUUGGGAGUCUUCCAAACUGGAAGGAGUGGGGCACUUGUGAAGGAGACGAGAAGGUUUUGAAACUCCCCAGCCUUCGUGAGCUUUCAAUCAAAAACUGUCCUCAAUUGUUGGGAAGGUUGCCUACCCAUCUUGCUUCCUUGCAAAAACUUGAAAUUCAUUGGUGUACGAGUUUGGUUGUUUCAAUAUCAAGUUUCCCGUCACUGAGUAAUUUCAGUAUAGAAGGGUGUGCAGAACUGGUGGAUGAUUGCUCUUCUCCUGCAAAGGAGCUUUCUUCUUUGCAAACUUUGUCUCUUUCUAACAUUUCAAAAUUUAAUAUUCCAGCAGAUAGGACAAUGUUGAGGUUUGGAAACUCAGAACAUUUUGAAAUUGGUGAUUGGGACGAGUUGGCAUCUCUAUCACAGCAUGGGUUUAGUUUAGUUGGGCAUCGUUUCAUUACCGUUGGGGAUUGUCCUCAACUGCAGUCUUUGGAAGCCAAGGAAGCCGAAUUGCAACCUGACAAGAUUUCAUGUGUUGAAUCUCUACGGAUAUAUGAGUGUAGAAGGCUCAAUAGACUGCCACAAGUCAUUACAAUGAUGGAAAUUCAGGGUUGUGGAAGCUUGGUUUCUUUUGCAGAGAAUAACUUACCUCCUAAUUUAAAAAAGCUGAGAAUUAGCAACUGUAAGAAUUUGGAGUAUUUGGUUGAUGAAAAAGAAGAUAAUAAGAGUAUGAGUAGUACCCUCUGUCUUCUUGAGGACUUGAUAAUCUAUAACUGUCGAUCUCUAAUGUCUUUGUCAUCGAAGGGGCACAAAAAUAUUUGCAAUUAUCAGCUUCAACUUCUCAAAAUUGACCAGUGCUCAAAGCUGAGUUGCCUAUUUCCACACACCAAGUUUCCCAUAACGCUUAAAUAUUUGACAAUUGGGGGAUGUCCAAUGUUGGAAUACAUAGCCGAGGAGUUUGAGGAAACCGCUUGUCUUGAAUCUAUUCUAUUUUACACAUCUGGAAUUAAAUCUCUACCACGAGGACUAGAGAAGCUCAUCCAUCUCCAGGAGAUUCGUUUGAAUUCGUGUUCAAAUUUGGUUUCUUUUGAAGAAAGUGGGUUGCCCAGCACCAGCUUCAGAGCUUUCGAAGUUACUGAUUGUGGAAAUUUUGGAGCCCUUCCUAAGUGCAUGGCCAGCAUCACCUCCCUUCGACGAUUAAGGGUGCGCAACUGUUCGGCUGACAUAUCAUUUCCAUCGGAGGGAUUCCCUGCCAAUCUCACAUCACUUGAAAUCUCAAACGCACCCAAGAUUUAUAGGUCACUUGUGGAAUGGGGAUUAAAUAGACUCACCUCUCUUCAAAAAUUGACCAUCGGAGGUAAAGGAUGCUCAAACGUGGUGUCGUUCCCAGAAGAAGGGAUUGGAAUGAUGCUGCCUCCUUCUCUCACCUAUAUCAUCCUUUUAGAAUUUGAGAACCUAGAAUACAUGUUCUCCGAGGGCUUUCAAGACCUCGCCUCUUUCCAAAAACUGGAAAUCAGUGAAUGUCCCAAGCUAACAUCUCUUCCAAAAAAAGACGUGCUUCUCUCGCUUGGAUAUUUAUGUAUUUACAGCUGUCCGUCGCUGAAAGAAGAGUGCUCAAGCGAUAAAGGACGAGAGUGGUCUAAGAUUUCCCACAUACCCCUUGUUAGAUUGGAUGGUAAAGCAGUCAUCCCGAGGGAAUCAUAAAUGAGCCGCAAAAUCUGUGAUUGGUAUCUUCAGAGUGAUGGGAGAGGUACAAAAAACCAUUUCAAACAAGUCUAACUUACCUUAGGAACAAGAUAAGAAUAGGAAUCAGUAUAAAUUUAUUGAUUGAUAUUUGCAGGGAUUGAAAGCGAAGUUGGGGUGGAAGUGAGGAUUAGAAAGAUCCUUUGAAGGAAAAGUAAAAAAGAUGUCACUUCUGUUGUUAAAUGGGUGGAAUUUGUCAUUUAGUGUUUCAGAUGUUUGUAAACUUGUUUCUUGGCUUUGGGGUUUAACGUUGGAGUAGCAUUAGUUCAUCGGUGUUUCUAGAAUGUGAGCUUUGUCUAUUGUUUAUUUUAUAGGAUAUAAUAGGGAAGAAUAAGAUGAACAAUUUCACAUUAAACUUCAAUCUUAUAACAUUUUCCUCCUUAUUUUGAAUAUAUCUUUACUUAUCUUCUAUUUUGGAAAAUUUAGGUAAAAACGUCAAAAGAAAAUUAGGGAGUUCGGCCGAAAAUUUUCAAAUUUAUGGAAAUAUGUUAGAGUUUAGAGAUAGAAAUAGAAAAAGUGUUUUCUACAAAGUUCAUUUUCUUUUUACAAAUUAGUAUUUUUUAAUAUAUUUAUUAAUUAAAAUUUUUUAAACAACAUGAAAUAAAAAAAUAUAAAUAUAAGUAGGAGAGAAAUUGAACAUUUGACUAAAAAAACUAAUAUGCCUAAAGAAUACACAUUUUGUUACAAAAUAUUUUUCUUAAGAUGCAUUUUCUGUUUCUUUCUCCAAAAUAAAUCCAUUUCUCCAAAUUUAGGAAAUAUCGACCUAAUUCAAAUUCCCUAACUUUUUUUUAUUUCAACAUUUUUAUCCAAUUUUCUCCUAUUUUUCUAUUUCACUCUCUUGUUUUUUUUUUCCUAUUUCAAUUUUGUUUCUUUCUUUUCUUCCUAUUCUUUUCCUCUCUUUCCCAACCUUAGCCGUCACUAGCAUGCACUACGACAUUUGUUCUUCUGUCCAAAUAAUGGCAUCGGUAACUCUUUUCCUCAUUCUCUUUCAAGACCUCGCCUCCCUUAAAGAAUUGGACAUCGGUAAGUGUCCCAAGCUAACAUCUCUUCCGGAAAAAGACGUGCUUCUCUUGCUUGGAUUUUUACAUAUUUACAGUUGUCCGUUGUUGAAAGAAGAGUGCUCAAGCGAUAAAAGACGAGAGUGGUCUAAGAUUUCCCACAUACCCCUUGCUGAAAUUGAUGGUAAAAUAGUCAUCCCGAGGGAAUCAUAUUGAAAGACGAGCCGCAAAACCUGUGAUUGGUUUCUUCACAGGUACAAAAAACCAUUUCAGAGCUUUUCAGUUUAAUACAUCUAACUUACCUUAGGAACUUCAUAAUAAUAGGAAUUAGUAUAAAUUUAUUUAUUGAUAUUUGCAGGCAUUGAAAGCUAAGUUGGCGUGGAAGUGCUUUCGGAAAGAUCCAUUGAAGGAAAAGUAAAAAGAUGUCACUUCUCUUUGGUAUUUGUAUAUAACAAUGCCAUUGAAGAGAAUUUUUGUCAUUUUGGAUUCUUAGAUGUGAUGAAUUUGGUAUAGUUUAAACCAUAUGAUAUAAGCAUGUGAAACAUUACUUAUUUCCAUCAUUUUGCAGUAUUCCUGUCUGAUCUUUCUGAUAUAAUAUUUAUUUAUUGUUAUAGGUGAUGAAAGCUAAAUCGACGAGGUAGUGUUGAUUUCAAAAGAUCUUUUCAAGAGAACUAAUGAAGGCAUUGUUAGAAUAUUAUAAGGAAGAUAGUCAGGAAGUUAGUCAGUUGUCAGUUAGUAAGCAGUUAGUUCCAGUCAGUUGUUAAGGAGGUUGCAGCGGUUAAUUAGUUAUUGCAGCUGUUAACUACUGUAUAAAUACAUGCACUGAUAGCUCUUCUGAUAAUGAGAAAAAUAUACAAAGUUUAUUCAAAAAAAAAAAAAAAAAAACAACCCAUGAUCUAUUGUACCAGCUAAGUAACGAAGAACACGCUUAACUGCUUUUCCAGUUAAGCGUGUUCUUCGUUACUUAGCUGGUACAAUAGAUCAUGGGUUGUUUUUUUCACGUGGACAGUUCAAGUUAGUCUGUUACUCUGACGCAGACUGGGCCUCUUCUGUUGAAGACAGGAGAUCUACCACAGGGUAUGUUAUCUUUCUCGGACCAAAUCCAAUAGCAUGGUGUUCAAAAAAACAACCCGUUGUGUCCAGGUCUUCUACAGAGGCAGAAUACCGCAGUUUGGCUAGUUGUGUGUCUGAAAUAUUGUGGGUUCGACAACUGCUAAAUGAGGUGGGAGUUUACAUGGCCCAUGCACCAACAGUCUGGUGUGACAACACGUCAACAGUAUCCAUGUCAGCUAACCCAACAAAUCAUGCCAGAGUAAAACAUAUUGAAAUUGACCAUCACUUUGUUCGAGAAAAGGUGGCCGAUGGAUCAAUUCAAGUUAAUUUUGUUCCGUCUGCUAAUCAGAUUGCUGAUGUGCUUACUAAGCCUCUAGCUCCCAAGCAGUUUGUAGGUCUGCGCAGUGCUCUUCGAGUAACAACUAAAGAUGAGUCAAUUGUUUAGAAAGCAGAGAAAAUCGGGAGAAUGUUAGAAUAUUAUAAGGAAGUUAGUCAGGAAGUUAGUCAGUUGUCAGUUAGUAAGCAGUUAGUUCCAGUCAGUUGUUAAGGAGGUUGCAGCGGUUAAUUAGUUAUUGCAGCUGUUAACUACUGUAUAAAUACAUGCACUGAUAGCUCUUCUGAUAAUGAGAAAAAUAUACAAAGUUUAUUCAUUGUUUCUACUUGCUAUAGUUUAACAGGCAUGGGGUAGAGACUUGGAGAAUAAACAAGGAAAAAUGAAGUUGAAGAGCGGGUGCUAGACUUUCUUCGUCCUUAGAAAAAGUUUGAGCAACUCAUCAUUAAGAAUUGCGGUGGUGCAAAAUUCUAUCUUGGAUGGCAGAUUCUUGUUUCAAAAUUGAAGCGUUCUGAGGCGCAUUUAUCGACUUAUUCAAUAGUUUGAGUGAGUUAUGCAUAGUUCUAAGUAUUGUAUUUAUCCUCUUCUAUACUUCAGCUAAUGUGAGACGUAAAGCACCAAUGAAGAUUUUUGUCUUUCUUUUGAUUGUCAAGAUCCUUUUUUGUUCAGCUGAAAUGAAAAAAAAAUCAGCUUAAAAUGUGGAAAUUUUGAUUUUAAGAACAAUAUGGAUUUUAUUAAAAAAAAAAGGAGUUGUCACUGAAUAUUUUUAGUUAGAUGUGAUCGAUGACCUAUAAAAUCAUAUUUCAUAAAAAAAAUUUUAAAGUCUCUCUAAAAAUGACAAUUACGCAUAGGAAGAGUUAUAGCACCCUUACAAUUAUCAAAAUUGGUACCUUAUUAAUUACGUGUUGUUUGAAAAUCCUAAAUUUUAAAUUUGUGAAAUAUGAUAUUUAAUUAUGAUCCAUUUAAUUAAUUACAUAUAUAAUAAAAAUACUUUUAUUUCUAAAUGAAUUAAAAUUUUAAAAUAAUGUUCAGUAUCUCCUGUCCAUAAAAAUACCAAAAAAAUAUAUUUUAUUAAUAAGCAAAACUCGUGGAUUUACUUGGUUUGGAAAAAGAUAUCCCAUUAUUAAUAAACUUAUCUUCUAUUUUGGAAAAAUUAGGCAAAAAGGUCGAAAAACAAAUUAGGGAGUUAGGCCGAAAUUUUCAAAAUUUAAAGAAAUAUGUCGAUUUUAAAUAGAGAAAUAGAAAAUGCAUCUUGGGAAAAGCGCUUUCUGCAAAACUAAUUUUCUUUUGACAAAUUAGUAUUUUUUUACAAUAUAUUUAUUAAAGAGAAACUGAACUCGAACACUCAAUAAUAAAACUACUAAGAUUUGACCAUUUGGCUAAAAAAAGCUAAUAUGUCAAAAGAAUAUGCAUUUUGUACAAAAUAUUUUUUGCAAGAUGCGUUUCUGUUUCUCUCUCUAAAAUAAACUUAUUUCCCCAAAUUUAGGAAAUAUUGACCUAAUUCCCUAACUUUUUUUAUUUCGGCAUUUUUAUCCAUUUUUCUCCUUCUAUUUUUCUAUUUCACUUUCUUGUUUUUUUCCCUUUUUCUUUUUUUUUUUAUUCUUUCCUAUUUCAAUUUUAUUUCUUUAUUUUCUUCAUGUUCUCUUCCUCUCUUUCCCAAUGUUAGCUAUCGCUAGCAUGCACCACAGCCACACUCCGACAUUUGUUCUUCGGUCUAAAUAAUGGCAUCGGUAAACUCUUUUCCUCAUUCUCUUUCAUUUCCAAAUAAUGGCGUUGGGGUUCUCCUCCGUCGAUCACCUUGCUCUUGUGUCGUCACUGCUUGUUUUGAUGUUGUCACUGAUCGGAGAAGCCACCAAACGGUCCACAUUUCCUUUUUCUCUCCUGCUUCUUUUCUACUUUAUUUUUUUUUGUUUUUAAAGCCCUUAACCUUCGUUUCACUGCCGUUGCUCUCCAUCAUCAAACCGAGCCACCAUCGUCAAUGGCCUUACUUCUAGUCAACAUGCACUGCUGUUUAGCCUCUUGUUUCUUUCUUUUUUUUACCAUCGCUGAUAAGUCAUAAAAGUAACAUAUUAUAAUCCCGUUCUUAAAGCGUUUUUGGAUGAUUGUUUAUGCAAAUUGGUGAUUUUAUGUUUGUAAUCCUUUGAAUUCAUGUUUCUAUACUUAGGUGAGCAUUUGGGAGUGAAAGGAGCGGAAAAUGAGCGAAAAUUGGACAAAAAUUUUUUAGGAGCCACACGGGCUAGACACACGGCCAUAUGAUUCACAUGGGUUGGGCACAUGACCAUGUGCCAGACCAUGUCGAUUUUGCAACUUGCUUCCCAAACACACCAAAAAACUCAAUUUUUAGGCUUUCUGAGUAUUCUAAAGUUUAUAAACACCAAAUAUAAGAAGAGAUAAGGGGAGCCAUCAGAGAAUAUUGAAGGAAACAACUCGAAGAAUACCAUUGGAGCCAACUCUGAAGCAGAUUUCCUUCAAGAUCGAAGACCUCCUUUUAAUUUCUUUUGAAGUUUUUAUGAGUUUCUUUAUUUCUUGUGGUAAUUUUGACUUUGAGAUGUUUUUAUUCAAAAUUAUGAACUAAUUCCCUAGAUAUUUAGUGAGGGUGAAACUUUCGACGAAUUCUAUUAUUUGAUUUCUGUUUUACGCGAUAAAUACUUUAUUCUUGUUCUCAAUUAUGUGUUCUUAUCUCUUGUUUUAAUAUUUCCAGGAUAUUAAUUCAUGUUUAAUCUGCUUAAAUCAGAGGGGGAAAAUCCCUAUUUAAAAGUAGAUCUAGCAUAAUUAAGUGCAGUUGCAUGCAAUGCUAGAAAUAGGAUGACAUAAAUCUGCCAAAUUAGAGUCAAAUCUAAUAAGGGAAUCCAUAGAUCGAGUUAAUGCGAUAAUAGGAGUUUUACUUAGAAAGAAAUUUUAAUUAAUCAACCUAGAGUUAGUUGCUCUUACUCUCGAAAGAGAUAUUAACAUAGUUUAGGGAUUUCUACGGAUCAAGACACCAAGUGAAUAAAUCGUUUAAUUUAGAUUCAUAAUAAUAGGUGAAGUCUAGGUGGAUUCUUUCCUGGGUAUUGUCUCUCUCAUUGGUUAUUAUUAAGUUAUUUUCCUGAUUUAUUUCCUAUUAGGUUCUUAGUUAGAUUAAUUUAGUAAAUUUAGUUUAAAACCAAACACUCUAAUUUGUCGGCUAAAUAAUAGGAAAAUGAUAAUUACAAAUACUUUUAGUCUUCGUGGAUACGAUAUCUCUACUCAUCAUAGCUAUAUUAUUUAUCGAUAGGUGCACUUGCCUUCGUCGUAUUUUUAGUUAGUCACGUGAAAACACAUCAGUCACCCCUCUUGUCUAACUGAUAACUCUAAAAUAUAAAGUUAUCUUUAGCACUUCUAGAUUGGUAAUUCAUGCAAAUUUUAAGUGUUUGAUAAUAAAUUUUGGGAUUUUCAUGAAAACUUUGUCUUGUUGAAUAAUAUUAAGAUGAAUUUGAUAAUUUGAUCAUUUAUACACUAAAACACAUGAUUGCAGUUUUUGAGACAAUUGAUGCACCAGAAGAAAAAACAAUCUUAAAGCUCACCCUUUUGGUGCUCAAUGUUGUAGCAUUUCCACAACAUAAGCCAUGUAGAAGAAGGUUGAUAUAUGGUCAUCUUUGGACCAAAUUAAAGGCUUAUUGGACUUUGGAGACCCAACUGAAGAAUUGGGUCAACAAAAAUGGAUAGCUUGCUAAGGAGAUAAGAGCUCAAACCAUCCACUAAGGAGGAGAAGUCCCAACCAUCCAUAGAGGUGCCCAAAUCAGCCACACUAGACUUGGUAAAAUAUUGAAAAUCAACCACAAAAUUCCCAUAUGUGAUCGUCCAACUCGCCUCAUCAUUUCAAGGUUUCUUUCCCAUGAAUCAAGCAAAAAUGUCAAAGUCAUCCACUAACUCAUUUCAAGGCUCUCAUUUGCUAAAAAUAGCCAGUCUCUACAAGUAUAAAUAGCCUUAACUAUUUAGUCAUUUCACUUAUCCCUCACUCACCAUCUCUUUUCCCAUUCUUCAUUCUUUCACUUCCCAUUUGAGAGAGCAAUACAAGAGUUUGAGAGAAAAAUUUUAGAAUUUCUUUGGGCAGAAAAAUUUGGCAUCUUAAAGGCAGUUGUGUGAAGGAGCAAAGCAGAAGGAAAGAGGAAAAGGAACACAAACUGAGCUACGGAGAAACAUUGGAUUUGUCUUCUAGUUACUCUCUUUUUUUUUAAUUUUUAAUUUGUUAUGAAUUGAUGAACAUGAUUGCUAAAUAUUCUUUUUCUUUCAAUUUAAUUAAAAAGACUUAAUUCUGUUGUUGUUAGAUUGAUUGCAUUCUUUUAACUUAGAUUGUUAAAAUUCUGCUAAUAUUUUUAAGUGUCUCGGUUGCUUAUUCAUUCAGAUAAAAUCAUGAACAUGUUAUUCAUACAUUAUAAAUGUAUGGAAGCAAUCCAAUUAACUAUUUAAUCCAAGCAAGAUUUUUAACACCCUUAAUUUGUUUCCAUCAUCGAAUUAGGGUUAUAAAGUAUUACUGUACUAAACAAAACAUUCAGCAUCAAAACAAAAACAGUUAUGCAAUUCAAGAACUAUCCUUAAAUAAAUCAAUAAAAAUAACAAAAUUUAAAUCACUUAAACAAUAUUAGCAAACUAAUAUACAAUUAUAUGUUAAAAAUAAAAUAUAUGCCCUUUUAAAAAAUAUAUAUGCUACUAAAAUUAAAAUACUAUUAUUACCAUAUAAAAAAUAAUAUUUUAAACUUAAAUCAUGUAUGGGAGUGUGAAAAGCCAUAAAAAAUUGAUUUGUGUGUAAUUAUUUGUAAUUAAUUGCGCAAUUAAUCUAAUUUUUAUUCUGUAGUUAGUUGCUCUAAUUACACUUGGGAACGUUUGGUUAGUUGAAUCUUAUAUCACAGUUUGUAGUAUUACUUUCUUGAAUGAGAUUACGGUAUUUGAAUUUUUUAACAUUUUGGUUAUCUCAUUAUCACAUUCUUGAAUAGUAAUUAAAAACCAAAAUAACGUUACGUUAUCUCAUAUUAUGGAUGGAAGACAAAAUUAACCUUUAUUUUUAUCAUAUUAGUGAAUAUAAUUUUCCCAAAAUAACUGUAAUUAAAAACCAAAAUGGUUUUUUUCUUUCCUCUCUUGACUUUAAAAACCUUAAUUUAACUUUUUCAAUUUCUUCAUGAUGGAAAAAAAAUAAAUCACACGUUGUGAGUAAUGCAUAAAAAAAUGUCAUAAAACAAAAAUAAAUAGAAAAUUAUGUGAAUGUGAUGAUUAUCACUCCAUUUUCGAAACAUUAAAAUUAUAUAAUUGUGAAAUUUUUAGUUUCAGAUCUCAAAGGUAAUCAAUUCCUCAAAAAAUAAACCAUAUAAAUAAAUAAUUAUCAUAAUUAAAUUUAGAAAUUUUUAUCUGAAUUUAUAUGAUAAAUUAAGGUGUAAUAAAAAAUAAUUUCUUAAAUUAUUGUAAUUUUAUGAUUUUAUUUAAGCCACUAGACGAUUAAUGUAACACCUCUCACCAGAUCUGAUCCCAGGAUUCAAGUUACAGGAUGCUAUAUCAUUAUUGAAACUUUAUCACAUGUAUACAUAGUUUCAAGUAAGAUCGGUUUCAUGACAAUUUACAACAUUUACAGAGGUGUUCACUGCUAAACAAUCAUACAACCUCAGAAAUAGUUUAAUACGUGUUUAGGGACCAUUGAGCAAAAUUUCAAAGAAAUCAACGUGGGUAUUGAUAAACAAACUAAGGUAUCGAUAUUUUGUAAAAUGAGUAUCGAUACUAACAAGAAAAACGAUACUAGCUUAGUAUUUUGUCAAAUCUUGAAUCCAAACAUUUUAUCGAUACUCAAGUACAGGUAUCGAUAUUUUUACCUUGAGUAUCGAUACUCAUGAAAAAGUAUUGAUACCAAAUUAAGCUACUAUUUUCCUGCACUAUCAUUCCAACAUUGAAAAAUCAAUACUUAUAAUUUGAAUAUCAAGAACUUUGUUCAAAUCAACAAAAAUACAGAAAAACAGAGAAAAAUUCGUGCUCAAACAUUUUCCUUUUCAACAUGCAUCCUCAACACAAUGGGUGAGUUUGGAUGGGCGGUGCGUUUACCUAUGGUUAAUGUAAAAAUAAAGGUGGCGGUGAGAUUAGAUACUGUAACGAUGUCUAACAUCCAAUUGACCAUACUUAUAACCCAAAACAACAUCAAUACUUCAACUAUUCAGACCCAAAUAAAACCAAUAAAAUAAGGAUAACAUCCAACACAGUUCUAAAAUUCCAAUAUCAUAAUAAACCAUUAAGAACAUAAAAAUAACCUUGGACAUCCACCUCUCAUCCCGACCUCGGCCCCAUCCUCCAACCGCGAGGUCGACUGCCCUUUUCCCAAUUUUUGUAUUAGAACUAAAUCUUUAUAUUAUUGGCUGAAUAUUAAGUGAUUAUCUAUUCUUCCCACACCUAGCUUCAGCUAUUUAGCUUGGACAGCAUCUAAAAUUAUUUGUUAUUCUAAUCUUAAUUUUUGUUGAUAAAUUAGUGUCGCUUUGGCCGAGUGGUUAAGGCGUGUGCCUGCUAAGUAUAUGGGAUUUUCCCGCGAGAGUUAGAAUCUCUCAGGCGACGUUAAUGUUUUUGUCAACCCCAGAUGAGAUGCCCGCCACCGGCGACGUCAGGGGUGGGUAUUGGUGUUGAUGGAGCCUUCUUCAACAGUUGCGUUCUUGGUCUCCUCUGUUGAGGUUUUCUUCCUAUGUUGGCAGUGCUGGGAGUUUUGUGGUGGUUUAGCGACGGCUUCAUUCGCAUCUCGUUUAGCCUCUCGAGCUUGGGCCUUCUCCGCCUUUCGCCUCUUCCUUUCUAGUGCUUCCUUAGCUUUAGCCGCUUCCUCUUCCUUACUCAAUUCCUCUUUCUCUGUUCUCUUUCUGUAGGAGCAGAUUGCAUAUACUUCUUUUGCUCCACAACCUUUUCCGCAAGUACCUUUUCAGCUUUUCCCACCGCCACUUCCUUUUGCGUUCGAUCUUUCGAAGUUAAGCCAGACAUUGUAUGAUCCACGAACGCUCUUCCAUUUAGUGCUCGAGGAAUUACAGGAGGCACUUCACCAGGACCAAGUGCACGGCCAUCUAAUGUCCUCAGUCUCCAAAGUGUGCUCCUUUCAUUGGAUCUAACAUAUUCAUUUCGGAAUUCAUCAUUGCUAUUCCAUAAGUCCGUAAAUUUCUCCACCUGAGCCAUCAACUGUUUAGAUAAAAUACUGUACAAAAUUCUUGAUUUGGAAGAAAUAAAACAAAUGCACGACCUCACCUGGUUAAUACAAAAACUUUGGAGUGCCACUUUAUCCCCUUUCCAAGCCAACUCAUUCGCUUUAUUUAAAUCAUCCAUGUGCUGCCGAAAGUGUUUGUUCUGCAACAUUCAAACAAGAGUAGCGUCGGCAUAUCUUUAUCUUAGUUUAUCAGUUUCGAAGAGCAAUGUAUUGAAUCAGAACCAGAACGAAAAUGCAGGUUUGUCUAUGAGUCUCGGAUAGGAUUAUGUGCACAACAAGAUUAUGUUCAUUCACUCUAAGCUUACAGAAUUUAAAAGUACCUUCUCAUGUGAUUGUUUCUUCAAACAUUGCAACUGUGCAUACGCUUCUUGUUGGAUGUCAUUAGCAGCUUUGAACUGGUACUGCAAUUCGCUUAACUUGUCGGUUUUCUCAUAGUAUUUUCUCUUAGCUGCCUUAGUGAUCGCCUCGGUGUUUUUGAGUCUGGCUUUCAAUUGGUCAGCUUCCUUCUUUAAAGACUGUAGAAACAGAAGAAUCGAAUAAGCAACCAAAACAUAAGUAAGUUGAAUUUUUUUUCCCUCGAGAUUUCCAUCAUCAUACCCAAAUAAACGUUGAUGUGGAAGCGCUUUAUUCCUUAUAUAUUUAUAUAUUUGAUAAAACACAAAGCAAAUAACAUUACCAACCGGCUAACCAAUGGAGCUUUGCCACGUUUACAGAAAUAACAUAGUAAUUAGUGAUCAAGAUGAGUACAUGUGAACAAUGACAUUAAAUGUAUGUCCUGUGGGUGUGCAGGAAAGAUAAAUGGUAGUGUAGGCAUUGUUUAUUGACUGGUAGCUGAUAAGAAAAUAUAGUAGAGCUGCGGCUUCUGUUUUCAAUGCUUAUGCUCCAAUAAUAGACUCAUUUAAUUUCAGAAAUCCAAAAAUUGUGACCUGUUUUCCCCUUUCCUUGUGUUUUCCAAUCUCAUUUGCCACUAUUCAUUGACUUCCCUUGCCUGUUAACCCUAAUUAUACACAAUCCAUCUCCAUUUCUUUCCCUCAAUUUCCCUUUCCUUCUUCACCUCUCUCUUUGAUUUCUUUGUCCCAAUUCUACCAUGUCUGUCUUCGGAGAGGCUGCUCUUUUUGCCUUUUUGGAGCUAUUGUCUGCCAAGUUGCUUGACUCUCUACUCAGCUUUGUGGCCGAUCACCGGCAAGUCCACCAGCAACUCAAGCUGUGGCAAUCCAUAUUACCCGAGAUCAAAGCAGUGUUGAACCAUGCAGAGGAGAAGCAGAUCAAGGACGAGGGUGUGAAGAAUUGGUUGGACGAUCUCCAAGACUUAGCUUAUGAUGUGGAUGACAUCUUGGACGAGUUCGCAUACUAAGAGUUACGUCACAAGCUCCAAAAAACUCAAGCACAAGCCAGCACUAGUAAGGUACAGAAACUCAUUCCAACCUGCUGUACUGAUGGUCAUUUCUCUCCAAUCGCUUUUAUGUUCAAUGCUAAGAUAAUUUCAAAGAUAAAAGCAAUCACUGAUAGACUGAAUAGUUUGAACACUGGAAGAAGUAGUUUGGGGUUGAGUGAGAUCAUGUCUCAAGGUGGAACUUCCAAGGGAAAGAAACCAAGGCUGCAACCAUGUUGGUGCAACAACAGAAUCAAGCAGACUCAGCAAGUAUCUUGUCGAGCAAGCCUCAAAACUUGCUGAGCAAACAAACAAUUUCGAGUUAAAGAAAGAAGAGAAUAAGCUGAGGAAAUUUGAGAGAAUAUUGAUGAACAAAACUGAUUUCAUUCAUACAUAAAACAAUGGCUUGAAGCCAGUACAUAACUCAAGCAUAAAACUUGUCAAAAUCAAUAAGUAAUUACCUACCUCCACUAAUUACAUAGAAACUUGAAAUUUUAGCUUGUAAACUUAUACAAAACUGUGUUUACAGCUCAUACAUAAGCUAAUUAUAUCAAUCAGAAAGCUAACUUAGUUAGAAAUGAACUAACACUCAUUUCAUCAACUAAAUAUAACAAAAUGAACAAAAUGAGCUUGCAUCAGCAGCCCUUGCAUCUGUUCCAGCUUUGCUUGGUUUUCAUGGCCUAUAUGGAAUCGAGUGUUGGCUUCAUGCUGACCAACUUCAACACUCCUCCUUGGUUAGCAUGGUGCAAACACCUAAUUUUCUUCUUAAAUGCUCGAACCUUGUGACAUUAAGGGCUUUAGUCAAAAUGUCUGCAAGCUGGUCCUCUAAAUUGCAGUGAAUUAGCUUCACUUCCUGAGCUUGCUCCAUUUCUCGAACAACAUAUAGCUUAAUGCUAAAAUGCUUUGUUCUUCCAUGGAACACUGGAUUUUUGGCAAUUGCAAUAGUAGAUUGAUUGUCACAGAAGAUCUCUGUUGUUUCCCGUUGAUCUAUAUUCAAAUCAGCCAGGAUUUUCCUAAGCCAAAUGGCUUGGUUGACAGCACUUGCUGCUGCCACAUACUCUGCUUCAGCAGUAGAUUGUGCCACCAGACUUUGCUUCUUCGAGCUCCAGUAGAACAUAGCUGAACCAAGGUUGAAAGCAUACCCUGAGGUGCUUUUCAUGUCAUCUAUCGAUCCAGCCCAGUCACUAUCAGUGUACCCAACUAGAUUUAGAUUUCCUUUCCUGCUGUACCUUAAGCCAUAGUCCAAAGCGCCUUUGACAUAUCUGAGCACUCUCUUAGCAGCCUGGAAAUGCUUCUCAUUGCAACAAUGCAAGAACCUUGAGAGCAAUCCUACAGCAUACAUUAUGUCUGGUCUAGUGGCAGUCAAGUAUAGCAAACAACCAACUAGACACCUGUAGGUAGUUUCACAUACCUUCUCAAAAUCUCCUUGGCUCGAUAGUUUUUCUCCAACAGCAACAGGUGUUUUAGUUGGUUUGCUGUUUUGCAUGGAGAACUUGGUCAGAAUCUUUGUGGCAAAGCUCUUCUAACUUAAAAAUAUCCCAUUCUGUGCUUGAGUCACCUCCAUUCCAAGAAAAUAGGACAUCUCCCCAAGAUCAGACAUUUCAAACACCUCUUGCAUCUUGGUCUUGAAAUUAACCAGCACUGCUCGAUCUCCUCCUGUCACCAGCAGGUCAUCAACAUAUAGGGACACAAUGAGUUGUGUUUGUGUCCCUUGCUUCUUGACAUACAGUGUUGGCUCACUCUUACUUCGAUUGAAUCCCAGAUCAGUCAAGUAGCCAUCGAUUCUGCUGUACCAGGCCCUUGGAGCCUGUUUUAAGCCAUAUAGGGCCUUCUUCAAUUUGUAGACCAUAUGCUCUCUCCCAGCUAUUUCAAACCCUUGUGGUUGUUCAACAUAGAUGUCUUCAUCUAAAAAACCAUUCAGAAAGUCUGAUUUCACAUCGAGUUGAUGAAUUUUCCAUUCGAGCUGGGCUGCUAAGGCAAUCAGCAGUCUGAUGGUGUCGAGCCUGGUCACUGGUGCAAAGGUCUCCAGGUAGUCCAAGCCAUACCUCUAACUGAACCCCUUGACAACCAACCUUGCUUUCAGUUUGUUCAAGGUUCCAUCAGCAUUCUGCUUGGCUUUGUACACCCAUUUCACCCCAAUCACCUUCCUUUUGACUGGCCUUUCAACCAAUUCCCAGGUCUGGUUCUUCUCAAUCAUGCUGAUCUCCUCAGCUUUUGCCUGCUUCCACUCUUGCUGAGCUUCAGCCUCUUCAAAGUUACUUGGUUCAGCUAUGGCUAUAUGAGCCCUUUCAUAAAUCUCAGUCAUUGAUCUUGUUCCUCUGACUGGUUCAUCAUCAAUGUCCAUUUCAGGAACACUUUGUUCUGGCUCAGCUUGGUUUGCUGUAAGUUCUUCAGAAACUUCCUCAGGUUCAUGCCUUUCCCAGUUUCAACAUGACCUUUCAUCAAAUACCACAUCCCUGCUUACUGACACUUUGUUUGUUGAAGGAUCCAAGAUCCUAUAGCCCUUCUUAACAGUGCUGUAGCCCACCAGAAGACCAGGUCGAGCCCUUUCAGACAAUUUGUCCCUUUUAACAGCAGGUACAUGUGUGUAACAUAUGCAUACAAAGACCUUCAGAUGAGCCAGUGAUGGCUUGAAGCCAAACUAGGCCUCGAAUGGAGUCUUCUGAUCCAAAGCCUUGGUUGGAAGUCUAUUUUGAAUGUAUGUUGCAGUGUUAACUGCUUCUGCCCAUAGUGCUUUAGGCAGAUUCUUCUGAAUCAUUAAGCACCUGGCCAUAUCCAUCAAGCUCCUAUUCUUCCUUUCACUUACACCAUUCUGUUGAGGUGUAUAAGUGUUGGUAAGCUGGUGUUUGAUGCCUGCCUUAUCACAGAAGGCUUGGAAUUGAGCUGAGGUGUACUCAGUCCCAUUAUCAGACCUUAUGGUCUUCAGCUUGCAGCCUGUUUCUGUCUCAGCAGUAGUUUUAAACUUCCAAAACACAGUGGCCACUUCUGAUUUCUGUUUUAAGAAGUAAAGCCAGCAAUAUCUAGAGAAAUCAUCAAUAAACAGUAUGAAAUACCUGUUUCCACUUAGUGACUCAGUCCUCAUAGGGCCACACACAUCAGUGUGCACCAGUUGGAGUUUUUCAGAGGCUCUCCAGGCUUGAUUCAUGGGAAAUGGCAAUCUGGCCUGUUUUCCUAGCUGACACACUUCACACACAUCAUCAUGGUCCACUGAGUUGAUGAAGUUUUCAGCCAGGUCUUCUCUGACCAUUCGGGCCAUCGAUCUAAAGUUGGCAUGUCCCAGCCUUUGAUGCCACAACUUAGAUUCAUCUAAUGUGGCUGUGUAGGCAAUGUCUGACUUCUUUGUCCAGUCAACCACAAAGCUCUUAUCAGCCAUAGGGACUGCCAUCAGUUUGGAUCCACUUGGAUCACUGAUUUGGCACUGCUUGUCCUUGAACACCACAGAGUAACCUUUCUCCAGCAAUUGAGCUAUACUGAGUAGGUUUCUGUCAAUUUCAGGCACCAGGAGCACAUUUGAGAUCAUUUUGGCACCUGUGGGAGUGCAUAUCAGUACAUCACCUUUGCCUUCAGCUUGAAUAAAUUGCCCAUUACCAAUUUUGACUUUGGUUCUACAGUUUCUGUCUAAAGACUUGAAGAUUGCAGCAUCAGGUGUCAUGUGAUUGGUGCAUCCACUGUCUAGGAGCCAACCAGAUGAGAGCCUUUCCUGAGCAGCUGAGCAUGACACAGCAAAGACUUGCUCCUCUUGGUCACUGUCCUCCUUAGCUACUCGAGCCUCAGCUUUCAUCUGUUGAGACUGGUUCUGUCUUGAUUUGGUCUUGCUCUUGCAAACUCUCUCAACAUGACCCUUCUUCUUACAAUGCUGACACACAGCAUCUGGAUUGAACCAGCAUUUUUCUUCUGGAUGACCAGCCCUUCUGCAGUGCUUGCAAGUUUGACCUUCUCUUCUCGCAGCAUCAUUAUUUGGCUUGUCUCUCCAGGCCUUCUUGCCUUUGUAGGCAGUAUUUGUCCUUGCCUGAAAGGCACCUUCUUGAUGCUCUUCCAGUCUACUUGCUCUCCUCUGCUCUUGAGCAUAUAGAGCAUUGAUCAACUCAGUCAGGGAAAUGGUGGACAGAUCCCUUGAGUCCUCGAGAGAUGAGAUUUUUGCCUCAUACCUCUCAGGCAGAGUUGCUAUAACUUUCUCCACUAUCCUAGCUUCAUUAAACUACUCUCCAAGGUGCCUGAUGCUAUUAACCACAGCCAUAAUCCUGUCAGAAUAUUGCUUGACAGUUUCUUCUUCCUUCAUCUUCAAAUUCUCGAAAUCUCUCCUCAAAUUCAGUAACUGUUGCUGCCUUGUCCUCUCUGUCCCUUGAAACUCUUCUUGCAACUUAUCCCAGGCCUGUUUUGGUGAUUCACAGGCCAUAAUCCUUGUGAAAAUCACAUCUGACACUGAGUUCUGAAUGCAAGACAUGGCCUUGUGCCUCUUGGUCCUCUCAUCAGCAUGCUGCCUGAUCUGAGCCACUGUUGGAUUGCCUCUAAGUGGUUCUGGUUCAACAUCUGAGUUGACCACCUCCCACAAAUCAUAAGCCUGCAGGUAAGUCUUCAUUUUGACCACCCAUAUGUGAUAGCCUUCUCCAUUGAAUACUUGAGGUGCAGCUGGUGAAAAGCUUGAUGAAGCCAUGGAUUUGUAUAACAGGUCCCUUAAGAAAUAAGCUCUAGAUACCAAUUGUUGGUGCAACAACAGAAUCAAUCAGACUCAGCAAGUAUCUUGUCGAGCAAGCCUCGAAACUUGCUGAGCAAACAAACAAUUUCGAGUUAAAGAAAGAAGAGAAUAAGCUGAGGAAAUUUGAGAGAAUAUUGAUGAACAAAACUGAUUUCAUUCAUACAUAAAACAAUGGCUUGAAGCCAGUACAUAACUCAAGCAUAAAGCUUGUCAAAAUCAACAAGUAAUUACCUACCUCCACUAAUUACAUAGAAACUUGAAAUUUUAGCUUGUAAACUUAUACAAAACUGUGUUUACAGCUCAUACAUAAGCUAAUUACAUCAAUCAGAAAGCUAACUUAGUUAGAAAUGAACUAACACUCAUUUCAUCAACUAAAUAUAACAAAAUGAACAAAAUGAGCUUGCAUCAGCAGCCCUUACAUCUGUUCCAGCUUUGCUUGGUCUUCAUGGCUUGUAUGGAAUCGAGUGUUGGCUUCAUGCUGACCAACUUCAACAAACCAACUUCCUUGAUGGAUGGAGCUGUGGAGUAUGUUGGUAGAGCCAAUGAGAAGCAAGAAAUGCUUGAGUUGCUCAAAAGUAACAAUUCCGAUGGAGUUUGUGUCGAUUCCAUCCUUGGCAUGGGAGGGAUGGGGAAAACAACUCUUGCUCAGCUUGUUUACAAUGAUCCCAGCAUUAAGGAGUCUUUUGAUCACAAGUCCUGGGUAUGCGUUUCUGAUGACUUUGAUGCUGUUAACAUAACAAAGACGAUUUUAAGAUCCCUCGAUGCUGACUCACAAUAUGAGAAUGACUUGAACUUGCUUCAAGUCAAGUUGAAGGAGAAGUUAUCCGGAAAAAGGAUGUUGCUUGUUUUAGAUGACAUUUGGAACGAGAGUUACAGUGAUUGGACCAUCUUACGGGCUCUAUUUGGAGCAGGAACCAAGAUUAUUGUAACAACUCGACUCCAAAAGGUUUCAUCUAAUGUGGAUUCAGUGAAAGCGUUUUACUUGGAUAAACUCUCGCAUCAUGAUUGUUUAUCCAUAUUUGCUCAGCAUGCAUUAGAGAAUUGAAAAAAUUAAGGUUAUCUAAUUUUUUUAUAGGGGAAGGUAAUGGAAAUCUUAUUAGAGAAUUGAAAAAAUUGUCAAACCUUAGAGGUAACUUUUGUCUUUCUGGAUUGGAGAAGGUUAAUGGUCAAGAUGCGAGGGAAGCUAAGUUAAAUGAGAAGCUAGGGGUUGAUGGGUUAGAACUACAAUGGGGUGCAGACUUGGAGAAUUGUACAAGGAAAAAGAAGUUGGAGAGCGGGUGUUGGACUUUCUUCGUCCUCCGAAAAAGCUUGAGCAACUCAUCAUUGAGAAUUACGGAGGUGUAAAAUUCUCAUCUUGGAUAGCAGAUUCUUCCCUCAAGAAUUUGUCGUCUUUGAAGCUUCGCAAUUGUAAAAACUGCAAGUCACUACCAUCAGUUGGAAGGUUGCCAUUGUUAAAAGAUCUUUCAAUUAUUGGUUUCGAUCAAGUGCAGAAGAUUGGUGUUGAGCUCUUCGGAGAAAAUCAAUUGAAUCCAUUUGCAUCAUUAGAGAUUCUGUCUUUUGAGAGUCUUCCAAACUGGAAGGAGUGGGACACUUGUAAAGGAGACGAGAAGGUUUUGAAACUCCCCAGCCUUCGUAAGCUUUCAAUCAAAAACUGUCGUCAAUUGUUGGGAAGGUUGCCUACCCAUCUUCCUUCCUUGCAAAAACUUAAAAUUCAUAGGUGUACGAGUUUGGUAGUUUCAGUAUCAAGUUUGCCGUCACUGUGUGAAUUAAGUAUACAAGGGUGUGCAGCCUUUUGUUUCUUUCCCAUUUUUUACUGUUGCCUCUCCUGUCUAACUAAUAACUCUAAAAUAUAGAGUUAUCUUUAGCACUUCUAGAUUGGUAAUUCAUGCAAAAUUUAAGUGUUUGAUAACAAAUUUUGAGAUUUUUAUGACAACUUUGUCCUGUUGAAUGAUACUAAGAUGAAUUUGUUAAUUUGAUCAUUUUAUAUACUAAAACACAUGAUUGCAAUUUUUGAGACAGUUGAUGUACUAGAAGAAAAGCCAGUUUUGAAGCUCACCCUUUUGGUCCUCAAUGCUGUAGCAUUUCUACAACAUAAGCCAUGUAAAAGAGGGUUGAGAUAUGGUCAUCUUUGGACUCAAUUAAAGGCUUAUUGGUCUUAGAAAAUUCUCUUGACCUAACUUAAGAAUUGGGUCAGCAAAAAUGGAUAGCUUGCUAAGAAGAUAGAAGCCCAAAUUGUCCACUAAGGAGGAGAAGUACUAAUUUCUAUAGAGGUGCCUAAAUCAGCCACCCAAGACUUGAUUAAAGAUUGAAAACCAACCACAAAAUUCUCUUAUGUGACUGGCCAACUCCCCUCCUCAUUUCAAGGUUUCUCUCCCAUGAAUCAAGCAAAAUUUCAAAGUCAUCUGCUCACUUUCUUUAAAAUAAAGGUCGAAUUUUCAAGGCUCUCAUUUGCUGAAAAUAAACAAUAUCUACAAGUAUAAAUAACCCUAGCUAUCUGUUAUCCCUUAUUCACCAUCUAUUUUCCCAUUCUUCAUUCUUUAACUUCCCAUUUGUGGGAGAGAGUAACAAAAUAAUUUAAGAGAAGCAUUUCAGAAGUUCUUUGAGCAGCAAAGUUUAGCAUCUUGAUGGCAAAUCAAUUCACCAAAAAGUGCAUUAUCACAUUCAACUUUGACCUUUCUGAAGUCUUUUCUCCAUAUUAUGAAAACACCUUCCAUCAUGGUAGAGCGUAUUUUUUUAAAUAUUGAAUAUAGAGCAUGUAUAAUAAUUGGUUAUCUUUGUAACACCCCUUACCCGAGACCGUUGCCGGAGUCGAGCACGAGGUAUUACUUAGCUUAUCUUACUAAAUUGAAACAUAAAAAUUUGUUUUGAAAAUAAAUUUAACUAUAUACAGCAAUCUGUCCAAUCGCGCAUCAGUUACUAAAUUAAUUAUAACUUGGGAUACGGGACUCGAAAUUUAAUUCCAUAAAUUUUCCCUGAAACUAGACUCAUAUAUAUAAUUACCAUAAAAUUUUUAGAAUUUUUGGUUCAGCCAAUUAGUACAGUCUAUUAGUUAAAGUCUCCCCUGUUUCACCACCUGAUUAUCCUGAUCUCUUGUCACUAAAAAUAAGUUUUCUCACUGUAAGAUUUUCAUAUGAAGUUCUUACUUGUUUCUACAGAAAAUAGACUCAAUAAGGAAUCUAUAAAUAUAAACUACAUCUCAUAACUAUUUUUGUACAAUUUUUAAUGAUUUUCUAAACUUAAAAUAGGGGACACCAAAACUGUUCUGACCCUGUCUCACCAAAAUUUACAUAUCAUAAAAUAUAAAAUUCCUUUUGCUGCACCGUUAUUUUUAUAUGAAAAUAGACUCAACAACCUUUAAAUCAAUAUAUCAUUCACUCUAUAAUUCAUUUUAUACUAUCCUAGGUGAUUUUUUAUUAUUUUAUUAUUAAAUGAUUAAUAUAAAAGAGAGGAAAGAUGAAGAGAAUUAUCAUCUUUCCCAUGCACCAACGUGAGAAGAAGAAGAAAGAAAGAAAGUUUUCUUUUCUUUACAAUGUGGUCCUUUUUACCAAAAAUCCACCAUUUUCACUUAGAAUUCAAAGAAAUUUCCAUAAUCACCAAGAGAGAAAAUUGAUAAGGAGACUAUGGGGAGUUAGAAUAUCAAGCUAGAUUCAAUAAAUAGAGGAUGAAUGAGAGAGAAAAUCAAGCUAAAGAUUGAAAUCAAUAGAGCAAGGUAAGAACAUCAAGAUUUCAAUAUAUUUUUGAGUUUGAUAUUAUUGAAAAAGUAUGAAAUUGAUGUUAAUGUAGGAUUUUAUUAUGUAAGGUUCUAUGUUCUUGAUAUUUUAGUGAAGAAAAAUAAGAGAAAGUGAUGGGAAAUACUAUAGAGAAAGGGAAUAAGGGUGUUAUAAAUUUAGUAAUCAAGAUUUUGCACUAAAACAGUUUUGGACCACAGCAGAAGGUUAAUUUUGAAAAAUCACCAUAAAUCAUGGAAAUCGAAUUAGAGGAUGAGAAAAAUAUGGAACUAAAGCUUAUUGAGUCUAGUUUCUUAUAAAAUAAAUGAUGUAAGUAAUGAAAUUGUAAAUCAUGAGAUAUAAUGAAUUUUCUGAGACAAGAUCAGAAUGAAUUCGGGUUCCCCUGUUCUUACUUUGGAAAAUCAUCAAAAAUUGUAGAAAAAUAAUUAGGGGUUAAAAUUUACAAAAUUAAAAUCCUUAAUGAGUCUAUUUUUAAUAGAAACAAACAAGAACAUCAUCUGAAUCCCGUACAAUGAGAUUAUUAGUUUUUAGUGAAGAAGGGUCGAAACUGUCAAACAGCAGAAUAGGGCUGAGUUUAAAGAAUAAAUUGUACUUAUUGGCUAAACUAAAAAUUCUGAAAAUUUUAUGGUAAGAAGAUAUGUGAGUCUAGUUUUGGGAAAAAUUAUUGGAUUUUAAUUUGGUGUUCCAUAUCUCAAGAUAUGAAUAAUUUAGUGAUUAUUACUCAAGUGAACAACUUUGAAUGAAUAUAUAAAUAAAUGGUGAAAUUAUAGAUAAUGUUACAUAUAAGCAUAUUGUAUACAUUAAGGAUGUGGAAUGGAGAGGAGGAGGAGGAAAAUAUAUGAUUAUUCAACUAGCAUGAGUUUUCGUUAAAAAUGGUCAAUUUACCUGUUUUAGGUUCAGGGACUAAAUUGAACAAAUGUGAAACUUUAAGGGUAAAUUUGUAAAAAUGUCAAAAAGUGACCAAAUUGCAUGAAAUGGAUUGUUCUAUUAUUUAAAUUAGUAAAUUGAAUGAAAUAUUAAUUUAGACCAAGAUUGGGUGAAAAUUCGAGAAAAAUAGAAAUUUUCCAAAAUGUCCCUAAAUUUUGCUAUUUCUGCAAUUUAGCCUGGUAAAUUCGUAUGAACUAUAUUUUGUAUAAUUUUAAUAUAAGUGAAUGCUAUUUGGUAAUGAAUAUUAUCUAUAUGUGUGUUUUAUUGUUGGAAUUGAAUUAUUAUUGGUAAUAGGUAUAAUUAUUAUAUGUUUUGAAAUGAUUAUCGGAAGCUCGAUUGGGUUGGAAGUUUGUUGGAGAUAUAUCACAUUAUCCAUUGGUUCUAUUGGUAAUUUUGGAUGAUUUGAUUUUGGUUAUAAUGACUUGUACAAGUUAAAUUGGUUAAUGAUAGCUCAUAAAUGUUUUGAUUUUGAUUGGUUAUAAAUAUGAAUGCUUGAUGAAAUGAAAUGUCUAAAAAUUAAUUUGUAAACUCCAGUAAUGCUCUAUAACCCUAUUCUGGAGAAGGAUAUGGGUUAGGGGUGUUACAUAUAUUAUUAUUAAGGUUUUUUUUUCAAUUAACAUAUACUACUUAUGUAGAUUAAUAUAUAUGUAUUGCUUUGUACAUUAUAUUUUGAUAAUAUUUCCUAUAUAAUACUAUUAUUUUAUGUACGGUUUGUUUUAAAAAAAAAUCUAUUUUGAAUCUAUUCCAAAUUCAUAUAUAUAUAUAUAGUUUAUUUUGAGUCUUUUGUAAGUAUAAUUUAUCUAUUAUGAUUUCUCCUCUCGCUAUCAAUUUUUUAGUGUAUCUUUUAAAUUUGAUUAUUAAUUCAUUUAAUUUUUAGAUGUUGAUAUCGGUAUUUGCAUAAUGUAAGGUUGAGAUUAUCGUUGCUAUGUUUGUUUGUAUUCAUCUUUUGAUUAUUAGUGUUUAUUAUUGUAUAUUUUGGCUUACGAAUUAUCGUUUCGCGUUAUACAUUAUCAUUCUAGCGCAUUUUAUUCAUUUAAAAGGUUACAUUUGAUAUCAUUUAAGCAUUAAAAUCGUUUUAUCCAUAAGAUAACGCAAUACUUGGUAUUUGGGAUCUUCAAGAGGAUUGAGCCCUAACGUAUUGGGUUCUAAUUUUUCUCGUUGAAUCUAAAUAAUCGAGAAUAUUCUUUUAUCAAAACAUAUAAAUAAAAAGCUCAUUCUCGGGAAUUCGAUACGUUGUAUCCUAACGCAUUGGAUAUGACAUAUUGUUUUCUCGAGAUGAAGAUUUUUCUAAAAAAUAAUAAAGACAAUAUUCAAUGUUUAGGAUUUUGAGAAAUUGUGCCCUAACGUAUUGAGCUUCGAUUUCUUCAUCUGACUUAAACAAAUGAAUAUCCUUUUAAAUUUCAUUGCAUGAGUUUUUUUAAAGGACAAACUCAUUUUUGAGGACGUGAAAUAUCAUAUCCUAACUCAUUGGGUGUGACAUAUUAUUUCUCUGAAAUAAGAGGGUCUUAGCAUAUAAUUUGAUUUAUACAAAGAUAAAAGGACCGCAUUUUAAAAUCUUUGCAAAUUUUUGACAUUAAGAUACUAAUUAAUCAAUUCGGUACUAAUUUUGGGCGUUACAAGGGUGCUAAUCCUUCCUCAUAUGUAAUUGACUCCCAAACCCUUUUUUUUUUAAACUCGUAGACCAAAAUUAUUUUUAAGGUGAUCCGAUCAUACCUCAAUAAAAGAUCGAUGGCGAAUCCAAUUUUCAUUUUUUUUAGUCAAUACUAAAUUUUUGUUUCUAAAAAGUGGUUUCGACAAUUGCUAAAUAUUUUUUUUUUGCUUUCAAUUUAAUUAAAAAGACUUAAUUCUAUUGUUGUUAGAUUGAUUGCAUUCUUUUAACUUAGAUUGUUAAAAUUCUACUAAUAUUUGUAUGCGUCUUGGUUGCUUAUUCAUUCAGACAAAAUCAUGAACAUGUUAUUCAUACAUUAUAAAUGCAUGGAAGCAAUUCAAUUAACUAUUUAAUCCAAGCAAGAUUUGUAACACCCUUAGUCCGUUUCUAUCCUCGAAUUAGGGUUAUGAAGUAUUACUGUACUAAACAGAACAUUUAGCAUCAAAACAAAAACAACUAUGCAAUUCAAGAACUAUCAUUAAAUAAAUCAAUAAAAAUAACAAAAUUCAGAUCACUUAAACAAUAUUAGCAAACUAAUAUACAAUUACAUGUUGAAAAUAAAAUACAUGCCCUUUUAAAAAUAUAUAUAUGCUAUAAAAUUAAAAUACAAUUAUUACCAUAUAAAAAACAAUAUUUUAAACUUAAAUCAUGUAUGAGAGUGUGAAAAGCCAUAAAAAAUUAGAUUUGUGUGUAAUUAUUUGUAAUUACUUGGAAUCUAAUUUUUAUUCUGUAGUUAGUUGCUCUAAUUACACUUGAGAACGUUUAGUUAAUUGAAUCUUAUAUCACAGUUUGUAAUAUUAUAUUCUUCAAUGAGAUUACGAUAUUUAAAUUUUUUAACAUUUUGGUUAUCUCAUUCUCACAUUCUUAAACAGUAAUUAAAAACCCAAAAUAACGUUACAUUAUCUUAGAUUAUGGAUGGAAGACAAAAUUAGCCUUUAUUUUUAUUAUAUUAGUGAAUAUAAUUUUCCCAAAAUAACUGUAAUUAGAAACCAAAAUGGUUUUUUUUUUUCUUUUCUCUCUUGACUUUAAAAACCUUACUUUAACUUUUUCAAAUUCUUCAUGAUGGAAAAAAAAUCACAGAUUGUGAGUAAUGCAUAAAAAAUAUCAUUAAAAAAAUAAAUAGAAAAUUAUGUGAAUGUGAUGAUGAAAUGUUUUGAUUAUUACUCCAUUUUCGAAACAUUAAAAUUAUAUAAUUGUGAAAUUUUUAGUUUCAGAUCUCAAAGGUAAUCAAUUCCUCAAAAAAUAAACCAUAUAAAUAAGUUAUCAUAUUUAAAUUUAGAAAUUUUUUAUCUGAAUUUAUAUGAUAAAUUAAGGUGUAAAAAAAUUAAUUUCUUAAAUUAUUAUAAUUUUAUGAAUAAAUUUAAGAUUUUAUUCAACUCACUGGACGGUUAAUAUAACACCCCUCACCUGAUCUGGUCUCCGGACUCGAGCUACAGGAUGCUAUAUCACUAUUGAAACUUUAUCACAUGUGUAUACAUAGUUUCAAGCAGGAUCGGUUUCAUGAAAAUUUACAACAUAUACAGAUGUGUUCGCGGCUAAACAAUCAUACGACCUCAAACACAGUUUAAUACGUGUUUCGGGACCAUUGAGCAAAAUUUCAAAGAAAUCAACAUAGGUAUCGAUACACAAAUUAAGGUAUUGAUAUUUUGUAAAAUGAGUAUUGAUAUUAACAAGAAAAACGAUACCAACUUAGCAUUUUGUCAAAUCUUGAAUCCGAACAUUUUAUCGAUACUCAAGCAUAGGUAUUGAUAUUUUUACCUUAAGUAUCGAUACUCGUGAAAAGGUAUUGAUACCAAAUUAAGCUACUAUUUUCUUGCACUAUCAUUCCAACAUUGAGAUAUCGAUACUUAUAAUUUGAAUAUCGAGAACUUUGUACAAAUCAACAAAAAUAUAGAAAAACAGGACAAAAUUCGUGCUCAAACAUUUUCCUUUUCAACAUGCAUCCUCAACACAAUAUCUAACAUCAAAUUGACCAUACUUAUAACCCAAAACAACAUCAAUACUUCAACUAUUCAGACCCAAAUAAAACCAAUAAAAUAAGGAUAACAUCCAACACAAUUCUAAAAUUUCAAAACCAUAAUAAACCAUUAAGAACAUAAAAAUAACCUUGGACAUCCACCUCUCAUCCCGACCUCGGCCCCAUCCUCCAACCCCGAGGUCGACUGCCCUUUUCUCAAUUAUUGGCAGAUAAUAUUAUUGUAUUAGAACUAAAUCUUUAUAUUAUUAGCUGAAUAUUAAGUGAUCAUCUAUUCCUCCCACACCUAGCUUCAGCUAUUUAGCUUGGACAGCAUCUAAAAUUAUUUGUUAUUUUAAUCUUAAUUUUAGUUGAUAAACCAGUGUCGCUUUGGCCGAGUGGUUAAGGCGUGUGCCUGCUAAGUACAUGGGAUUUUCCCGCGAGAGUUCGAAUCUCUCAGGCGACGUUAAUAUUUUUGUCAACCCCAGAUGAGAUGCCCGCCACCGGCGACGUCAGGGGUGGGUAUUAGUGUUGAUGGAGCCUUCUUCGACAGUUGCGUUCUUGGUCUCCUCUGUUGAGGUUUUCUUCCUAUGUUGGCAGUGCUGGGAGUUUUGUGGUGGUUUAGCGACGGCUUCAUUCGCAUCUCGUUUAGCCUCUCGAGCUUGGGCCUUCUCCGCCUUUCGCCUCUUCCUUUCUAGUGCUUCCUUAGCUUUAGCCGCUUCCUCUUCCUUACUCAAUUCCUCCUUCUCUGUUCUCUUUCUGUAGGAGCAGAUUGCAUAAACUUCUUUUGCUCCACAACCUUUACCGCAAGUACCUUUUCAGCUUUUCCCACCACCACUUCCUCUUGUGUUCGAUCUUUCGAAGUUAAGCCAGACAUUGUAUGAUCCACGAACGCUCUUCCAUUUACUGCUUGAUAUCACGAAUGAAUUGCUUUUCAACCUUUAGCGGUAGAGUUUGGUGUUGUAUUGUCCAUUCCAUGUUUCGUAUCUGCUUACAAAGUAUAUAAUUAGAACAAAUAAUCACAUCAUUCUCUUCCAUAAAAGACUGAAAACAGGUUACCUUGACAUCAAUAUCUUCAAAAUCCAUCACGGAUUGCAUCCACUCUAUUUCCUCACAUUUGUACCUAUGCAAAUCUCGAGCCUCUCGUUCUUGAGAUACAGCAGCAUUAAAAUCAUUGCCAUCUUCCUUACAAGUAACCUAUGUAGGUUGUCAUUCGUUCAAUCCAUGGCAACCUUUACAAUAAAAAGGAAAAGCAUUUCUAUUUUAAAUGACAGUUAGAUUUUAGUGCUCAAAAUGGUUAAAUUCUUGAUGGUUUUGCCAAUUGGCGACCUAAGAUUUCCAUGAUUAGAGAUGUGGGUUAAAAUUAUUUUUGUUUUGUAGGGAAAAUUUUGGUUGAUAAUUUUGUAAUGAGAAUGCUUACCAUUCAAUGCACUUUAAUUUAAGAACUAUACAGUUACAUGGAUGGCUUAUUUAAAGGUAAACUCACCGCUUAUCAAAAUCAAGGCUUUAGCCGACCAAAGUCGGCAACUUAGAGUACUAGAGAUUUAGGUUUUAACCCUUCUUAUAUAGUUUUAAAACCUAGGCCCUACCAUAUCACCUAGAUAAUUAAACCAAGAAAAUAUCCUAAAAAGGAGAAACAUAUAGAAAGAGAACAACAAUGGAGGUAACUAAGCUAAGGGUUGUUUUCCUCUGUUCUUUUUUCACCUUAAUUCCAAAGCUAUGGGCAAAUAUUGCUGAAUUUGAUGAUUUUUGGAAGCAACGUGAAGACGAAGCCUGGAAGAUUGCUCUAACAGCUUAUGAACCGAGCCCAGAAAAUGUUACCAGUCACCUGAACUAUCACGUUAACAAGUAAAUUAUAACUUUCUAUUUUAUCUCUCUUUUCUCUUUUUUUAUAUACAAAAGGGUCAUACAUUAAACAUAAAGAACAUAAAUUACAAAUAUUGAAAUUUGAAAUAUAGACCCUUGAAUGUAACAAAUCAAAAAAAUCUACAUGGACUAACUAAGCCAAACUCUUAGUUACUCUUGUUUCCAUUAUUGUCUUUGUCAAAUAGCAAUCUAUCAUAUUUGUAUUUUGGACCAUUAACUCUUAUAGAGUUGUAAUAAUCAUACGCCUUUAGCUUAAUGAUAAAGAUAUCAUUAUUUAGAUGGAUGAAAGCCAAUGAUUCCAAUGUUAGUUCCCUUAACAAGUUACCGUCUCCUGAAACUUUCUUAAUUUGUAUGUUAAAUGCAGGCAUUAUAUAUUAUAUUAGAUAAUUUGUCGAUAAUUUGUUGCAGGGUUCUUGAAAAACCUAUGUCCAACCAACCCUUAGAAUUUAAGGAUGUUAUUACUAAUAGCACGAGAAGAUCCUUGAGGGGUAAACAUAGGAAGUACACUGGUCCAUGCCUGGCCAUCAAUCCAAUUGAUAGGUGCUGGAGAUGCAAGAAGAACUGGGCCAAGAAUCGCAAAAGACUAGCUAAGUGUGUCCUUGGUUUUGGCCAAAAAACUCGUGGAGGGAAUAAGGGAGAAUACUAUUUGGUUACCGAUAAUUCUGAUGAUGAUGUUGUAAACCCUAAACCAGGAACUUUACGUCACGCUGUGAUUCAAAAGAGACCAUUAUGGAUAAUUUUUGCCCAUGAUAUGAACAUUAAAUUAUCACAAGAGCUAAUGGUUCAAAGCCAUAAGACAAUUGAUGGUCGUGGAGCAAAUGUUCAUAUAGCAUAUGGAUGUGGCAUUACACUUCAAUUUGUGCACAAUGUCAUAAUUCAUAACAUUCACAUUCAUCGCGUUGUUAGAAGUAGUGGUGGCCUAAUUAGGGACUCUGAAGAUCAUUAUGGUUUUCGCACGGUGGGCGAUGGAGAUGGGAUUUCCAUAUUUGGAUCAUCAAGGAUUUGGCUUGAUCAUAUUUCCAUGUCUGAGUGUCAAGAUGGGCUCAUCGAUGCAAUACAAGGUUCCACUGCCAUCACCAUCUCAAAUUGCCAUUUCACCCAUCAUGAUCAUGUAAGAUUUACCUUACAAUACUCAACACGGUACACAUUUUGUAAUCUAGUUUUCAACUAAACAUUCUUGGAUUUUUCUUUCAGGUGAUCUUGUUAGGUGCAAGUGAUGUCUAUUCUAAAGAUCAAUAUAUGCAAGUCACACUUGCAUUCAACCAUUUUGGCAAGGAAUUGAUACAAAGAAUGCCUAGAUGUCGAUGGGGAUACUUUCAUGUCGUCAACAACGACUACACUCAUUGGAAAUUAUAUGCCAUUGGUGGUAGCACGCAUCCUACCAUUAUUAGCCAAGGCAACAGGUUCAUUGCUCCAGAUGACCCCCUAACUAAAGAGGUAAAUGAAAAUAUAACAAAUUAAUCAGUAACAUUUAUUAAUUUUAUAUCGUAGUAAGCACAAUGCAACCGGAAUGUACCUAUUGUUAUACCACUGAAUUGUUUUUGUUCAAUACAUUUCUAUAGAUAACCCAUAGGAACUAUGCACCAGAGUCAGAAUGGAGGAAUUGGAUAUGGAGAUCAGAAGGAGAUCGGUUCAUGAAUGGAGCAUUUUUUGUAACAUCUGGGCCACCCUCACCUCCCCAUUUGAAAUUAAAAAAGAAGGAUAUAAUUAAAGCUAAGCCUGCAACAUUUGUUGGAAGACUCACUAAAUUCUCUGGGACUCUUAAAUGUAAAGAAGGAGCUAAGUGUUAGAAAUAACUCUCAAUUCUUCUGAAUAUAUGUGAUGGUAUUAUUACAAGUUUAAACACAUAAUAAGAAUGAUUGUAUUAUUCAUCUUUAAUCAAAUAAAAUUUAAAAACCAUACAUUUUAAAAUGUUAUGUCAUCUAAAUUAAAGCAAAAUAUCAUAUACAUGUAAAUAUUAUUGAUAAAAAUAGCAUAGUAAUCCUUAUACUAUAUUUCGAAUUACAUUUUAAUUCUUCUAUUGAAAAAAAACUGAAAAUUUCGAUCCUUUCUAUGUUAGAUGAACUAAAAUAGUCCAUUUAUUAAAAAUUGCCUUAAAACAUUCAUAUUGGAAUGUUGAAAGGUUGAAUUAUUUAGAACUAAAUCUUUAUAUUAUUCGCUAAAUCCCUUAUAGUUAUUUAAAUUUACAUUUUAAUCACUGAUGUUUUAAUUGUGACGAAAUUUAUGAUAAUUUAGUCAUUAGAAGUGUAUUCGCAGGAGCCAUAAGUCUCAUUGAACGCAAACAACACGACGGUUUUCCGAUGGUAUACUCGAAGCCUCUUAACUUGACCCGUAGCAUUGCCUCACCAGAACCAGGAGUCAUCAUCUCCAUCAUUUUCUUGGCUCUCCAUUGCGAGCCCGACGAUGGGCGAAUCGUUGGUUAUAUCCAUCUUGUUGCUGCUGCUUUUAGUUUCUUGUUCUCAGAUUCUUCUGAAAACAAAUCAAGAACAAUGAAAGAAAAAGAUAAAAAAGAAAGUCAAAUACCAGUUUUUAUAAAUCAUUGAUAAUCAAAAAAGGGAAGUGAAAAGUGAAACAUUAUAUAAAUUUAAACAAACAUUAUGAUAUGAUAUUAGUGAAAAGUCAAACAUUAAUGAUUUGUUAUAAUAUGAUAUCACAUUAUGAUAUAUGAUUUUUAAAAAUAUGACAUUUUGAUCUGGUAUUUGUUUUUGGAAUAUAACAUUCUGAUAUGAUAUAUGUUCCGGUAAUUUGUACAUUAUAAGUAAAAUUUUGUGUUUAUAUUUUUAUAUUUGUGUUUGUUAUAAGUAGAAAUACUGUUUGUGGGUUGAGUCAUAAACUCGGUUUCUAGCUCACUCGUUUGUUUAAUAGGUGAUCUUCAGACUUAAGACUUUGCGGUGACUCCGGAGCUUAGUUCACAUAAUUUGGUAUAAGUUUGUUUUGGAUUUAAAUUUUAAAUUGUUUUGGACGUAAAAUUUUGGUUUUAGUAUUUGUUUUCAUGGACAUAUUAUUUAUUGCUCGUAAACACACCUAAUGCACCAUAACUGAUGGAACCCUAUGUUUUUAAGAGAUAAGAAUUUUUAAAGUAUUUUUAUUUUGCAGUAAGAUUUUGAAAUUAAUUAUUAUGUCAUUUACAACUCAAUUGAUUAAACAUUCGGGAUUAUUUUUAUUAAAAAAAAUAAAACUAAGUUUUCUAGAUUUGUGAUAUUUGGACUAUGUUUCGGAUUUGAUAUUGGUUUUGGAUUUUGUUAUUUGGCUUAAGUUUUGUACUUCUUUUCUAUUAAGUUAAAGAAAAGUUUGGCUUUAAAUUUUACAUAAAUUUACAAUGGAAGUUUUAGAAUAUGAACAAUCAGUAAAUUAUACGUUUUUUUCUAACCUAAAUCACGAUUCUCGAAUUAGCUACUCGAAAAUUUUUGCUGCAAAUCUGAGUAUUGAAGUAAGCGGGUUUUUUUUUCAUAAAAUUAAUAAGGUCGAUGCGGAUUUCAUAAGGAGUUUGUAAGUAUUUUGCUAAAAAUAAUAUUUUCAGAAUUCACAACUCACAACUUCUAAAGUUUUUUAAAUUUCUGGAUUUUUUGAAUAAACUAAUGUAAUUUCUCCAUAUUCAGCCAUAACGUCACCAAAUUUAGGGUGUUACAUAUAUUUUGUUUUAUUUUAGAUAUUAUCAUAUAAUUAUAUUAAUUAUUAAUGUUUGUUAAUGUUUAAUUAUAAAUUCAAGGAUUUUUAGGUUUUGAAUAACAUCUAUGACGAGCUUGAGCUCAUCACUAUGGGUUUGGGCUUAAAUUGGUCUCAAACUUGGAUUGCUUCAGGUUCAAGCUUUCACAAACACAAAAUUUUUGAGCUCGAAUCAUUACAAACUCGAAUUUUCUUGAACUUAGACUAUUACUAACUUUAUAAUUGUUGGAGAUGGAGGACCUCUUAUGUAUUCAUCCUUUCUUUUUAAAUGUAGCUUUGAUUGAUAUAAAUAAACAUAUAAUGAUUAGAUGAUUAAAAAAUUUACUAAUAAUUAAGUGACUAUUUUGUAACUUUUUAUAAUCGAGUUGAAAAAGAAAUCGCAAUAAUAAUUAAAGUCUUUCUUCUCCAUCCACAAAUAUUAUAAAAAAAUAAUAAAAAAUAAAUACUACAAUAAUUUAAUACAAAAUUCAAAAAAAAAAGGAAAAAAUUGUCUAUUUAUAGAGAUCCCAACCCUUGCAGCCCACAAUCAAAUAAUUAGAUAUAAUUUCCUAAAAAAAACAAAGCCAAAAUAACAAAAAAGGGUUAAAAUGAACCGCAUCCAUGGCCGCAUCUUUUGCUUACCCCGAUUUCGAAUAGGAGGGGGAAUAGAUGUUACUUUGGUUUGUUUCAUAAACUUUGAUACCUUUUGAGGCCUUUCCGUAGUAGCCACCACGGGUUUCUCUUUGUUUUCGGUUUUUUUCGAAGUUUCAGCAAGAGUUUCAGAAGUCGGACAAGCAGAUACAGCUUCAUCUUCAAUGCCCGUGUCACCGGCUGUUGCGACAGCUUUUUGGUUUUCCUUCUUCUUUGCCCUCUUCUCCCGUUUCUGAAGAAAGAAAAAGGUUGCUUGAUCAACAAGGAAACAACCGCAAAAUAUUGAUACUUAAGGAAUGAGUGACUAAACAGAAUAUAAACUAGGGAUAGUUUUAAGAGAGUUAACCUUUUCUUUCUUUUCAGCUUCAUUCGCAGCUCGGUUAGCCUCUCGAGCUUCAGCCUUCUCAGCCUUUUGCCUCUUCCUUUCUAGUGAUUCCUUAGCUUUAGCUAUCUCCUCCAACCGGCGUUGCUCCUUUAAUUUAGCCGCUUCCUCUUCCUUUCUCAAUUCCUCUGCCUUCCUGUCCGAUUCCUCCUCCUUUGUUCUCUUCGGCUUCUCUUCUUCAGCCUCUUCGAUUUUAUCCCCAUUAGAAGCAGUUGUUGAAACACUUUCUGGAGGAACAGAUUUCAUAAACGUCUUUUGCUCCACAACCUUUUCCGCAAGUACCUUUUCAGCUUUUGCCACCGCCAUGUUAACAUUAAUGGAAGACAAUUAAUAAUGGUUGCCAUUAACAUUAAUGGGAGACAAUCAAUAAUGACAACCACCAACUUUGGAAAAGUGGCAAGGGAUAAUUUUUUUUGGUCCUUGAGAUAAUGGGCUAUUUAUUGUUUGGUCCUUGAACCUCAACUAUAAAUAGGCCUUCUCAUUUCUCAUUUCAAUCAUCCCAACCAAUCUUUCUCUCUUAGUUUUCUCUCUUCUCCCAUUUGAGAAUUCUUAAGGAAUUCUAUUUAUUUGUAAUACUUUAGAGAUAGUAAAGUUAUCAUCUGGUGUUAGUGCUCGAGGACGUAGGUAUAAUUUACCGAACCUCGUUAAAUCUCUUGUGUUCUUUCUUGUCCUAUUUUUCUUUCAAUAUUUGAGGGUAUAAUAGUAGUAUUUAAUUGUGCUAUUAAAUUACUAUAGAAGGGAUAUUCUGUCUAAGGAAAGACUUGGUAUUUAAGAGAUCCAUGUGAUCUACCUCUCUUCCCUGGGAAUUGAACUUUGUGUGAUUUUUUAGUACAAUAAUUUACACGCUUCCGACCCUAUUGGAACAACAAGUGGUAUCAGAGCCGAAGGCUAAUCGUAGUAUGCUCUGUGGUUGCAGUUUAAACUGAUCUUUCACAUCAGAAAAGAUUUCCUUAGGUAUAUUGAAAGAUUAUGGAGAAAACGGUCGGUGUAGGAGCUUCAACAUCGUCCAUGUGGACAAGACCGACAAUUGCAAAUGCAAGAUUGGCCGUGGAGAUCUUUGAUGGCACGGGCCAUUUUGGUAUGUGGCAAAGUGAGGUUCUAGAUGCCCUUUUUCAGCAGGGUCCAAACAUUGCCAUUGAUGAAGAGAAACCAGAUGAUGUACAGGAGAAAGAUUGGAAGGCGAUCAAUCGGUUGGCAUGUGGCACAAUUCGAUCAUGCCUUUCUCGAGAGCAGAGGUAUGCUUUUUCAAAGGAGACUUCUGCAAAUAAGUUGUGGGUGGCACUUGAAGAAAAUUUUUUGAAGAAAAACAGUCAAAAUAAGUCCACUUGAAGAAAAGACUGUUUCGCUUCACAUACGUCCCAAGUACCACAAUGAAUGAUCACAUCACCAAAUUCAAUCAGUUAGUCACUGAUUUGCUGAAUAUGGAUGAGACAUUCAAAGAUGAAGAUUUGGCUUUGAUGCUGUUGGGGUCACUUCCUAAGGAGUUUGAGUUCCUAGAAACUACUCUACUUCAUGGCAGGAGUGAUAUAUCUCUGAGCGAAGUCUGUGCGGCCUUAUACAGUUAUGAACAGAGAAAGAAGGACAAACAGAAAAACUCAAUCAGAGAUACAGAAGCUUUAGUAGUCCGGGGUCGUUCAUACACUCGAAAGAAAACUCAAAAGGGGAGAUCAAAGUCAAAGUCUAGACUCGGGAAAGAUGAAUGUGCUUUUUGUCAUGAGAAAGGCCACUGGAAGAAAAAUUGUCCAAAGCUGAAGAAUAAGGGAAAAGCUGCUGUAGAUGCUUGUGUUGCAAAGCAUGAUACUAGUGACUCUUAACUAUCACUAGUUGCAUCAUCAUCGUCGUUCCAUUCAGAUGAGUGGAUAUUGGAUUCAGGUUGUACCUUUCAUAUGUUCCCUAACCGGGAGUGGUUCUCUGAUUUAGUAGAACUAAAUGGAGGAGUUGUUUAUAUGGGCAAUGACAAUGCCUGUAAAACUGUUGGGAUAGGUUCAAUCCAAUUAAAGAAUAAAGAUGGAUCAACCAGAGUUCUGACUGAUGUUCGGUACGUGCCCAGUUUGAAGAAAAAUCUCAUCUCAUUGGGAGCCUUGGAAUCCAAUGGUUCAGUUGUUACUAUGAGAGAUGGGGUUUUGAAAGUGACAUCUGGCGCACUUGUGAUAUUGAAGGGCAUCAGGAAAAAUAACUUGUAUUACUACCAAGGUAGUACAGUUAUUGGAGCAGUCGCUGCAGCUUCCGGCAACAAAGAAUUGGACUCAAUACAGUUGUGGCAUAUGAAGUUGGGACAUGCCAGCGAAAAAUCCUUGCAAAUUCUGGCAAAGCAAGGAUUGUUGAAAGGUGCAAAGGCUUGCAAAUUAAAAUUUUGCGAGCAUUGUGUUCUGGGAAAGCAAAAGAGAGUGAAAUUCGGUACUGCUAUCCAUAAUACAAAAGGUAUUUUGGAAUAUGUUCACUCAGAUGUGUGGGGGCCUUCCAAGACAUCUUCAUUGGGAGGAAAACACUACUUUGUUACUUUUGUUGAUGACUUUUCCAGAAGAGUUUGGGUGUAUACCAUGAGAACUAAGGAUGAAGUGCUUAGAGUUUUUUCUUAAAUGGAAAAUUAUGAUCGAAAACCAGACUGGUAAGAAAAUCAAGCGGCUUAGGACGGACAAUGGAGGGGAAUAUAAAAGUGAUUCAUUCUUCGAUGUGUGCCAAGAGUAUGGUAUUGUUCGACACUUCACAGUUAGGGAUACACCACAGCAGAAUGGAUUGGCAGAGCGUAUGAAUCGAACAUUGCUGGAGAAAGUUCGAUGUAUGUUGUCCAAUGCUGGGUUGGGCAAGCAAUUUUGGGCUGAGGCUGUGACAUACGCUGGCCAUCUUGUUAAUCGUUUUCCAUCAUCUGCAUUAGAAAGAAAAACUCCUAUGGAGGUAUGGUUUGGAAAACCGGCUACAGAUUAUGAUUCCUUACAUGUGUUUGGAACCACUGCAUAUUACCAUGUGAAAGAGUCAAAGUUAGAUCCGAGGGCAAAGAAAGCUCUCUUUAUGGGAAUCACUUCUGGAGUGAAGGGAUUUCGUCUUUGGUGCUUAAGCACAAAGAAAAUGAUCUGUAGCAGAGAUGUUACCUUUGAUGAAUCUGCCACAUUGAAAAAGGUAACAGAUAAAGAUAUUCAGACGAGCAAUACUCCACAGCAGGUGGAGUGUACUCCAAAACAGGUGGAGUUUGAGCAGAUGGGGAUUUGCCCAGUUAAUAAGUCUAAUUCUCCAGCCACAAUGGAGGAAUUAGAGGUUGAAGAGGUUCUGACCCAAGAACCACUAAGUACACCAGAACCAGUUGCAGUUGCAAGGCCACGGAGAGAAAUUCGUAAACCUGCUCGAUUUACUGAUAUGGUGGCCUACGCCCUUCCCGUUGUUGAUGAUAUUCCUAUCACUUAUCAAGAAGCAAUGCAAAGUUUAGAAAGUGAUAAAUGGAAAAGCGCCAUGGAUGAAGAAAUGCAGUCUCUCUGGAAGAACAAUACUUGGGAGUUGGCGCAAUUACCGAAAGGUAAAAGGGCAAUCGGAUGCAAGUGGGUAUUCGCAAAGAAAGAUGGAUCUCCUAGUAAGAAGGAUAUUCGCUACAAGGCAAGAUUGGUAGCUAAAGGCUACGCUCAGAAGGAGGAAAUUGACUACAAUGAUGUAUUUUCCCCUGUUGUGAAGCAUUCCUCCAUUAGAAUUUUGUUGGCCUUGGUAGCACAGUUGAAUUUGGAGCUAGCUCAACUUGAUGUUAAGACGGCUUUCUUGCAUGGUGAGUUAGAAGAGGAGAUCUAUAUGACUCAGCCCGAAGGAUACACAGAUGCUGGUGGUAGAAAUUGGGUUUGUAAGCUUAACAAAUUUCUAUAUGGAUUGAAGCAAUCCCCGAGGCAGUGGUACAAGCGAUUUGAUAGCUUUAUGAGAAGGCAGAAGUACACAAGAAGCAAAUAUGACAAUUGUGUAUAUUUGCAGAAGCUGCAUGACAGAUCUUUCAUUUAUCUACUCUUGUAUGUUGAUGAUAUGUUAAUCGCUUCAAAGAGCCAAAAUGAGAUAGAUAAGCUGAAGGCUCAGUUGAAUUAAGAGUUCGAGAUAAAAGAUCUAGGUGAGGCCAAGAAGAUUCUCGGCAUGGAGAUAAGUAGAGAUAGACCGAGAGGCAAGCUCUGUUUAAAUCAGAAGCAAUAUCUGAAAAAGGUAUUACAAUGUUUUGGUGUAAAUGAAAACACAAAACAUGUAAGUACCCCACUUGCUUCUCAUUUGAAACUUAGUGCUCAAUUAUCUCCGAAGACUGAAGAUGAAAGAGAAUAUAUGGCGAAAGUCCCAUAUGCUAAUGCAGUUGGGAGUUUGAUGUAUGCGAUGGUGUGUACGAGGCCUGACAUUUCACAAGCUGUUGGAGUUGUGAGCAAGUAUAUGCAUGAUCCUGGAAAAGGACAUUGGCAAGCUGUGAAAUGGAUUCUACGGUAUCUUCGAAAAACCGUAGAUGUUGGUUUAAUUUUUGAACAGGAUGAAGCACUUGGUCAGUUUGUAGUUGGAUAUGUUGAUUCCGACUUUGCUGGUGAUUUAGAUAAACGUCGUUCAACUACAGGGUAUCUGUUUACUCUUGCGAAAGCCCCAGUGAGUUGGAAGUCUACCUUACAGUCUACAGUAGCUGUGUCUACUACAGAGGCAGAAUAUAUGGCAGUUACAGAAGCUAUUAAGGAGGCUAUUUGGCUUAAUGGAUUGUUGAAAGACUUAGGAGUUGUUCAAAGUCACAUAAGUUUAUAUUGUGACAGUCAGAGCGCUAUUCAUUUAGCGAAAAAUCAAGUCUAUCAUUCAAGAACCAAGCAUAUCGACAUAAGAUAUCACUUUGUGCGGGAAGUCUUUGAAAAAGGAAAAAUUCUACUUCAGAAGAUUCCGACAGCAGAUAAUCCCGCAGAUAUGAUGACCAAGGUGGUAAAAACAAUCAAGUUUAAUCAUUGUUUGAACUUGAUUAACAUCCUGAGAAUUUGAGCACCUUCAGGUGUAUGGCGCUCGAGAGCGCAUUUGUAGGCACUACAAAAGAUAGCUUUAUCGAAUUUGGGGAGUUGAAGGAAGUGUGUGAAGAUGUGAUUAUCCUAAUCAAAUCUUCAAGGUGGAGAUUGUUAACAUUAAUGGAAGACAAUUAAUAAUGGUUGCCAUUAACAUUAAUGGGAGACAAUCAAUAAUGACAACCACCAACUUUGGAAAAGUGGCAAGGGAUAAUUUUUUUUUGGUCCUUGAGAUAAUGGGCUAUUUAUUGUUUGGUCCUUGAACCUCAACUAUAAAUAGGCCUUCUCAUUUCUCAUUUCAAUCAUCCCAACCAAUCUUUCUCUCUUAGUUUUCUCUCUUCUCCCAUUUGAGAAUUCUUAAGGAAUUCUAUUUGUUUGUAAUACUUUGGAGAUAGUAAAGUUAUCAUCUGGUGUUAGUGCCCGAGGACGUAGGUAUAAUUUACAGAACCUCGUUAAAUCUCUUGUGUUCUUUCUUGUCCUAUUUUUCUUUCAAUAUUUGAGGGUAUAAUAGUAGUAUUUAAUUGUGCUAUUAAAUUACUAUAGAAGGGAUAUUCUGUCUAAGGAAAGACUUGGUAUUUAAGAGAUCCAUGUGAUCCACCUCUCUUCCCUGGGAAUUGAACUUUGUGUGAUUUUUUAGUACAAUAAUUUACACGCUUCCGACCCUAUUGGAACAAUACUCCACUAACUCUUGUGUUCGAUCUUCCAAAGUUAAGCCGGACAUUGUAUGAUCCACGACCGCUCUUCCAUUUAGUGCUCGAGAAAUUACAGGAGGCACUUCACCAGGACCAAGUGCACGGCCAUCUAAUGUCCUCAGUCUCCAAAGUGUGCUCCUUUCAUUGCAUCUAACAUAUUCUUUUCGGAAUUCAUCAUUGUUAUUCCAUAAGUCCAUAAAUUUCUCCACCUGAACCAUCAACUGUUUAGAUAAAAUAUUGUACAAAAUUUUUUAUUUCGAAGAAAUAAGACAAAUGCAUGACCUCACCUGGUUAAUACAAAAAUUUUGGAGUGCUACUUUAUCCCCUUUCGAAGCCAACUCAUUCGCUUUAUUUAAAUCAUCCUUGUACUGCCAAAAGUGUUUGCUCUGCAACAUUCAAACAAGAGUAGCGUACUUUUACUUAGUUUAUCAGUUUCGAAGAGCAAUGUAUUCAAUCAGAGCAAGAAAGAAAAUGCAGGUUUGUCUAUAGGUCUCAUAUAGGAUUACUUGUCCAACACGAUUAUGUUCAUUCACUCUAAGCUUACAGAAUUUAAAAGUACCUUCUCAUGUGAUUGUUUCUUCAAACAUUGCAACUGUGCAUACGCUUCUUGUUGGAUGUCAUUUGCAGCUUUGAACUGGUACUGCAAUUUGCUUAACUUUUCGGUUUCCUCAUAGUAUUUUCUCUUAGCUGCCUUAGUGAUCGCCUCAGUGUUUUUGAGUCUGGCUUUAAAUUGGUCAGCUUCCUUCUUUAAAGACUGUAGAAACAGAAGAAUUGAAUAAGCAACCAAAACAUAAGUAAGUCGAAUGUCAAAAGCUAACAAAGCAGAUGUAUAUAUAAUACCUUCAGACGCUCUUUCAGGUCCAAACCUUGUUGAUUUUCGUCCUGUCUACUUGUGGUAGAUGACAGCUUUUCACGAGUAUGCUUUAAUUGCUUGAUAUCACGAAUGAAUUUCUUUUCAUCCUUUAGUGGUAGAGUUUGAUGUUGUAUUGCCCAUUCCAUGUUUCGUAUCUGCUUACAAAGUAAAUAAUUAGAACAAAUCAUCACAUAUUCUCUUCCAUAAAAGACUAAAAACAGGUUACCUUGACAUCAGUAUCUUCAAUAUCCAACACGGAUUGCAUCGACUCUAUUUCCCGACAUUUGGACCUAUGCAAGUCUCAAGCCUUUCUUUCUUGAGAUACAGCAGCAUUAAAAUCAUUGCCAUAUUCCUUACAAGUAACCCUCGUGCUUUGCAUAUCGUUUCGAAUCCCAUCUCGAAUUCGACUUUUCUCAUCAACCUUAAUUUGAGCAAGUCUAAUCUUUACUUUUAAACUUUCGUCAUUGUUUCUCGGGACCCUGAUCAUGUAGUCGAACGGUGUUUUCCUUUCAGCCUCAUCGUCGAAACUACCAAACUCAAUUCCUCCGUUUGUGACACCACAAGUUCUCUCUGAAGAAUUACUUGCUACAACAGAUAUAGAAUCAGAACAAACAUUUGUUUUCGAUUUCAAACUCGAAACCACGUCCAAAGACUUAUCAACCAGUUGCGAACCCAUCUCCGAAUCAGCCAGAUUACCAUUAUAUUGAUUACUUUGAACAUCAACUACAAACGAUAUACUACCAACAACGAAGUUUGCAUCAGUUUCUACUAUGGUAGAAGACUUACUAGAAUCACUGUCGGUUUUGAUUUCUAUAUGUGUAGCAUCAUCAUCCGUAGUAACUGAAUCAAUAACUAUGGAAUUAACAUCAAUUUCAACCGAACAAUCAACUUUACCAUCACUCUGUUUAAGACUGGAAACAAUAACUAUGGAACUAUCCGAAGCACUGUCACUCUUUAGAACACUGGAAUCAAUAACAAUAGCAACGUCCUGAACAGUUUGUUUAGCCAAACAAUCAUCUCCAUCCCCUGAUUUUUCUUCAAAAUACCCUCCCUUUUCUUCAACAGGUUUCUCCCCCUCCUGCUUAUUCAUACUGAUAGUAACUUUGUGGUCUUCUUCGAUAAUACAAUUGCCACCCGAUUCCACUACAACUCCAUUAACGGACUCGCUUCCAUUUACGUUAACAUAAACAUCCGUGCUGCCGGUGCCAACCUUAACGCUACUCAUGUUGGCGCCAUUGAGAAGAUAUAUCCUUUCAUUCUCUUUCUCAUCUACUAUAUCCGCCUCCUGCUGAUUCAUAGUAAUAGUGACCGAAUCAGAUUCGGAUUUCACUUCGUGGUCUUCUUCGACAAUGCAAUUGCCAUCCGAUUCCACUACUGCUCCAUUAACAUAAACAUCUAAGCUACCGGAGCCAACCUUAACGCAAAUCGCGUUGGCGCCAAUGAGAAGAUAUCUCGUUUCAUUCUCUUUCUCAGUUACAAUAUCCACCUCCUGCUGAGUCAUAGUAAUUGUAACCGAAUCAGGUUCGGAUUUCACUUCCUGGUCCUCUUCGACAAUGCAAUUGUCACCCGAUUCCACAACAACUCCAUUAACGGAGUCGCUUCCAUUUACGUUAACAUAAAUAUCCGUGCUGCCGGUGCCAACCUUAACUCUACUCGUGUUGGCGCCAUUGAGAAGAUGUCUCGUUUCAUUCUCUUUCUCAUCUACUAUAUCCGCCUCCUGCUGAUUCAUAGUAAUAGUGACCGAAUCAGAUUCGGAUUUCACUUCGUGGUUUUCUUCGACAAUGCAAUUGCCAUCUGAUUCCACUACAGCUCCAUUAACAGAGUCGUUUCCAUUAACAUAGACAUCUGAGCUGCCAGAGCCAACCUUAACGCAAAUCGCGUUGGCGCCAAUAAGAAGAUAUCUCGUUUCAUUCUCUUUCUCAGCUACAAUAUCCACCUCCUGCUGAGUCAUAGUAAUUGUAACCGAAUCAGAUUCGGAUUUCACUUCGUGUUCUUCUUCGACAAUGCAAUUGUCACCCGAUUCCACUACAACUCCAUUAACGGAGUCGUUGCCAUCUAGGUUAGCAUAAGCAUCCGAGCCAUCGGAGCCAACGUUAACGCUACUCGUGUUGGCGCCAUUGAGAAGAUAUCUCGUUUCAUUCUGUUUCUCAGCUACAAUAUCCACCUCCUGCUGAUUCAUAGUAAUAGUAACCGAAUCAGAUUCGGAUUGCACUUCAUGGUCUUCUUCGACAAUGCAAUUGUCUCCCGGUUCCACUACAACUCCAUUAACGGAGUCGUUCCCAUCUAGGUUAACAUAAACAUCCGAGCUGCCGGAGCCAACCUUAACGCUGCUCAUGUUGGCGCCAUUGAGAAGAUAUCUCGUUUCAUUCUCUUUCUCAGCUACAAUAUCCACCUCCUGCUGAUUCAUAGUAAUAGUAACCGAAUCAGAUUCGGUUGGCACUUCGUGGUCUUCUUCGACAAUGCAAUUGCCAUCCGAUUCCAUUACAACUCCAUUAUCGGAGUCGUUUCCAUUAACAUAAACAUCCGAGCUCCCGGAACCAACCUUAACGCAACUCGCGUUGAGAAGAUAUUUCUUUUCAUUCCCUUUCUCAGCUACAAUAUCCACCUCCGCGGCUACAUGCAACAGUACUGUCACCUCCGCUUUUGUCAUAUUCGCUCUACGUUAGAAUCAAAACUCAAAACUUAGCAAAUCAAAACUUACUGAAACACAAUGCUGCAGAAUAGCCGGAAAAGUUAGAGCACAGAUUAGAUUAAGAGUAAUAAUAAAUAUUCAUCUAUCAUAUUAUAUAGAAGUAAAAAGAGAAAAACCAAAGUGUUUGAUUCCAAGUCAAAAUCCUAAAAAAAAAUAUUUUUUUUGUUAUUUCCAGAAAUUAAUUAUUUUUAUUAAAUUUUAAAACUGAAUUUAGCUCAGAAAUUAAAUUAGAUUAUAAAAAUAAUUAUUUUUAUUUUAUAAAUUUAAAUUCUAAUGUAAUUAAUUUAACACUUUCGGUGCUAUUAGGAUUUUUAUUAGGAAAUUAACUCACGCCACGGUAAUGGAAAUCAUGCAUUAAAUGCAGAGGUGGGUGUCAUGUCAUUAGUUUUUGGGUAAAUUACAUACAAUUACUUAACUUUGAGAUAGGUGACAAAACAUUCACUUUGGUUUCAAUUCAGUCAUUCAACUUUUAAAAAAUAACAAAACAAUCACUAAUGUUAUCAAAAAGUGACAAAAUAGUCACCCAUUAACAUUUUCUGUUACAGGCCUAACGGGACAGGUGAUGUGGCCAGUUAACUAGCUGACGUAGCCAGUUAACUUGCCACGUUGGAUGAGGCUAAGUUUCAAUUCAGCCACUCAACUUUACAAAAAAUUAACAAAUCAGUCACUAACGUUAUCAAAAAGUGACAAAUUAGUCACCCAUUAACAUUUUUGGUUAUAGACCUAACGAGACAGGUGGCAUGACUAGUAAAUUAGCUAAUGUGAUUAAUUAACUUGCCACGUUAGACGAGGCAAAGUUGAGUGACUAUUUUUCUUCGUCCUUCCUUUUUCAUUUUUUCAUAAAUGUCCCAAUAUCUUUACUUUUUGCAUAAAUGGCCCAAUAUGUUUAUACUUCUUCUUCUCCAUCCCAACAAUCUCGCCGUCACCAUCUCCACCAGAACCAUCUUUAGCGUCACCAUCGUUGACCUCCAAACCACCACUAUAGAUUUUUUUUUCUUUUUCAACCCCCUAAUAGAGGAGCCACACGGUUGGGAUCCGACUGUCUCUUUCUAUCGCCUAAAGCCAUUAACUCUGAAACUAGAUCGAAAUGGGAUUGAAGACAAUUUUGGGUCAAACUAUCAGUGCCCACAACUAAACCGAUGAGGAGAAAAUCCUCCAAAGCAACAUUCAAACGAUUUAAGAACCAAAAAAAAUCAGAUUUGUCGAGAUCUUCAUAGGAUAUGAUGAUAUAAACAAAAGGGUUGUUGAUUAAGCUAAACAACACUAACUUCAUUACCAACAUUGUCAAGUUGUAUAAAACAAAAUCAAAAUCAAAACAAGAGGAGCAUCCAGAUAAACCAAAUAAUCGAUUGAACCCAUGAUUUUUGGGAACAAAGAAAGCAGUUCCUCCAAAGGGACAACCAAAUUUCGACAAGUGAAAUUAUGGGUCGAGUCAGUGAUUAGCAAGAUCCCAAAUUCAAAAUCGGACUAGGUAUUAUAGCAAAGGAGGAUGAGAGAUGGAUUAGAAGAAGAGCGGCGAAGAUGGUCGGCAACGAAAUUUGGGGUCGAGGUGAGGUAAACCCAGUCAUUGGAAAGAGAUUUGAAUCGAGUUACAGACCUAAGGGUAAUCUAGAAAGGAUAUUGAAUGGUAUUUUGGGUUAAUGACAAUGAGGAAGCCAUGGUUCUCUGCUUUCUUUCUGAAUAAGAAGAAUUCAUUCAAGGGUUUUAUUUGUUCUUCUUUUUAGGUGUUCGAUUUUUUAAAUUUAGUAGGACCUAUUUGUUAUUUUUUGAAAGUUGAGUGACUGUUUUGUCAUUGAUAUCAAAGUUGAAGAACUAUUUUGUCAUUUACCCUUAUAUUUUUUCAAGUGUUAACUGCCAUGUCACUUUUCCGUUACAGGUGUAACGAAAAAUGGCUAAAAUGACUGUUUUGUUAUUUUUCAAAAGUUGAGUGACUGAAUUGAAACUAGAGUGACUGUUUUGUCAGCUACCUGAAAGUUGAAUGACAGCUGGUGUAAUUGACCCUUAUUUUUUGUGGGUUUCGGGUUACCUCAAAGAUCCUCAAUUUUUCCUCAACAACAGGAAGAGCCAUCACUUUUAAACCCUCAACCUAUGGUGUAUUUGCAGGAGCCAUAAGUCCCAUUGAACGCGAAGAACACAAUGAUUUCCCAAUGAAAUACUCGAAACUUCAACUUCUUCUUUAACCUUUAGCAACAAAGUCUUAACUUGACCCUUAGCAAUGCCUCACCAAAACCAAGAGUCGUCAUCUUUAUUUUCUUCGCUCUACAUUGCAAGCUCGAUAAUGGGUGAAUCAUUUGUUAUAUCGAUAAGGGCAGACCUUUCUACAGUCUCCAUUGAAAAAUCGAUAAAGUCACCAAUCAGAUUUUGUCGCCGGAAAGAAAGCCUUUUUUUCCAAAGAUUGAUGAUGGAGGGAAGCUAUUCAAACUCAACUUCGAAAUGAAAUCAAUGGAAAAAGAAAAUUUUCGAAUAGGGGAAGAAAAAUAUAAUGCUUUUAAUGGGGCAAUAAUUUGAGGGUCGCACCGCACCUUAUGGGAGAGAGAAAAAAUUUAAAAAUUAAUAAGAGGGAGAAAUUAUUUUAGGGAUCUUUUCCACCACAUCAUCCAUGUUCUUUUCUAAUCAUUUAAUGAUAUUUCAAUGAUUUUUUCAUGUAAUUGAUACAUAAUUUUUGUAAUUUUUUACCCUGAACUCUUGAACCCCAAAUCUCAAUCUCAAACUUUAAACCUCGAAUUCAAAGUCAAAACUUUAACCUUGAACCUCGAACCUUAAACUCAAGAUUUGAGGUUCAAAAUUCAAGUUCGAGGUUUAGGGUUCAAGUUUGAGAUUCGAGGUUCAAUGUUUAGAGUUCAGGAUUUGAUAUUUAUGGUUUAGGAUUCGAUGUUUAGUGUUCAGGUUCAAGGUUUAGGGUUCUUCAAGGUUCAGGGUAAAAAAAUAUUAAAAUUAUAUAUUAAUAAUAUAGAAAAAAUUACUAAUAUAUUAUUAAAUAAUUGGAAAUUGAUCAUGAAUGACGUUGUCAGAAUGGUCCACAAAACAAUUUCUCAAUAACCUGGCCCAACAUUUAACGAGUCACAUGUGAUUUUUUUUUACACUUUUAAUGGAGGACAGUGCACAAUGAUCAAAUUGUUAUAAAUCGAUAAUAUUAAUGAUUAAAUUAUAAUAAUUGAAACAUAAGUGACCAAAAUAUAAAAUUAAACAAACAAACAAACACUAUAAUAUGUGUAUCCCAGGCAUUCAAAUUUAUUUACAAUAAUAUAAUUUAGAAAUAAUUUUAUUUAUAUAGUAAUAUUAAAUUUGUUAAAUUCAGUUGAUUCUUUUCUUCUCAAAAUUGCAAAAGCGAUCCUAUUUUUCAAUAGGUAAAUCUUUAUUUAAAGAUCAUUAAGUAUUUAAAAAUAAUAAUAUUUUUAUAUUAAAAAGUUAUUUUUAAGUCGAUUGAGUUUUAACUCGAUUAACAUAGAUAUUAUUGUCAAUGUAGGAAGAUGUUGAUUCGAAUGCGUUGAAACAUAUUAUUCUUCUAUAUAAUUAGAGUCUAUAAUAAAAUUAUUAAAAAUAUAUUUUUUAAAAACUUGAUAAUUCCUUUUUUGUUUUUACAAAUCCAUAUUUUUUUGUCCAUUAUUUUAUAAAAUAAUAUGAUCCAUAUUAAAAAAUAAUAGCACAGUGUCUUAAAACUAAAAAAAAUUAUAUAUCAUGGCAUCCAGGGAGUGAAUUAAAACAAAACACAAAUUUGAAGGACUCAAUACACAAACAAUUAGCAUAUGUUUUACAAAUAAUUGAUUUAGUACUCCUGUUUUAAUAAUAUUGGUCACAUUAUCAAACCUCGAGAGAAUUCAAAUUCAUGGAUCAAAAUGGUGGAUCUAAUUGUCAAGUUCAAUAAUUAAAACGAAUAAAAAAUACAGAUACCAAGAUGGAUCUAAUUGUCAAAUUCAUGAACUAAAAAAAUAAAUUAUCUAAAAAUUCUUAUAUCUAAGUUUCUUUUCGUACAUCGUUCAAAGUAAAAAAAAAAAAUUCAUCGUAGAAGCUAGUUUAUGGAAAGCUAGGAAUGUUUUUAGUGUUGAAGGAAUGAACAUCUAGCCGGGUCUAAGCAUGAUGAAUUAAUGGAAAAAAAUAUUUUUUUCGAUUUAAUUGAUGUUCAUAUUCAGCUUAACUUUGAUUAAUUUUUUAUUUAAACCCUGCAAAAUAAAUCAAUUAAAGUCAUAAUCUUAUAAUCUAUUUACAUACUUAAAUCCAAAAAUCAAAUUAAUAUAUAGUCAUUAAGAACAAUAAAGAACAUGAAAAUUGUAUUUUUUUUGAGUUAAUUAAAAAUUAUUUGAUUUAAUUUUCAGAACAAAAGUAUUAUUAUCAUUCAAAACAUCUAAUAUCGAAGACAGUAAAAUAGAUCAUUUAAAGUGAUUUGCAUGUAAUUAAGUUACCUAUAAAAAUGAAUGGACUGCCUUAUUGGCCGAUUGACGUAUUAAUGCUAAAAUCUAAAAUUAAACAACUAAAUUCCGAGUCAUCAAUAAUAUAUUUGAUCCAAUGCAUGCACCAUCGUUGCACAACUCAACAAUGAUGUGAUCGUAAUGAUUAGUUUUCAGCCAUGACAAGACCUUCCGAAACCGAGGGCUAAAUGUAACCCUCUCAAAUGCCAAGUUGGUGGAUUUCUACAGUGAGAUGAUAAAGUCAAGGACUGAUCGGCUUCUUUAGGUGUCAGUUUCAAGGGGGUUUUUUUUUUUUUUUCAGUUUCUACGGCUUUGAAGCCGAAGUAAAAGGAUCAAAACUGGAACAUUAUUAUCAUUCAAAACAUCUAAAAUAUGAUAAAAUAGAUUAUUCAGUGUAAUUGACAUACAAUAAGAUUAUAUGUGAAAGCGAGUAUAAGUUGUUCUAUCGGUUGAUCGACGUAGCUAAUUAUAAGAUAAAUAUUAAAAUAACAUUAAAUAAUUUAAAAUUUAUUUUUAAAUGUUAAAACAGCGUUAAACUCGAGUCUUGUCAACCCCCUAAAUACGGCUUUACUCUCAUCCCAAUCCUCCAACCCCCGAGGUCGACUGCCGUUUUCCCAAUUAUUGGUAGAUAAUAUUAUUGUAUUAGAACUAAAUCUUUAUAUUAUUGGGUGAAUAUUAAGUGAUCAUCUGUUCUUCCCACACGUAGCUUCAGAUAUUUAGCUUGGACAGCAUCUCAAAUUAUUUGUUAUUUAAAUGAUAAUUUUAGCUGGUAAAGCAGUGUCGCUUUGGCCGAGUGGUUAAGGCGUGUGCCUGCUAAGUACAUGGGAUUUUCCCGCGAGAGUACGAAUCUCUCAGGCGACGUUAAUAUUUUUGUCAACCCCAGAUGAGAUGCCCGCCACCGGCGACGUCAGGGGUGGGUGUUGGUGUUGAUGGAGCCUUCUUCGACAGUUGCGUGCUUUGGCCUCCUCUGCUGAGGUUUUCUCCCUAUGUUGGCUGUGCCGGAAGUUUUGUGGUGGUUUAGCGACGGCUUCAUUAGCAGCUCGUUUAGCCUCUCGAGCUUUGGCCUUCUCUGCCUUUCCCCUCUUCCUUUCUAGUGCUUCCUUAGCUUUAGCUACCUCCUCCGACCGGCGUUGGUCCUUUGAUUUAGCCGCUUCAUCUUCCUUACUCAAUUCCUCUGCCUUCCUGUCCGAUUCCUCCUCCUCUGUUCUCUUCGGCUUCUCUUCUUCCGCCUCUUUGAUUUUACCCCUAUUAGAAGCAGUUGCUGAAACACUUUCUGUAGGAGCAGAUUGCAUGAACUUCUUUUUCUCCACAACCUUUGCCGCAAGUACCUUUUCAGCUUUUUGCCACCGCCACUUCCUCUUGUGUUCGAUCUUUCGAAGUUAAGCCAGACAUUGUAUGAUCCACGAACGCUCUUCCAUUUACUGCUCGACGAAUUAAAGGAGGCACUUCAUCAGGACCAAGUGCACGGCCAUCUAAUGUCCUCAGUCUCCACAGUGUGCUCCUUUCAUUGCAUCUAACAUAUUCUUUUCGGAAUUCAUCGUUGUUAUUCCAUUAGUCCAUAAAUUUCUCCACCUGAGCCAUCAACUGUUUAGAUCAAAUAUUGUACAAAAUUCUUGAUUUGGAAGGAAUAAAACAAAUGCACGACCUCACCUGGUUAAUACAAAAAUUUUGGAGUGCCACUUUAUACCCUUUCGAAGCCAACUCAUUCGCUUUAUUUAAAUCAUCCUUGUACUGCCAAAAGUGUUUGUUCUGCAACAUUCAAACAAGAGUAGCGUCGGCAUAUCUUUAUCUUAGUUUAUCAGUUUCGGAGAGCAAUGUACUGAAUCAGAACCAGAACGAAAAUGCAGGUUUGUCUAUGAGUCUCGGAUAUGAUUACGUGUCCAACACGAUUAUGUUAAUUCACUCUAAGCUUACAGAAUUUAAAAGUACCUUCUCAUAUGAUUGUUUCUUCAAACGUUGCAACUGCGCAUACGCUUCUUGUUGGAUGUCAUUUGCAGCUUUGAACUGGUACUGCAAUUCACUUAACUUUUCGGUUUCCUCAUAGUAUUUUCUCUUAGCUGCCUUAGUGAUCGCCUCAGCGUUUUUGAGGUUGGCUUCCUUCUUUAAAGACUGUAGAAACAGAAGAAUAGAAUAAGCAACCAAAAUAUAAGUAAGUUGAAUUUUUUUCCCUCUCGAGAUUUCCAUUAUCAUACCCAAAUAUUCUAGUUGGAUGUUUUUUGACACAGCUCGGAUUUGCAUACACAGCUCGCUUUACAAGAAAUGGAAGUCUUAAAAGAAUAGCACAUUUUCAUGAAACUUUGAUCAUGCCCAAUUGUUUCUUAAUAGAUUUAACGUUUCCUUUUGGGAUUUUGAAGAAAAAGUGGUAUGAUGUGGAAUAAUGAAAUACUGUUGAAUUUAGUUCCCAUGCAAGACAUGCAAAGGUGGCCAUGCAAGGAGAAGUGGCAGCAAGCAGUCGAGCUAUGAAGUGCAGAAACUGGAGCUUGAAGUUGCCUAACUACUUGUUAUGUUUUGAUUGUAUUUUUUAAUUAUUAUUUUGUAAUCUAGUUCAUGUUGAACUAAGUUGGUAAACCUUAUGAUGUUUUUGUUGAUUGAUUGACUGAAAAUUAGCAAAGAAACUUAAGCAAGCUGAUUAACAAUUUCCAAUGUAAAUUUAGUGGUGUUAGGUAUGUCAUUAGGUAAUGACUUGUUCAUUUUGUUGUUGUUAUCUAUUAUAUGUAAUGGCACUAUGCCUUCUUGAUGUAGUUAAUGAAAAUAUCAGCUCUUUUCAUUCAAAAAUACUCUCUCAAUUUUUUGUUUUCUAUUCGCAUGUGUUUCUGUUCUUGCUUCUGAGUUUGUUUCUUCAGCAAGGCUCGAGGCUUGCUAUCCAAGCAAGAUUGAAAACAGUCUGCUGUUGUCUCUUUGCACCAACAAUUGGUAUCUAAAGCCCUUGUCUUAGUGGACCUGUUGCUUAAAAUCAAGGAACCUGAUGGCUUCUUCAGGAUUUUCACCAGCAGCCCCACCAGUCUUCAAUGGAGAAGGCUUUCACAUAUGGCUGGUCAAGAUGAAGACUUACCUGCAGGCCUUUGAUCUGUGGGAAGUUGUCAACACAGAUGCUGAGCCAGCACCACUGAGGGCCAACCCCACAGUAGCUCAGAUCAGACAACAUGCUGAUGAGAGGACCAAAAGGCACAAAGCCAUGUCCUGCAUCCAAAACUGUGUGUCAGAUGUCAUCUUCACCAGAAUUAUGGCCUGUGAGACUCCAAAACAGGCUUGGGACAAGCUUAAGGAGGAGUUUCAAGGCACUGAAAGGACAAGGCAACAGCAUCUAUUGAAUUUGAGAAGGGAUUUCGAGAAUCUGAAGAUGAAGGAAGAAGAAAUAGUGAAGCAGUAUGCAGAUAGAAUUAUGACAGUGGUUAACAGCAUAAGGCUCCUUGGUGAGCACUUUGAUGAGGCAAGAAUUAUGGAGAAAGUCCUCUCCACUUUGCCUGAGAGAUAUGAGGCAAAGAUAUCCUCCUUAGAGGACUCAAGAGAUCUUGCUAGCAUCUCUUUGACUGAGCUAAUUAACACUUUUUAUGCUCAGGAACAAAGAAGAGCUAGCAGAGCUGAAGAUCACCAGGAAGCUUCAUUCAAUACCAAGGCCAGAGAAGCCUCGAGCACCAAUGCUCCAAGAGGCAAAAAGCCUUGGAAAAGCAGGUCUAAGCCUAAUACUGCAAGGAGCAAUGACCAGCCCUACAAACAUUGCAAGGCCAGGUCAUCCAGAAGACAGAUGCUGGUUUAGGCUAGAUGCAGUAUGUCAACACUGCAAGAAGAAAGGCCAUGUUGAAAGGGUUUGCAAAAACAAAACCAAGCCGAGGCAGAGUCAAUUUCAACAACCAAAGGUUGAAGCUCGAGUAGCUGAGGAUAGCAGUGACCAAAAAGAGCAGGUCUUUGCUAUUUCUUGCUUAGCAGCUGAAAAGAAAUGUUCAAAAGGCUGGUUAUUGGACAGUGGUUGCACUAACCACAUGUCACCAGAUGCCUCCUUGUUUAAAACCUUGGAUAGAAGUUGCAAACCCAAGGUCAAGGUUGGAAAUGGUCAGUUCAUAAGGGCUGAAAGAAGAGGAGAGGUGCUGAUAUGUACUCCUACAGGCAACAAAGUCAUCUCAAAUGUCUUGCUAGUACCUGAAAUUGACAGAAACCUUCCAAGCAUAGCUCAAUUGCUUGAGAAGGGCUAUUCUGUUGUGUUUAAGGAUAAACAGUGCCACAUUGCUGAUCCAAGUGGAUCAAGCCUUAUGACAGUCACAAUGACUGAUAAAUGCUUUGAGGUCCAUUGGCCAAGUGACUCAAAGUCAGCUUACACUGCCUCUGUUGAUGAUUCCAAGCUUUGGCACCAAAGGCCCGGGCAUGCCAACUUCAGGUCAAUGGCUCGAUUGGCCAAAGAAGGCCUGGCAGAGAACUUCACCAACUCAGUGGAGCAUGAUGAUGUGUGUGAAGUGUGCCAGAUAGGAAAACAGGCAAGAUUACCAUUCCCAGCAAACUCAGCAUGGAGAGCCACUGAAAAAUUGCAGCUGGUGCACUCUGAUGUAUGUGGACCUAUGAGGACUGAAUCACUCAGCAAUAACAGGUAUUUCAUCCUAUUCAUUGAUGAUUUUACAAGGUUUUGCUGGAUUUUCUUUCUGAAACACAAGUCUGAGGUAGCUCAAGUGUUUGUGAAGUUUAAAACUGCUGUAGAGACAGAAACAGGUUGCAAGCUGAAAUUAAUAAGGACAGACAAUGGCACUGAGUACACUUCAGCUUAGUUUCAAGCCAUUUGCAAUGAUGCUGGUAUCAAACACCAGCUUACAAAUGUCUACACACCUCAGCAGAAUGGGGUAGCUGAAAGAAAGAACAGAAGUCUGAUGGAUAUGGUAAGAUGUCUCCUGUUUGAGAAGAAACUGCCCAAGACCAUGUGGGCUGAGGCAGUAAACACUGCUGUUUACCUUCAGAAUAGGCUCCCUACCAAAGCCCUUGCAUCCAAGACACCUUUCGAGGCUUGGUUCGGUUUCAAGCCUUCCUUGGCACAUCUGAAGGUGUUUGGUUGCCUGUGUUAUGCACAAAUACUAGCAGCAAAGAGAGACAAGCUCUCUGAAAGGGCUCAACCAGGUGUUCUAGUAGGCUAUAGCUCAUUCAAGAAGGGCUACAGGGUUCUGGAUCCUUUGACAAACAAAGUCCAGGUGAGCAGAGAUGUCAUCUUUGAUGAAAAAGCCUGCUGGAAUUGGGAGAAAAAUGAGCCAGAAGCAGUUUCAGAAGACCUGGUGCCUAAUCAAGCUGAACUUGAGCAGCUAGGACCUGAAAUGGAUGUUGAUAAUGUGCCUGUGAAAGGCACAAGGCCCCUAGAUGAUAUAUAUGAAAGGGCACAGGUUGCAAUAGCAGAACCUAGCAGUUUUGAAGAGGUUGAGGCAAAUGAAGGCUGGAAACUAGCUAUGGUCGAUGAAAUCAACAUGAUUGAGAAGAACCAGACAUGGGAGCUAGUUGAUAAACCUGCUAGAAAGAAGACCAUUGGAGUAAAAUGGGUCUAUCGAGCAAAACAGAAUGCAGAUGGCAGUCUGAACAAGCUAAAAGCCAGGCUUGUUGUCAAAGGUUUUAGCCAAAGGUAUGGUCUGGACUACCUGGAGACAUUUGCACCAGUAGCCAGGCUUGACACAGUUAGAAUGAUAGUUUCCUUGGCUGCUCAACAUCAGUGGACCAUUCAUCAGCUUGAUGUUAAGUCUGCAUUUCUCAAUGGUUUCCUGGAAGAAGAGAUCUACAUCGAGCAGCCUCAAGGAUUUGUGAUCACUGGCAAAGAACAUAUGGUGUACAGACUGAAAAAGGCUUUGUAUGGCCUGAAACAGGCUCCUCGAGCCUGGUAUGCUCAAAUUGAUUCUUACUUGCUCAGUUUGGAAUUCGAGAGAAGUCCCAGUGAACUAACACUGUAUGUGAAGAAGAACCAAGUUGAAACUCAGCUUAUCCUGUCACUCUAUGUUGAUGAUUUAUUGGUGACUGGAGGAGACAGAAGAAUGCUGGAAGAUUUCAAAAGAAAAAUGAUGGAAAUGUUUGAAAUGUCUGAUUUAGGCAGAAUGAACUACUUCCUUGGAAUGGAAGUGAAGCAAACAACAAAGGGAAUCUUUCUUAGUCAAAGUUCUUUUACUAUGAAGAUCCUGGAUAAGUUCUCUAUGAAGAACUGCAAGCCAACAAGAACACCAAUGGCUGUUGGAGUGAAGCUUUCGAGGCAAGGGAGUGGUGAACCAAUUUGCGAGACUAUAUACAAAAGUCUCAUUGGUAGUCUGUUGUAUUUGACUGCAACAAGACCCGAUAUCAUGUUUGCUGUUAGUGUGCUAUCCAGAUACAUGAAUUGCUGCAAUGAUCAGCACUUUCUAGCAGCUAAAAGAGUGCUAAGAUACAUCAAAGGCACCAUUGAUCAUGGUGUAUUGUUCAAAAGGGCUGAAAACAUGAAGCUGAUAGGCUAUGUUGAUAGUGACUGGGCUGGAUCUUGUGAUGACAUGAAGAGCACAUCUGGAUAUGCAUUUAGUCUUGGCUCAGGCAUGUUUUGCUGGAGUUCUAAAAAGCAAAGUCUGGUAGCACAGUCAACAGCAGAAGCUGAAUAUGUUGCUGCUACAUCUGCUGUAAAUCAAGCCAUAUGGCUUAGAAAAAUCCUAGCUGAUUUGAACCAAAAUCAAGGAAAGGCAACAGAGAUUUACUGUGACAACAAAUCUGCUAUUGCAAUUGCAAAGAAUCCUAUCUUUCAUGGCAGAACAAAGCACUUCAACAUCAAGCUACAUGUCAUAAGGGAGAUGGAGCAAGCUCAUGAAAUCGAGCUGGUUCAUUGCAAUUCAGAAGAGCAAAUUGCUGAUAUCUUUACAAAGGCACUCAAUGUGUCUAAAUUUGUUAAAUUAAGAAGGCAAUUAGGUGUAACUAGCAUGGAAACUAAGGAGGAGUGUUGAAUUUAGUUCCCAUGCAAGACAUGCAAAGGUGGCCAUGCAAGGAGAAGUGGCAGCAAGCAGUCAAGCUAUGAAGUGCAGAAACUGGAGCUUGAAGUUGCCUAACUACUUGUUAUGUUUUGAUUGUAUUUUUUAAUUAUUAUUUUGUAAUCUAGUUCAUGUUGAACUAAGUUGGUAAACCUUAUGAUGUUUUUGUCGAUUGAUUGACUGAAUAUUAGCAAAGAAACUUAAGCAAGCUGAUUAACAAUUUCCAAUGUAAAUUUAGUGGUGUUAGGUAUGUCAUUAGGUAAUGACUUGUUCAUUUUGUUGUUGUUAUCUAUUAUAUGUAAUGGCACUAUGCCUUCUUGAUGUAGUUAAUGAAAAUAUCAGCUCUUUUCAUUCAAAAAUACUCUCUCAAUUUUUUGUUUUCUAUUCGCAUGUGUUUCUGUUCUUGCUUCUGAGUUUGUUUCUUCAGCAAGGCUCGAGGCUUGCUAUCCAAGCAAGAUUGAAAACAGUCUGCUGUUGUCUCUUUGCACCAACAAAUACUUUUUGUUGACAGUUGUGUAAGUUGUGAAUGGAUUGUUGAAUUUUUUGUUCAAUCCAUAGCAACCUUUACAAUAAAAAGGAAAAACAUUUCUAUUUUAAAUGACAGUUUGAUUUUAGUGCUCAAAAUGGUUAAAUUCUUGAUGGUUUUGCCAAUUGGCGACCUAAGAUUUCCAUGAUUAGAUGUUGGAGUUUUGGCAGCAAAACAAAAGCAAAAACAAAAGAGAGCAGAAGCAAAAUGGAGAGGAAAGAGUUUGAACAAGAAGAUAACUGAAAAUUCUCAUUGAUUUCAUUAAAAAAUUGAAAAUAUAUGUAAGUUGCAUGAUAAUUGGACCGUUACCUAAUGACAUAACUGCUCCCACUAAUACAUGACUAAUACUAAAUUUGAAUUACACACAAAAGUAAGCUGACAUAUCAGCUAGCUAUUACAUCAAAUUCAAAUCAAAAUCUAAUCCUACUAACUUUGUGGACAAAUUACAAGGAAACUAAGUAAAGUUACGUAGGAACAAAAUGAACAAAAUGAACUAAAGAAGCUAUUGCAUUCGGUUCAACUCCGACGCUUAUCUUCAUGUUGAGCUGCUGCUAGUCUCCAUGUUGAACUGCUGCUGGUCUCUUGUUGCAUUGCAGACCAAUGCUCAACAUUUGUGAUGUGGGUUAAAAUUUUUCUGGUUUUGUAGGGAAAAUUUUGGUUGAUAAUUUUGUAAUGAGAAUGCUUACCAUUCAAUGCACUUUAAUUUAAGAAGUAUAAGUUACAUGGAUAGUUUAUUUAAAGGUAAACUCACAGCUUAUCAAAAUCAAGGCUUUAGCCGACCAAAGUCGGCAACUUAGAGUACUAGAUAUUUAGGUUUUAACCCUUUUUAUAUAGUUUUAAAACCUAGGCCAUAUCACCUAGAUAAUUAAACCAAGAAAAUAUCCUAAAAAGGUGAAACAUAUAGAAAGAGAACAAUAAUGGAGGAAGCAUAGUUAUCUAGCUGAAAUUUUGGUUUUGCUAUUUUUUCUAAUGCUCUACUUUGCAAAGUUGACAGCCAAUGAGCAUGGUGUUACCUGGUGUCGUUGGAUUCAAGCUAUCUGGCAAAUUGCGUGAUGGUGUCACGGCCACCGACUUGGUUUUGACCAUGACACAGAUGUUGAGGAAGCAUGGUGUUGUUGGCAAAUUUGUUGAGUUUUACGGUUUGUUCUAUUAUCACAAGUCUAUCAACAGAGAUAUAUAUAUAUAUUUACCAUUAUUAUCCAAUGUACAUGCCUUCAUCAUCAUUUAUUAUUUUUAAUUUGCAUGUCGGUGAGGGAAUGGGUGAAUUAUCAUUGGCUGAUCGAGCCACAAUAGCAAAUAUGUCGCCUGAAUAUGGAGCAACCAUGGGCUUUUUCCCUGUAGAUCAUGUAACACUGCAGUAUCUUAAGCUAACUGGUAGAAGUGAUGAGACAGUGAGUUCAAUUUUCCAUGGGUUUCUAUAUUGUGCUACCUUGCCCAGUGUUAUACUGGGUGGUUUGACAUAUGCUUUUUAUACAUCAGGUAUCAAUGAUAGAAGGUUAUUUGCGUGCAAACAAGAUGUUUGUCGACUACAAUGAGGUAAAAUUUCCUCAACCCUUGCUGGUAGAAAUACAUUUUCAGAUGGUAUCAUCAUUCUUGACUCUAUUUCCAUGAGCAGCCUCAACAAGGAGCAUACAGUUCCUUUUUACGGUUGGACCUGGCCGAAGUUGAACCCUGUAUCUCAGGGCCGAAGCGGUAUGCACAUUACCUCUUUUCUUUUAAUGCCUCUUUAUUAUAAUUUACUUAUUGACAGUUUUCUUUGAUGCUUUCUACUAGGCCUCAUGACCGAGUUCCUUUGAAAGAAAUGAAGGCUGAUUGGCAUGCUUGUCUUGAUAACAAUGUUGGAUUCAAGGUUAGACACAGACAGCUUUACUGCAGUUGGUUCAUCAAAAAAACUCUUGUUUGAUGUCAUUCCAUGGCGUGUGUUCAUUAGAAACAAGUUCAAACUCUGGUAAUAGUGUUGGCUUUAAGGUUUGAAUUGCUAGGUCCCUUUUUGUAGCCUCAGGCCUAGUAAGCCUUUGUUUCUACCUUUACAAAACUUAUCAUUUUCCAUCUUUCAUCAGUCUACAAAACUAAAAUUUUGAGCACAUUUUUAUGCAUUUACUUAUUUGUACAUCAUGCCAUAAUUGUGUAAUCCUUGUUGCAGGGUUUUGCUGUGCCAAAGGAAGAGCAGAAUAAAGUUGCUAAGUUCACAUUCCAUGGCCUGCCUGCCGAACUUAGACAUGGAAGUGUUGUAAUUGCAGCUAUCACCAGCUGUACAAACACAUCAAACCCUAGUGUCAUGCUCGGGGCUGGGCUUGUUGCUAAGAAGGCUUACGAACUAGGUUUGGAGGUUAGUCUUAGCUUCUUGUAUAUAUCCUGUGUUUUUAACCAUUUAAGGUAUCAAUGUUUUCUGGGCUUGGAAAUUUAUGUGUAGGAAGCGAGUUAAUUUGGAGCGGUAUCUUGUGUUUCAUAACUCUUGUGAAAAUUUGGCCAUAUUGGGAGUAGUUUUGUAUUAUAGUUGCUUACCAUUCUCUCAUAUCAGCAUUGGAACUGUAAACUUGUGGAUCUUGAGUGUGGUUUUUCUUCUCUCUUUAUCUCCCCCUUUUUUUGUGUGUGCGUGUGUGUUUCAGUUUUCUUCUCUUUCUUUAAGGAAAAAAAAAAUGGUGAACUUCAACUCUGCUGUAGCUGGAAGACAAGUCUUGCCUGAUAUCUUAAAAUGUACUUUCCAUUAUUAUGCCCCAGGUCAAGCCAUGGAUUAAAACAAGUCUUGCUCCUGGAUCUGGAGUUGUUACAAAGUAUUUGCUUCGGAGGUAUGUUGAUUGCAUAUGAUAUUUCCUUUAAGAAGUUUAGUCAUCCCUAUUGUCUCUAUCUUAUCCCUUUUAAGAAAAAGAAAAUGUCUCUGAAAACAGUCAUUUCUUGCUCUUGAUUUGGUGUUCUAUAGUGGGCUGCAAAAAUACUUGAAUCAACAAGGUUUUAACCUUGUUGGUUAUGACUGCACAACUUGUAUCGGAAAUUCUGGAGAACUUGAUGAAUCAGUUGCUUCGGGAAUUUCAGAAAAUGGUAAAUUUUAUUUCUUGAAUGCAAAAUCUGUUUCCUCAUUUUCUUUUGAAAAUUGCCAGCAGUUCUCUUGGUAGUGUUAGGGGGCUUUUUCCAGAAGUGUGAGGAUUAAUGGAUAAUCUCCGGUGAUAUAUUUAAAAAUUCUAUCCAAUUUUCUUGCUAGUUAAAUUUUCAUCAACUUGCUAAAAUGUGCUAAUAUUUUCAGUUCUAGAUUUUAGGCCAAUCCUUAUUUCAUUUUAAAUCAUGUUUCCUUCUUGAUUGUUCUAAUUCACAUCCUGAUUUAUUUAUUCCGCAUGUGUCUUCAAAACUUGAAGUUUUACUCCCAUUGGUUCCUUUUGGUUUUCUCUUAUAAUUCACCUUCACUAAUUUUCAGCACCUGCUUUUACUUGUUUCUAGUUUCCCUCUGUCUUUGUUCCUUGCCCAAUGUAAUUUAUCUUCACUAACAAAUACCUCUGUCACUAUUUCAGAUAUCAUUGCUGCAGCUGUUCUUUCCGGGAAUAGAAACUUUGAAGGUCGUGUUCAUCCCCUAACCAGAGCUAACUAUCUUGCUUCACCUCCAUUAGUAGUUGCCUACGCCCUUGCUGGCACGGUAAUGUAUACUUUGCAUUCUUAUUGGUAUUAACAAAAAUGCAGCGUCUAAUACAUUUUCUUACUUUUGGAUUAGUCAUGCCACAAAAUUUUAGACAAUUUAGUUUGAUACUAUUCAUGCAGUGGUGUUCCAAAAAUUGGGCACUGCAGAUUUUCUCUUUUGUUACUUGGCCUUUCAAUAUUUUUCCAACCCUAUUCAAUGUGAAAAGUUCUAUUUAUCAAACUUGAUUUCAAGUCCGUGAUGCAUCAUGGAUCCAAGAUCACAAAUUUAAAUUUGGAAGUUGAUAUAAUAAUAUGAUAAUAAUAGUGGUUUACGAGGAUGCUCAUUUUUUCUCUUGUGAAUAGCAAGUCCAGGUUGAUAUUGUGUUAGCAGCAUCUUUAAGUCCUUAUUUCCGUAUUUUCAGGUUGAUAUUGAUUUCGAGAAAGAGCCUAUAGGGACAGGAAAAUCGGGUAAAAGUAUAUAUUUCAAGGAUAUAUGGCCUAGCAAUGAUGAGAUCGCACAGGUAAAUAAUCUGUGAAGUCACUUGAAAGUUGACAGUGUUGCAUACUAUUUUGAGCCCAAAUGAUGUGGAAUUUUGUAACGUGACAGGUUGUUCAAUCUAGUGUGUUGCCUGAUAUGUUGAAGAGCACCUAUGAAGCCAUCACAAAGGGCAACCUGAUGUGGAAUCAACUUUCCGUCCCUGCUUCCACGCUUUAUUCUUGGGAUCCAAACUCAACAUACAUUCACGAGCCUCCAUAUUUCAAAAACAUGACCGUAGAACCACCAGGCCCGCAUGGAGUGAAAGAUGCCUAUUGCUUGCUCAAUUUUGGUGACAGUAUUACCACCGAUCACAUCUCUCCUGCAGGUAGCAUCCAAAAGGAUAGCCCUGCUGCUAAGUUUCUUCUUGAGCGUGGGGUGGACAAAAAGGACUUCAAUUCCUAUGGUAGUCGUCGAGGCAAUGAUGAAGCGAUGGCAAGGGGCACCUUUGCCAAUAUCCGCAUUGUCAACAAGCUUCUGAAGGGAGAAGUUGGUCCGAAGACUAUUCAUGUUCCGACAGGAGAAAAGCUUUAUGUAUAUGAUGCAUCAAUGGUGAGUUUUAACGUUGCUAUUUAAAAAUCCGUUGCUUCCACUUAGACUGCGAUUACUAAUGGAAUAUAUUAUCAACUUGCAGAGGUACGAGGCUGCUGGGCAAGACACGAUAGUCUUAGCUGGAGCAGAGUAUGGAAGUGGCAGCUCAAGAGAUUGGGCUGCCAAGGGCCCAAUGUUACUGGUACGGGCAUUGGCUCACUAAUUCUUGAUAUUGGAAUAUCGAUUCUCUCUUCAACUCUUACAUCCCAAACGGUUUUUCUGCUUUGUUCAGGGCGUGAAAGCAGUUAUCGCCAAGAGCUUUGAGAGAAUUCAUCGAAGUAAUCUGGUUAUCCGUAACCUAAACAAAGAGUAGACAAUUUGAUAUUGGCAUACUUUGAUCACGGUGGCAUUCUUCCAUUUGUUAUCCGUAACCUAAACAAAGAGUAGACAAUUUGGCUUCAAGUAAGUAGUCUCUUCACUUUGCUAUCUGCUUUGAUUGGAUUUGACAGUGGUAUCAUUCGAUCGACAGUUAAUAACUAGUACUGGUAUCUCAUUGUUCUCUAUACGAUCUGUUUUUCGUAAUAUUUCGUUGUAAUAUCUGGCGUGGUUCAUUUUGAAGCCGAAUCAAUUUGAAGAGUUAGAUAUGAAAUCUAGUCUGUUUCCGAGUUCUCCUUCAAGAUCUUUUUGUUUUUAUACCUAUUACUAGGGUUCUUCAAGUCUGUUUGUGGUAUCCAUAACCAGCAUUUUUUAAAAUUUAAUUUUCAUUUAUGACAUUAAGAUCUUCAAAAUUUUAACGUACAUUGGAUGGAUGCGUUCUUAUGUUUGUUUGUUUGUUUUUAAUUUGUUCAUUCUUCUUCGUUUAAUUUAAAAUUAUGCAUGUUUAUAUUUGUAUGUUUAAGUUAAACAAACAUAUUCAUAAACUUAUAAUUGAACAUGUUCACAAUCAAUAUUCAUGAAUAAUUAAUAAACAAAUAAAUAAACAUAAACAUAUGAUUAUAUAUAUUUAGAUAUAAAAUGUCAAAUAUUAAUAUUUAUAGUUAUAUUAUAAAUAAAUAAUAAGCACAAAAGUCAUAAUAAUUUUAUUAAUAUAUAAUAAUGAAACAAUAAACAAGUUUUGAAUGAUUUAUUAAACGAAUUUUUAAUGAAUGAUAAAUGAACUUGUUUAUAAACAUAAAUAAACUAAACAAGCUUUGUUUGUGUUCAAUAUAUUUAAUAAACUAGUCUCAAAAUCUUGAUCAUGUUCAUUUAUUUAGUUUAACAACCGAAUAUAAAUGAAUAAAAACUGAAUUGUUUUUUAUGUUCAUUUGUAGCCCUAUGCAAUGGUAAAAGAUAUAUUGUGCUUUCAAUGGGAGAUACAAGAUUAAAUCUUGAAAAUAAUAUUAUUGGGAGGGAUAGUCACAUAUCUUAAAUAUGGACUAUAAAACGGGCAUGAAGAAUAAUAAAAAAAACAAAGCGCAGUUUGUAACAUUUCUUUUGCAACAGAAAAUGGUUAGUGGUGACUGUUUUGUUAUUUUUUGAAAGUUGAAUGAUUGAGUUGAAACUUAAGUGAUUGUUUUGUCAACUAUACUAAAGUUGACUGAUUGUUGGUGUAAUUUACCCUUUAAAAAAUUAUAAAUUUUUAAAAAAAUUCUAAAAAAAUAUAUUGAUAGGUGUUGAAUCCACCAAUAUAAACCUACACCUAAUUUUGAAAAUUUAAGCAGUAUAGGGAGUAGGGCCGAUCCCUCAGAAACUGGGUUUACUGCAAAUUGUUGCUCUCUUGACCAGAUUUAUGUCGGGGCAGUUGUCGUGCCCAAGAUAUUAGGGGGAGGAUAAAAUCGAAAACCUGGAACCUGAAAUAAAUAAAUAAAACGCAUAAAAAGUAAAAUUGAAAAUGAAAUAAUAAAAAGCAGUUAAAUAAAUUUGAAGAAAAAUUAAUUAGAAUAAGUUCAGCUUUAGGCACGGAUUUUUCCUCAUCUUUAAAUCAAUCCUUGAAAUUAGAUGAACUCCUCUUUUCCAAUAAGCUAGUUAUAGCUACCAAGGACACCUCGGACACCAACUCUUCAUUGUGUAAAUUAGUUAUGGAACGUCCAAUAACUAACCCUUACCGAUCGAACAACCAUGAAACGUUCGUGAUUUAGAACUCCGACGGCUUUUCGUUCUAGAAGAGCCUAGCUCGAACCAAUGUCCUCAACCGCGUAGGAAAUUUAAAUCUGGUUACUACUUCCCUUGACGGAACCAAACAACUAUCUCCACUUGGCACGCUAAUGUGUUCACAGAAAACCGAUUAGAAACGUUCCUUUCAGAAUUCCAACUAUACGUCUAACCACACUAACUCAAAUGACGUCUUUUUUGACUUAGUGUUGAUCUGACUUUAUGAGCUGACAAAAUCAUACUCUUAAUCUGGAGAAAAAAUAAGUACUGGAAUUUAGGAGUUAAUUUGCUCGGGUUCGUAACUCACGGGUUUUGACGAGGCUAAUUUCGGCCUAAAGCUGAAAAUGGAUUUAGUUGGCUAAGGUUUGGGGCAUGGUGGUAUUGGAUAAAUUAAAUAAGGUAAAAUGGGUGAAAAAGAUGGGUGGCGUGAUUGAGUAUGGGGCUGGAAAUUUGAUAACGAAUUAAAGUGGAUGUUAGCUACUGGAAAUAAAAAGGGAAUUUGGAAAAUGAAUUGCAAAUGGUUUAAGUUGGUGGCUAACUAGGAAUUAAUAAAUUGAAGAAAAAGAAACUAAAAGCAACAGAAUAAAUUUGUGAGUAGAAAGGAGAGAAUGUAUUGAAAGAUAAAAGCUUUAUAUUUCACUUGAUGAUUAAAAUGAACAAUGUAGCCUCUAUUUAUACUAGUGGCCUUGCUAAAUUAAGAGCCAACUAGUAUAGAAAAUCAAGGAAAAAUAUUCCAUGAUAUAAAAAAUAUCCCAAAAUAAUCUCCCACUAAGUCAACAAUUUCAGCUAAUUAUUCUUGGAAAAAUUCUGCUUUGGCCCUUCUUCUUUGCUUCUUUCUUCAAUCUAGCCCAAUUGUUUUCUUUUUCUUCUAUUUACCCCCAAAUUACACUCUUGCACAAAAUUCAAUAAAUAUGAAAAAAAUUAGUGGUGCAUUCUCAUAAAUUAACCAAUUUAAUUACAUAAAAUAUGUAACUUUAGCAUUUAAUCAUAUAUAAAGAAAGUUUAAAAAGUAAAAAUUUUCUAGAAUAAUAAUUUUGAGGACUUAAAUAAGUUAAUUUAUGAUUCAAGUUUAUUGUAUUAAUAAAGUAUUUAUUAUUAUUAUUCUUAUUUUACUUUGAAUUUUUUUUUAAAUUUAUGUGCUAUAACAUUUAAUUAAUUAUAUUGUAACAAGAUUUUAAUGUAACAUGUUUAUUUUUUAAUUUAACUUUAACAAUUUCACUCGAUUUGGCUCGACUUGAAUUUUAUUUCACUUGACUCGAUUUGAAAAAAAAAUUCAAAUAGAGUUAGGAUGAUAAAAUAGGAUUUACGAAUUCGAUUAAUAUGAAAAUUUUUCACUCGAUUCAAUCGAUCGCUCAAUCUUAUCCAUAGAUGUCAAAGUACUAUAAUCAUGACUAAUACUAACUUUGAUUUCAAUAGGCAUGAAAAACUCACUGAUAUUAACAAUUACAUUGAACUUGACUCUUAUGAGUGUUAAAAUAUCUCUAAAAAACGUAUGUCGAAAAAAAUUUUGAAGAUACAUAUUUUAAUAAAUAAUCAAUACAUUUAUAAUAUCAAAAUAAAAAAUAAAAUAAUUAAUAUAAAUUUAAACUUAAAAUUAAAAAUAUUAAUAAAACUUUAAUAAAAAGUAAGUAAUAAAUUCUAGUCUUUAACUAAAAAAUAAUGUACAUAACUCAAAUCCACUGAAUAAAAUUAAUUUAUUGUUAACUUAUGGCAUUAAAACACAAAUACUUGUAUGGCGUAAAUAAUUACAAUUAAAUUAAUUUACAAAAUAUAAUGUAUUUCUUUUCAAUGAGAUUAUCUUUUGAUUAAAGUAAAGAAUGAUUGGUACCCAAUAAAAUAAAGAAAUUGGAAUGAGAUUAUCGUUCCAAAAACUCUGACCUGUUUUCCACUUUCUUGUGUUUUCCAUCUCAUUUGUCUCUAUUCGUUGACUUCAACUCCAUUCCCUGUUAACCCCAAUUAUACACAAUCCAUCUCCAUUCCUUUCCCCCAAUCUCCCCUUCCUUCUUCAUCUCUCUCUUUGAUUUCUUUGUACCAAUUCCACCAUGUCUGUCUUUGGAGAGGCUGCUCUUUCUGCCUUUUUGGAGCUGUUGUCUGCCAAGUUGCUUGACUCUGUACUCAACUUUGUGGCCGAUCACCGGCAACUCCACCACCAACUCAAGCUGUGGCAAUCCAUAUUCCCCGAGAUCAAAGUAGUGUUGAACCAUGCAGAGGAGAAGCAGAUCAAGGACGAGGGUGUCAAGAAUUGGUUGGGCGAUAUCCAAGACUUAGCUUACGAUGUGGAUGACAUCUUGGACGAGUUCGCUUACCAAGAGUUACGUCUCAAGCUCUAAAAAACUCAAGCACAAGCCAGCUCUAGUAAGGUACAGAAACUCAUUCCAACCUGCUGUACUGGUGGUCAUUUCUCUCCAAUCGCUUUUAUGUUCAAUGCUAAGAUGAUUUCAAAGAUAAAAGCAAUCACCGAUAGACUGAAUAGUUUGAACACUCCAAGAAGUAAUUUGGGGUUGAGUGAGAUCAUGUCUCAAGGCGCAACUUCCAAGGGAAAGAAACCCAGGCUGCAACCAACUUCCUUGACGGAUGGAGCUGUGGAGUAUGUUGGUAGAGCCAAUGAGAAGCAAGAAAUGCUUGAGUUGCUCAAAAGUAACAAUUCCGGUAGAGUUUGUGUCCUUUCCAUCGUUGGCAUGGGAGGGAUGGGGAAAACAACUCUUGCUCAGCUUGUUUACAAUGAUCCCAGCAUUAAGGAGUCUUUUGAUCACAAGUCCUGGGUGUGCGUUUCUGAUGACUUUGAUGCUGUUAACAUAACAAAGACGAUUUUAAGAUCCCUCGACGCUGACUCACAUGAUGAGAAUGACUUGAACUUGCUUCAAGUCAAGUUGAAGGAGAAGUUAUCCAGAAAAAGGAUGUUGCUUGUUUUAGAUGACAUUUGGAACGAGAGUUACAGUGAUUGGACCAUCUUACGGGCUCCAUUUGGAGCAGAAACCAAAAUUAUUGUAACAACUCGACUCCAAAAGGUUUCAUCUAAUGUCGAUUCGGUGAAAGCGUUUUACUUGGAUAAACUCUCGCAUCAUGAUUGUUUAUCCAUAUUUGCUCAGCAUGCAUUGAAAGCAAGAAACUUUGAUGGGCAUCUCCAAUUUAAAGAAAUUGGAGAGAACAUAGUGAGAAGGUGCAACGGCUUACCUUUGGCAGCAAAAGCCAUUGGAAGCUUAUUACGCACAGUUACGGAUCAUAGUGAAUGGGAAAAAGUAUAUGAGAGCGAGAUAUGUGACCUACCAGAAGAUCCAUGUGGCUUAAUUCCAGCUUUGCGAUUAAGCUACCAUUAUCUUCCUCCUCAUUUGAAACGAUGCUUUGCCUACUGCUCCAUAUUUCCUAAAGAUUAUGAAUUUGAAGAAGAAGAGAUAAUCGUGUUAUGGAAAGCAGAAGGUUUCUUGCAAUCAAAAAUUAAAAUUCAAGGCAAAGGUCUUGGAAACCAAUAUUUUCAAGAUCUAGUGUCAAGGUCAUUUUUUCAAAGAUCUAUUGAAGACAAAUCCCGUUUCGUGAUGCAUGAUCUUAUGAAUGAUUUAGCUCAAUCAGUUGCAGGAGAAAUAUGUUGCAGAGUGGAGGGUGAAAAGCAACAAAAGUUUUCGCAUCGUUCUCGCCACUCAGCUUAUGUUAUCGAUGAUCGGUGUCAGAGUGUAAAGAAGUUUGAGGCAUUUUAUCAAAUGACUUCUUUACGUACUUUCUUACGCUUAAUGGCUCCAAGUUUUGAGGUAUUCUAUUUAUCUAACGUUGUCUUGGAGGAUUUGUUGCCAAGACUUAGCUACUUAAGGGUUCUUUCUUUGGGUGGGUAUGAGAUCUAUGAUUUGCCCGACUUUUUUGAAAAUUUAAAACAUCUACGCUACUUAAAUUUUUCUAGAACCAGAAUCAAUCGUUUACCUGAUUCUUUGUGUAGUCUUUAUCAUUUGGAUACUUUAAUAUUAAGAGAUUGUUCAAAGCUCAAAAAUUAACCCUCGAAGAUGGGAAACCUUGUCAACUUGCAUUUUCUUGAUAUUAGAGGUGCGAAUUCAAUAGAAAGGAUGCCCUCCGGAUUUGAUCAGCUAACUCAGCUUCAAACGUUGUCUAAUUUUGUUAUAGGGGAAGGUGAUGGACGUCUUAUUAGAGAAUUGAAAACUUUGUCAAACCUUAGAGGUAAUUUUUGUCUUUCUGGAUUGGAGAAUAUUAAUGGUCAAGAUGCGAGGGAAGCUAAGUUAAAUGAGAAGCUAGGGAUUGAUGGGUUAGAACUACAAUGGGG
rnacentral:lncRNA from 1 species